UGGAUUCUAGUACGAAAAGUGUGCAUGGAUCAGGACUGAGGAAGAGGGCAUGUGAUGUCGCGAGAAGCACGAGGAGGAGGGGGAGGCGGAGGCGGAGGAAGAGAAGGAGAAGAAGAAGCAAAGGGAAGAUUACGGAGAAUGAGAAAACGAACCCGCGGAUGGAAGGGGAGGGGAGCCUGGUUGAACAUAUGCUCCAGCACCCUAGCCACCAACACCGUGUACUCCUCCAACAGCUCCGCCACUAUGGCCACCAGUAUCAUACUAGUAUCAGCAGUUGUUUUGUGUACCGAAUUGCGAAACAACUAGAGUAGAAUAUUAUAUAAUUAGCCAAAGAUCCGAGGACAGGAGUCGUGUGGAUUAUGAGGUGGAGUUGGAUGUAGAAGUAGGAAGUAGAAGCAGCUUAAUUCCAAUUGAGAAUUGCGACCGUUCUGGGAAAUUCCGUCUGCGGCUCCACCGAACUACUACUACUAGUACUAUAUUGGGGUGUGGAUUGGGGGACUGCUAAUACUAAUAAAUAUAAAAGAAAAUUACAAUGUAUAAAUCUCAGUCAACUUCCAAAGCCUGCUGGGAUUUUAUAUCAGUAGGAGUAUAUAUUCAGGAAACGUGCCAUGGUGUAGCAGUAAGCAGCUACGCGCUAAAUCCAUGGGCUGGGCAGGGCAGCCGGAGAUGGAAGUGGUGGUGGUGGUGGUAUUCAAAUCCAUGUCCUGCUUCUUUUUUUCAAUUGGGGAUGGUGGCUUCUAACUAUCUGUCCGCUGGAGCAACUAGUAAGCAGCAGCAGUCACUCUGGAAUUUUCUAGGUCGGGGGGUGGGGGCAGCGAAAAAUGUAUAAUUUAUUUAUUUAUUUUGGUAGAAUAUGAAUGGAUCAUAAUUAGAUUACUACGUAAUUAGUAGUGCAUCCGUGACUGCUGACUAUAUGUAUUAUAAUUAUCAUCAUUUAUUAUGCAAUGCCUAUCCAACGGCUGCAGUUGCUAAUCAGCACUCAGCGGUAGUAAUCAAUCCUAUCCGCUAAGAAAGCGAAGCGGACCCCAAAUUUCUGACUUCCUUUUUCACUCAUCCCUCUUUUUUGGCCUUCUUCUCGUUGGAGUCCACGUGCUUCGUAGUUCGUCCUAUCUCUUGACAACAAGUACUUCCAUCGCAUACGGAGUAUAAAACAAAAAAUUCUACGUCCAUCCAUGAAUGCUGCACCCGUCCCCCUCCCUCGGCCCUCUCCAGUGAAAUUCUGUUCAAUUCACUUCAGUUAUUGUAAUCUCACUUCAAUUGAAGUUGGUGAAAUCUGCAUGGAUUGAAGCUAUCUAAUGCAAGCAUUUCCUCUUGCCUCUCUCUCUCUCUCUGCUCAGUUUGAUUAGUAUAAAUUAAAAUUUAUAUAUAAAAAUUUCCUGUUAGAAUAGUUUGAUUCAAGUUAAGCUCGAUAAAAGCUCAUUUGAUUCGAUAGAUAAAUAACCAAUCUUUAAUACAAUUUCAAACUCAUUAAAUUAACCAAGCAAACUUGAACACUGAGGCUAUGUUGAAUUAUAAUUUUUUCAAUUACUUUUUUAUUUUACAUACAUCAAAUCACUGCAAUACAUUCUUUUAAAAAAAACUCCUAUAAAGUGUUCGACUUGGUUAACUUGCAUUCACACCAUUACAAAUAUUAAAUAGCACCCUCCAUGAGUGUACAAAUGGAGGAGAGUUUUUUUUUUUUUUUUUCUGAAGCGGGGGGAAAGGGAUAUAUAAGGUUGUGUUUGGAUUGCAUUUUCCGUCAUUUUCAUGGAAAAAUUACUGUAGCGAUUUGAUAUAUGUGAGGAAAAAGGUGAUAGGGAAAUGUGAUCACGGAAAACGAUAAUAUUUUUCCGACGAAAACCUUCAAUCCAAGCAAGGCCAAAUUUUUCACAGACAAGAAGUACAACACAAAUGAAGCUACAUGUUUAUCAACAUAUAAGACUAACAGCCGAAGGAUGGUUACUGUUCAUAAGCUUUUCGUCGUCCUCACGUGCCGAAGGAAGGUCCUCACGUGGUUCUUUUUUUUUUCUUUAUCUUCCCUUUCCGUCUCGUCUCAUCUCAUUAAUGCACCCCACCUGCUUUUCCGUCUCCUCUGGUUCUUUUCUAAUAUCUUCCCUUUCACCUCUUUUCAUAUCUUCCCUUUCACCUCUUUUCAUCUCAUCUCAUCGAUGCACUCGCAUGCUUUUCCAUUUUUUUAUUAGACGAUGGAUUUUAUCCUUUGGAUUUAUGGCCUCCGUCUUUUACCUGAGAUUUCUUCUCUUCUACCCAGCAAUUGGAGGUAUCUCAUUAAUGCACUGCUCUGGUUCUUUCUUAAUAUCUUCCCUUUCACCUCUUUUAUCUCACCUCAUCGAUACACCGCCGCAUGCUUUUCCAUUUUUCCUUCUCCGUCUGCUGUGGUUAUGAAUGAGUGUGUUGAGAAUCUUUUUCUUAUUAAUUGGAGUAAGGCGUAUUACACGAUGGAUUUUAUGUCCUUUUCGGGAUUUCUUCUCUUCUGCCCAGCAAUUGGAGGUAUCUCAUUAAUGCACCUCGUUUUUCCCACGUGCUUUACCUGAGAUUUUCAAUUCGGAGUAUUCCACAAAUGUCUUGAGAAUUACAAUUAAUAUCUUUGAUGCUAUCAUAAUCCAUUAACAUUUAGUAAUACAUUCUGUUGUCUGCCAAAGUAGGGGGGAAAAAAAAGUCUUCUGCCCGAUGCUUAUUAAUUUAGGAAUUACUAAUGAAUGACCGACAAUUUGGAAAUAGGCGGCUGGUAGGAAAUAGGUAAACAACCCGCGAAUGGAACGGAACAAAAAGAGCCUUCAACUGGUAUUAGCUCAACUUCCAUUCCAAUAUUCCAUGACGUACGCGCAAUUUGAUUUGUCAAAGCCUGGAUCACGUACGCUAUUUAAACUUCCAUCCGGGCCAAAUUAACUCUCAGUGCAUUUUGCGACAGCGAAAUAAAUGGCUAGUGAGAGAUCAUUUGCAGCAGAUCAAGAACGUCGGGAAGGUGCAGAAGUUGUUUAUGGAGCUGAAGCAUGCUAUCAGCACUCCAUACAACUCCUUGAAGAAUUGGGGUUUCCUAAGGGAGUGCUUCCCCUGCAGAAUCUGGAAGAAUGUGGAAGAGUUCGGGCAACUGGGUUCGUGUGGAUGAAGCAAAAAAAGCCGUAUCAGCAUUUCUUUACUGGGAGCAAUACCCUCGUAAGCUACGCAACUGAGGUGACUGCCUACGUAGAGAAAUUCAAGAUGAAAAAGAUGACUGGAGUCAAGAGCAAGCAGCUUCUUUUAUGGAUUCCUAUUGCCGAAAUGAGGAUUGAUGAUCCGGAUCAUAAGAAGAUUCACUUCAAAACUCCCGUGGGAAUUGGGAAAUUCUUCCCCAUCACGGCUUUCAUGACCCAAGAGGAGAAGCGCAAGUACUCGGAAAGCACCGGAGAGUAGAAUUCAUUCAGUGGAUGCCGCCAAGGAUCCAACCAACAUAUUGGUUAUUGCUACUAUUCAAUAUUAAUAUUCAUUCCACACCCUACGUUUAUGCUCAUCUCAAUAAUAAUAUACUACAAUUAUUGCUUCUUUUUCCUUUCCUUUUUCUUUCAAAGUAAGUUGUAAGUUGUUAUUACCAUAUGUAAAAUCACGUUAUGCUUAAUUAAAAAAAAAUUUAUUGUUAAAUAAAGUUAUUGUGUUUAAAAUGAUGUGGAGAAAAAAGGAGAGGCCAGUAUUUUAAAGAGUUUUUUUUUUCUAUUUGUGUACAAUGCAAGAUGGUAUAAAUUAUUUAUACUGUUUUAUAAAUAUUAUGAAUAUAUUUCUCAAUCAUUUUUAAAUACAUAAACUAAUAAAUAACUAGUAGGUAAGAAUUCAAGAAGGCUCUAACUACUUGAACUCAAAUAGCAGCACGCAUAAAAUGCACCAAAAUCUAGUUGGCGGAAAUAGGAAAGAAAUGGAGCCAACUUCAACCGAAAAAAAAGAAAAGAAAAAAGAAGGAUGAUUCUUUUCUUCAACUUUUACGUUGGGUCCCAACCACUCGUCUCUCCGCAACCCAUAUCUCCAACUUCCCCAUGGCGAGAGCCUAUUUUUACAUAGGCUCCGCCACUGCCACUUCCACCCCGCUCUCCUCCUCCCCCUUCCGCCACCGUAAACUUCCAGCUCACAACCAUCGCUCUUCCCCUCCUCUCCGCUCCUCAACCAACACUACCACCCCGUUGACAAUGUCCAACCAACCUACCCCUCACCCCUCCCUGGAAGUUAUCGGUGGAGCUCGGGACUCAUUCCUCCCAGCAUUCACAAGCCUUCACACCCCUUAUCAUCCUUACCCUUUUAUCGCUUGGAAUAGACACGUGGAGACCAUCUUUGCCGCGUUUUUUCGUUCGCUCCCUGAUAUCAAAUUCCGGCGUGAGUGCCUCCGUACAAAGGACAACGGCACCGUUGCACUUGAUUGGGUCUCCGGUGACCGAACUCGCUUGUCUGCCGUUGCCCCCGUCCUCAUUUUGCUGGUAAGCGAGGAGUGCUUCAUCCACAGUCCCCCUUUCCUGUCCUGGUUUUGGUUUACAAGUCAUUGGUUUAGUUGCGAGCGUUAAUUUGGUUAAUUGGUGAAUUGGUGGGUUGCAGCCAGGUUUGACAGGAGGGAGUCAGGACUCGUACGUGAGGCAUAUGUUGGUGAGAGCAAGGAGCAAAGGAUGGAGGGUUGUGGUGUUCAAUAGCAGAGGAUGUGGUAAUAGCCCUGUCACCACUCCUCAGGUACUACUACUGUUCCUCCUCGAGUAUCCUACUCAAGUUGCAAUCUUUUUUUUAAUCACUUUUCCGUUACUUGGUGCUCAUCGUUAAUGUGAAUCAACUUUGAACUUGAUCAAUUAGUCUUUUGUGCGUAUAACAAAGAAGAUUUAGCUACAACUAUAAUAGCCUUUUUUUUGGCUUGAAUUGGACAAAGAGAAUUUAUGCUACUUUAUUUUGCAAGAAUCUUCGAGCUGACUUAUUUGCAGUUCUAUUCAGCUUCAUUUCUCGGAGAUAUGUCAGAAGUAGUGGCACUUGUCAACAACCGGUAUCCGAAAGCCAAUGUCUAUGCUGUUGGAUGGUCUCUUGGCGCCAAUAUUCUUGUUCGUUAUUUGGGUCAGGUAUUCCAACUAACUUUUGAUAUCCUCUCACCCUUUCAGUUUCAAAAUUUUUUGUUUCCCUGAUCUAAAAUAACAAUGUGGCGAUGCUAAUAUGUGUUAAAGAGCUUAUUAGGCUAGUGAGGUAGAUGUUAUUUCAGGCAAUGAGUACUUCCAUCACAAGUUAUAGGUUUGCAGGUGUGAUUUUCUGUUUUAUUUGGGAAGGGUAGGGACACAAGGACUCUCCCAUCUCAAGCGCACAAACAGAUUUUUUUUUAAUCAUAAAUGACGAGGUAUAUGAAGUGCUUUGUAUUCACUGGCAAUAAAUUAUAAGUGACUAGUUGUUUGAGAAUUUCAUGCUUUAACAUCUGCAACCCUUUGCAGAAGUUUGUGGGAAAAUUAAAAAAAGGUAAAAAGAAAAUAAAAACUUUCAUGAAACAAGAAUAGAAGAGAUGCAAGAAAACAAAAGCUCUUUCUUUAGUUGUAUAUGGGAGGUUAGGAGAUUAAAGAAGGUCAUAUUCAUUUUUUUCUUAAUAUGACAGCUUAAGCAAAACUAAGAAAAGAAAACCUAAUUAGAUGGUGUUGUGUUGAACUUAAGUUUUGCUAUCUUGCUGCCUUUUGGUGCACCAUAUUUGAUAAAGUUAACUCUUUUGGUUCUUUUAAGUUCCAUCAACGAAAUUGAGAAGAUAAAAGCUCUUGUACUUCAAGUCAACAACAUUACCUUGAUUAUCCAUGGCAUAUAGUUUGUCUGUGCCAUUUUAUGGACAAAAGAGUUGGUGAUAGAUGGGAUAAUAAGUGUUCAGGAGAAGGAUGCUGAACAGCACUAGAAAGGGCAAACAUGCCAAAAGUUAUUCAUAACUGCACGUUACACAAACCAAUAAAUGUAUCCCAAGAGCUAGUUCUAUGACACCAUGAAAGGGUUGAAAAGACUUUCUUUGUGUUGGAUGAGGAUGUGUAUAUCUGUGGUUCUGUUUCCUGAAAUAGAAUACAAGGGGCCUGCCCAUGGAGCAUAUGAUCAGAUAUAUCAUGCCAAGUAUCAUUUCCUCUCGUCACUUUUGACAGUUAUUCUUCAUGAACGAAAAAAGUUCAACCAUGAUGACAAGACCAACUGGGACAAGUGCUGUUAGCAGUUUCAAGUUUUCAUGUUGUAAUACUGCAGAUGUCAUAGUAAAAAUGUUAUUAAAUGUCUGUCCAACUAAGAGUCUGGAAGCUUUGUUUCUUCUUAACUGUGUCCAUUCAUUAGUAACUGAUCUAUUUUGUUUCUCUAUCUCUGUCGAGCUGUGUUUACCUUCCUUGCAAUGCAAAAGUCAUGACUCUUUCUUAGCAACUAAAUUUUACAUCUAUACUGAAGAAAGCCACUCACCUUUUAGAAAUUAUUUCUACUAUAUCUAGAUACUGAGAUUAUUCAUACUUGAAAGGGUUGUCAGUUUAUCUGCAGGAAACUUGUUUGAGGUGUAAAUGCUUCAUUCACAUCCAACUAUAACUUUUGGACAUUGCAUUAAUACAAAUGUGGGCUUCUAGCUGACUCAUUUCUUUGCAAGAGGAAUUGAAAUUCAUAUUCAAUAGCUUCUGGCUAUCAAAUUUUAUAAGUCUCAGUUGUAACUUCUUCUAUUGCUACAGGAAUCUCGAUCCUGUGUUCUUUCUGGUGCUGUAUCAUUAUGCAAUCCUUUCAACUUGGUCAUUGCUGAUGAAGAUUUCCGUAAGGGCUUUAACAUUGUUUAUGACAAAUCUCUAGCAAAUGGUCUCUGCAAAAUUUUCACCGAGUAACUCACCAAUUCAUUAAGUUUCCCCUAUUCCUAAUUAUGUGUAAUUUGGUUAUCAUGCUUUCCCACAUUGGUUCAAGGGAUAUAUCCAUUGCCUUUGCAGGCAUGCUCCUUUGUUUGAAGAGAUGGAUGGUGAAUACAAUAUCUCAGCAGCUGCCAAUGCCAAAUCUGUCAGAGAAUUUGAUGAAGCUCUAACACGAGGUAACUAAUACUUGUGCUGGAAUAGAUUGUUGAUAUGCAUCGUUACUUACUGGCUGCUUCAACUUCUUUUCGUAAUACCUGCAGUGUCAUUUGGAUUCAAGUCAGUGGAUGACUAUUACUCGAAUUCAAGCAGUUCAGAUUCCAUAAAGAAUGUCUGCAUCCCUUUGCUCUGUAUUCAGGCAAGAACAUUCUGAUGAUAUAUCGUAUUUUUUCAAAGAAAAUCUUUUUGCUCUGUAUAUCCCAACAAUACUGAAGAAUGCAUGAUAUGUUUUACAAUCCUAUCAGUUAUGUAGAAUAAAACUGCAGUGCAAGGAAGAAUACUGUUGAUAUGCUUCUCUAAGUUUUUUUUGGUAGUUUUGGAACUUACCUAAGGAACUUUAUGUGGCAAUUCAAAAAUUUCUGCUUCCUUUUUCAUUUGACUAUUCCCCAGUCAACCCUAGGCAUCUUCUUAUUUUGAAGCACUAAAUUGUUGAUUUAUCUUUUUUUAAUGAUUGAGGAUAAGGAGCAUAAUGGGUGGAAGAAUGAUAAAAUUGUUGGGUUUUACUACUCCUGUUUGAAUUAUGUCAGCCAAAAGUAAAGCAGUAUUACGAAAAUAAUUGUUUGUAUAUGUUGCCUACAGGCUGCAAAUGAUCCAAUUGCUCCUUCUAGAGGAAUUCCUCGUGAAGAUAUUAAGGUAUGCACAACUUUUCAUGUGUAUUGUCAAAUGUUGAGUAGAAGUUGGUUAAUUUUUUCAAUUUAUCAGAGAGAAUGUCUCGUGUGCUCAUCUAAAAAACAGGAUUGACAGAUGUUAUUUUUCGGCACUUCUAGUGCUGGCAGUGGACUAUUGGUGUCACAUUUAGGCAACUAUCAAAAUGUUUGGUAACUCAAUAUAUUGUUUAUGUUAAGGACAAUAAUUAAAAGAGCGAUGAUGCAGUCAAUUGGUUGUGUCAUCCAUGAAUAUGUAUAUGGCUGGAACUCAGGAAUUGUACAUAUAUAUGGAUUUUUCCUUUGACUAUGUAAAAAAAAUUUUCAAUAAAGAAAAUCCACCUAUACCCUUAUAUGGCGCACGGUAUGAUGAUGAUUAUGAAUAGAUUGGUCUAGCGAAGUAUCUUAGACAAACUUUGCUGUUGACACUAGUGCAAAAUGGAGAAAACUGAGAUAUUUGUUACUCCUUUCGCUUUUCGUGUUCAAUUUGGUCGAUAUGAGUUCUUGGAGUAAUGAUGUUUUUAUUUAGCUCAUCUUAUUGGGCUGGUCCCAAUUCUGCUGCCAAAUAUCAGUUUACUUCCCUUUUUUCCAUGAGUUUUUUUUUAUUGUACCAUAUCCCAGGUGCUGAAUCAAAACUGUCAUUCUUUUACUUGGCCUACAUAGACGUGUUUAUGGCUCUGUUGUACUUCAUUUAUUUUGAUGCCAGUUGAAGUUCUCCAGAUAAUCAGCAUUUUGCACUUUUACUUUUUUUCUCAAUAUCGCAACAACUUGGCUGAUUUCUCUUGUAUUGGCCAUCUGUUUUGUUUAACAAAUCCUUUGUUCAUACCUUCUUAUUUCUCCCUCAGGUCAUUUUGUACAAAAGUUUAAUAUUAGAGUCUAGCUUGCUUAUAGCUGACUAAGUACUUAUUUCUGAUUUCCAUCAAAGAGCUCUAAAUACAGCUUAGAUGCACUUCUAAACCUUUUGCUUUGGCUUUUACAUUAUUUAUAGUAAUAUGUUUCUAUAUUGAGGUGAUUGGCAUUGCCCAAAAAUAAAAAUAAUAGAUGCCUUGGUUUUUUAUGCGGCUGAUAACCUUUCCAUCUCCUAGUACUGAAAUUUUAUGCUACCAUCUUUAAGGGGAAAAGAUGAUGAAAUAUAUCUUGAGGAUGAGCAUGUUUUGACGCAGGAAUUCACUAAUACUGAUCAUUGGGACAAAGGGAAAAGGUUGAAAAAUCUUUACGGUUUAGUUUUGAAAACCAGCAAACUUUGGUUAUUAUUGAAGAUAGGACCGUUUGCAUCUAUCUCACAUACUAGUUUUCAGUGUUUUCUUGUACUUUGUGGAACCAUCAAGUCCGGUGGAUAAGUAUGACGAGAAGUACCGAGAUAUUUUUAUGUUAUAGGGAGGGUCUUAUUGACUUUUGAAACAUACAAAUUGGAUAGCGACAAGGGUGCUGACUGUAACCCAUUUGAUUUGAUUCCUAUUCCAUUUCUCACUCCCUCCUCAGGGGAGUUUGUUGUUUCUUCUCAUGGAGUGCCGUAUGCUUUUCAUGGAUAAUGAUGCCUUUUAUCAUUCAUUAUAAGGGAAAAUAAUACUACUCCAUGUAAUGUGCCCAGACGGUGUUGUCAUUUUCCAACGGAUAACUUAGCUUGGGAGAACCAAUAAAUGAAAUAUAGACAGGCAUUUGCAUUUCCUUUGGUUCUUGGUUUUUUUUGUUAUGAAAAGCAUGCAUGGUGUUAUUAAAAAUCCUAUGAAAAGCAUGAUUGAUUGAGUUUGCUCUUCCUCCCAAAGGCAAACUCGAAUUGCUUGUUAAUAGUCACACCCAAAGGCGGUCACCUAGGAUGGGUAGCUGGUGGUGAAGCUCCCAGAGGGGCGCCUUGGACUGAUCCCCCGGUGAUGGAAUUUCUUGAACAUCUGGAGCGUGUUGCUGCUUGCUCGAGCGUCGGAUCGGGUGGCCUGCAAAACCUCCAACAUGUUGAGGCAUCCCUUUAUUGAUCUCUCGAGAAAUUACAAAGAACGGGUACGCUACCGUCCAGGACGUCAGAUCGGUUUCACCCGUUCAUUGUAUUGUGUUGGAAUCGUUGAUUCAUUUCAUUCAUUAUAUGCAUUUAUGGAUGUUACCUCAAGAUGAAGGAUGUGAAAAAAUGUAAUGGAGAUCUCAUGCAAAUAUGUAUAUCAUUUCCGACGAGUCUAUCGCUCGCUGACGUCUGACGUCUGACGUGUGCGCGCGCGUAAUGUUGUUUUUUUAUUUUUUAUUUUUUUAUGACAACAGUCAAAACUUGAUGAGUAGUACUACUACUAUCUCAAAACAAAAAAUUGCGAUCCCAUUUCCAUCUGUUUUAUCCGCCUCUUCACUCUUCUUCAAAAUGAUGAUAAUCUGGCACCAGUGGGUGCGUGCGUGUCUCUGACCACUCAGCAGGGCAGAUUUGAUAAUUUUCCAUCUUAUCUUAAUAAUAAUAAUAAUAACAACAUAGGGAUGGGAAAUAGGUUCGAAACAGCAUUAACGUUUGGAGAUUCUUCAUGUGGCAAAGCCUUGAAGCAAUGGUGCUGUUACCGUGGCUGCCAAAACUGGAACCACGCACAUAUCAGCAUCACUAUCCAUAUGAUAUCCAUCCAGGUGGAGAUUUCAAACUUGGACGAUUUAAUGUAUGUGGCCCGAUAUCCCAGCUAAGUUCCCUUCCCUGGGGUUUCAGUUCAUGAUUUUCUGCCAUCCGAAGACUAAACAACAACCAUCCAUCAUCCAUGAGCAGGGUUCCUUGCAAUUUGGAGGAAUGCUCGUCUCUCUCAGUUGACUUUGUGUUGUCGUUGACUCCUGAUCGUUGCCGGCUCUUGCAGUACUAUAUACUCCUGGUACGUGUUUAAAGCAUGGCAAUCCAACGCAUAACCCUUACCCUUAUCUUAGCCAAAACUUGCGUGCGGUCGAAUGUUGCAAGUUCCCAGCAGAGAUGCCUUCUCCUAAGUUUUCUUGGCAUCAAUCAUUAUCCUUUUUCUUUUUCUUUUUCUUUUUUUUUUUUGGAGUGGAAGCUGAGUCCAACCGUGAAAAUUUUUUUCCGCCAUUGAAAAGUCCAACCACACUGUUGGAGCAAUAAUAAUAAUUUAGAUACCAAAUAAGUAGCAAGCAGUAACACUACAAAUUUCCUUUCAAAGGAAAUGCAGAAGUGGUUAAAAGUCGUUGGUGAGUUGUAAAAGGUAAUAGUCUUGGUGUUUCCUCUUCUAGUUUUCUCAAUUCCACAUCGAUUGUGAGUGGUGUGUAUGCGUAGAACUUAAGUUCCUCGGUGUGGCCUGAAAGUCAACAUGCUUUUUGGGUUUAACUGUGGGUUUGACUUAAAUUCUGGAUGUGUGUGUUAUUUGCGGUUGGUUGAGAAUAAUACUACAAAUUAUCCAAAGUUCUCAAUACCGCCCUUUUGCUCUGCCAUAAAUCAUCAUAUUACCCUAUGACUUAACCUAAAACUAAAAGCAAAAGAGAAAAGCAAAAAACAGAAGCGGAAAUACGGCGGGUAGCGGAUAAAAACUAAAAAGGGGUAGCAAAGCAAUCAAUAUUAAUUAAUAAGAGCGAGCCUAAUAUUCAUUCAUUCAUGUCGUCAUCCAUAUGAAGCAGUACAGGUUUUCUUCGAGUCUCAGAUAAUCAAUCACGUGGAAAACAAAUCCUACAAACCUAACCUAACAAACAUAACAUGUGACCUAAAAAUGUUUCUUUAUCUGAAGAAAUCAUUUCUAAAGGAAUGCCAUUGAAGAUGAGGAUGGGACCGACAAGCUCCGUUCCAAAUUCUGUGAGUAGGAAGAAACACAAAACACGCACGAUGACGUCUGGAUUCAUGUGGUGGGACAAGCACUAUGCGUUCAUCUGAACAAAUUUACUGUACUACCCUUCUGGCGUACUACACACGCACACCAUCUCUCUCUCUCUCUCUAAAGGCUUAGGCAUAUAAUAAUACUCCUAUAUCGCAUGGCAUGAUGUGACUGUGAAUCAUCUCAGAACCACAUCCGCAUCAUCCUAAACAGUACACCAAGAUGAUCAUGGUUCUUUUUUUUUUUUAUUUUAUUAACAAAUUUUAUUUCAUAGUAGUAUAAGUCGUUGGCCCUUUCUAAAUACAAAAAAUAGAAAAGGCGUCUGAUACCGUAGUAGCAGUAUUAAGUUUUUUUUUUUUUUUCUAAUCUUUAAUAAAAAUUUCAAUGUUGUAAGAAAUACUGUCCCUGCUAUAGUUCUGUCCUGAUCCUGAUAGCGAGCUUCAGAUCUCCGCAUGCAAAACGAGAAAUGUAUGUCUUGAAGGGGCAAUGAUACAAAAUCGGUCGCUCCUGUUUCUGAUUUAACAAAUGUGAUUUCUUAUAAUUUCCAUAAAAGUCGAUAUUUUUUUUUCUUUUGAAGGAAGCUUAAUGAAAGGAAAUUAUAACGACAACAUAAGCCGAUUGUAUGACCGUAAAGCAUUAAACUUUUAGAUCAUGCAAUGCAUUAAUGUAGUAGUAAGCACCGGUACCAGGCCCGUUUGCCCUGGCUACCAUUCUACGCUAGGCACCCAUUACAAAACCCUUCAUUAUUGUUGUAAAUUCCUCAACAGCGCCGUCAUCGGUGAAUGAAGAUAAUUGCCUAAUGCUAAAUGGGAGACUACUGAAUAUCCCAAGAAGGAAAUGUUCCGUUUUAGCGAGAUUGAAAAAUAUUUUUAGAAUAAGGAAAAAUAGUUAGUGAGAUUGAGGAUUGUCCGAGAUUGCAUCCCAUCCCUUUGACCCACGCACAAAUGCUGGAAAGGUCCCAAAUGGGAAAUACUACUGACAUUUAAUUCUUCAACUUGGACUCCCGAAAUACUUGGAUUGCAGGUGUACGUAGCUGUGCAAAAGUUCUCUCCGUUUUUCUUCUUUCUAAUUAAUAAAAAAAAACUAACAAGUAAUUUCCUGAAGUAGGAAGAUUAUUAGCUUUUUUCUUGGCUACCGAACGUAAACAAGCAAGCAGCAUUGAAACCUGAAAGUGAGGAAGCGCAGGACGUCACGUACGUUGGAAGAUGUGAAAAAAAAAUUUGGUGGAUUACUGGAUUUGUGGGGACUAAAUAAACAGCCCUUGAAAUGUAGUAAGAGAUUUUCUUUUAACUUUUUUUUCGGUGAGAAUGAAGAAUUACAAGCUUUUAGCAGCUAAUUUAACUAAUACGACUUUGUUCCUCUUCAACAAGCCACCAAAAUUGAUGGAGUGAGAGAUCUAGGAUCAAAUCCUGCCGUCGGUCACAAAACAAAACGUGGCAAGCCAAAAAAAAGACUUUGUUCCUCUUCAAGUCAAAUAAAAAAAAAAAAAAAAAGAAGCUUAGCAGACUUGAAAUAUACGACCAGAUUCACCGAACCAGUCCUGCUAUGGUAAUUAAAAUUAGUACAUAUUUUCCAACUCAAAGGAGGCAAUACUCCUCAGUGGCAAGUUAAGCCUUUUUUGGAGUAGUACUAUUUUCUUAUAUCUGGUUCAGCCUUCCUCCUCUCUAGUCUCUCUGUACAUCAUCUAUAAAUUAACAACGCAGCAGCUGAGUCGAAAAUUCGUCCUCGCCUCUUCCUUCUCAAAUUCCUCUUCCAAAUUUAUCCUCUACUUUUCCCCUUCGCUAUCAAUUAGUACCAAUUACUAAUAUUCAUUCAAUUAGUAAAAUUUGAACCAACAAAAAAAAAAGGAACUUGUUGUGUAAUCACUCGCCUCGCGACAAAUGGCCGAAACUGGGAUCAAUCGCAGCAACGUAGUCACGCCAACCAGAAAAAGGUCCGGCUCCGACGAGAAUUGGGACCGCGAUGACUUGGUUGUGGCCAAGAAACAAAUGAAGCCCCUCACCCUCCGGCCCGAUCAGAUUCAGGACCCUGCCUCCGCUCUGGCCAAUGCCCGUCACGAGUUCGGCGAGCAUGGCGGCGUUAACAUGUCCAUCGAGGCCUCCGCCACCUUCACCGUCAUGGAGCCCGAGACCAUGCGCCGGAUGUUUUCCGGCGAGCUCGGCCCCGACCGUGACUUCUUCAUCUACAGCCGCCACUUCAACCCGACGGUGCUCAACCUGAGCCGCCAGAUGGCCGCCCUGGAGGGAACGGAGGCAGCCUACUGCACGGCGUCGGGGAUGUCGGCCAUCUCGUCCGUGCUGCUGCAACUGUGCAGCUCCGGGGGGCACGUGGUGGCCUCCAGGACCCUCUACGGGGGCACCUACGCCCUCCUGUCCCAUUUCAUGCCGAGGGCGUGCAACAUCACGACGUCGUUCGUGGACAUCAGGGACCACCUGGCGGUGAAGGAAGCCAUUGUGGAGGGGAGGACCAAGGUGCUGUACUUUGAGUCGAUCUCGAACCCCGCGCUGAAGGUGGCGAACGUGCCGGAGCUGUGCCGGAUAGCGCAUGACAAGGGGGUGACGGUCGUGGUGGACAACACUUUCGCACCCAUGGUAAUGUCGCCCGGGAGGUUGGGUGCUGAUGUGGUGGUUCACAGUAUCUCCAAGUUCAUAAGUGGCGGCGCCGACAUCAUUGCAGGUACAUCACUAUGCUUUUGUUGUUUCUUUUCUUGUGAAUCAUCCUCGUCUUCCCUCUUACUGAUAGCACCGUUUUGUAACCAACCAACCUAGUAGUAGUACGGCUGUCCGUCUGGGAAUCUUCGGCGGUGUUGUGUUCCAGGCUUCUUCUAGCCCUCUAGCCGUCUUCUAGCCUUCUAGUUCUAUUUUGGGUAAAACUUGAAAGGGCUGCUGCUGUUAAAGUGUUUAACGCCACAGUCUAAUUUUUAAUUUCAGAGUCAUUUUUGCACAAAAGCAACUUUUGGUCUCAGCCGCCAGGAUGGGGGCUUUUAAGUUCCACUGGAUUUUUUUUUUUUUUUUUUAACUUUAAAAAAGAAGAAGAAGAAGAUAAGAACAGAUUUCUCCGAUUCCCCACCGCGGGAAUCCUCUGUUAGUAAUUCGAUGUCCGCACAUUAGCCAAUUAUUCAUGACGUCAAAGUGCUUCAAUAAUAUAUCAAGAGGCGAGAUUCUUUGGGGUCAAAGAUUGGUUUGAUUAUGGAACCUAGCGGAUAAGAUGUUUGUCGAAUCCACACGAGUUGGGCUCAGUACGAGAAUGAGACAAUAGAUGGUCCAUUCCAUUCCUGAAUGUGGGGGCUGGGGUCUUGUCACACGCAGUGCGGAGCUAAGACCCCAUAUUAGGGGGGGGGGGGGCAAAUUUCAAUACAAUAACACUCUUUUAAAAAAUAAAAAAUUAAAAUUAUUACCAUUAUACACAGAUUAAAAUUAAAACAUACGAGUUUUCAUUUUUUUAAAACGUUGCAAUUCAGUUUAUUAUCAAUUUUGUUAAAUACUACAUCUUUUUCAAUAUAAUUAAAUGAAUCUCUUGAUUUUUUUUAACAAUAAUUUGUGAAUCACCAUCAACUUGAUUUUCUUUUAAAUAAUUUAUUUUAGUUCUUUUUCUUUCUUUUUAGUACCACUUCAAGUUACCACCAGCAAGUAUUUGACAAAAAAAAAAGUUACCGCCAGCAAGCUUCUGAGUUGGUUUGGUUUCUUUUAUGGCAACGUGUGAUGUGGCAUCAAAAUAUCACACACUGUAGCUGUAGAGCGACCGGCGGCGGCAACAACUGUAGCUGUAGAACGCCUUUAAUUUCAUUUGCCUUUGAGGCAGCGGCAACAACAAUCAAUAAGAAUAAUAAUAAUAGUAGUAACAAACAAAGACGUCAAGUGUAAUGUUCUUCAAGUUUAUCUCAUCCACACGUACCCUCCAUGGUACAUCAGACCUCUCUUAAAUGCUUUGCGGCUUUUAAUUAGGGUGCCCGUUCAAGAUCAGAGCUUUAUCUUUUUCACCAUGCAGGAUUUUAUUAAACAAAACUCUGGAUUCUGGUGUAGAAUCGAUUCCACUUUUGGACUGCUCAGCUUGUCAAAAAGCCUCUUCUCCUGCAGUGAACCCGACUUAAUUUGGCAAACAUACUGAAAAUAAUAAGUAAUAAUACUAAUAAUAAACACUGCGUGUAUAGAUAUAGAUAUAAAUAUAGAAUUUUGCUCCUCCGGUAUCUUGCUAUGAUCGUGACUUAUUAUUAUGUUCGUGUGGGUUUUCCUAAGUAAGCUCCAUUAUGAUUUAAGGAUGGCAAAUGUCGGGGUUACAAUUUGCAGGUGCUGUGUGCGGUCCAGCGAGCCUGGUGAACUCCAUGAUGGAUCUGCAACAAGGUGCUCUGAUGCUGCUUGGUCCAACAAUGAAUCCCAAGGUGGCUUUUGAACUUUCAGAGAGGCUUCCCCACCUCGGCUUGAGGAUCAAGGAGCACUGCCACCGGGCUCUGACCUACGCUACCCGCAUGAAGAAACUGGGCUUCAAAGUCAUCUACCCUGGACUCGAUGAUCAUCCUGAUCAUUCCACCUUGAAAUCUUUGGCCAACAAGGACUACGGCUUCGGGGGCAUCCUCUGCGUGGACAUGGAAACUGAGGAGAGGGCUAACCGUUUCAUGAAUCUUCUGCAGAACUACACUCAGUUUGGGUUCAUGGCUGUCAGUUUGGGCUACUAUGAGACCUUAAUGUCCAUCUCCGGAAGCAGCACCAGCAGCGAGAUGAACGCCCAAGAGAAGGCGUUGGCUGGCAUUUCGCCCGGAUUGGUUAGGAUGUCGAUUGGCUAUAGUGGAACGCUGGAGCAGAAAUGGAGCCAGCUUGAGAAGGCCCUUUCCAGAAUGCAAGACACCAAUUUGUUCCAAAAGCAUUAAAAAAAACAAGAAGAAGACCACGCAUAUCUUCUGUCUCGCUACUACUACUACUUUUUCAGUGGUUGCUGGUGUUUUUUAUGUAAAACCGUGAACGUUCACAUACAAGUACAUUAUGUUGCUGCUCCCUUUUUGGGUAAUACAAUCGUGUCUAUGACCUCUACUCUGCUGGACCCCACUUAGUUUUGGUAAUUCUUAACCUUGUGUAUUUUCUCAAGCCCUCAAUUUUUUCGAUUUUUGCACAUUGAAGGUUAUUAUAUGUUUCUAUUCUUUAACAUUUCGACUAAUGUUUUCUCCUACAACCAAAAGAAGAAUGCCAACAAUAAUAACAAACGAAUGUCGACUACUGUCCUGCCCUUUUGAGGCCACAUUGGAUUCUCAUUAAACCCCCUAUAGUUUAAACAUCCAUACAUAACUCUCUCAUAAUUUGGAUUAAAUUGUCACAACUAAUUUUUUAAUUAAAAUUAGCGGUCAAUAGUAAAAAAUCAAAGUUGAACUAAUAAAUUGAUAAAUCACUCUUUCACUCCUUUUUUCCUUUUAUCUCUCUCUUUUUUAAAGAUGAUUUUUGAAAACCUACCUAUACCUUGGCCUACAUAAUAUAAUAUUAAUUUUCUCCAAAUACAAAUGAGAUGGAAGGAAAAUAAAAAUAAAUGAAUAAGAAACAAAACAGAUGGAAAGAAAAUAUAGAACAAAUAACUAAGGAACAAAAAGUACCAAAUAUUUUUUGACUACAAAUAUCAUUAUAGGUUUUUAAACUAAAUCUUUAAUGAUAUUUUCUAUUGCUUAUUUGUCUAUUUUUUAUUUCAAUUCUUGUUUUUAUGUUUGGAGGAAAAAAGUAAUGAAAGGGUAUAUUUAUAAAUUUAUAAAUUUAAUUUUGACUUUUUACUAUUAAUCGCUAAUUUUAAUGAAAAAACUAUCAUUAACACAUUAAUCCAAAUCACAUGGGAGUUAUAUAUGGGUUUUAAAAUCAUAAAGCAGUUGUGUAAUAAAACACCAAACCACUAGAGGGUAAAAGGUAAUUUACCCUUAAAUACAUUACUUGAGCACUAUUGAAAUUUAAAAUUUCUUACCGCAAAGCAAGAAGUCUUCAAAUCUUCAAAUUUCUUAUCCCAUUCGAUAGGAGUAAUACAAAAACCUACUACGAACCAUGCGAUCGAAUGGAGCUUUGGACCAAUAACUGACUCUCUAAACUCUCGAACGAGGAUUCACCAAAUUUCGAGGGGGUCAUGCCAAAUACGAGUCUAUCUUAUGGUCCUCUAUUUAGUGUUAAUUUCAUUUUAUCCCCUCAAACUAUACACGAAUUCUCAUUUCAAUUUUUGAACUUCAAAAUGGGACACUUAAAUCCCUAAACUACUAAAUGUGUUACAAUUAAGUAACAUCAGUGAUGGAAUAAAAAACUUGAUGGUUGUGUAAGUGUUAAUUUCAUCUUUUGUAAGUGUUAUAAACCAAAAAAUAGGACAUAAAAAUAAUUUCAUCCUUGUCUUUUCUUUUUUGUCUUUUCCUUCUUCAUCCUUCCUUUUCUGGCCAAUAUCAAGAAAAAGGGUGGAGUUCAGUAAUUCAGUGAAAGGAAUCCAACCAAGUGAUGCAGUAGACAACCUCCUUUCCCUUCCCCCAAUAAUUGUCAUUGGCUCUCAAGUUUUUUCUUCCCUAAGUAGCAUCAUCACCAAUAGCAAUAGCUUCUUCAUCGAAUCCAAAGUGUUGCCGAAGUUUGACCCGACCCAAGUGGUGGAAGUGUUUGUUCGGAUUAUUGGCGGCGAAGUUAAAGUAGCGAGUUCACUCGCUUCCAAAAUCGGCUCGCUCAGUUUCUUCCCAAAGAAAAGAAACUUCAAGGGAGGUGUUGGGAAGGGAGAUGUUAGGGAGUGAUAGUGGUGGAAGAUGGGGUGGUAGAGGAGGGGAUGCGACUAGGGAGGAUGGGAAAGAAGAAGAAUAUGGGAAAAAAUAAAGGAAAAUGGAAGGAUGAAGAAGAAGGAAUUAAAAAGAAAGGUAAAAUUAUCUUAUGUCCCUAUUCUUUUGGUUUAUAAUAGUUACACAAUGACACUAAUUGAGCGUGCUCUCCACACUUCUAAUACAUCAUUAAUUUUUUGAAUUUUGUCACUGAUUUUACUUAGUCGAAACACAUUUUGUAAUUUAGAGAUUUAAGUGUUUUAUUCUAAAGUUCAGAAACUGAAGUGGGACUCCGUAUAUAGUUUGAGGGGACAAAAUGGAAUUAACAUCUCUAUUUAACCUAAAAAAAGGAAAGAAAAGGCAAGUGAAAUUUGCACAUCAAUCUAAUUUUUUUAUUACAUGAAGGUAGGAGCAGAGUAUCAAAGAAUUAAUUUGCAAUGCAAAUAUUAUUUGUCAAAAAAUAAAUAAAUGAGCCACAGAAUUUUGAUAGCAUUUCUUCAAACAUGAGCCAUAGAAUUUUGGACAGGGGUAAAAGUGGAAACAGAGAGCUGGAGUGAGAUAUGAGUACAUCUUGAUGGGCUAUAGACAUCUUGAUGGGCUAAUGGGCUGUGUAAAGCAUACUCCUAGAAAUUAGUAGCAGUGUGCUAGAAGUACCUGUUGAUUUGGGCUUGACAUCUCGAAAGUAACCCUAGCUAUAAAAGGUGGGGGAGGAAGAGGGAGAGAGCAAAGGAGGAAGACAGCGGAGGAAGAUGCAGAUAUUCGUGAAGACCCUGACAGGGAAAACCAUAACUCUAGAGGUUGAGUCGAGUGAUACCAUCGACAAUGUGAAGGCCAAAAUCCAAGACAAGGAAGGAAUCCCCCCCGACCAGCAGAGGUUGAUCUUUGCUGGAAAGCAGUUGGAGGACGGCCGCACUCUUGCCGAUUACAAUAUCCAGAAAGGUUCCUCCUCCUCCUCUUAUUUUACUUUUCAUCUUUAUUAUUACUUUUUUUUCCUUUCUAAGUCCUGAACUGAUGGUGUUCUACCUAAAUAAGUGAUUUUACUACUUAAAAAAAAAAGAAAAGAAAAAGAGUGUGUGUGAUUUGGAAUUUUAUUUUUGUCAUUUUGGCAGAAUCAACGCUGCAUCUGGUGCUGAGGCUUCGUGGUGGAAUCAUUGAACCGUCUUUGAUGGCUUUGGCUAGGAAGUACAAUCAGGACAAGAUGAUUUGCCGCAAGUAAAUUUUCUUUUCGCAUUUACAGUUUUCUUUUUGCAUUAUCAAGUUCGGUGUAGAUAUCUCAAUUUUGGAUAUUUCUGUUAUGCACCGCACAACUAAGUGAUGGAAUAUUGCUUAACUGUGUUUUUAUUAGCUUGUGCUUGUGUAAUCAUUCAUUAAAAUUGGGAAACUAAUUUUUGUUGAAUUGCCCUAAUAUUUGUUUAGAUCAGUUUGAUCGUUUUGCCUCUGUGGAUAAAGCAUUUCAUUUUCGUGUUCCUUUUCCCUCUGGUAGCUAGAACUGCCAAGCUCAGAAGCUUUUGUUAAUCUUAUUUGAGGGCUCAGGCUGUUGGAAAUACCUUCCUCCUCAUCUAGUCUAUCUUGUCACAAUAUCAUGCUUUUAAACUACACAUGCUCUGAAUUGCACCUAAUUAGUUAAACUGCCCCUACUGUGUCGGAGAAUGGCCCAAAUAACCGUUUGCUUUAAGCUUGGACUCAAAUGUUGAUCAUGCUAGGAUGCUUGGUAAAUUUUGCCAAACGGUGAGAAUUUGACAGUCAUCUUUUUUUUUUUGAGAUCUCGAGUAGCAAGUGCUGAGCAAUUUUUUCCCAAUGUAAUGUCAAUGAGGCAUAGGUGAGAAGAUCAGUUUGAUGUGUGGGUGCUUGUGUUUUCGGAGUUUAUUUCUACUGGAGAAGAAUGCAGGAUGGUCUUAUCAUAAUGUGGACUACUAAUUCAUUACAAGUUCACAUAGUUGUUUAUUUUGCCUUUGUUCUGUCUUUUCUCAUCGGGUUUUUAUUUGAUCUGGAAAAAGAUUUUAAGUGUUUGUUUCUUAUUUUUCCUUCAUCAAGAUUACUUUGGAGCAUAUACAGAAGUGUAUUUAAUCGUCAUGAGCAUAUUUAUUGUCAUGACCUGAGGCAAUAGGAGCUUGCCUGAGUCUUGAAGUACCCGCUUCAGGCAUGUAGUUGAGAAUUGAACUUAAGAUGGCGAUCUAUUUGAUAUCUCUGUAUGUUUCACUGAUCUGAGUUGUGUGUCUGCGAUCCCGUGCGUUCCCAACAAACCUUUAGUGGAGCAGUGACAUUAUUGAUCGGAAUUCUUCUCUAGGUGUUAUGCACGGCUGCAUCCUCGUGCUGUGAACUGUAGGAAGAAGAAGUGCGGGCACAGCAACCAGGUCAGUGUAUCAUACGACACGUGUGCUAACAUGACGAUUUUCCUAGAAUCAUUUAUCUUGCUUACUAUUGCAAACACGCUGAUUCUGUUUCUUUAAAUUUGUUGCAGUUGAGGCCAAAGAAGAAGAUCAAGUAGAGGGAUAUAUAUACCUAUGAAUGUCCAUCAAGCAUGUUUCUAUGAAGGCUCUCAGAGCUCAAGAAGUUUUUGAAUGUUCUGUUCAAUUUUUUUUUUUUUAAAUGUUGUGACAAUUGUUGUGAACACCUUCAUUCAUACUUGGAGAUUGUUGCGACUCAAAUUAUCGCUUGGUGGAUGAAUUUUAUUUUAAUGGUUUAAGGAUUUUUACCAUUUCAGUCUGAAGUUUGUGCCUGCGUUUCAUUUAAACCUAUUAACUAUUUACCGUUUUCACAAAACUCUCUUUCCUGAGAGAGAAUUGAUUGAAUUACCUAAAACUUGGACGUGCUUUUUCCCAAGGAGAAAAGUAGCCAUAUUGCAUGGAAACUAGUAGGAAUGGUUUGUCAGUGCGGAACACAUUCGAAUGAGAGAGCAAAAUAUGGCAAAGUAGCAAAUAUUAAUUGAGAGUUUUAUGUACUACUUAAUUGAUUAUCAACAAACGAAAGAAGGAUCCCAAUUCGCUCUGAGUCGUGGAGUUGAGGGUAUGUCAAAAUUGAAUAAUGGAAUGGCAGAUGCUCAUUGGAUCCAAAUCCAAUGAUGAGUCACUGCUGCUACUCAUAGCAGAAUCGCAACUCUGCCGUAUAGACAAAAGAAAUGAGACGGAGGAGGCGGAGGCAUUACGUAAACCGUAAACAAAGGACUAAAAAGAAGGCACCGCAUCCCUUUUGGGCAUUUUGCUGAGAAAAGUCGUACUAGUAUUAUUACUAAUACUACUAGAAGGACCUCAACGUUAUUUUAUUUCUCCUCCGGGAAUCGAUCGGGUGAGAAGAAGGAAGAUGGAGUCAUCGCAGAACACAGUCGUGGGAACCCCCCCAGUUAGCGGCGGAGGCAACGGCAUGACAAUCUCUCAGUCCAACGACGCCUCACCGGUGGAAUCCACCGCCAUGAAUGCCUCCACCCCUAACCCCAUCGACGACCCUAAGCACAACCUUACCCAAGUCAUCAACUCUGUUCAGAAAACCCUAGGAAUUCUCCACCAGCUGUACCUCACUGUCUCCUCCUUCAACGUCGCCUCCCAGCUCCCCCUCCUCCAACGCCUGUACCGUCCUCUUUCCUCCUCCUUCAUUAUUCCUCAGCGUCUAUCAAUUUUCAAUAGCUUUUGACUCUGCACUCCAAAUUCUUUUCUUAGCUUUUUUUUUCCCCUCCCGCACAGAAAUAAUCUGGUUUUGGAGCUGGAUAAUAUGUCGAAAUUAGCUGAGAAGUGCAACAUUCAGGUCCCUAUGGAGGUUCUCAAGUAACUGCUUUCUCUCUUUUUCCUUCCCCUUUCAAUUUAUGUUCUAUCAAAUCCCAAUCUUGGAAUCAUUGGUUGGAGUAUGCAGCUUGAUUGAUGAUGGGAAGAAUCCGGAUGAGUUCACCAAGGAUGUUAUCAAUAAUUGCAUUGCUAAGAAUCAGAUAACCAAAGGCAAAACUGACGCCUUCAAGGUUUCUUUUCUCUUUAAUCCCCCUAACCUACUAUUUUAUUUCAAGUUUUUCUUGGUCUUAGUUUGAUUUUAUUGUUUGUUCUACAUUUCCUUUUAUUGUGUGGAGAGUUCCAUUUCGAGGCCUGCCAAGUUUCCAUUUUUAAAGCUUCUUUUCUUGAUAACAUAGCCCCCCCACCCUCCGCUCCCCCCAAAAAAAAAACGAAAACAAAAAAUUACCUGUAACUAUGGCUGCCUGCUCCCGAAAUUAGCUAUCAGCUUCUCAGAUGAAGAAGGCACCUAUUAGAACCAAAAAAACGAAAAAAAAAAAAAGAAGAAAAAGGCACCUAUUGAAUUUCGCAUUUCAAUUACUGCAGUGCUUAUAGCUUAUUCCUGUUGACUAGAAGUAUUUGUUGAUGUGAUGAGAAGCUUUUUUUAGUGCACGAUCAUUUGAUAACAUUCCGUUGGAAUCAUCUUUGGGUGAGAUUCUAUUGCACAGUAAGUUUCUACUGUAAUCUGGAUAAAAUUUUCAAUUAUCAAAACUGGUUUUAGCAAUCAAACGAGGAUAUGAGAUUUCUCUUGACCAUGUACCAGAAGACAUUUGCUGCUUUUCCCUCAUGAUGCUUCACUCGUGUUCUCUUACUCUUUAUCUGAUUUUAGCACUAAUAAGAAUAAUGUUUUACCUGUUUUUGGAUUCAGGGUCUGCGUAGGCAUCUUCUAGAAGAACUUGAACAGGCAUUCCCUGACGAGGUGGAAGCUUACAGGGACGUACGUGCAGGCUCUGCAGCUGUGAGUUAUUAUCUAAGUCUCGGCUUUGCUAGUAUUCUUCAGACAUGUCCAAAGAUGGCUCUGAAAAUAGUUUUGGUCAGCUUUAUAUGUGUUUGUGGUAUAUGUUGGAAGCAUGCGCCCCUGAAUUUUGUAGUUGUGUGCUGCAUCACUGCCAAAGUUUUGUGAAGUUAUUGCCAUGCUGCCUAUGAUAUUAAGGGACCACUAAUUCUUUUAAGUUUAAUUAAUUGUUGUUACAUAGACUAUGCAAGAUUACUAUUAGUGUGAAUUUUGUUCAAGCCAUUUCCAGUUGCAGCUGUGAAUAAUGGUAUUUACACGACGACCUUAAGUGUUUGGAUCUCUUUGGAACUCUAGCUGGGGAUAUUGUUUAAAUCAGUUUUCAUGUUUUCAACAAAAGACUGAGCCCGGGGGAGUGGGAGUGCAAGAUGCCAUGAAAGAGAUGUUGAUAUGUUGAUCGAGUGAAAGAUUUUGUUACUGCAACUAUUUGCAGAGACCUCUGGUGGACAUAACCAGACAAUGACCAUAUACUUCGGAUGUUGAUAGGUGGAGAUACUGUCCGUGUCUAUGUUUCUAGAAAUGUAUUAUAUCUGAAAGACAGUGUUAAUGAUAUAAGCAAAUAGAGUGAUAUUAGCUCUUCACAGGUAUCUCUAAGUCCAGUUGUCGUAUUUGUCUAUGUUAAGCUAUUCUCUUUCUUGAACUGUUUGGCUUUUCUGAAUUCUAGCCAUGCCUGACUUUUUUUUUUCUUUGCUUUUAUUUUUAUUAUUUUUUAAUUUCAAUUGCUUUAGCUGGUUACUAACCUGUUUAAAUGAAAUGUAGGAACUGAAACGAUUUGCGCAAGCACAAAGUAUGCUACCAAAUGGAGAUGUCAAGGUGAAGAGUGAGAUUUAGGAGUGAUGACAGGUUAAUUGGUAUAAAUUUGAUUAGUAUUUAUAAUAUGUACCUGUUUCUGAAUACAAAAAUUUGACAUGGCAAAAUCUCUGUGUUGAAUACUUGGAUCCCUGAAGAAUACCAUAUAAAAAUGCUGCUAUGCCAGAGCUACUUUGAAAUGCUGCUGACUUUAAUUUUAAGGGUUUUGUUUGUCAGCCAUGGGUAUCACAGAAUUAAUGCGCAUAUCUUUAAUUUAGUACACACCAACGGGAAUAAUCUUUGUAAGUGAAACUCAUCAAUUGCAAUUCCUCUACGUCUAGCUCUCUCGGUGGCAAAAUGGUUCCCUACUUUUGAUACUGCACGGGUAGAGAAUUUAGAGAAGCACAAAUUCGAAAAGAGACUUAAGUUUAUGUGAUUACCAUGAAAUUAUGUAUGUUAUCCAACUAAAUAAUUAUGUAUUGAUAAGUAAGGCUUUGAACAACCAUCUUCAAUUGGUGUUGCUAUCUGUUUAUUUGCUUUUCCUGUCCUCCAGGCUUUCUUGUUACAGGUCACUGAUCUGUGUUCUGGCAUAUGUAUGUUGGGUAUUAAUUGCUGGACCUUGAAUAAUCACAUGCUGGUGAAAUUAACGUGGCAACAAGGCCAUAGGAGGUGUCAAAACUUAUUUUUCCUAAAAUGGUUUCUCUUCCAAACAAAACUUUUUGAGUGAACUUUUAGUUUUUUGGGGUCGUGUGUUUCUUCUGAAUGAAAAAGAUACGAAAUGCAACCAAUUAAUUGAUCAUAACGUGAAUGGAAAGGAAGAAGAAGAUGACGUGUGACCAUCUACUGGGGAAGUAUCUUCUAGGAUUCAAAAAUUUUCCCCGCCUCAAAACCAAACAAAACAUUACGAUGCAGGAUUUGUGUCUCGUAUCAUAUUAUUGGCUAUCGGGUGGACUAUAAAUACAUCUACAAUGCGCUUAGAAAAUUGGAUCUGCAUGGCAACUAGGAAAUUAAGCUCUAAGGAGAAUGCAGUGCAUAAAAUCUACUGGGAUCAGCCGCAUGAUCAGGGUAUGACAAGAAUCUUCUGCCUACGAACGUCUGUUGAGGGGAAGGUGUAGUUGUCCUCAGGAGCAUCAGUGGCAUCCAGCUUACACCUGACUCCUCCGAGUGUGUCAGGGAAUAGAAGAGCCAUCCAAAUUGUCAUGCCAAAGACCAGAACGCCUGAAUGUACGGUGGAUGCUUGCAUUCGUUGCCAUUUUCCUGGACAAAGUUCACAACUCCCACAACUGUGAGUUGCAACUUGAAUUAUCUAUAAGAUCAUUGGCCUCGAAGCUGCAUCCAUCCUCUGUUGACGUUAAGGAACCAUCAGCUAACUGUGCCAUGUAAAGAGAAUUAGUUGCUUCUACCAGGUAAUCUGUACUCCUGGUAAAGUUUUCAUCACAGAUUGCACUGCGCUGUUCGUGGCUGCUGCUCGCCUUUAGUAGAAACUCUGUUGUUUGAUCAGCUUCCAGCUCGAUGUCCUCUCUCCCGUAUUCUUCUUUGCCGCUUCUUAUAGUAAGUUGCCUGAGUUUCUGUACCUGUUGAUCAAGGAAAUCUCCUUUACAUGUUCGCUGCUGAAUGAGUAAGAACACAUAAAAAGUUUAUGGAUGAUAUCCAUACCUCAACGUGUAGGGAUUCACUCUCUUUCUUCAGGGACUCAAACUUAGAGGCCAGGUCGUCAUAACUAGCCUUUAGGACGCUGUAGUCUUGCUCAAUUUGCUUUGACUUUGAUCGAGCUCUCUUGUUCUGGAACCAUAUAGCAACCUGGCGAGGCUGGAGGCCAAGCUUGUUAGCUAACUGUUGCUUUACCCGUAACUCCGGCCUCGACUCUGCCUCAAACAUACUCUCCAAGUACCUGAUCUGAUCAUCGUUAAAUCUCCUUUUGCUAAUGGUCUUGCUGGUAGUAGAAGAACCGGACAUGCUGUGCAGCUCUAGCUCUACUACUUCAUCUGCAGGGACGUGUUGUGCAGUCCAAGAUGAUGACGGUAUUGGACAUGCAGGUGGUGCCGUUCCUCUUUGAAACAUUUUUUUCCUACUUAACCAGCGAUCUUGGCUUCAGCUAGAGGAUGGGGGAGGAGCAUGGCUGAUUAAUACUAGUACUAGUAGAAGAAAGAAACAAAGGCAUUGGUGGGGGGUCCAAAAUGGUUCAGAGAGUGGGGGUGGACGAGUGUACCUCAUUGUUUCGUGGGCCUCCGACAGGCAAAGAAAGUGAUAAGAAUGGCAUUAGCUGUCCAGCUGGGCCUUCAUACUUGUCAGUUGCUACUUCAAUCCCGAAUUUCUUGCCAGUCCUUUUUAUUUAUUUGUCUAAUUUUUUCUGGGCUAUACUUAGUGUACAACUUGGCACCCGAGGAUACGGCCACGAGAACAGAAAUUAAAAUUUAAAAAACAAAGGGCGAGAGAGCUGCUUGUGUGGAACCGUCAUCCUAAAACGUGAGAAUAGAAGCACUAAUCAUUGGUUAACUAUUUUGAUAGUGAUAGCUACAGUUGGUUUCCGGGUAGUAUAUUAUUAUUAUUAUAUAUAUAUACUAACCGUUGAUCAAUACUUUUUUUUUUUUUUUUUGGAGAAUCUUUUUUACUACCUGAUAUUCUUCCACCUGCUUUGUUUUUUUGUUUUAAGUCACUCCGUGCGUGAUAUUUAUUCAUACUUUUUUUCAAAAAAAAAAAAAAAAAAAUCUUGGUUCCUUUUUGCUUUUGGGCUCUUUUGUCAGUAGUAUUUUAAAAUGAAGUGUGCUGGUGGAGGCCGAAGGGAAGAAGGAAGGAAUCAUGUUAUGUAAGACGGUGAUGAUGUUCGCUUGUGGCUUUCAUGAUUCAAGUGUACGUUCCUCCCUCUGAUCUCAUUAAUCAGCCAAUUUUUUCUUACAUACACGAAUAAGAUUUAUAAUUUUUUGAACAAAUAUUAAGAACAGAAAAACAAUAAUAUUAAUACUCCAUAUUAAGAUUCAGACAUACAACAAAAUAAAUAAUGUGCUGCGGAAAAGAAGUGGAGGGUAGGCGUCAACUUCAAGUGGUUUGACGGGAGUCGCUGUCGUCCGACCAAAGCUUGCCACGUCUAAAAGAAGCGCCAGAGAUGAUGCACUAAUGGUAUAAGAGAAGCUAUCUUGCAGUGAGGCGUACAGUAGUCUUUGAUUUCGUACUUAAACGUAUGAUUAUAAUAAUGAUUCUUUGGCUGUGGGGAAAGCCAACGAUGUGUUGCCUCGUGGCUCCAGUGUGCUCUUUUGUUUAAGUAAACACGUAAUUCUACGUGGUCUUGUCCUUCUGGAAUUUUUCAGUUUUUGUUGCCAGAUGGCUUCUGGUUUUAGGCGGCUACGUCAAAGAGGAGUUGAAAAAAACAAAAAAAAAAUUUUUUUUUUUUUGGGUGGUUUUUCUUUGCUCUCUUUUGAAAAGUGAGUACUUUUUAUGUACAGAAGAAAGAAAGAGAAAUAGGAAUGCAAUAAGAGAGAGUCUCUGUUGCGGUUGAAAUAAAUUAUUGUGAAUUGCAAAGGUAAAAAGGCCCUAGUCAUCAGAUCAGUAUCAUCACAACCGCCGUACAACUUUUAGUGCUUCCCAUCAUAUCAUAAAUAAAUAAAUAAAUAAAAAACACACACACACACACACACACACACCAAAGGGAUGGACUAUUGACAAAACCAAAGGGAUGGACGCAUUUGAAGUUCCUCAGCUUCCAACUCUGUAUACUUCCCCAGCUUCUUCUAAGUUAUAGAAGUAGAGUAUUAGAAAUUGAACUUUGUCCUAAUGUACAUGCUGGACUAGGACCGCCUACAAUAAAUCCAAUUGAAACCCUACUUGAUGUGAUUUGGGCUGGAAAGACACCUGUUCCGUAAUUUGAGCCUACCUAGUGUUGAGCCCAAAACCUCCCAGUCUUCACGGGUUCGCGUCCGUCUUGACGGUUGAUUGUGAAUUGGACGGCUCUUUUUCUUCUUUUCUUUUCUCUGUUCUUUUUUUUUUUUAUAAAAAAAAAAAGUUAUUAAUCCCGAGUUUACUAAAGGAAUAUAUAUAUAUUUACAUAUAUAUAUAUAUACAUGGUCUAUGUAGAGUUGGUGUUGGAAGUCGGUUCAUCCAUCUGCUUGCUGUAUAAAACUGAUCGAUCAUCAAACACUACUCUUAGGCUAGGCUCGGUUAAUUAAUUGAACUCUAAAACCACCAAAUUAUACAGAGAAUCUCCGAGACUGAGACCAGCUCCUAACAAUAAUAAAAUGAAUGUUUUCUUUAAUUUCUACCAAAACAUAUGUCCAAAGUCAUGACCCGUAAUUCUAGAUGUCUGUUGUCAAUGUUUGGUUUGGUAGUUUCUAACAUCAAAGACAUCCCAUCCGGGGUUAGGCUAGGCCCCUGGUUUAAAGUUUCUCCUUUGUUUUGUAUGAGAAGAAUCUUCCUCGAAAAUUAAAUUAAAUAUUAGGUAAAUUUUUUUUUUUUUGAAAAAAAAAACACUCUCUAACUUCGGGGGGAGUGAAAAAGCUUUUGCAGAAAAGGGCGCUCACCUUUCCCACUUUUCAACUACUCCCUGCACCUUUUGCUAAGGUUAUUGCAGAAUGAUUAAGCAUCCCAACAACGUACGCACAAAUUAAGUAAGCUUUAACAAUGCCAGCCUAGCUUAGCUAGCAGCUGCGUUUGCUCAAGUUUCAAUUUACUAUAUCAAGGUAUGAUGAAUUUUGGAUAUUAAUUAAGCACGUUCAGAAUUACAUUGGACGCGAAUUGGGAACCACAAGGGCAAAAAGGCAUCUUUAUGAAGAAAACCAAAGCCCAAAAAAAAAAAAAAAAGGGGUGAAUCACACUAGACUAGACUAGAGAGCGACUAGAGCAGUACUAAAAGUCAAGGCAGGGCUGUCCUCAUCUGUUGUUGGGAGGGAUCAAAAAUCAAGGCAGGGCUUUUGGGGUUGUUUGUGGAGUGGGUAGGUCAACCAUAGUCGUGGAGGUCAAAAAGAGGUUGCGGAUCAUUAUUGUUUUCCACAUAUGCCAAGGACAAGCGGUGACUGUGGAUGAUGAAGAUGAAACUCUCCCUCUCUCUCUCUCCUCUUUCUUUUCUUUUUUCCUCUUUCUUAAGUGGAAUUUUAAUUUGGUAACAUGUCCGUUGGAAUCCGGAGGCUAUUUGCUCAUCAUCAUCGGCCUAAGAUGGAGGUAUGUUCAAGUUCAACCACCAAGAAAAAGAAGAAGAAGAUGAUGAUGAUGGGGUAUGAAGGUGGAAGAUACGCACAACCAAAGAAAGAAUGCAAUAACAUAGCACAACGCAGGUUCAUCCGUUGAUCCAUUCCCUAAUAAUAAGUUUCAGGAUUGGAAGCAAUUGGGAAGAAUUGAUAGGUGUGCGUAAUUUUGCAUUUGAAGUAUUCCUUUUCCAUGCAUCACUAAUUAAAAUACUUACUGAAAGUAAAAACAUGGAAAAGUGAGAGGGCUCUAUUAUUAUAUAGUAUAAUACAAGCACAAACGGGGUAAGAGGGGCCGAUCCGUGAUAAUUAGUGAUGAGAAAUCAAAUGGAUCAAAAUCAAGGUACCCCAGUUGUUGAAAUGGCGAUGAGAAGCACCUGAGAUUUUUCGGACAAACGCUGAUCAUUUCUGGCUUUUUCUUCUUUCUUUUUUCUUUUGUUUUUGGGGGAGGGAUCUCAGUCCUUGUGCGUUUGCUGUGUUCGAUGCUACGCUAUGGGGGCCGGGCUAUCCCCCAGCAAGCUUAGAAAAUGUAGUAACGCACUGAUCUAGGGUCCCUAUUUUCAUGUUACACAUAAAUUGCUGGAUUACAAUAUUACCCACAAAAUCUACAGUCCAACAAAAGUGAAAAUUUUGCUGAGUCCCCAUCUAAUCUAGGAAUUUCACCUCGGGAAUCUUCAUGUGUAUAGGCAUAGGAGACUAAGGAGAGUCAAUUUUUUUUUUAAUAAAAUAUCAUAAUUUCAUUAAAAUCUGACUAAGGAAAAUCGAUGUUAGUGGCUUGUUUUGUCCAAUUGCAAAUAGACAAAAUCAUCUUCCCCUUAAUGAAUGAGAUAUGUCAAACACAAUGCAUCACGAGGCAUUGUGAUGCAUCUUUGCGGCAUAUCAACCAAUCUCUCCUUCACGUUAAGGCAGACUCAAUUUGCUUUUGUACCUAUUGUAAAUUAUGUAAGCCUAUUUUCCUUUUUAAGAGUAUAAUUAAUUUAUUACUUUACUAUGAUAUGCACAUAUAUCUAUAUAUAUAUAUGCAACUUCACUAGUCAAUUAUUUAAGUAAGGGCUAUAAAUAUUAUACUAAAAUUAGUAUGAAUUAGUAAUAUAUGAAGAAAGGACGUACUAAAUAAAACAAAAUUGAUUGUAUUGAAUACAUCAACUUGUCCUUCUUACUGUGUGUGUGUGUGUCAAUAGAAAUAGGCCAUCUGUGUGACAAUAAAAAUAAGGAAAAAUCGUUCUAACGUCCUUCAUCUCUUACUUUUAAAAGUGUAAUUUUACAUCAUUUAUAAAUUCACAUUGAUCAAAUUUGAUCUCUACCUAGAUUUUCAAUUAGUUUUUGGUCGGAAUCCACCACGUGCCUUGCACGUGAUCAUUUUUGAAGGACAAAAUUAUCAAAUUAAAUUUUACACAAUCCAAUUCAUAGUUUCUCAUAUUUCAUAAAAUAAAUUUUUUCGUCUCUCACAAUUCACAAAAUGAAUUUUUUUGUCUCUCACAUUUCACAAAAUAAAAUUUUUCAUCCCUCAUCGAUCAUAUGUAUAAAUAAAUUUUUUUAAACCAAUGUAUGAAUCUAUUUGAUUUCACCUGAAUAAUACAAAUAGCAUAUGUACAACUAUAAUUAACUUAUUUAAGCGUAAUCAAAUAGAGAUAUAUUACAUGUUAUUUAUAUUGUUAACGUGAAAUCAAAUAGAUAUAUAUAUAUAUAUAUGGGCAGGGCUGCAAACAAGCCGAGCCGAGUCGAGUUUUAGCCUAAUCGAGUCGAGUCUUGACUUAAUUUUUAGUGAACUCGAACUCAAGCUCGACGAGCCAACAAUUUAAAGCUCGAGCUCGAAAAAAAUAAAAAAUAAUUAUUUUAUUUUUUAAAAAAUAAAUAAAAUAAUAUUUUUUUCUUAAUAAAUAAUAAAAUAUUAAUGAUAUAUAUGUAAUUUUACUAUUAAAAUAAAAAAUAUAUAUAUACUUCAAAUAAAAAAAAUAAAAAUAUAUAUAUACUUAAAAUAAAAUAUAUAUAUAUAUAUAUAUAUAUACUCGAGCUCGCGAGCCGGCUCGCCAGCUAACGAGCUUAAUAUCUUGAGCUUGAGUUCGAGCUUGAUUUCGACUCGAGCCGCUCGCGAGCGGCUCGGUUCGUUUGCAGCCCUAUAUAUGGGUUUAAAAAAAUUGUAAGUUUUCACUGAUGUUCAUUUCUUUUUACUCAAAAAUUGAAAACAAAGAAGAGAUUUAAUCCUAAAUAUUGUCGAGUGUUAUAUCAAAUUAAAUUUGGACAGAAAAAAUAAACAAAGGAAAAGUAUGACAAAAAGAAAUAAGCAAUUAGUAUUUUCAAAUUUUAAAACAAUCACAAAACAAGUAAUUUAACCGUUAGUCUUAAAGGUGGGGAGUAAAAAUUUUAAAUUUAAUCUGUAAUUUGUUAUCAUGACUAUAAAAUUCAAGUUAGAACCAAUUACUUAGAUGGUCUUAUUACACAACUCAAUUAAUGAAUUAUUAUCAAAAGAGAAAAUGUUACAAAUAUUAAACAAGUUCACAUGGUGAAAUCAAAUAGAUAUAUACAUGAGUUUAAAAUAAAAUUGUUAGUUUUAAACCCAUGUAUAUAUCUAUUGAAUAGUAUGUGUACAGUUACCCUAUUUAAGUGAAAUCAAAUAAAAAUAAAUUACAUACUAUUCGUACUAUUCAGCGAAAUCAAAUGGAUAUAUAUGUGAAUUUAAAAAAAAAUUAUUUAUACACGUGGUCAGUGAGGGAUAAAAAUGUGAAAUACGAGGGAUGAAAAAUUUAUUUUGUGAAAUGUGAGAGACAAAAUAAUUCAUUUUAUGAAAUGUGAGAAACUAUGAAUCGGAUUAUAUAAGAUUUGAUUUGAUAAUUUUGUCUCUAAAAAAUAAUCACGUAUAAGGUGCGUGGUGGAUUUUGAUAAAAAACUAGUUAGAAAUAUAGGUAGGGAUCAAAUUUGACUAAUGUGAAUUUGCAAGGGACAUAAAAUUACACUUUUAAAAGUGAAAGAUGAAAUAAAUUAUUUUACAAAAUAUGAGAGACAUUUUGAGCGAUUUUUCCUAAAAAUAAAUCUAUCUUCAUAGGGAUAGAAAGAGUAAUAUAUUACUAUCCUCGAUACAAAAUUAGACUUAAUUAAUUAUCUUUACAAAACAAAGAAAGUACUCCUUUCGUCCUAAAAUUCUAGUCACAUUUUGGGAAUUCAAUUUUUUAUCAAUAGUGAUUUGACGGUAAUGUCUGAAUUUUUUUUCCAAUCUUAUUCUUCAAAAUUCAAAUUUUGAAUUUGAAUAUGACAUAGAUAUAAUUAAAAGUAGGGGCAAUAUUGGAAAAAGAGACCAAAAACGGUUUUGAUUUUUUAAUCAAGACAAAUAUCUUAGAAUAUUUCAAAAUGAUGAGAAGUAGGACAAAAAUUUUGGAUCGAAGGAAACAAAUGAGUGAUAUGCAGUAAUAUAUGGAGUGAUAUAUAUACCUUCAAGGGAGAAAAAUAAGCGAUAUGGCAUGAUUAGGUCAUGAUGAGACUGUAAAAAUUUAUAGUUAUUCUGCUACCGUAUUGCAUGAAGUUAGAAGACAGAAGUGAGAGGGAGGGAGGGAAGGACCAUUAAAUGUUUACUUCUGGAAGCAACCCUGUUGGGUAUUUGUAGGGUCGUGGGUGACUGUUGGUUUGCUUUUAUGACCCUCUUUUCUUCUUCUUUUUUUUUUUCUUUUUAAAAAAAGCAUAAUCUUUUCCUUCCUUCCUUCCCUUCUCCAUCCUUUAUUUAUCAUCUUCUAUCGCUUCACUUUGCUUCUCACACAAACUCCUUAAAGCACCUCCACCUAGUAAUAUAGUCUAUCCUCCUCAUUCACCACAUCUCCUCCGUCUUUCUCCCUGCCUUUUCCCACCGCAACCCCCCCCCCCCACCCCCUAAAAAAACAACAGAAUUAUACAGGCUUUUGAGGCCAAAGGAUAAAAGAUGAUGGGGAAGCUUUUCUCUUUUGAGGGGAAUGUUGUCUGGUGCGAGGCCACCAAUUAGAUCUAUACAGAUUACUCUGCUUCUCUCUCUCUCUCUCUCUCUUACUAGAUCAAUCCCAACAUUGAUCUGACAGCAUUUACAAGAGUUCAUAGAUCUUACUUUAGUGGCGUCGGACCAGGCUUCAUUCCCCCCAAUUGUUGCUUCCGUGCAGUAAAGAUAUUAAUCUUUCUUUGCCAUCUCCGGGAUCAUAUAGCUUAGAUACAGAAGAUCAAGGUAGGUUGCUCAAACCAGCUUUGUGGGUUAUUUUUGUUCGGAUUUAAUCUGUUUUACUUGGUGGGUUUUGGUUAGCAGAUAGAUAGAAUGGGUUGCUGGCGAAGGAGAAGAUUGGUGUAAUGAUGGAAAAAUCUGGCCAUGUCUUUCUACUUUCCGUGUGGAAAGAAAAAGAAAAUGCAGAAUGAGGUAAUUGAGUACCACUCCAUUAUAGCUUAAUCAUUACUACUUAUGUGAUCCGUUUGCUAACAAAGUAGUACUAGUAGGUUCCAUUGGAUGUAGUAUGGGAUUUUGUGGUGCGAUUCUUUUUGUCAGUUAACUCUUUCCUAGUGCCAUCAUUUCUUUGAUGAUGGCUUCAAGAAUCUGCCCUGUCCGUUUCUGUGAUCUAUUAGUAUAUCUGAUAUGCAUGCCUUUUCCACUGAUUGACUUUACAAAAUAUCAUCAUUACUCUCAGGACCUCCACUUCUCAUAUACGCAUAUGUCAUUGGACUACUAAUUGACCUUUUCUUCCAUCCUCCUCCUAGGGUUUUGGGACAGCGCUAUGAAUGAAGAUUUUUUUCUCAAGUACUUGGGGAUCAUUCAAAGAGGCUAAAACUACACGCCCUAUUCUUCUCGUUUAGCAGCCCUCAUAAUUAGUUGUCACACUUUCCUCACACCAACUUCUAAAGCACGAUUUGAAAUUUUAUGUUGACAAACCUGAUAUUAGAUCCUUUCCAAGUCUAUCUUAAGCAUCACUUUUACUACCGUAAAACUCACUGGUCAUUCUUUCGUCAUUAUACGCUUUUUAACAGAUGCGUUGCUGCAACUUAUUCACAUGGGUCCAAUUUCAUGUAUAUUUUCCGCUGGUUAAUGAUUUCAGUGAUUAAUGAAUGCCCGAUUUUGAUUUUGCAUCAAGUCCAAGUCAUAUCCUUGCAUGGACAUGUUUUAGAGCUGGUGUAAUAUCUGUACGAAAACCAUUGCUUCAAGGCAAGUGAAAGAAUAUAGUUUUGUAAAGCUUCCUCAUAUACAGAUAGAAUGUGUGUUUGAGAAGUAACCCAAAAGUUGCAGCAGGAAUAAUGGCUGGUCUCAUUGGGCCAGCCAGGUUUCCUUAGAUAUGAAAUGAUAGACGUUUUUUUGUAUUAAUCCAAAAUUCAACAAGUAUUUCACUGAUGCGACGAGAUGGAGUACUGUUCAUUACUUCAGAUUUUGGUGCCUCUACCCUACGCUGUUGUUGUAAAUCAAGACCUGCCUCAUGUCUGUACGAUUGUUCAAACUUCAGAGCUUUCAGUCGCAAGAUCCAACUCAGUUCUCUUCUCUCGGAUGUAAUGUUAUUCUUGAAUACAAGUCCUUUAUUGUGAAAUUUGCAUUGUUAGUCAUGAUCAGAAAUGGCUAUUCUUCUCUUACUCUUUUCUUUUUCUGUUUUUUUUUUAUCAGACAUGACUAAUAAUGCCUUGUAACUUCCCCUGAUUUUACUUGCUCUUUGGUGAUUCAAUAGCUAGGAGAUUAAAGACAAUAGGUUUACAAUAUUUGAACGCUAUACUAUCAUUGUAUUACUAUUGGGCGUUCAGCAAAUCCUGUUCAGUUUCAAGUUUCAAUUAGUUUUGCAAUUUCUUUUCUUGGUCUUUCAUCACUUUUUCUCAUCUCAUUUCCUCCUCGAACAUGCUCUUUUGAUUUAUUUAUAGUUGAGAUUUGCCUUUCUAGAGCUCUUUUUUUUGGCUUUUUAACCCCAAAAAGGGGGAAAAAAAAAACAAUGGCAAUUAGUCUAGCCCAGUGGCACUGAAGCUCUACUUUUGUUUUUUUUUUUUCCAGUUGAUACGUGGGACAUAAAGUUUUGCAUCCAUCUGCAAAACUUUAUGUCCUACUUCCCGAUUGAUGCCAUUGUAUAAGAAAGCAGUACUAGUAGAGUGUCUCUGCUUCUUCGGGUCAUAUGCUUGGACAAAAAGCAAAUAAGGAUGGAGCUAAAAAACUGCUCAAAAAAAGAUGGAGUGGAGGGAAAUGUUUUCGCUCUUUCUAAUACUAAUAUAUAUAUAUAUAUAUUACGGCACUUGGUAAAUUUUCAAUCUGCUGAUUAUGCUAGUGUGGAUUCCAAUGAAGCCCAGAUACAGCAGUGCAGGAAACAAAAGCAGGGAAUUGAAGAUGGAAGAGUAAAAAGAGGAGGAGGAGAUGACAUGGAAAAAUAAAUGAAUUGGGGGAAGUGAGGGAAGGAAAGGGGUGGUCAGGGAUCAGUCGUCACUCGACAAAUAGCCUGACAGCCUGGCUUUUGCUUUGGUUGUAUGGGAUGGCAUGGGUGAAGCAGGCCAGACCCUCUCUCUCUCUCUCUUUCUCUCAUUGAGUCAUCAAUUCCUGAACCUGAGGCAUCAUAUGAUAGCAUUAAUGAAUGCCUUCAAUUAUCUGAGCCCUCUUCUCUUUCUUGACCUCUCUCUCUAGACAUCAUAGUAGAGUCAAUAUCAGCAUAGUGUCGCAUUCCAGGCCAUGGAUUCUUGGAUUUUCUACUCUCUUUUGUUUUACCCUUGGCUCUGGUUUGCUGGAAAGUGGAAAGUUACACAUAACUCCUAUUUUUUUUCACAAAAAUCUACUGCUACUUGGGACUAGGGAGGGAGUAGGGACUAAGUACAGUAGAGAGUUGUCAGGUUGAGUUGUGCAGGACCCCCAGUCCCUCCCCCUCCGGCCCUCCCGUCUUCGUCCCACAUUUCCUUUUCCUACAGCAACUCCCCUGAUUAGUGGGAUUUUUCAGUAUUCCCAGUUGUUUUAACUCUAGUCAAUGUUUUAACGGAGCCAGCUCAAUAAUCAAUAAUAUAAAUUAAAAAAAAAAAAAACCAAAUUGAAGUCUAAAUGUGCUUUGUGCUAUCAUCAGUAAGUAUUACUAGUACUACUAUCAAGAUUGCCUAUAGCUAGCCCGAUCAUCAUUUGAAUGUACACAUAUUCUCGAACUUUGUACCAAUAGACAAUAAAGAGCCGUGUGUGUAUACUCCCUAUAUUUGGUAACAUUAAUUCCCGGCUAAGAAGAUUAAUCAGGUCCAUUUUUCCUUGCUUGCUUCUAAACUGGAAAGCAGAAAAUAAAUAAGAGUUCCGCUCCUCGGCAGCAAGGGUAAGCAGCAGACAAAAAAAUAAGAGAGAGGUGGUGAAAAUGAAAAACCACAUGACAAAGUACAGUAUUUUUUUUAUUAAUAGAAAAACCGGAGGUUCUUGACAUGCAAUACAUUUUUUUAUCUGGCAAUCAAUCAUUUAAAAAGUUGUCAGCCAAUUAAGUUAAGAUUAAUUCUCAGUAAAACCAAUAGUCAGUAAAUUGCGGGUGGUCGUUAUCGGAGUUUGGGAGCAAAGUCAAAAUGUCAGGUUACUCUCUCCGAUUUCAGCCCCGUUUUAGAGUGAUGGAAAGCGUUUUCCUCGAAACGCCACUCGGUGGCUGAAAAACAUACUACUAUUUGGUAUUGCUCCCAAGUCCUACGUCCUGACCUAUUCAUUCAAACUUUAAUUUUCAAAACGAAGAAUCAGCAACUCUUUAGCAUAUGCUAGCAGUACCACUGCUAGCAUAAUAAAUGUUGUGAGUCUUGGAAGACCGACUCACUUGACUUCCUCCCUCCCCUCCUCAGAAAAAGAAGAAAGGAAAAAUAGGCUUCUUCCCCUGUGGCCUGUGGAUUUGUAUGUACGUGGAGACCUCACCUCAGCAAUUCUAGGACGCAUAGCUCGGUUUGGUCGUCCGCAGCCUGCCUGCACCAACAAAAUUUGUGCUAUACUAAUCUUACAGCUACCACCCCUUCUUCUUCUCCUUCUUUUUUUACUGUACAUUGUAAUGCACUGUAAUAUGACACUCUUUUUAACUGUUGUAUGGUACUACAUUUCGAACUUAUUUGUUUUUUGGCACCUCAUCUCGUCUCUUAUUUACAAAUCCUAUAUAGCUAGAAAGCAGUCGUUUUUUCAUUAUUGCUUGGGUAAAAGGGCGGCGAAGGGCGUGGAAAUCGAAUUGUACAGAAAUGAAAAUGGACUCUAACGGCCCAAGUUGAGGUAUGAAGCUUAAAAAAAUGGUUAGGGCACGAUUGGAAAGCCCAAUUAGUUAUUCAGUGUAAUUAGGCCGGGGAAAACCUGGGUCAUUUAAGGUGUGAGCGCUCAUGAUGGGUGAUGGACUGAAUAGGCCGAGCCCGCUUGACUGUUGCUCAGUCAGUUAAUGAACCUCGGCCUGCCAAUCUCUUGGCCCUUUUCUUUCUUUUUCUUUUUCGUAGAAAAAUUGUUGCCCAUUUCAAUAAUGGGGAAAAGGAUUAUUAAAAAAAAAAAAAAAAAAGAGUAAACAAGUUAGACACCAUUUCUUUUUCCUUUUUUUUUGGUUUUUGGGGGUGUGUUUUCUAAGACCAUGAGUUUAGAGAUUGGUGGAAUUUGAAGUUGGAUAAAAUAAAUGUGGGGAUGGGAUGGUGGUUAGUAGAGAAAAUCCGCAGCUAAAUCCACAACCACCACCACCUUGGGUUAGCCUUCUUUCAUUAGCCAUAGCUAACUGUUGAUCAGGACCUGACCUUCAUGUCUAAGGUGUGUUGUUGCAUCAUAAACUGGAGCUGAGACGAUGGCCGUCCGAUGAGACGUUUUCUACGAUUGAAAAAGUUAGUGGGUGGGCGUUCAUGUCAAUCAUCAGUUAACUGGGGACCGUUUGAAAGGGGAAACAAAUGUAGGGAUUGUACUUUUGCACUCCCAAGACAAUUGUUUUCGUUUUAUGAGUGCUGUCGCCAGUUUGCCAUUUUCUGGUUAAGAAAGACUGGCGAUAAAACAGAAUAUGCAUAUACAUCUUAGUCACUUGAAAUUUUAGGUUGAGAGCGAAAUAAUUAGCACUACCUUUAGUAGAUAGAGUUGUAAAGAAAGAUGAUCCUCUCAUAUCUGAUGGACUGGAUAGUGAUCCUCUCAUUACCAUGAAUCGUGGUUGAUUUUCUACUGGUUCCUAAGGAAAGAACUCGCAAUCAAGAAGCGCGCGUGAAAGGCAUGCCUGAGAUUAACUGUAGGGAUUCUGGAUGGUGAUCAACGUAACAAGAAAUAAUUUUGUAUUCUUUUUUUUCCAAGAAAGGAAGAGGGGGCCCUGUGUGUGUGUGUGUGUGGAUGGGUGGUGGUGGGAUUUCAUUGGGGCGUAAUUGGCGAUAAUUUGAGGAAACAGUUAGCCGCCCAUAAUUCCCAUGUGGACGACGUUGACCACCCUCCACGCCCCCUCGCCCCAACCUUUCCUUUCUGUGAUCAGUAAUAAUAUAUCCUUCUUCCAUCAUUCAUCUACAUUCAUGGAACCUAACAACACACAGUUACUUGUACCAACGGCGCUUCCAUGUCCUAUAACUGAAAGUGAUCGCAACCCUCGGCCGCUCACUCUCGCUUUGGGACCGCGCCCCCAUCUCGAUCUACGCAGCUGCACCUGCAAUCUUAGCUGCUAAACAACACCAUGAUCUUUGGUCAUCAAAUAUCACAACAACAAAAUUUAUUUAACUACUAUUCGCUAAAUUGUUUUAAUACCAAACACAAUCUAACAAAAUCCGUAGGAAAAGUCGACAUAUCUCAAACACAGCACAACACGUGCCUUGCAUGUUGUAAUUGUAACAGGGGCUAUACAGGAUAGGUGCGGGACAAUGGACACUGAUCACCACGGUUACACAACCUACGGCUAUGGACCAUCCCUGCGGCCAUGGGUCCGUUUCAGAAGUACAGACAGCCAUUUCCGAAUAAUACAUAGUACCUACCAUACACAGUAUAUGUCUUUUGCUUUACAAAUCAGUUGUAGUAUUAGUUUAGAUAGAUAUGGAUUGUGUAACCAAACAUAGACCAAACAAGCAAUCCAAGUAUGUGUAGCUUGUUUUUCAAAAUAAUAACAGACCGUAUAUGUCGGGAGACAAUAAUAAUAUAUAUUAGUUUGGGAGGGACAUCAAGGGGAUGCCUGCAGCCUCAAGCAAUUCUAAACGCGGCAUCCCAAGUUUCAAUCCUUUUUUUUUUUUUUUUUUUUCAUGGCCUCCAUUUACAUCUACUUUUACUCUAAUCUAUAUUAGGAGGUGACACAAUAGGAUCAUACGUAUAUCGAUGAAAAUUGAAUCACCCUCGAACCAUACACGCGCCCCCAGCAAUAUUGUUGUUUGUUUAGGAUGACCAAACUGACGUGGAUGCCUAGUCAGCACUGGCUCACAAAAUCGUCAAUGUCCGGAACAGAAACUUCCCUGUUUUUGUUGUCAGCAUGAGAGGGAUGGAAAUGAGUGAAACCCAACAAAAUCUUCCCUUUUUUUAUUUGCUGUUUGAAAUAUACUACCAAUAACGGCCACAGAGUCAACAUUGUCUUCAUUCACCACACACACACACACACGCAAAGACCAAUUAACUGAUUAUAAGAUUCCUCCAUUUUCUCAUCCGUAAAUUUCUAAAAAAACAGAUUCUGCUCUCUUCAAUGUUUUGAAAAAUAAAACUAAACUGUUCUAGAGUCAUGUCAAAAGUUACUUUACUUUCCAAAUCAAAACCAAAUAAGUAAGAGUACGUAUGGUUAUGCUGAGCCAACUUGUAAUCAUAUAUAAACUCCUUAAUCAUACUCAACACCAAAUAAGUACUAUAUGAUUUUGCUUGCCCAACCAUUGUGGGUUUAAGUCGAGGGAGAAUCAAAGCUCAGGAAAGGAUGGCAAUGGAGCGGGUCACAAACUUGCUCCGUCGCCAUGUAACUCAUCUCGUCCCGUGAGUACUGCACCUUUUUUUUCUUUUCCUUUUCUUCUCUCUUAGCACCUUUAUUAUUAGAAAAGACUAAUUAAUAUUACCACUACUAUUAUUACUAGUAGUACUAUCGUUACGAAAAACUAAUAUUACCACUACUAUUAUUAGUUUAAGCCAACAUAACAUGGAAAAAAAUAAAUGUGUUAAUAAUUUAACAUGGAAAAUAUAGAUGUAUUAAUAAUUUUAUUUAUAUUUGUUAGGCAGGGUUAUGUCCCCACCCCCCCCCCCUUCCUCCCCUACAGGGCGAGUGUCCAUGUUGCAGUCCCUAAUUAAGCGCAACCUCUGCCGUGGAAAUGUGUAAUUUUGAAAAUUAAUAGGAAAGAAUGCUGAGGAGGAAGAUCAAGAAAAUUAAUAUCAACACCACACUAGAAAAGCAAGUCUUUUUGGAUUGCUAUUUUUUGGAGUUUUUAUAUUAAAAAAAAUGUACAGCAAUAAUUUGAUAUAUAUGAAAUAAAAAAGUGAUUAAAAAAUAGAUUUUUCAAGUCCGUUGGAGGGUGGCGAUGAUGUCACCUUAACACUAGAAAAUAAGACGCUGUUGGUUUGAUCUGGGGCUUUUCCAUUCAGGACAAAAUUCUCCAAUCUAUUCGGAUAAAAUUCUUGAGGGACAACAUUCUCCAAACAAAAGAACCAAGGAGGGCUACCCAAAUUAUUACUUGCAUCGUUGCUUUGUUUGCAAACGUCAAUAGCUAGUUUUGGAAAGAAAGCAAAAAAUAUGUCUCCCCAUUAGGUAACAUUUUUUUAACAUGAACAAUUUUUAUAGGGAGUAGUAGUUUUGUACUUUUUUCCAAACCCAAAGGACUUUUGAUAGAUUUGUCAAACCAUAUUCCCGUGAGAACCCCAAAAGCCGGCAACUCUUGAGGUCUCACAGGGGACUUAACUACUACUACCCAACCCCCUAGUUCUCCGAUGUGGGAUAUCAACCUCCACAAGGGAGCCUGCCCUGCGGUGGGCUGAACCUAAAGAGACCCGUUACCCCCCGUGAAUGAGGCUGAUGUCUUUUUUCCAAGCCCAAAGGACUUUUGAUAGAUUUGUCAACCCAUAUUCCCGUGAGAACCCCAAAAGCCGGCAACUCUUGAGGUCUCACAGGGGACUUUUGAUAGAUGUGGGAAACAAGCAUUUGUGCAAGUUGACUCUCUAUGCUCUGGAGUGUAGAUUGUGUACGUAAUAACAGCUUUUCUAGUCUAAAAUCAUGGUAGCAUUAAUACCUUGGCAAAAAUUAGAAAAACAAAUAAAUUGGAUGGCAUGCGCAUAAUCUUCCUGCUUGCCCAGAAUAGAAACCUUUUUUCUGCUUCACCAUGUUAUCGUUCUUACCCCCUAGACAAUUCGGGUCUCUUCCUAUAUACCUUUUGACUUUCGGUUUCAUGGAGUAUAGCAUUUCUUUUUAAUUCAUAAUCCAUGAGGACGGGUCUGUACGGAAUUAUGAGCAAAGAUCACAUAUUAGGAUCUUCUAUGGUUGACAAUUAUUACAAAGCCAAUUUAAGAGAAUAGGAACCUUUCAUAAAUAGAAAAAUUUUUUUUUUGGCAGGUCUCAUGACUCUGUAAUGCAUGAUCGAGCCAACUGACACCCUUAAAUUUAUGACGUGACUACCAUAUUAAAGCUUCUUAAACACGUGCAUGAAUGUGGAAUUCAUUUCCAAAGUUGAACGGGUGCAUGCAUUAAAAAAAUCUUAAACCCCGUUUUGGACAGUCAUUUUUCGCCGAAAAAUUGCGUCGUUUUUUGUAAUCACAUUUUUCUGUUACUUUUUUUCUCACAUACAUCAAAUUGUUACAGUAAUUUUUCUACAAAAAAUUCAAGAAAAUGCAAUCCAAACAAGGCCUUAGUCUUUAUUAUGCUUUGUUAACUCGCUAAUUCUCAUGCUUUUCUUUCAUGUACUAUUAUAUCCCAACAGACUCUGCUAAUGUAUACUUCAUCAGUGUUCUACUUUUUUUUUUUUUUUUUUCGAUUGUCAUCUCUACUCCUACUCUAUCUACGGGGAGGCUUAACUGAGCCUAUGGAACCGAUGGGGACAGAACCACCACCGGACCAGACGGGUGUACUAUUCAUCAGUGUUCUACUUGAUUUUCUGAUUUUUCACGAUAGAGAUUGGUUUUUUCCCUGUUCAAGAACUUUGGCAACAGCAUCCUUAAAAAAAAAAAAAAAAAAAACUUUGGCAACAGUAUAUCACGGUGAUUGCCGGUGCGGUGUAAUCCUUCUCUGAUCUGUGAGUGUGAAUGUCAUCAUAAUUCUUCCUUCCGGAAUCAAUGGACCCUACUGUCAUUCUGUUGCUCACUCUUCCAUGUUGCCUUUAUGCUGCGUCUCACCGUUGGGGGCAGGGCAAUGCAGCGGUAUGUCAUUUUGGGUUAAUAGCAAUAUGCACUCCUAAAUUGUCACCUAGAGGUGGCAAUUUGGAUUGAAAUCCAUUUAUCCAUCCAUAUAAUUCAUAAUUAAAUGGAUUUGGAUUAUCCAUUUAUAGUAUUGGUUUUAAAUGGUUGACCAAAGUAAAACCAUUAAAUUAAAUGGAUUUAUAUGGAUUAUCCAUAAAAACCAUAUAUAUCCAUUUACUUAAAAAUCAAAUAAAAGAAAUGAAAAAGAAAUAACUAAAACCAUAUAUUUCUUCACGUUAUUGAGCAGCGAGUCAUAGAGUGAGAAAGUCACCAGAAUUAGACCCGCACACAAACAAAACAGGACCAACUAAUUUAACCAUAUAUUAACUGCACAGUCUGCACCCACACAUGGAUGUGGAUUUACCGAAUAAUAACGAUUAAAAAAAAAAGAAAGUCCCAGUAAAUAUUUUGCACUACCAGUAAUCUUAGCCACCUUUAUUAGUUUCUCUUUGGUUUAUCUUCAUUGUUUAUCCCUUCGUGGAUCAUUAUUAUUAUUAAUUUUUCUCUUUUUCUACUUUUACACUUGUAAUUAACAGAUUAAAGACCUUGUCCUUCUCCUCUUCUUGGACUUGGACCAGUUUAGUAGUAGUAAUAAAUUGCAGUGCUUAAUUGAUAUAUCAGGCACUCAGGAAAGAAAAUUAAGGUUGUUCUGGUUAUUAACUUCACGUCUAUCAUAGACAUUUUAUUUUGGAUCAUUUGGAGAUAAAAGCGUCUAUAGAAAUGUUAAAAAGAUUAUAAUCUGUGGCUGGAGAAGAGUAAAGACUGAACAAUUCUGAUUUAUAUUGAUGUAUACUUACUAUAUGGAAUGAAAAAUAUAAUAUCUGACGAGUAAUAAAGAAUACAUACACACACAUUCUAAAUCUAAGUAUUUUGUCCUUUUUCUCAUUCAUAUACACCUAAAAUUUACAAGUACAUAAAAAAUGUAUCUUCAUAUUAUAAGAAAUGGUAAUACAAAAAAAAAUAACCAAAAUAUAUAAAUGGAUCAUAAAUGGAUAAUUGGUUUUUAUUUAAUCCAUUUAGAUCCAUCCAUUUAGAUCCAUUUAUUAAAUGGAUCUAAAUGGAUUGGAUAAAUUUCAUCCACCAUCCAUUAAGUCAAAACCAGUUAUGAACCAUUUAUCCAUAUUGCCACCUCUAUUGUCACCCAUAUGUGAUUUGUACCCUAAGUUAUCAAUUGUAUAUACUAUCAAGUUGUAGUAAAUUGGUUGAACUGUAAUAAAUUUUGACAACUAUUUUUCAAUGGAAAAACUUUUAUACCGCUAAAUGAAUAAGAAUAUUUUACUAGAUAGAUGCAAAUUACGAGAAGCAAACUCCUCUCUCUCUCUCUAGUAAAAUAGCUAAAAACAAAACUCAUAAAUUUUCAAUUGAUUUGAACAAGGAGCUAUCAGUGAUAAUUUAGAAUUACAAAUCACUAUUAAAAUUCUUUUCCACAUAGAAAUGAGGCCUGACCAAUUGUAGCGCUAGCCUGCAUUAUAAUAUUAAAUUUCUACUUCACUACAUAGCAGAAAAUAAGCGCAAUUCAAUCUCCGUUAGAGGCCACAACGGGCAAAGUAUGUGGUAUAUUAUUUUUAAGUGCAUGAUUGUAUAUACAAAUCUAAGGGCAAAGACAAACUAAAGUGUUCCAUUAAGAAGUUAUGAGAACCUUAUGGUAUUUAGGUACUUGGACACCAAGAAAGUUUAUAUCUCUAUUUGAUUGUAGGUCAAGGGAUCGAAUUUCUUGAUUUACAUGUAUUAUAAUAUCCAAACUCUUUUAAAAAUUUCGUCAGUAGGUGCCGUUGAACCGGUGGUGACUCGCUAGAUUCCCCUUUAAUCUCUUUAGGUUCCCUCCUCCCUUUAAUAUAGAAUAGGAGUAAUUAUAGAAUAGAAUCCCUAUCGUGUUGGCAAAAAAAAAAAAAAAAGGGUGCUUAUUAGUUUUGGAAGAUAGUUAGGGGUAGAUGUCUAAUUAUUGGUUGGUUGUGGUACAUUGCUAGGGAAUCAGAAAUUUGCACGUGAUACACGCUGAGCGGGUAUAACGUUGACGCCCAGUUAGGGAAUGGACGUAAUACAGCGCUGCCCCCGGAGAAAAAUAUAUAUACCGCUUAGCCCUUUUACCUUAGAAUCAUAUAAGCAGUAUUUAACUCUUGAAUCCCUUGCCCACCAAUUGAAACUCAUCCUAUUCUCCUCUUUCGUAAUUCUGGAAAUAAACAGUAAGAAACUUUUAGUAGUAUUUUAUAUCUUGUAUCUCUGUAUCUGAAAUCAGACCCUAUCAUCUUCAUCAUUUUGUGGUCUGUAGUGACUAAUAUCAAUGGAAGACAUUCUAGCUGCUGCAGCAUCUUCUCCGGCUUCGCUACUCUGCGAAGCAACACUUGCUGCACCUAAGCAACGGUUGCAGUUCAUCAUGCAAAACCAGCGAGAGUGGUGGGUUUAUUCUAUCUUCUGGCAGGCAUCAAGGGAUCGAGACGGGCGCCUGGUUUUGUCGUGGGGUGAUGGCCAUUUCCGCGGGCCUAAAGACUGUUCCCAGAGAGCGUGCAAUAACAACGGAUUGCUACUACAGCAACCACUUGCCGAUAACGGCGUGAAGGUGACCACUCAGGACAUCUUCGGGAGAAGGAAGGCAGGGAAAGAAGUUCCUUCGUCCUUUCCCUGGAGGGAUUCUACUUCCCACAGCAAAAGCGAUGGAUUUGGUGAUGGCCGGGAUGUUGCUGAUUCGGAGUGGUUUUAUAUGCUGUCGCUGACCAGGUGCUUUGUGUCCGGAGAAGACCUUCUGGUCCGAACCUUCAAUUCGGGUUCGUAUGCGUGGUUAGUUGGAGAUCACCAACUCCUGUUUUACAACUGCGAGAGGGCUAAAGAAGCUCAUUCUCAUGGAGUUAAAACUUUUGUUUGCAUCUCCACUUCAGGUGGAAUUCUGGAAUUGGGAUCCUCAGAAUUGAUAAAAGAAGACUGGGGACUGGUGCAACUUUGCAAGACACUGUUUGGCUCAGAAGAUCAAAACAGCACCAGCAGUACUAGUACAACUACCACCACCAGAGACGCCAUCCUUGGUAGUAAUAAUACUACUCCUGCAGGAGGAGGACUGUUUGACAUUGGCGGCCUGCUAGGUCAUGAUCCCAAACAAAACUCACUGCAGGAAGACAAGCCCCAGGAAAGCAACUUAACAAUUAUGAACAUUGAUGAUGAAUCCGCUUCAGGAACGUUGACACCAAUAGGUGGGCAGCGGAUAUCAACUGGAUCUGCAGGGAUGGCUCACACUGGUCCCAAACUAUUGGAAACUCAAAAUUUCAUGCCCGAGGCGGCAGGAAAAUGGAGCAAGGUCCGAUCGCCGUCAUCGAGAAGAAGAAUGAGAGAGGCAUCCAUGACGGGGCAAGAAAUGGCGCUGAACCAUGUGGAGGCAGAAAGGCAGAGGCGAGAGAAGCUCAAUCACAGAUUCUAUGCUCUCAGAAGCGUGGUACCCAACGUAUCCAGAAUGGACAAAGCCUCGCUUCUUGCAGAUGCAGUCGCUUACAUCAACGAGCUCAAGGCCAAAAUUCAGGAAUUGGAGGCCAGAGUUGGAGUUGGAUCGCUAGGAGGAGCACAAUAUCAUGAUCGCAAACUACUUGUUACUACUGCCACAAGCUGCGGGGAUUUCAUUCAAGAGACUCAAAGCACCGUCACAGCUGAUCAAAAUCAAAGCGGAAUGUCAUCUAAACCUUACAGUAGUGUUCCAUAUACUGCUAAUAAUUCGAGUCAUGAAAUCCAAGUAAAGUUUGUAAAUGGAUCGGUAGCCAUUCUCCACAUUCUAUGUCCGGAUGUGAAUUACCCAUCAGCCAAAUUGAUGGAUGCACUGCGACAAAUGGAGCUCCAAGUUUGCUCCGCAAGCUUCUCCCCCGUACAGGACUUGAUGCUACACGAUGUUGUGAUUAGGAUUCCCAGAAAUGAUGCUUUGGCUACUGAGGAUGCUCUCAAAACUGCACUCCUUAGAAGGUUACGGCUUUAAAUCCCAUCACAGUUUCACCCACUGAAGCGGGAAACUCAGGAGCUCCUCAACAAUUUCUGUAACACUAGCUGUCUGCUGUACAUGGCUUCAUAGCAUAGCAUAAAGCGGAGGCAUGCAGCUGGGCCCUCCUCGCCUCCCCUUUAAAUUUUAAAAGCUUCUCUUACCCUCUAUGAAAUUUUACAAUUUGCGUACGAAGUCCUUCUCUUGCCCCCUGAAAUCGUGAUCUAAUACUGUAAUAUAGGGAAAAAAAAUGUAAUUUUAGUUCUUAAUAUUUAGUUUCUAUGCAGUUUUAGUUCUUAAAGUUUUGACAAGAGUAAAUUUGAUCCUCAAUGUAUAAUAUGUGUAGUUUUAGUUGUUAAAGAUUUGACAGGCAAAUCUAGUCCCGAGUUUAUACAAAAUGUGUGACCAAAUUUGACUGAUUUUGUUGGUAUUUGGAAAAAAUCGUCAAUUGUUUGAAAUUUGCUCCAAAUUUGCUUUUCCAAAUGUUUAUAGAUUAGAAUCACGCUUGCGCUAAACUGUGAAGACCAAAUUUGCAUUUGUCAAAAUUUUAAGCAUUAAAACUGCAUCAAAACUACUAAAAUUGCACUUUUUACUUCCUUUUUUUUUUUUUUUUUACUUUCGUCUUAUAGCUAGAGAAAUUUAAUGUCUAUUCCUUUUUAAGAUUUUUAAAGUAUUUAUAUUCAAUAUUCCUUUUUAAUGUCUAUUCCCCUCUUCAUAUGCUCUUAGCUCUGCUACUGACAUCAUUGGCUUUUUGUUUGGGUUAUUUUUAUUUUCCAUUUUAGUUUCUUGAGAAGAAUUAAGGUUCAGAAUAUAGGGCCUGUUUGGAACUUGAGUUUUUUGGGAGUUUAUCUAAAACUUUACUGUAGUGCACUGUAGAAGUUUUUGAAAAAAUUUUGUAGAAGUUUUUGUAAGGUGAAUUUUUUUUUUCCUUUUUUUUUUCUUUCUUUUUCUCUUUCUCUUUCUUUUUCUUUUUCUUUCUUUCCUUUUUCUUUUCUUUUCUCACUUCUUCUUCUUCUUCCUUCUCCCUCCCCCUUCCCUCCUCCGUUACCUCUGUCUUCCCAGUUCCCAGCAGCCAUGGUCCUACCAUUUUUUUUUCUUUUUUUCUUUCUUUUUCUUUCUUUCAUUUUUCUUUUCUUUCCUUUCUUCUUCUUCUUCUUCCUCCUUCCUUCCCCUUCCCUCUUCCUUCGCGGUACCAGACGAACCAGCAGCCCCUCUCCCCAAAUUUUUUUUUCUUUUUCUCUUCCCUUCUUCUCCCUCUCUGCUCCCCUCUCCCCCUUUACUCCCCUUCACCAUCUCCCUCUCCCUCCCGAAGCAGAGAACCAGCAGCCAUGGCACCUACAAUUUUUUUUUUUUUGCUUUUUCUCUCCCCCUCUUCUCCAUCUUCCUCUCCCAUUCUCCUCCCCUUUCCUACUCCCCUCCCCUUCCCCAUCCCCUUUUGCCCAAUCCGGUCAUUCGACCAGAUCGCAUCUGCGAUCUGCUACCGUGUGACCAGAUCGCAGCUAAGGAAGCAGGAGGGUGGCCAGGGAGGAGAGUGGGAGGGGGAGGGGGAGGGGGAGGGGGAGGGGGAGAGGGAGAAGGAAAAAAAAAGGGGGUAGGCCGGCUCCGGAAUAGGUGGUGGACGCUAGAAACAGCGGCGGAGGUGGUGGUGCCCGGCGGCGGUGAGGUGGCCUGCGAUGAAGGUGUGGUGGAUAAGGGUGGGGGAGAAAGAAAAAGAAAAGAGGAAGUUUUUUCUGUAUUAGAUAUUUUGAAGUGUGUACGUUAAAAAAUUUGAUAAGUUUUUUUAGGUUCCUGUAGUUAAAGUUAUUAAAAAAUUAUUAGCUAAAAAAUUUAGCCAAAAAACUCGGUUCCAAACAGGCCCUAGAUGAUGAUACAGAAACGAUUAAGUUUCACGUUUUUCAUUCUCAAGGAAAUUAAAACAAGCAGGCAGCUAGAUUCAAUGUUUCAUAUGCGGACCUGAAAGGCGUCCAGUCGCCCAUAGGUAAAUGUGUCUGCAUGUCUAUGGCCCGGUCACAAUCAUGACUAAGGAGCUAACUUUCUUGAAGUGAAACACGAGCAGAUCGAUGCUUUGGAUGGCCCAUUAGGGUCAAACUUUUCAAUUCAACUUCUUCGAGAAUCACGUCUUUUCGCAGCUUCGUUCAACAUUAGCUAUUCCGAGAUUCAUCAACAUCAGACUUUGGCCCAUAAUUCUUUGUCCCUAAAUUAACUCAUGCAGCAAAACUACUUUGUCGUAUUAAAUAUGUUAAAAAGAGAUAUGCUACACUAAUUAAUUUUUCCUAUUCAAAAAAAGAAAAAGAACGACUUAACUCUUCUCUUUUCAUUGACGGUUUUAAUUUCGGUGAUUGUGCCCUAUAAUUCUGCGAUUCAAGUUUUACAAUAUUAAGGUCCUCCGUGAUUGCUAUUAGAAGUUUUCGGAAAAUUGACUUCUUAUAUAUUCACCGUUAAUAUCACCAUCAUUGAAAUGUAAAAUGCACUACCUAGAUUCAAUCAUAUGUAUUCUUUCUAUCAAGCAAUCAGGCACCUUUCUCUUUAUAUACAUAAAAAAAAAAUAAUGUCCAUUUUCACGCAAAUUUGCAAGUAUCAUCUAAAUUAUCACCCUUUUCAAGCAAUCAUGUAUAGUCAGAAGUGACUUGACAAAUCUUAAAAGAUUAUAGUCUGUUAGAAAAUUAUGACAAGGAAGAAAAUUUUCAGUCACAGCGAUGCUAUAAUCAAAAAAAUAUUGUAUUAGAUACUACCCACAAAGUUAUGCAUACAUAUAUAUAUAUAUAUAUUCUACCACCUUAUGGUUAAAGAACCAAAAAAAAAAAAAAACACAUAGUAGUACUAGUAGAAUAUUGAAAAAUAGCUAAGAACAGUACUUGAAAAGCUUAAAAUUGGUAUUAAACAACUCUGCUUAUUCAUAAGUUACACUACAAGAAAUUUGGUCAUCAGUGACAACAAUAUUUCAUCACAAGACAUAGAAAUGUUGUCACUAAUGACUUUUAUUGACGACUUUUGCGUCGUCACAGAGUCGUCACUAUAUCUCCGUCGGUAAAAGUAUAUAGUGACAACACAAAAAGUCGUCAGUGAAUAGUUGUCAUUAGUGACAACAGUAUGAAAGAGUUUUAUUGACGACUUGACAUGUUGUCAGAGAUGUAUUGAUCAAGGUUGUCACUGAAAAGUGUCAGAAGUUGUCACUUAUAUGAUAUACUUAUUGACAACAUUUCUUGUCACAAUUGAAGUUUGGAGUUAGUGACAAGCUUUGUUGUCACAAAGAGUUUUUUAUUCUUGUUAUGCAACAGCUCUUUUUUGUCAUUUGUGAUCUUUAACAUUGUCAGCUCCAUUUCAAUAAACUCACAAUUUAGCAUGGUAAAUUAUUUAUCUAAAAUAAAUAGAAAGAAAUAAUCUAAACAAUCGAUAAUUAAAAGUAGUUGUUGCAUUAGGCUACAUGCCAAUAUAGCACAUUCAGUACUGAAAUGUCAUAUUGAGGUGCACAUUACCCAACAAAGGUCUAUAAAAGUAACAUUGUGCCUAAAUAUCACAUAUUCAUAAGGUACGUUUACAAAAGGAAUUGAGUUCAAGAAACCAAAGAACAUCCAAGCGAACCCUUGCAUGAGAAAUUGUAACUUUGUCUUCAACGUCCUUCAGUCAUUGCUAUAGACAGCUUCCAAAAUUUUGUUUAAAUAGCAUUUAUCUGUAAUAAAGUAGUAAAACAAGUAGAUAAGGGGAGGAUUAAAACACUGAAGGAGAAGUAACAAUACUUAGGUUGCUUAGCUAAAAUAUGCAAUCCAAUAAGAACCUCAAUAAUUAAAGCUGUACAUUCAAAAUCAACCCCAAAUAAAACCAAAAUCAGCCCCAGAAAAUCAAAAUCAACCCCGAACUAUUGCAGAAAAUCAGCUCAAGAAAUAAGUACUGCUAUUAAACUUCAGCUUCAAAGGAAUAAUAUAACAAGUUGUUAAUGCAACAAGCACUGCUAUAAGUACUGCUAUGAACAAUAUAACCAAUUGAUAAGACUACAAGCACAACACUAAAGGAAAAGCAACUUUGAUUCGCUUGCUUAGCUAAACAUUCAAAUAAACUAAACUGAACUAAACCAAAACAAUCCAAAGUAAUGCAUAGCAGAGGAUACAACGUGUCCAGUAUGAUAACCAAAGUAAUGUGAAUCACGAUACAAGGUGUCGAGCUAUCCAUUCAUAUAGGAGAAACUGAGGCAAUGUGUACCUCAUUUAUAUAAGAGAAACUGAUACAAUGGGUAUCGUGAGAAAGAUGUCUAUGGGUUGCUCAAUCUUUACAACCCAUUUCUCCAAACCACUAGAGGAUAAAUACAUGGAGUGGUACUACAUAAACAAUAUUAAACUUAUCAAAAUCCAUAUACCCAAAUUACUCAAAUCACAAAAACAACUAAAAGCUACUGAAAAGCAUUGGCAUUGCCGUGUAAAUGCUUGUUAAAGCAGUAAAUACUGUAAAUUGCAAGACUUAAUAGCUACCAUCCAAGGUCAGAACUCAUCACUAUCCUAGCUUGUGCUCAAACACAUUACCUCAAUAACACCAUCAUAUCAUACAAAAACUCAAAUCACUUCAAUAUUUCAAAACAACAUAUGCUAAGCUUAGAGAGCACAAAUUUCUGUAAUGAAAGAUCCAAAGUUCAAAACUUUCAAAGUCAAAUAAGAGAACUUUAAAAGCAGCAAAUUAAAGAAAAACAAUUAAGUCACCUCUUCGAUAAUCUUCGUUGCCACUCUAUCUUUAACACUCUCUCCUAGCUUCAAGAAUUCAGUAUUGCUUCAAAUCUAACAAGUAAAUAAUAAGCUGAACAUAACUAUGAAAAAUAAUAUGUUUGCUGAGAAAAAAAUUACCUCAUAGCCAGUGGCAUCAGAUAGGCUAUUGAUUUAUCAGGUACAUUUAUUUUUCAAGAAAGAAAAACAAGCACCCUGUCCUCUUCACCAUAUCCUAUUUUAUGCCCUAAGGUAGAAUACUCUGAAAACCAUUUCAAAUUACACUUCAAAUCACAAACUACUCCUAAGUAUAAACUACUUUGCCAUACUUAAGUAACCAAAAUUGAAUUGCAUGGAGAAAUAAAAGAUAAUUAAGGUAAGAACAUAGAUGAUAAUUGGAACCAAAAAGCAUAGGAAUUACCCAUCCACAAUGGCAUAACAUAUGUAUAAACUACUUCACCAUACUUAAGUAACCAAAGUUGAAUUGCACGGAUCACAUACAAAAGUUGAACUAAUCUUUCUCUAUUUUUUGUGGGCAUUCUCCUAUAGAUUUGUACAAGUAGGAACGCGAGGGAAAAAUUUGACUGUGGUAAUAGAAGAAAUCAGAGCAUUACUGUUCCUCACUGCUUCUUUGCUAACAUUUUUAUGAGCCCCUUGAUAAUUUUACCAAACCACAUCAAAUUCAAGAUAGAAAGAGCGCAAGGCACAACGAAUACUAGAAAAUAACCAACUGAAUGCAUCUGGAUGACCUGACUAUAGUGACUGUAAACAUGGUGAAACAUGCAAACAAACAACAAAAUCCUUGCCAUCAGCCAGCCAAAAAAAAUAAAGACACCGUUAAUUAGGUAGACAUUGGACCUCUUCAAUCCAGAAAUAUCAAGAUGUCAUCUCAUGUUGAUUUCUGGGGUAGUCAUUUCUGAUGUGAGGACCAUGAAUGUAUAAAGCUGCCCCUCCCCAGUAAAUACAAAAUAUGCACAGAAACUUCGAAAAGACUGUGAUGGACAAGAAAAUUUCUUAUAUUCCAUCUUUUCUUAAGCAAGAAAAUUUGAGAUUUCCAGUUGUGUGAACUUCAACAAGUGUCUUCAAAUAAAGAAAAAGGCUCUCUGGGUGAGAAUGUAACUGACAAAUUACCAUCAGAGUUUGCACAAAAUUACCUGUCUAAUUUGACCAGAUCACCAAUCCUUGAAAAGACUGCUGCUUGGAAGGCUUCUGAAUCAGUCUCACUCAGUCGCUGCAACAUAUCAUGGAUAAAAGAAAAUGCAUGAAUGGAUUCAUCUACAGCUUUUAUAUAACUAUCCAAUGCAGCAAUGUACUGACAUCUGUUUGAAUGAAUUAAGCUGCAGACCUGAACAAGGUCAUAAAAACAUUACAAUCGACUUAUUCGAUAUCCAUGGAUUUGCCUAACAAUGGAUAUUAUUUUCAUCAGCAUGUGAAAUACCUGGUGAAACUGACAUCUUUCACACAAAUGCAACAGGUAAGGAGCAUCCCAAUCUGUGUCAGGUACAACCUCUAAAAGUGUAAGCAAUUGCUUCUCUCUUCUUUUGUGGAUCUCAAUAUUCUGCCUAGAGACACUAGGUGAAAAGCUAAUUUCUGAUGUCAAAUACUCCAAAUUUUGACUUAAAAUAUCUCUAGAGACCUUUGCUCUUUCACAGGCAACAUAAUAAGUAAUAAACUCAAUUAUGUGACCUGCAGCUUUCUUUGAAGGCCAAGUCUCCAAUGAACUACAAUCGUCACUGCUAGUAGAACCACCUUUUCGGAAGUAGCUUGCUUCAAGGAUAAGAGACAGAACAUCUACUAAUUUCUUUAACUCGUCAACUAACCAUUAGCCAAUCUUGGCAUAACAACAUAGCAAUAGGAUUGGCAGCAACCAACCCCUUCCCCUGCAACUUUUUUGUGGGAUCAAGACAUACAACAGAAGGAUUUUAAAACCUACAAUUUUCUAAAUAAGAAUAAAGCAAUAAAUAUUUUGAGGUAAAUGAGUAUGCUAUUAUGCCUCAUCUAAAGCUUGUCCAAUUGCCUCAUCUAAUUUGGUCAUUAUUAUUCAAUUCUCCCCCUACCAAGUCCAGCCGUAGCUGAUUUUGUACAAAAAAUCAUUGGGAAGCAGCAAGUCCUUCCCAAGUGGGCCAAAAGGCAGAGGAUACAAUUAAUCUAGGGGAUUCACGAUAACUAGGCAAAAAUUUUUCCCUAAUUUUUUCCCUAAGUUAAAAUUUAGGGCAAUAAAAUUUCAGGGGAUGAAAAGUUUAAUCAUGUAAAUAACCAUUAAAUUACACCCUCAAUACAGGUUCAACAAGAAUGCAGGUAGAAAUUUUCAGAAAAAAAAAACAAGCGUAGGGCCAAAAUAUUUGCAAACUAUCUUAGAGACAAAGAAGAGAGGGAAAGAACUAACCUUUGCUGCAGAGACUUGGAGAAUUACUUGGUCUUCAAUGCCAAAGAGCCACGGUACUUCACUGGUCUUCAAUUGUCGAUGAGAUCGAGAGUGUGGUAGAGGUGGAGGUGGAGGUGAAAAUGGAAGUGGAAGUGGAGGUGGAGCCGUAGAGGUAGAGGUGAGUGUGGGCUGACGGGCUGAGUAAAAGUGAGGUGAUUUGUGAGAGUCUGAGAGAGAGUUCAACACUUAGAAAAGUUAUUGUUUUGCAUCUACGUAGUACAAGAGACUUGGACAAAUUUGCGCCUCUUUUUUUUGCCUUGAAUUUUAAAAUUGCGCCACUUUGUUUUUGUCUUGAAUUUUAACUAGAUUUGGACAUCAUAAUUCCCCCCUUUUUACACAAAAAAAAUUGGUGCAAUUUUGUCUUUUAUAAUUGUAUUUGAAAUAUAGAUUUCAUUUUUAUUCAUUAUUUUUGUGUCACAAUUUUAAAAAUUUUAGUAUUAGUGGCAAAACUUUUUAAAUUCAUAUAAAUGGAAAAGCAUUUUAAUAAAAUUUAACUAGUUCUUAUAGGUGCUAAAACUUUAUAUCAAUUAUAACUACUAUUUAUAAAACUUCACUAUUAAUCCAUUAUCUUCAAAUAAGAAAAAAAUGCACAAUUCAACUAAUACAUAAAGUGUAUUAGUUAAUUAACUAUGGAGUUUAGGAUUUAUCCACUUCGAUAAUCGGUUGAAUUUGAAAACUCUUAUUUAUUCAUAUCAAAUUAACUAAUAAUCAUUCUAAGUUAAGUAGUUACAAGUUUAUUUACACUAAUGAAUUUUUUAUUUUUUAAUUAUUUUUUAUUCUAAUGAAGUUAUUACAUAUACAAGAAAAUUAAACUAAUAAGGAGGCUCAUAAGUAUACAACAGUUAAAAAUCAUUAGAGAACACAUAAUGAUUACAAAAAAUUAGGAUUAAUAGUUGCAAAAAGCAAUAAAUAUUUUAAAUCAAACAGUGAUAAGACUAGGUUGUCACUAACGGCUAUAUAAUGUUAUCAGUGACAACAAUAGCAAAGUUGUCAAAGAAAGUGCUAUUAAUACUGACGACUUUUAGAAAGUUGUCACUAUUGCAGUUCCCGCUCUCUCCGUGACUCCUGGCGGGAAUCGAAUUGUGACAACAAUGCAAGGUCGUCACUGAUGUGUUGGCUUCCUUGACUCAAUUGUGACAACUUGCCGUUUUGUGGUUAAAUGACCCCAUUCUGUGAUGAUUUUUUUUCAUCACUGAGAAAUUUUGUCACUAAUGACCAAAUUUCUUGUAGUGUUAAGAAGAUGUGCUAGGGCUGGUAUUGUUUUAGUUAGUAAGAUCUUGUUUUUCAAUUAAACUCCAACAAUCUUGGUGUUACCUUUCAACUCAGUAAAACUUACUGAAGAGGUUAUUUUUGGACGGUCAAGUCUGGCUGACCGAAUAUGUCCUCUUCUUGAACGGAGUGUGACUUUGUGUUGUACUUUUCAUGAUACGCACGCUAGAUCGGGCCUUCUCCCUUAGAAUACCUCCGAUGAUUAAGUUAGUUUUGUGGAAAAAUGAAUAAUGGGAAUGAAAACAGUAGAGUUCUUACUAUCUUUCUUUCUCCCUCUCUUUCCCGAAUGAGGGGGAGUGGUAUUUAUAGGGGACAAGUUGAAGGAAGGAAUAGUGGGCUCCAACUCCCUAGGACCUGGCAGGGAUUGAGUGUGUCCAAUCUGAUUUGAUGGGACGGAACAGUAGACAGGUUCCGUCAGAUGUCUUGUCCGCCAUGCAGGUGUCAGAUUCUCCGAUAAGAUUUCGGAUGUCGUGUCAUGCCGUGCACAAAUCCGAGGCACCAGUUGAUGUGGGAGUCAUCUCGGCUAUCCGCAUGCAAUGUCUAGCCGAGAUGACCAAAAUUGGUAGCGACCCGUCCCAAAUAAUAAAGGAUUUAGCUCGGUAUGGCCGAGCCGGAUGGCCAUCCUCACGUACAGUUUGUUUCCUACUUCCUAAUUACAUAUAACUGUACGAGAUAGAAUACGGCCUAGUUUUUCAAAAUAGAGUAGUACUUUGUACAUUUACAUGGGCUUGAAAAAUUGCAUGUAUGAAUGAGUGAAUCAAAGCGGGCAUGCACGAAUGAUUUGAUUGUGUGGAGGAAACCUAUUCGGAGAAAGUGAACGUUACAGCUUUCUUGCAAUCAUCAGCUCCUACGCUACUCUCACGAACACUAACAACAUCACUUACACCGCAUGCAUGCCAAAGUUUUGAUUACGCACCAUAUAUACAAGUAAGUAUCUAUGCGAUCGAGCAAAAUAACCUAGAUCAUCUGCAUCUGGCUAAUUUGCUGAUUACAUAUGUUUCUCUUUGGCAAUCUUCGUUUUCGAAAGAUAACAUACAUUUUGGAUUUGCGCGAUUCAGCUUUAAGUUGUGGGAGAGAUCAAGAGCACCAUCUUUGCAAUCAAAUGUCUUCUCAUUUUUCAUCGAAAAAAAUAAAGAUGCUUAAUAAAAUCAAGAGCUUAGGUAGUGUAACUAUCCUCUUCUACUCCUAAUUGAAAAUCUUGAAUAUUUUGCUAUAAUAGGGCCUGACAUUUAUAUAUAUAUAUAUAUAUAUAUAUAUAUAUAUUGAAUACGAGAUAUCCUACUAAUUUAUAGAGAUGAUUUUUAAACUAUGAUUAGUUCAAAUCGGAGAUCAAGUACUUGACGAAUAUUCAUCAACUUCCCGAUUAGUACGCAUGUUUUUCUUGCCCCCACCUCUUUGGCUUAACAUUUUCCCGACCAAGUCUUACCCCUCGCUCUUCUCUUCUCGGUUGCCCACAUGAUCAUCCUUUGAUUGAUGUUGGUGUGUAUGAAAGCGAAAAAAUAACACAAGAGCUAGCAAGACUUUGAGGGUUUGCAACCAGCUAGCGGUGGUUGAAUCCUGAUUUCCUUCGAUGCAGUCAACAUGGCUAAUCAUCUCAUAUUUUGAUUCACAAUCGCAAUUUUCCAACUCCGCCAACUUAAUGAAGGGAGAGAUGUUGCUAGCUUUCAUUGCUUCAUUGAUUUUGAAGAUUAAUUCUUGUGCUUAUUGAUUAUUAGGAGAAUAGCGUGCUGAUUUGACACCAAGGUCAUUGACAGUGGUGUCAGCAUAUGAUUGUAGUUUCUUCUUCUUCUUCUUCCUCUGGAGGGCAUGCGAGGAAGCAAUGGUGGCAAUUGAUGACUGUAGUAUGCAUUUUUGUUGUUCUCUCUGAAUUCUGAAUUGGCGUAAUUGUCUGAGCCUUGCUAAAGGCAGGAGCGGAACUAGGAUUUUAAUAUAGGAGGGACAAACAGUCAAACGCAGUACAAAUUAAUAUUCAUUAUAAAGUUUAUAUUAUAAACUUGAAUAAUACUCCCUCCGUCCCAUUGAAACUGUCAUGCUUUCCAUUUUGGUCUGUCCCAAAAUAUUUGUCACAUACCUAAAAUGGCAAAUGAAUUUUUCUCCUUUUUCUAAUUUUACCCUUCUGACACUACCUUUAAAUAUGUGGGUCCAGCAUAAAUUGUCAAAAGAACAAGACACGCUUUGAAGUGCGUGGCUGAUGCUAGCCAAUGUUUACUAGCGCGUGCAGUGCAAAAUAAGCAAAAAGUUAGUGUAGCUUUAAUAAUGUAGUGGGCCCAAAGUGUUGACUAGUUUGAAUAACUUCAUCCGCACCACUAUAGGCAAAAUUUAGACAGCUUGGCAGGGAUAAUUUAGGAAUUACAGACAGCUAUCUCUUCUUCUUGUCUACUAUUGAAAAAUAUUCCAAUUCCCGAAAAGUGACAAACUUUUCGGGACGGAGGGAGUAAUAUUUAUGUGAAUAAUCAAUAACUAAAGUUUAAACUAUAAGAAGAAAUUCUAAAGAAAAAAAAAAUUACUUACCUUCAGAAAGUUGAGUUUGGUGAAGUGUCAAUCCUUAAAAUAGGUUUCUCGAAGUUAGGAAAGAUCGAUACUUGAUUAAAAAAAUCAAAAGGCAAAACUUUUAUUGUUUAUUUUUUGACAAAUAUUCCUAUCAUUUUAGUCCAAGUCAAUUUAGUAGUAAUAAAAUUGUAUCCGUGGUUGAUUUUUUUCAUUUUUUUUUUCUUGUCUUUGGUUCCUUUUAUUUGUCAUUUUCUUUUCCUGUUGGUAUAGUGUUUCUUUUGAUAACUAUUUUAAAGUUUUAACAAUCACAUGUAAUAAAGAAAUUAAGUAUUAUUUUCUUAGUUGCUAUUUAAGAGUUAUAUUAACUAAUCAUAUACUAAUAUUGAAAUGAUACCGAUCCCGUAUAUUACUGUAAAACAACUAAGAAUUGGAUUGCUAUAGGACAUUUUCGCAAAAAAAAAAAAAAUUGAAGGAGAUGCCCUAGUUGAUAUUUAAAAGUUAAAGAAAUCCUUAUUGUAUACUAAGAUUAAUAUUGAUCUAUUUUAUAUCACAUGCUAGAUGCCUAUAUGACAAUUUUACAAAGAAAAUUCCUUACUUAUGCACAUGUUGAUUGGAGGGGAAUUGGGGCAAGGCAACAAAACGUUGGAGAUAGUUUUGUAUCAAAGUAGGUGUAGUUACAAGUUUCAUGUACCCCCAGCUAUUAGAUCCAUUCGGAAAGUUGGGCUUAGAUGACCUCGGGGGUUGGCUUGGACGAGCAGUGACGCAAAAAAUGUCCCGCGAGACAAGGAAACAAACUCAGUAAAAAGUCAGGUCCUGGGUGGGCCUGAUGCAGAAGACCCCAAUAGCUAAGGUGGGCCUGGGUGGCAUGACAAAAUCAUCUCAAAUAAAAAAUAAGUUGAGGUUGGCAAGCACGCAAAUUGGAAAAUUAGAGAGCUCCUCCCGAGUGCAGGUGGUAGAAGAAGCUGGCAACGUAGUACGUUGUCCCAUUUUGAGUUUACGGUCGCGUUACAACUUACUACUAGCACCAACGCCAAUACUUGUGCCACUUUCUUCUUAGCUUAACAAAAUGUUUUGAGUUUGCAAUUGGGCGUUACGUUCCAAUUAAAUCCUUUGUUAGCUGCUGUUCACAUUGGCUGUAUAUCAGUAACUGUAGACGAGACGAAGCAAAGAUGAAAGGGCCUCGUCAUAUCACCAAAAGUUUGGAAGGAAACAAGCAUUCAUUCUUGCUCCUUCCCACAACGUUCAACAAACAAAAGACCUACAAAUUACCGAACCAACUACGGGACAAUAUGUGACUCAAUUUCAAAAAUCGAUUAAUGGAAUUAAGUGCCCUUAUAAAUUGAAACAUUUGAAAUUAUAUUUAUUUUUGUCCAAACUUUAGCAUUAUGGAUGUUGACUAUCACUAGUACUGUUAAUUUCGCGCGGCCAAUUUAGGGCAAUGUGUCAUGUCAAUCCCCACAAAAUCUCUCCCCCACACCAACAAGAAAAUUAAAAAGAAAAAAGUAGUUGUCAUAUCUAAAUAAGAGGGUCUUAAUUGAACUGUAACCUUUGGAAUUUUGGCACAAUUCUUCUGAUCCUACAGUCCGACAGCAAGGAAAAUUGUUAGAUUCUUCCUAUUGAGGGGCCCCCACGUGAAUGGGUUGGUGGUUGGCGGCUCUUCCUCUGGACCGUCAGGUCCUGGGGGGUCGAAUCUCCGCAGCAACGUCGACUUCUCCGUGCAUCUAACGUGCUAGGUCUGGUUGGGGCGCCGGGCCGGGUCGAAGUGGGAUUAGUCGGGCCGCCUUUACGGAAUUGACCCGGACACCCACUCCGUCGACAAAAAAAAAAAAAAAAAAAAAAAACUUCCUAUUGAGGGGGGUGGGAAUGAAUAGCUUUUUGUUAGAUCAAAAUGUGCGGGCAUGGAUAGCAAGUAGAUAUUUCGAUCAAUGUGGCUUCCGCAGGUUGGCCAACAGAUGAGUGAAAGUUAUCAUUUGAGCAGUGAAACGAAUAAAUGCCAGACCAAACUGUUUUAAUAAUCCAAACUUGUCCUACACUUCCCAAGACCUUUUUUUUCUGUUUUCACGACCACAAACUUGGGAGUGGAAUCGAGGUCUGUUCAACUUUUUCAAGUCCGGACUCAUGUAAUGAUUUGUCUGAUUCUUACGGGAAUGCUUAUAUGUUCUAUCUUCUCCCAAAAAAUUGUUGGGGGUAGAUGAUGUUGCAUAAAAUCAAGUCAUUGGUUCUCUUUACCUUGUGCUUUCCAUCUGAUUGUAGAUCUUAGAAGGGACAACUUUAAAAGUGAGUGAAAAAGGCAAAAUUAAUAUCGACAUAUGGAAAGCACACUACACGUUUGUACCACAACACUACAGCAUCCCCCCAAAAAGAAAAAAAAGGGAAACCGGAAAUAUAUUAUUACAAACAGAAAUGGCUGCAUUAAUGAAUACACUGAGUCGGGGGCUGGUUAAGUCAUAAAUGUUAGAGAAGCUUAUGUUGUUGGCUGUCAAUUCAAUGGAUUCUCAGGAGGAAAUAAGGCCUUCAGAAUUUGGAUGAGCGCCAACCAACCAACAACAUCUGCUGCUAGAUGACACGUAGUACGUAAAGUCCUCGGCCAACUGCCAUCCCCGUCCCUGUUUUGUGGCCAUGGAAUGCCAAAGUGGCCUCAGCUAUUAACGCACUUCAGGACCUAUGUUUUCAGAACCGGACCGGAUAGCGACUCGGCCGAGGUCAGGGGUCAGGGAUCAAUGGGUUCGACCGGGGGUCGAUAGGGGUCGAACCGAAUGACGUCAUAAAUAAAAAUUAUUUAAAAAUUAAAAUAUUAUAUAUAUAAUAUCUAAUAAUAUAUUGAUAUUAAUAAAGGUAUAUUCAUAUAUAUUUGAUAUUUCAAAUAUAUUUAACAAAAAAAUACAAAGAAAUUAGAACAAUCAAGUAGCUAUUUAUAUUAUUUAAUAAAUAUUAACAAGUUUAGAAUUAAAAUUAUGAAUUUAAUUGAAAAAUAACAUCAAAUUUUAGGAUAAUAUUUAUAAAGUAUCAAAUAUUUGAGGUAUAUCAAUAAGUUUUAACAAUUUAGGGGAUCAAAACAUAAUAUUCAAAAGUUUAAAUUUUUUUUAAAAAAAAUUACUGUUGAACCGGAAAAACCGGUUUUUACCCUGUCCAAACCCGGUUUUUGACCGGCUUUGACCGGGUUUUAAAUUUCCGGUUUUUUAAUGUGACUCGGACCGGCUACCUGGCCGGUUCCCGGUUCGACCGGCCGGUCCGGUCCGAGUUUCAAAACAGAGUUCAGGAACAUAGCCUUCCCUCCCCCCCCUCCGGUAGGCGUGAAAAUUUUAUUGUAACGAUUUGAUAUAUGUGAAAAAAAAAGGUAAUAGGGAUAUGUGAUCACGAAAAACGAUGUAAUUUUUCGACGAUUAAUAGCUGUCCAAACAAGGCCUAAAGUUCCCAGAUACAAUGACCUAAGUGCCCAUCGAAGUUGGCUCGGUUGAUGCUGGGAUUGCCUAGUUAGGUUCUGGCACCGUGUAAUUGGAUUCGACUCCUUCUGCCGUCUUGUGUAUCCUUGGGGGUGGAAUGCACAAGCGCAAGGGAUUAGUUGGGUCGAAUGGCGGGACACCCCUGUGUUGACAAAAAAAAAAAAAGAUACAGUGACCUAAGGGAUGGAACGAUUCACCAUUGUUGAAUUCAAAGAAGGCUUUUACUUUGCAUUUAUGUAAAUUUGAAUUCAAAUCCUUUCACUUAUAAAAAGAAAAAAAAAAGAAUUUAUAGAUUUUUAUGUUUAAAACAUGCACUUGUAUUACUGAAUUUAUCAAAAGGUUCAGUUAAUAGCAGCGUAACUGCAUUCAACUGGGAUGAGUUCAUUGCCUCGACUACAAACAGUUUGUUAAUGAGAGGGAAAUUCAGAUUCUGUAUCUCAAAACCAAUUGAGCAUUAAUACUUAUUAUAGCGUAUUCCAUUGUAUACCCAAAAUGAAUUAGCGAAUGCUGCACGCAGUAUUUCAGAAAGCAGAAGGUGAACCAUGCAAUUGCUGGUAAAUAUCAAGAACAUGAUCAAUUCUCAACCCAUCAUGUGAGUGGCGACAAUUAAAAUUUCAAUCGUCCAAAACAAUUUACUAAAAUGGAAUGGUCGAAACUCUUAAAGUCUGCUUCUUAUAGAAAAGGGACGGUGUGGAGUACCAAGCUAACACGAUUGACUGACGAGGCUUUGCUGCUUGCGUUCCUCAAUUAUGAUAGCUGAUUGUUCACAAAUUAACCCUACCUCCCUAAGACUUCAGUACAUGUAUAUAUGUAUAUAUAUGCAGCAGCAUUCUUGGUAUGAAUAGAGGAGUAGAAGACUGGCCAAAUCAAUUUAUCCAAAGUUUCAUCAAUGAUUUGGCUAAGAAGCGAUAUAUUUCCUUCGAAGGCGCACACGUUCCACGACCACGACAACGAUUACCACCACCACAAGUUAUUUGGGGUUUGUUAAAGGCUUGAAAUUUUCCAAAUCUCCUCGAGUUCUCGAGCAAAGGCUUUCUGUCUUCCAACAACAAUGGUGAUGUGAUCUUUGUUUUCUACAACUUUAACUUGGGCUCGAGGCACUCUGGAUUGAACAUUGUAGCUGCAUUCAACUGGGAUGACUUCAUCAUCUCGACCGUGAAUUACGGUCACCGCGCAUUUCAGCCGGUUCUUCACCACAUCCAAAUAUCCUUCCAUUUUCCCUGCAGUCCCGCAAAUAAUAUUGUGCAGCGUGUGCCACGCAGCAUUGUGUGUGUGGCAGCAAAAUCCCUCAAUCAAAUAUGUUCUGAUCCUGCAAAAUAUUAAGAAUGCUAUUCAUCUUGAAUUAUUUCUUUUUUCUUUUUUGAAAAAAAUAACAGAAGAAACUGUAAUUUGACUGAUUAACGACUGCAUCCCACAAACUUGGACCAAAAGCCUGUGGAUGAUAUUUAUAACGCGGUAAAAUUGCAUUAUCUAAGGCAGAACGUUUCUCACAGGUAUUUGUUAAAAGUCACGAAUCCGGGCAAUCGGUUUACAUAUGCAAGUUUGAGGCAUAGAAUAAUGAUGGAUGGCUUUUGGUGUUCAACAAAGAAUACUAUGUUCAAACUCGGUAUCAGACCGAAUUACUAACGAAAUGAUCCUUGUUAUUGGUCAAAAAGAAAAAUAGAUGUUUGUGUUAAUUAGACCAGGUUAUGAUAACAACUCAAACCUACCCGUCCAUCGUAGUUAUGCAUUCCGUUACCCUAUUCAUAUAAGAGCUUCGUCCCACUGCAAAUUCAACCUCAAUCAAUUAACUUCUCUUUCCUAUUCAGCUUAGACUUAGUGGUGCACUAAGGAGACGCUAAUACAGGAUUACUCAGUGUCUAGUGGUAAAUUGAGCAAAACAUAAAUCAAUGUGUUUGGAUUUACCUUAAAAAACAAAGGCUUCUUGGGGCAGAUUGCUGAGUUUGGACAAAUAUCUACAUUCAAAUGGAAGUAAAUUGAGGCUUUACGAAAUCAAUUCAUUAGUCUUCUAUGUCAUAAAACUUUAUCGUCCAACUAAUCUUAAUUCAGUUUGGAUAUGCUUACUUCACCUGACCAAUCCAACAUAUUUUGACCAAAUAUUACGACUUUGAUACCUUUAACAGGCCGGAUAUAAGAAUUAGCAUUAAAUUACGCAGACCAGAACAAAAUUUGGGACAUUUUCAGGACGAUUUGAUAAAAUUUUGUUUGUUCUUAAAACCUGAGGAAUACUAAAGUACCGAUUCUACCCUCGUUGGAAGAGACCACUGCAUCCCAAGUAGAGUUAGGAACGAAUCGAGUCGCUUGCGAGCAGCUCGAAUCCGAGUUCAAACUCGCUAAGUCGAACUCGAAUUCAAAAAUAUUUAACUCAUUAGCUCGCGAGCGGGGUUAUCUAUACAUAUAUUUAUUUUAUUUUGAUAGUAAAAUUACAUAUAUAUAUAUCUAAUAUUUUAUUACUUGUUAAAAAUUUAUUACUUUACUUAUUUUUUUUAAAAAAUGAUUAUUUUUUAUUUUUUUAAACUUGAGCUCGACUCAAAUUCAAGUCGAACUCGAGUCUUAUAUUGAAAACUUAUCGAGUUCGAGUUUCAUAAAACUAAAUUAAAACUAGACUCGAUUAAAUCAAAACUCGACUCGAGUGGCCUCAUUUGCACCCCUAAUCCUAAGCUUGCGAAGAGAUCUUUCUCCGAAUGUCAAGAAAUGGUCCCAGACUUCUUGGAAAGGUUGGGAAAACUUACCGGAUUUAGACAUCAGCAAGGUAGCCCAAAACUUGACGUCUGUUUGGAUAUUGUGGUAGCAAGGGACCAGUGUGGACGGUCGAAACGUUGUACUCAUAUAUAGAGUAUGUCAAACUUAUCAGAAUACUCUUUAAUAUUCUCAUUAUUAUACUCAUUCUCGCUGUUAAAUUCAGAGUUUAAACUCUGUACUUGACAGUCAGGAGGUAAAAAGGAGUGGAAGCGUAAAAAUUAAAAAAAAAAAUUCUUAUAUUGUCCUUAAAGCACAAAGUCUUUGGAAAUAAGUUGUACCAUUAUUUUUAAUGCUCAUAAAUAAUAUUGUUGUUUAGGUGUUUUGCUAAUAAAUUACUAGAAGAAGAAGUGGUCUAAUUUUUCUUUGUUUUUUUGGUGGGUCGGAAGCUUACUAUAGUGUUGUAAGGAACACGCAUACAUAAGAGAGAGAGUUGAAGAGUGGCGCAAACCUGUUUCUGGUAAGUAAUUUGGUAAGAAAAUCCCAGAGACGGUGGUUUUUGCAGAUGAGAAGGCAAACGGUUCGGCUAAUAUGCUCAUACCAACAAGCAAUCGAGGACCCAAAAGCCAUCAGUGGCCAUACUCGCCGAGGGGCUACUCUUCUCAUCAUGUACUGACUAGCUUCUACUCCCCUGGGUACUGGAAAAUAUGGCUGCCAUUUUUGUCAAAUUCCACGAAUCAGUGCAAGCUUAAUCUUAGUUCUAGAAAUUAAUUGACACCACUAGAUUAUGCUAUCUAUUUUGAAAAUUUGUGAAUCUUUCUUCUUCUUCUUCUUCUUUUCUUUCCCCCAAUAAACGCUCAUGGACCACACACACAACCAAAAAAUAAUAAUAAUAAUAAUCAAGCAUGGGAUCAUCCUAUCAACUGUAUAAAGUUCGAAAUAAAAGCCACCAUGUAGAACUCCUUGGAGAUUUAAGUGCAUCAUUUUGAUUUAUAUACUGGGAUACUAGUAGCGUAUAAAACUUACAGGUGCUAGAAGAGUUAAGGAUUUGACGGAGGCAGGAUGCUUGACAGAGAGUGCAAGAGCCAAGAUGCAGCCCAAAGAAUGGGCGACGAUGUGGAAAGACUUGACCUUGUGUGGCUCCAGAACCGACCUCUCAAUCAUCUCCACAUGUUCCCUCAGGGUGUAGAGUGAAUCCGUUGGCUUAGGGCUCCUUCCAAAACCAAGCAGAUCAACCGCAAUGAAUCGAUACUUAGACUUGGCUGACUCGGAGAAGUUUGGGAACAAUGUUUCCGUCCAAAAUGCUGAAGAUGAGAUGAAGCCGUGUAUGAAUAUCACGUCUUCUUCCACAUUAUCUGCUCCACCGCCAAAGAGAAAAACAAAAAAAAAAGAAUUACUAUCUACUACAGCUACUAAUGCAACACUAGCUGCAGUCAAUGAUCGGUCAAAUUCACGAAGGAAAAAUCUUGAAGCUCAAGGCGCGCAAUAUUGGUGCGGCUUUACCUGUGGCUCCUUGGACCUUGACGUAUAAGGUCUCUUUGCAAGAAGACGCCCAGGAGUUGCAGGUUUUACAAUCACAAUCUGACCACCUUGGCAUGGGAGGAUGGGGGGGUUGGUGGGCGGCCCUGAUUUUACCUUGCAGCAUUUCAACAAUGGUGGAGUUGACGGUGAACGUUGAGCGUAGCGUUCCUCUUCCUCCUCCUCCCCUCUUGGUAUUCUUGUCGGGUUUCUGAAUGACGGCGCGGCUGUUGACGGUGAGGCGGUUGACGGUGGACUUAGAGACCCCGGAGAGCAAUGCAGGGCGAGUGUAGAGAGUGUCGGAGAUCUCCUCCAGCUGCAACUUGGUAGAGGUGAGGCAUACGACCUUUUUAGACUCUCCUUGCUCCGAGACUAGGAUUUUGCCACUGCUGGUGAUGGCUUCUUUAGCCGAGGAGCAGUAACAGGGCUUCCGUUCUGCCUCCACGAAAAAAUCUAUCACUUUGUACAAGUAACACAGCGCAAAAUCAAGCAGGUCUAGAACAGAGAACAUGAUCAAGCUGAGCAAAUGGUUCAGAAAUCUGCCAGUCAUUAGUAGGGCCGAUCUAGACCGUGCCUUAACUUCCAUUGCAAAACUAAUGAUAUAUAUACUAGUAUAAAAUUUGAGAAGAAAGCUUUUUAAGUACGUGCCACCGCCUGGCUGGCCAGACCAGCCCAACGAAAAGAGCGGUGGCGGGCCGGUUCAAAAUCGAUCCGAGCAAGAGUUAACUCUUGGGAGGUGGUGGUGGUGGUGGGGGGUCACGGAAACAUUAUUGGUUUUAAUGCAACCAUUGCUGGAAAUGGUAAGAAGGAAAUGUUAAUAACAGUAGAAUGAAAAUGUCAAGGCAACCCGCGGGUCCUCCUCAGUGGAAUCUGUUUUCUGAGAUCAGCUUGGUCGAAUUACGAAGCAAUAUACAAGGAAAAUGAUCUGGAAGGGAAAGAGAAAAUGGGUGGUAGGUUCUUUGUUUUCUCAAAGUUUAGAGAAGAAAUAAUUGUAGUCCUAAUUUGGAGGUAACCCACCAAUGCACUACUACUGCUGCUGCCAGUACUAACUCUUCUGUCUUUCUACGAUAACAUCCAACAACAACGCUCUCUCUUAGUUAACUUGCUCUUCUUGCUUUACUUAUUGGAAGGUUUUGUAGGCAAAAAAAGACUGAAGAAAAAGAAAAAAACAAGAAACAGAAGGGCGGCGAUUUAGACACGUAUGUACAGGUAACAGAUGAAAUGAAUUCAUUUCGAUGUUGUUUUACAUUAAAAUGGGUUUGCUGGUCAAUGGCAAAAAGGUUGGUGGUGGUUGAACCUCUCGUUGAAGUUGCAUUUCUGCUCAAAAUCCCAUAUCUCAGCCUUGCCUUUCUUCCUCAACCUCUUCUUAUCAAUUUUAACCAACAUUAUUGCCAUUUAUUUAUUUGUUUUUUAAAUACUACUAUAUUUAUUUCUAAUACAAGCAGCUGUCCCUGGCUCCAGAACCACCCCAAAAAGAUGUAGUAGAAUAAAGACACAUGAACUCUAUCACUAGGUUCUCUUACCAAAACUACUAGCUACUAGCUGAAGUAAUUAGGGCAAUACCUGAAGUAAUUAGCUUUUAUUCAGAAAUAAAAAAGUUAUUACGACUCUUUGGAUAUUGCGUCAAAUACGACUCUUUUAUGUGAAAUUUUAAUUUAAGCCUUUCGGAACAGUAGCACCGGAAUUUUUAUUUUAUUAUUUUUUUAAAAAAAAAAUUUAUUGGAUGUGUUAAUGUGGAGGUGCUAGUAUAUUGUUGAAUAAUUUAUUCUCCAAACUGAAUUUUAUUUGUAACUCAUGCCAAAUGAAUUAAUGCAUUUUUAAGACUAGUAGAAUAUUCACACGUAACCUCUCCAUCUUAACUUUGUGUUUUUCAACACUAGGAAUUACUAGUAGCUACGCAUGCACAAGUCAUAACCCCCCCUCGAGUCAUGUCAUAAUGAGUGCAAUUAUCUCCUUUCUCGUAACUCCCCAACAUAAAAUUAUGAAUAUUUUUUUAUUUUUCCAGUUGGAACUCUCAUUUCUUGGUCGUAGAAAAGGUUCCCCUUCUUUUAUUCUGUUGUUUGUUUGUACACCAUCCAGUUAUCAUUUAUUUAUUUAUUUAUUUAUUUUUGGGUAUCGAAGGAGAUAGCACAAUUCGCAUCAUAACUGCAUAGUUAAGGUUCUUAAUGUUAGGAUCGAUCUUAAAAAUGGCCAAGGUUGAAGCUUGUACGGGACUCUCCUAAAAAGAUUGUAAGAAAAAUGUAAAGUUCAGGCUUUAAUUAUUUAUUUUCUAAGCUAAUAUAGUUCAUGAAAAUAAAUGUAAAGAUGGGAUGUAGUAUUGUUUAAAAUACCGAUCGAGUAUAAUAAUAUCUCCAGCUUGAAUCAUUAAUAUAUUUUAUUUUUGUUUCAUAAAAUGUAGAUACAAAGUAAAUUCUGAUAAUGCAAUUAGGUAACAUUUUUAGAAAAUGCACCUACCCUAAUCAAAUUUGUAAUUCUAAAGUCAUAAAUUCCUAUUAUUAUUAAUACCAUAAAAUUUUCCAACAACUCUGCGUGCAGUCCAUACUUUGAGGGGCAAAUGUAAACUUUUCAAACGUAAAGAGGCCCCAACCCAAAGGCAAAAGACCACAAUGUGUGGGUUCAAUUUAUUGCAUCGUCUCACACCACAUGACUCCCGGCCCAUACCCUGAGGAGCCACUAAUUGCCUUCAGGUCAGCCACAGUGUGGACUAGGAUUACAACAUGCAACUCAUGCAUGGCUUUGUAGUUUGUAUCGUCCGAGCGGUUCAUUAAGCACUAAGCAGUACAUAAUAACCUGGCUGGCUGACGAAGAUAUGAUAACCGGACCUGUAUCAAUCAUCAGGCAAUAGCUUAAUUUGACGAUUGGUAUGUAUAUAUUUCCGUACUUAGAUAACAUAGGAUACAAUGGAAAUGCAAGAUUUGCUUCCAUUUUCAUCAAGAAGCUUGAAAAAGACCUAGGCCUCUUGCAUUAAAAGUUUAUGGUUUGUGGACUGGACGAGAAUUGGGAUCACAGGAUUUUAGUUGGUAGUCCGCGACUUAUUAAAGAGCAUUAAUUGGAAAAAUAUAUGUAUAUACACGCACACACAUUAAGUCAAACUUAUAUGCAAACACGAAAAGCCACAAGUUCAAGCCUAAGCAGUUCGAGGAUUAUAUCAAGAAACAAUUCCGCGACCACUUGGAGGAGGAAAUAGAACGCAACGGAUCUUCUGUUCCACAUCCUGUGCCACUCUCUGUCACACUUUUUAUUAUAUUGCUAUUUCUCCUACGUAAAUAUCAUGUUUUAGUUCUUUUUUUGUUUCCUUAAGAUCCAAUAACUAUUAAUUGAGUAAAAAAUAAAUACAGCAGCUUCAAAAAAGCAAUAUAUAAUAGAAAAUUAAAAAAUAUAGUAGAAAAUUCAUAAAAAAUCUCAUUUUUUUAUGCAUUUUGAUUUUUUGAAUUUGUAAUUUUGUAUAUUACUCAAUUAAUAGUUAUUGGAUCUUAAGGAAACAAAAAAAAAAACUAAAACAUGAUAUUUACGUAGGAGAAAUGGUAAUAUAAUAAAAAGUGGGACAGAGAGUGGCACAUGAUGUGGGACAGAAGAUCCAUUGCGGAAAUAGAAGCUUCCAAGAAAAGUAGAACCUUAAAAAAAAAAAAAUCACUAGCAUCCCCGAAAUAUACACGCGCGCGCAAUAUCUUAUGCAAUUUUGAUAAUUUCGCAAGAAAUCCAAUGCUUUCUUUAUAGAAUUGAAAGAUGAAUCAAAUUAUUUAAUGUUCAAAUCAAGGUUGACUUGAUAAGAACUCGUUCAACAAGCCAAGUUUGAAUACCAUUUUAUAUUUGAUGACAUUCAAAUUUGAUUUAAAAAAAUCAUUCAAACUCAAUUCGGUAAAUUUGAACAUUAGCGUAUUUUGUUUGAUUAAAUUUGUUUAUAUCCCUAUUUCCUUGCCCUUGAUGCGCUGAUAUUUUACGAUAUUCAAGAAAUAUUCCAUCAAUUUAGGAAAAAAUUAAUCAAGAAACAAGGAAAAACAUUUCAUCGGCCAGUGCAUAUAUUGUUUUUCUAGAACGACCUAAUAGAAGAUACUAAUCUAUAUAUCAAUAUAUUUGAAGAUAACUUUUCAGAUUUCAUCUCCUAGAAAACUCCAAACCUCCUAUCCUUUUGUCUUAGAAAUUUUAUUUUUUAAUUAGAUAAAACAACAUUUAAUGUUUAGAUUAUAGGAAAACCAUAUUGAAGCUAUCAAUUAGCUGCGAUCCUUAAGUCGACUAAUUAAAGAAAACCUAACAUACCAUCUCAAAUAAAAAACUUGCCAAACUUAUAAAAGACUAUAAUUCAAAAAAAAUAUAAAUGACCAUAACCAAAAAGAAAGUAACAAUACUCCACACCAUUUAAUUUGGCAAAUGCAAUGUAGUAGAUUAGGAAAAUUACUCUCAACUUCGUAUCCUUUCUUCUUAGAAUUUUAACCUAUUUUAAUUAAAUAAAACAACAUUUCAUUUUCGGAUUAUAUACUUAUCACAUCAAAGCUAUUAAUUAGCAUAUUCUAAUGUGAACUAAUUAAAGAAAACCUAACAUAUCACUUCAAAUUAAAAGCUUAUCAAACUUAUAAAUGAGUAUAAUUCAGUAAAAUACAAAUGACCGUAAUAAAAAAAGAAAUACCAUUAUUUAAAACCAUUUAAUUUGGCAACACUAAGAUUAAAGGCUGUGUUGUAAAUUAAGAAAAUUAAGACAGACAUUCAAAUCAAUAUAGAAACAACAAUAUUCCAAACCUUCUUUCGGUAAUUUUAAAUUAAGUAUGUAAAUAUAUUUUUCCUCCUUAAAAAAAUUCUUGACUCAUUGAAUGUCUUUAUAUUUUACUCGCCAAAUUCACUUUAUAAUAGUGUAACAUUGACAAUAUGUCAAGUUAUAUUUUAAAUAAAAAAUGAAAAAAAUUAAGACUCUCAGACAAAUAGAUGUGAAAAAUGUCGAUCACAAUUAAUAAAAAAAAAAUUCCAACACACAUAGAGCAUGUUAUAUACAUAUGUUAAGUAUACACUUAUUUGAAAUUUUUAAUCUUUUUCAUAUACUCUAUCAUGUAUUGCAAUUUAUAAGUAUAUAUUAUUAUUUUGAAUUGAAACAUAAAUCCUCACAUAACACGGGUCAAAAUGCUAGUUGAUCAAGAACUUGGUGGAUAAAAUAUUUAUUUGAUAGGUAUCUUUUCUUUAAGAAAAAACACCAAGUGCCUGAACGUGUCGCAUUGACUAUUUCUUCUGCCCAUAGUUGUUAAAGUUGCUCAGGGCUGUUGCAUGGCCAUUCAAUACUAAUCACCAGUGUUAAAUGUCUCAUCAUGCUUUCUCAACUUUUUACGGUCUAUCCUUUUCGUUCUUUUAUUGUCACAAAAAUUUCAAACCAAUUUAUCACAGCUGAGCCUUCAACCAAUCUAGUCGUUAGGAAUUAAGAAAUUUGACCAAUUCUGGCAACACGGUUCAUCCUUCCACACACAGUUUAACCUCCCCUCCUCUCUCUCUCUCUCUCUCUCUCUAUAUAUAUAUAUAUAUAUGUAACUUUUAUGGAAUGAUAGUGUAUUGAUUUUUUAACAAUAGCAAUUACGGAAAUAUAUCACGUGUGCAUAGCUUGAAUUUUAAAUUUAAAUUCAUGUUACGUGGCAUGAUUUAAAGUUGUUAGUGUAAAAUUUAAAGUUGUUAGUGUAAAAAAAAUUGCACACCUUAUGAAAAACUUACCCUAUAUAUAAUAGUUGUUAAUUUAAUUACCCAUUUUCGAUCUCUUAGGUAGCAUGUUUAAUUGAAAACAAUUGAUGAGUCAUUUGGAUAGUUGAGUUUUACCCAUAUUCGCAUCCAAUUCUUCUCCAAUUAAAUUUUCUCAUAAUUUCUCUCUAUUCUAAUAACUUAAUCUAUUUUCAUAAAAUUGAUUAUUUUUGUUAUACUUUUCUACUUUCUUCUAACAAACUAUAUUUUUAUUUAUAAAUCCACUUAAUUUAUUUUAUCCAUAUAUACUAAUUUUAUUUAGUAUUAUUUAAAUUGUUACUUAAUUAAUGUUGCUAGAAACUUAAUAUUUGUUCAUGGAGAAUAUCUGGUAUUUAGUUGAAUACAAAUAUACAUAUAUAUUUAGGUUUUAAAUUAAUUUGAAGAAUAUCUAUCAACCUUUUCGUAGACCUUGCAUUUCUUAUGUAUAAUAGUAUUGUAUUUAAAUAAACGUAUGCAUAAAAGUUUUCAAAGAUUAAUAUGGUACACGAGCACUUAGAUACAUUUAGUUUUGUAAAAUAAAUAUUUAUGAAUAUGUAAGAAAAUUGUUUUAUUUUUUCCUCGAGUUAUUCAUGCUUCCAUAAAACUUGCAACUAACACUAAUAAUAAUUUUUUUUUUAAAAUCAUGCUAAUGUACACAUCGUUAAAUCCAUGAAACAUGUGCAAAAAUUGAAUUUCAAAUCCAAAUUUUAUAUAGUUAUCAUUCAUCCAAAAUUGAUAGCAUAUAUUCCGUUAGUAUAUGAAAGAUUAAUCAUUGAUUAUAUAUGCAAUUAUAAUCAUCAGCCGAACCACAAAAAAUAAGUUUAAAAUGCAUCUAACUGAUUAUUAGAAAUAAACAUCUAGAUACAGAUACCAACUAACCGUCUAUCAACAUGAACCCCCCCUCCCCUUGUUUUGAUCCCCCGCCGCGGUGUUGGUUGUGGGAAUCAUCUAGAUAGAAACUUUGUUCGUCUCCACUUUUUAUAUAUGAAAAGAUAGUGUUGUGCUGACAACCUAAAUGCAAAAAUCUAGAGGUAAAACGUUCAAGGUCGAGUUAGCUUCGUCAUCCAACAUUCAUGCACUCAUAAGGACUCAGAUAUUUUGUAAAUUUCAUAUAUCUCAGGCCAAUAGUUACUAACAUCAUCCAUCCUCUUUGCUGUAACUAAUUUAGCUGCAGGCACCUAAUAAGAACUACUCAACAAGAGCCAGGAAAAUUUGCAUCAGACUCCACUGGUGACGAAUAUAAUUUGCAUCAGGCUCCACUGGUGACGAAUAGUUUUGAUGGAAGAAUUCAUCGAAGACGCUUUCAAUAAUUGUACUACAUUCUUCAAGCAAAGUCAUGCAAACCGUGUGGCUUGUAAUCAACGUACAAAGCCCUUUGACAGUAAAUACACGCACACACUUAUAUAUGUGUCUACCACGAUUGGUGCUGGCUCUGAUCCCGUGGCAAUAUUCAUGACAAUAAUGGAGAUCCAUACAUUUUGCGCAAUAUUGGUUGUCAUCCAAUUGCACGUUUUCCCCUGCGUUUCUUUAACUUCCUUUGUGUUCGGAGACUCAUUGGUGGAUGCAGGGAACAACGACUACUUGUUUACGCUAUCUAAGGCGGAUUCUCCACCUUAUGGCAUCGAUUUCCUCCCUUCCGGGGGAAGACCGACCGGAAGGUUUACCAAUGGCCGCACAAUUCCAGAUAUAAUUGGUAGUAGUAAUUAAUUUGUUCCUCUGCCUUGCUAAAGUUUCUAACCUUUUUUCUUUCUUUUUACUGUAAUAUUCUUUUUGAGGCAAUGACUGGGAAGGGGGAACCUUCUGCCACAACCUUAUGAUUUGCACACUGUAAACCCAUAUGCGCUCUUCUGAGUAAAACAACAGACAAUCUGUACCUGUCCAGAGGAUUGACCAAAAAAGGAAAAAACUAUAAACUUCCAAACUUGGUUGGUAGUAAUUUAGGAGCAGCCCACUCUUGGGUAGGUUGGGGGUUGCUCCAGAGUCGCUUAAUCGCGUUACAAACUCCGAACCUCAUUCAUUAAUUCAGCAGAGUAAUAGUAGUAGCUUCCAAGUCUUAGCACGUACUGUUAAUUCAAUAAUUUUCACGAGCAAGUAAUUGCAUGGCUUCUAAUGUACUCAGGUCAAGUUCUUGGGGCCACGUCAUUUCCUCCGCCUUGCCUGGCCCCUAACACUACAUCAAACGCCAUUCAUGAAGGAAUUAAUUAUGCUUCAGGAGCUUCAGGGAUUUUGGACCAAACGGGAACGUUCUUUGUCUGUAUUCCUUGCUUUUCUACCAUUCACUAGUAGUUAAUGACUUAAUGCAUAAUAGAGUAUUAAGGAGGCGUUACUAAUCAUUUAUUUUUUUUGACUUGUGUUGAUGCUUCACAGAUAGGAAGACUGACGCUGAAAGAGCAAAUUGGGUAUUUUGAAAAGAGUAGGUCAUACAUGGUGAAUCUAAUGGGAGAAGAGAAGACCAACGAACUCCUAAGCAAAGCAAUCUUCUCCAUUACAAUUGGAUCAAAUGAUAUUCUCAGCUAUUUCCGACCAUCCUUUCCCUUUUCUGGUGACAAAAUAGCUCCAGAAGUGUUGCAAGAUCAUAUGGUUUCCAACUUAACCACGCAGCUUAAGGUAUCAUAAAAAUACUAGUGGGUUAUAUACAUUGAUGGGAAGCGCGAUCGCUACUGGUUCUUGGAUGUAUAAUACUCGGCAAUUAUAAUAAAUAAAUGUUUUUGUGAAGCGACUGCGGUGGUUAGGUGCUCGAAAAUUCGUGGUAGUUGGAGUUGGACCUCUUGGAUGCAUCCCUUAUGUCCGUGCCACCCGCCUUAUCCCAGAGGGAGAAUGUUCGAUUGAAGUAAAUUCGGUGGUGAGAGGCUACAAUAGCAAACUAAAAGAAGGGCUGAAUCGACUCAACAGAGAGGUGGGAUUUGGAGCUGUAUUCGUGUACGCCAAUUCCUACGAUGUCUUCAGAAGAAUGAUACGAAAUUAUCAUCAAUACGGUGAGUUGGUUAGUUAUUUAUUGAACAAAACAAGAAGAAAAAAGAGUUCCAUUUCUUUUCUUUUCUUUUCUUUUCUUUCGAUGGAGAAUCUUGAUUUGGUGCUGUGUUGGUGGUACGGGUAUAAAUUGUAUUGAAGGGAAGGGGUGGGGACUGGGGAGGGGAAGGUAACCACUUUUAACAUCUUAUAAUUAAAAGUUUUGAUGGUUUAUUCGGAUGGGGCAUCCUCCUGAAAUUCAGACAAGUAGUAGACUAGUAGUAUGAAUUGUGGAGUGAUUCCUGAUAGUAGUACUUGUUUGGAUAUUAUUUUGGGAUGGAUCGAUAAUAAUUGAUUGGCAGGAUUCGAGAAUGGGGAUGGUCCCUGUUGUGGUGGCUAUUUCCCUCCAUUUGUUUGCUUCGAAGGAAAGGGGAAGACGGCAAAUGCAAGCAGCUCAUUUCUGUGCAGUGAUCGAGCAAAAUAUGUGUUCUGGGAUGCAUUUCAUCCAACAGAGGCAGCUAAUCUCAUAGUCGCAGAGAAGCUGUUAGAUGGCGAUCCAAGUGUGUGCUCCCCCAUGAACAUUCGUCAGCUUCACCACUCCCCCAUCAUUCCCAUUCACCAACGGAGCUAAGACUCCUUCUUGCUUCCAUUCACACAAUUCGGACUCAAUCCAACAUCAACAUCAACAUCUACUGAUCAUAAUGGAUGAUUUAUCAAAGCAUUAUUAAUGUAAUCUGCUUUUAUACUACUACACUAGUAGCAGUACUAGUAUUGAUUCAAGUUGCUACUAUCACACUCUGGACAAUAUUUCGUUUACCAUAAUACUCUUUUUUAAGUACAGGAAGCUUAAUUUAACAAUCAAAGCAAAAAAUAAAUAAAUAAAUUAGUUCCAGGAAACCAUUGAGAAUUUUUUUUUUUUUUGUUCUUGGUGCAGUAAAUAUGUACUUACUACAUGAGGUGUUGGGCGAUGAGAGACAGGCUGUAAAUAAUAAUAAUAAUAAUAAUAAUAAUAAUAUUGGGGGUGGAUUUUGAGAGUGGCUUCUCUGAUAUGAUACUUAUUAUUAUUAUUACGGUCAGUGUUGCUGGUAUAUAGGUAUGGAAAAAUAAUUAAUUGCGUGUAUUGACUUUUGAGCCGAUCAUCAAUUACUCCAAUGGAACAACUCAGGGACCGGUUAGAGCGUACACCGCCCAGAAAUUUGGUGGCAGCACGUGAGCUGUUUAGUGAGGCUUUGCAUCUCUCUCUCUCUCUGUGGAAUUUGCAGAGAUUUAGGGGUAACACCAUCCUGCAUUGUCGCAACUCCUUGGAACUAUUAGAAAAUUGCAGUGCAGUUGGCAGUUGGCCGGCCCUCAGUGAUAAUAAUAAUCCUCUUUCUAGCUCCCAAAGUCAAAGAUACACUUCAGAUGCUAUUAAAGAAAACAAGGGACCAACUGGGGUUGGGCCAAGUGGUAAGCAGCUUGGUUCCGCUUAAAUAGGUCUCGGGUUUGAAACCUGGCGUAUGCAGCUACCUUGUUGGGAGAUUCACCCACCAUAGCCAGGUGUGCGACUCGGGUCGACCAACGGAUUAGUCAGGGCAAAGCCCUGGAUACCGUGACAGGCAACCAAAAAAAAAAAAAAAGAAAACAAGGGCAAUGACGAGUCAAUUUCCUCCCACUCUUUUUUUUUUUCAUUAUUUUUUUUUUUCUGAAAGGAAGUGAGCCCAUUUUCACAUUCCUUACGGAUAGUCUCGUGCUGUGCUCGAAUACUCUAAUAAUAAUAAUAUGUGUUUAGAUAGUAGACUAUUUGGAAUAAUUUUUUUUAAAAAAAAUAUUGUAGCGUCUUUUUUUUUUUUUGGAUAUAAUGUACGUAAAAUAAAAAUGAUGUUUGAAAAAUGUGUUGAUUAUACGAGCAAAAUAAAAUUUGACAAAUAGUUUUUUGUUAUAUUUGAUUGAUAAUGAGUGGAAUGAGUUUCCGUAUAUGCAAAGUAGUUUUCUAUUAUUCCUAGGCAAAAUUUUUUAAAAAAACAAAAUAAAAUGCUACUCCAUGCUCUUUUCUCAACGAACGCUAGUCCAUUGCAAGAUCAAACAUAGCUCAUUAAAUAAAGAGUAACAGGCUCAAACAGAAAAAUUCAUGCGUAGAAAACCUAAUUUAGCAAUACCACGCAAUGGUGGAAAAUAAUAAUUUUGCUCAGUGGGCAUAAUAAUUUUUGCACACGACUUCUCUGCUGCCAAGAGAAAAUGGUGUAGGGUUGGCUUUCCCAUUUUGCUCAUUUUUUUUCCCAAAAAUUCAACUGACCAUUCCAAUCAAGUCCAAAGGCACUUUUGUCGACGCUGCUGCUAUAAUUCGAUCAUACGCACAUAAAAAUUGUGCCAGAAAGCCUUCAAACUGCUUAUUCAAAAAAAAUUUUCAGUGGACUUUCUUUAUUAUAAACAUUUCAUAAACUGGCCUCAGAAAAGCAAAAACAUUAAGAAGUUGUCGAAAACAAGCACUUGGUGGUGCUGAAAAGAACCAGCAAGGAAGAUUUACUUGUCCUUAAUACCCUAAAAUUGGAUGCUCAUAAUAGCUUUGCCUUGAUUAUAUGUUGUUCUUCCAAAUUUAUUUAUUUAUUUUUAUUACUAUGAAAAAUUAGUAUUGGUACCUUACAUUUCUUUUUUUAGGGGGAAAAAAGGAAUGGAGAAGAAAAAGAGACCAGCUACGGACUUCUGCAGGUAUUGUCCGCUUUCCACAAGGCUCUUCGAUUAUUUGGAAGCAUGUAGUCCAGCCCAUAAUGAAUAUUGUGGGUUCGGGCGUUACUCCCAAUUACCCAGCGGUUACCCCAAGUUCACAUUCAAAUUGAAAGAUGAAGUCCAGCCAUUAGAAAUCACCCACAAUGGCCUGUGACGCCGUAACAAUAUAUGAGUAAUCAGAUUUUAGGAUCCUGGGAACUGCCAUCGAAUUCGAUCGACGAGCAGGAGGAACAAAACCCAGAGCAGAAAAAAAUUUGAAAAAAAAUGGGAUACGUACUGAGAGUGAGGACAGCAUCGUUCUUCGCGGGUGCAGCGGUGGCUUCUGCCAUGGGAAUUUAUGCUCUGCAACAGGAUUACAAAAAUGCCCAUCGCACCCAUUCUCAACAGGUUCCUGCUUCUUCUCCUUCUUCUUUUGACUUUUUUUUUUUUUUUUUUAAAGUUUUCUUUCCUGUAUACGUUCCUUUUGUUUUCCAUUUCUGUGAAUAGUUAAUUACAGAUAUUAUUCCUCAUAUCCAUGCCCGUCUAUGUAUAUCUGUUGAGCUUUAAUUUGAUUUAAUUGGAUGAGGGAGAAAAGCCUAAUGCUAUUACCGGACAAAAAUGGAAGUCAGAGAGGGAUUUUUUCUUUCUUUUUUAUGCAAAUAGAAAUUUGGAUGAAUGACCAUGUUCUUUAAGGGAUGAGCUCUUGCUUUUCAUCUGUUCUGAACUUCCAACUUGCCUUUGCUCUGAGGGAUUGAUGUGUGUUAGUAAAGAUGUUUUCAUGCUUAUAAACUUAUGCUUUUGAACAGUUCAAAGGUGGAGGAAAAGAAAUAAAUCAAAAGAAUUCUUAGUUAAUACAAGACGUUGGUCGCCCUACUUGAUUUUUUUUCCCUUUUUGUUUGUCUGGGACUUGGAUUUUAUAGGUUUAUGAUUGACCACGAUAUGCAGUUGUUUAGUGCAGACAAAGUCUUUUCUAAUAGGACGGAAAGCAGUUAAGGAUUUUGUUCUGGAUUAUGAGAUCAUUUUGAUGGUCUAUUUGUGUAAAUCUUGGGAUAUGCCGUUCUUUCUUUUUGGCACUAAAAUGUGCUAAUUUGACUACUUCAUCAGUUAAAAUAGCAAAAUGUCAACUUUGUCUGCAGUUACAGAGGUAGCCGUGCUACCUUAACAUUGGAAGCAACUGGCCUGCUGGAAAUUACGUGAAUCAAUGGUCAUUAUCUUAGAACUUAUUUGACAUUUAAUAGUAGAGGGUAAUGGUAUAUUAGUAGAGGGUAAUGGUAUAUUUAAGUUUGUCUAAUAUGGCUGUGAAAAUUAUAUUCGCAUCACUUACAAUGCUGGUGGUAUCUUGCUUCAGAAAUUGUUUUUCUUUUUGUUUUUUGUGGCAUUGUUGUUUUUAUGUUACCAUUUUUCGCCCCCUCCUUUAGGCAAUUGGCGUUUACCAGUCUUUGGAGGGAAGGAUCUCAGCUUUGGAAAAGUCACAAGAAGUCCAGCCUGCAAAAUCUGUUCAAGCUGCACCUUAGAAGUUAUAAGCUGUGCUUUUCUGAGUAGCAGUUGACUACUUCUCGACCCUUUUGAGGUUUCAAGCAUAUUUAGGUUUUGUUGUGUAAGGGUUCUGUGUGAUGGAAAACCAAACUGUCUUCACAUCAGAAUUUCACUAGUUAUGUAUUCAUAGUGGGAAUCAAUGGAAUGGACCUUGAAUUUUCAACUUCUCGUGGUUUAUUGUGUUUGUUGUAGUUUUUAUUCACAGGAGUUUGUUUGUUGUGAAUAUCUCAUCGACAAAUAAUAUGACUUAUUGAAUAUUUCUUUCCAAUAUCACUUGGUCUCAACCUUUAACAGUGGAUGGUCAUGUUGUGACUCAAGCCAAGGCCUUUGCUGGAUGCGAACUGGAGUAUAUCUCUUUCAAAGACAACUUUUGGCUGUUCCAAUGCUAAUCAUUUUGCUUCAAAGCCAAAAGUGUCUAAUGACUAAGUUAGAGCUCAAAUCACUCAUUUAAGUAUUUGUCGUGCAACAUGUAAUGAACUCACUUGAGUGUUCCAUACAAAGGUAUCUUAUUGCUGAUUACCAUCUUUUGUAUUGGCCUGCAUGUCAUUAUGACCUCAUUGCAUCUCUUAGAAUUUCUCUGUUCUGUUCUUUGUUUUGAAACACAUCAAUGGAGAUCAACUGAGCACUGAAUAAGUGCAUUGUGGGAUAGCAGCUAGCUAUUCAACAAGCAUGAAUUAUACCUUUGCAAUCUGCUGGAAAUGGCCCGUGUACUUUUAGUUGUACUUUGGCUGAUUUCUUUUUCCUUCCUUUUUCUUUCUCUUCAUAUUUUGUGUAAAAAUAAUAUGUUAUUCUUUUUGGUCAUUGUUCUUCAUGUUCACUAUCCUAACUCCCAAUUUCUUUGGCCCUGGGCAUUUCCUCCCCUUUCUGUGCGUCUUCCAGGUGCCUAGGUCUCUUCGUGAAAUGUGGAGUAGUAGCUGCCUACUCCUAAUCGUUUUAGUUACUGUUUUUCCUUUCUUACUAUAAUUUUUUCUUCUCAUUUUUUUCCAUUAAACUCUGAGAUUCUUUUGUGGAAAUAAGUCACAUCACUCAUUAUACUAAGGUAUAGGCCCUCUGACACUUGGUACUGAGCUUCGAAUGCAGCUUAAGAAGAUGAGUAACUAAUUACACGUCGUAGCAUUUCAUUUGUCUCACAUGGUGUAUCACGUACCAUAUGUAUUUGUUAUAUAUAGCUCUGUGUACCUAUUGAUUUGCAGUUGGGUAACUGGUCAAACAUGGUUGAGCAAAACUGCUGCUGCUGAAGGGAAGCUUAUGUGUCUGUGUGGCCUUGGCAUGUUAUUCGGCACGAGAAUUGCAGAACGUUUUGGUAGCUUGGAAGAAGUUUGCAAAUAUUAUGCCUUGCGCCGCAGUUGAUUCUUGUAUUCUUUUUCCCCCUUUGGGAUCUGGAUGUAAAUUAUUCACGAGUUCUGAGGAUUAAUCGCUUUUAGAACUAACCACUCCCCAUUGAGUUUACCUUUGCCCUUUAGAGCAAAGCAAUCCAUCCCAGGGUUAACGGGUUAAGGAGAGUGGCAAGAGAUAGACGUACUAUUUCCGGCACAUGAAUUUGAUGCCUAUCACUUUCUUGAUCCCGAGGAGGACAGUGAUAGGCAAGAGGUCGAAUUGGGGAACUUCCGUUACAUGGGGGAAAAACCAGGCAAUGGUUGGUAUAUAUAUUUAUAAAAAAAAAAAAAAAACCUGAACGGGAGAGAAAAAGCCUACGUGGCCCGGCCAAAUUUCAAGUCUUGCGUGGCAUUACUUCAGCCUCAAGUCGAUCAUAGAUCAUGUUGGCUCAUCCGCAACCAGUUGCCUCUGAUAUUGUGUUUGCCCUUUCUGCCAUCACAGGGCCCAGGCUGUAAGGCUAAUAACCAUUGGUUUUGCAGAGACUGCAUUCCGUCCGUAUAUUCGCAGGGAAGGAUCGGGUCAUUCUAGACAUUUGAAAGGUCCCUCAAAGAUGUGGAUGGUGAAUGGUUUUUGAUUAUUUGAGGGAAUGAAACGUAAAAAGUGGAGCUGCAUGAACCAAUCAUAUGCCCUCUGGGAUUCCUGAAAAUCACAGAAGAGUGCGUAAUAUCUAUAGCUCCAGGGACGACUGCUGCUAAAUGAAGAGUCCUUAAUUUAGACCUUUUUCAACUAGACUUAGACAGUGCGUCCAGAUUAGCUGUGGCGAAAAUUGACCAAGAAAAAGAAUAGAGAAAGCCCCUCGUGCUCUGCUUCUUGCGAAACACAACCCAAGUCGAGGGAGUAUUGAUGGUGGUUCUAACAAGUUUUCAAGCAGUCCAAGUCCAUAACCAAGCAGCAGCAAUUAAGUGUGGUUACCACCCAAGACUACGCCUUAAAAAUGGAACUGUUAGCAUAAGGUGUGGGAUUGCAGAGCCAUCAGGAGAGCCAGCACCAGUUGGGCAGAAGACAAAAUACAAGGAUGGUUUCUUUGAGAAGGCUUUCAUGACGCUCUUCGCCCGCAAAAUGGAGAAAUUUGCUGCCAAAUCCAACAAAGAUGGGACGCCAGUAGAGAAGAAGGGUUGGUUUGAUUAUGACUAUGAAAGCUUUGUGGACGUCUCUAAGAGAGUGAUUCAAGGUAGGAAUCGCACGCAACAGCAGCAAGUGGUUCGAGAGGUGCUCUUGUCCAUGCUUCCUCCUGGUGCUCCUGCUCAGGUAUUUUCUUUUCUUUCCUUUUAUCCGCCUGACUGGACGGGAAAGGGUGAAAUUGAAUUCGCAUCACGCACGACUUUUUCCAAUUUCCAAACCAGCUGAAACUGUGAUAAGUCCAAUGCUAAUUUUUAUCUUAAAAAAUAAAAGCUAAUUUGAAAAAAAAAAAAAAGGCGCAUCACACACCACCUUUUUUAAACCAGCUAAUUUGAAAGGAAAAGGGAAAAGAAAGGAGACUAUAUUUUUUUUUAAAGCUAAUUUUUGAAAGAAAAAGGGCCAAAAGGAGAAAUUGAAGGAGGAAAUUUGCUGGCUAUGGGGUUCGAACCCAUGCGCACUUAUGUGCAGAAGAUCUUAAGUCUUCCCCCUUAACCUCUCGGGCAAACCAGCUGCUAAUGCUCUUAAGCUUCCUUAUUCUUCUACCAAUGAGCCAACAGCUUACCCAAAUCAAAUUUGGGCUUGACAGUUCAGGAAGCUUUUUCCACCCACGAGAUGGGCCUGUGAAUUCAAUGCCACUAUAACAGUACCCUUCUUCGACUGGCUAGUUGGGCCCUCGGAGGUAGUAUUCUCAUUUUUACUGUACUAGACUCGAUCAAGUUUUGCUUUCCACAGUUUUGGCGAUCCAUUUUCUCAUUGGAGGGCCUUUUUAUUAUGCUAAAGAGUGUUUUGUUCCAAGAUGUAUAUUAUGAUUACCACAUAUAGUUGGCAACAUAAUUGAAUUGUCAAAUGAAUGAUUGGUUGGUUUGUAAUUCAUAUGAAAUGGACAUAUAAGAAAAUUUGCACCCGUUAGCUCCGCCGCCACUGUGCGUCAACUUUUUUCUACCAAAACCGAUAAACUGUUGUUGCAUUUUGUUUCUUCACCUCGCCCUUACAAGCUGACUUGCCCGCACCCAGUAGGUCGUGGAAGUGGAGGUAAAUGGAGUAAAGCAAAGAAGUGGAGUGCGCAUAAAGAAAUGCAGGUAUUACAGGACGUUUCUUUCCUCUCGAGUUUUGGAAGUCUGAAUAUAUAAUAGUUCAGUUCAGUUCAGUUACAGAGUGAGUGUUCCCAUUUUUAAUGACCAAGUCGAGUAGUGCUAAUCGUCUGGCAUAUUUUCAAUGAAGGUAUUUGGAGAACAGCGGGUGCGUAGGAAUGUGCGUUAACAUGUGCAAAAUACCCACACAAGACUUCUUCACCGACGAAUUUGGGCUUCCAUUAACCAUGACCCCAAGUAGUGUAUAUAUAUGUACUGUUUGUUUUUUGCUUUGUUGCCUUCCUUAUUCUAAACAUACAUAUAAAUGCUUUUCGGUGAUCCUGCUGCCGUUGGAAAAUGCAGAUUUCGAAGAUAUGAGCUGUGAGAUGGUGUACGGGCAGGCUCCACCGCCAUUUGAAGAUGACCCGGCAUCCAAACAACCUUGUUUUGCAGAUAUUUGUAAGCACCAACUGCUAAAGGUUGGGAGGCUUGAAGGAUCGAUGCAUGUCAUCUCCUUUCCUAAUUAAUUAUUUAUUGGGGUAUAUUUUGAUUUCGCAGGCUCUUUGGCAAAUCCCAAUUCGAGCGUCUGUCCCAAGCUGCAAACCUAACAGAAACAGCUCCUACUUCUUUUCUGGGAAGUGUUUUUUUAGCCAGGGGGCCGUGACUAUGGCGCGACAUUCAAAAGUAACAGAAAAAGAUCAAACUCGCAGGAAUUGUUUGUUUGAACUAUAAUGGGACUGCUCUAUCUUUGACUAGCGAUCAAAUAAGAGCAACUCGUAGUCGUAGCAUUCCGCGUAAUUAAUGCAGAUAAGUUCGCCAAUCACACUACUGUAAUAUGCUCCACCAUCUGGUGUUGAGACUUUUUUUAACUCACUUUGAUGACCUUGUCGUCAUGUCCUUUUGACAACAUUUUUGUUGUCCCUUAGAGGAAUGCAUUUUCUUGGUCCCUUUAAUGUUUUAUAUAUAUAUAUAUAUAUAUAUAUCUCUCUUAAAAGGAUUGUACUAUUAUAGAGAGGAAGCAACAAGUGCAGAUGGUAGAAUGGAAUCCCAUUUCCUCUGUAUAACGUCGACAUGAAAUAUACUACCUACUGCUGCUACUGGCAGUCUGGCACUUACUACUUCCAAUUCCAAUCCUAACAACAAAUUGGUGCUGGCUUUUUUUGUAGGCUUCUAAGCACACCGUCCACCUUGAAUUACGCCUUCUUAAUAUAAUCACAUGCUCAAACAGCAUUUCUUAUUCCCUCCUAAACCACUCCAAAAUAAAUAUAAACAAGUACUGUCUGUAAAUAAAAUCAUGCAGCCGCUGAGUUUGAAAUUUGCGUUCCCAAAAGUCACAUGAUGGAUCAAACAUGCAUCCUCCUUCACCUUCACGGGUCAAAUCCUAGACCCUUCCCUGUAUGUCAUAUGACAGCAUCACAUUUUCUCUAUGCAUUCCAGAAUUUUUUUUUAAAUUUUUUUGGGUGGGGUGGGGGGGGGGGGUUCUUGGAUUCCCCUUUAUCUAUCCAUAGCUGAUCUCUGCAGCACAGUGUGGAUAAAAUUUGUCCUGUCACGAACAUGAAUGAGAGGAAAACCCGGUGCUCGUUUUGCAACUGUAGUGCACGGGAUGAUGCGAGUUUGAAAAUGACUUCCAUUCAAAGACUAAUUUGUGUGUGUCUCAAUAGUUGACUGUCUCAUACUUUUUUGUUUUUUUUGGGGGCUUAUUAUUCUUCCCACCGUUACGGGCGCGGUAGCUUUUAAUUUGCUUGUAAGUAUAAUGCUAGUAGUAGUAGGAGGGCACACACUAUCAUCCGAAUUGGCGCAGCUGAAUCCGUCCGUGAAUGGAUGAUGCGUCCAAGCUUUCAAAGACACUACUCACUCUCUGAUGCACGCAUUCACCAACGAACUUAACUACCCCCCCAUUCUCCCAUCCAUCCAAUUCUUCUUUGUAUAAAGAGGAGGUGCCAAUGCCAAAAAAACAAAAACAUAGUCUAGUGAAUGCUUCGCUUCUAAAGGAUAGAGCCUCCUAAGUUUAUUUUCACUUUGGAAAAACGAACAUGACGUCUUGCCUUCCUAAGUUUACCAUAAAAUUACUACUGAUUCUAUGCUUCUUCUUAUCCUCCUCUCAUGCAUUCACCACUCGAGACUAUUCUGAUGCCCUUGAAAAAUCCAUUCUCUUCUUUGAAGGGCAGAGAUCAGGGAAGCUACCCUCAAACCAACGACUUUCGUGGAGGGGUGACUCUGCAUUGUCCGACGGCUCUGGUUACCAUGUAAUUAAUUAAUAGUACUAAUACAUAUAUAUAUAUAUAUAUAUAUAUAUAUAUAUAUAUAUAUAUAUGCUCUCCAAUUAGUGGGUGGAGUAACAGUUUUUUUGACGGCUUAAUACAAUCUAUUUUUGUCAUCGUGGAUUACAGGUUGAUCUUGUGGGAGGUUAUUAUGAUGCAGGAGACAAUGUCAAGUUUGGCCUGCCAAUGGCUUUCACUACUACUCUAUUUGCAUGGAGCAUAAUUGAGUUUGGUAGCUCCAUGCAUAACCAACUUGAGAAUGCCAAAGCCGCUGUCCGCUGGGGUGCCGAUUAUCUUUUGAAAGCAGCCACAGCAACUCCUGCUACCUUAUACGCUCAAGUGAGAAACUCCGCACUUAAUAUAAAACAAAACAUUUACUAAUUCAUAGCUGUUUUAGGAGUAGAUUAAGGUACAUCAUUAACCACACCGCCGCCGAAUUGAUUGAUUUCUGGGAAUGCUUUGUCUUCUACAAUAGAAAAUUGCAAACAAGCUUUAUUUCCUCUAAAUGGAGCAGGUUGGAGAUCCGAAUAUAGACCAUCGUUGCUGGGAAAGGCCAGAGGACAUGGACACGCCUCGGAAUGUGUAUAAAGUGACCUCCCAAAACCCAGGAUCAGACGUAGCAGCAGAGACAGCAGCAGCACUGGCAGCAGCCUCUAUUGUGUUCAAAGAUUCCGAUCCUCAUUAUUCCACCAAAUUAUUGCACACAGCAAUGGAGGUUAGUUUUUCACUACUAAUUUCGACUCCCCAACUUUUUAUUACCACUCCCAUCUCAUAAAAAAACAAUCCCGAACAAAUGCAACUGCAGGUGUUUGAUUUUGCAGACAGGCACAGGGGCUCUUACAGUGACUCUCUCAAUUCUGUUGUCUGCCCCUUUUACUGCUCAUAUUCAGGAUACCAAGUGAGACGAACGAAACAGUUUCAUAGGUUUUCUUUAAUGUCCCUAGCGUAGGUUCAUCUGUCACCACUUACCAUCUCCUGCUCUCAUGGAUUUAGGAUGAGCUAUUGUGGGGAGCUUCUUGGCUUCAUACAGCUUCAGAAAAUUCCUCGUAUUUGGCUUACAUCCAAUCAAAUGGCCACACACUUGGCGCAGAUAAUGACGAUUAUUCCUUUAGUUGGGAUGACAAACGCCCCGGAACAAAAGUUUUGCUUGCAAAGGUUUUUUUUUGUUUUGUGCCUUCCCUUCUUUCCUGCAAUACAAAUAAACAAAUUCGUUAAAUUACAUGCUCAAUGCUUCUCCGAUGCAACUUCACAUAGGGUUUCUUGGAGAAGAGCACCCAAGAAUUUCAGCUGUAUAAAGCACAUUCUGACAGCUACAUCUGCUCUUUGAUACCGGGAAUGCCAAAUUUCCAGGCCCAGUAUACCCCAGGUGUGCUGGAGAAAAUUGUUAUUAUUAUUUUUUUUAUGACUUUCGUUUCCCUCACAGAAUCAGCCGCCCAUAUUGUGGUGCUUAGUGGUUUCGUUAUGCUAAAUUUGAUUCUGGCUGUCUCAAAAUCAACAACAUUGGUUGACAGGGGGACUUCUCUAUAAACAAAGUGAGAGCAAUCUCCAGUAUGUUACCUCUUCGUCUUUCCUUCUCCUAACAUAUGCCAAGUAUUUACGCUCGAAUGGAGGAGUUGCAGCAUGUGGGGUCUCAACUAUCACAGCAGAUAAGAUCAUAGAAACUGCAAAGAGACAGGUUGACUAUAUAUUAGGAGAUAAUCCAGCAAAAAUGUCAUACAUGGUGGGUUUUGGGCAAAGGUAUCCCCAGCAUGUUCACCACAGAGGUUCCUCUGUGCCAUCAGUGCAUGCACAUCCGGGACGUGUUAGCUGCAGUGACGGAUUUCAAUAUCUCUAUUCCCGCUUGCCUAAUCCAAAUAUUCUCGUGGGAGCCAUCUUAGGAGGGCCUGAUAGCAGAGACAAUUUCGCUGAUGACAGAAACAACUAUCAGCAAUCUGAGCCAGCAACUUAUAUAAAUGCCCCUUUUGUUGGGGCUGUGGCUUUCUUCUCAGACGGAUCCACAACAGUCUAACAUUUUCAUUGCCUUUAAUGGAGAUAAAAAUCUGCUCCAAAAAUGUUGUGAUUCAGAACAAGUUGGCACGAUUUUGACAAUUACUACUAGUGUUGUUUUGUCCCUCGUCCAAUUUUGAGGGUUCUACAAUUUGACCAUUCAAGCAGAAUGACGAAACUCUUUUUAAACUAAGAAACAUGAACUACAGGAAAAUUGUGGAGGCAUUAAUCUUUUGUGAAGAUAAUGAUCAAAGUGUACUAGCGUCAAAAUGCAGAAUAAGAUGAUCAAAGUCUUUUUCCUGCCUAACUCACGGCACCUCAAACACGAUUAGUCCAGAGAGACAAUAGAGAUCCCUAACUCUGAACGAGAGGCAUUAACUUAAUUGCUUAACAAUCAAAGAAGGGGAAAAACUAAAUAAAAAUAAAAGAGCAAAAGAAAAAAUAAAGGGCAAGAAACAUCUCCUGAACUCCUUUUAUGCAUACAUUUCACAUAGCUGCUCCUUGGCCAAUGCGAACUCUUCCUCUCUAUAUCCAUUCACAAUUGAUUUUUGGAUCAAAAAAUGGCAUGCUUACUAUUUACCACUAUGUUUUGACCAAAAGAGAAUACUCCAUACUAUUUGGUUAACGUGAAUUUAAAAAUGUCGAGAUUUAAGACCAAGGUGCCCAGCUUGUUUGCCUGUUAGCUCAGGAAAGGCACACGGGAUCCUCGGCGUCAUUUUUUCAGUGGUAAUUCAGUGUCACUUCUAUAUUUAUGUCAAGUGUUCUGUUUAUUUAAUUUGUCAUGUACUGUUUAUUUAAAUUUUUUUUACCAUCACGUGAUAAGUGGGAUUGACACUGGAUUUGACAUUGAAUAGUGACAUAGAGGAUCCCAACUGAAGAAAAGGAGAGGGAUUGGAGUGAUUUGGUUUUUGUUGUUUCGAUUGACUUUUGAGGGGGGAAAGGAAAGGUUUAGGGAGGGAAAGAGCGGAGAAGAAUCUAAUUAUUCGAUUGAAUUAUGCUUAGAAGGAAAAUGAAAUUAAAUAAUUUACAAUUUUAUUAAAAGUUUAUUUUUUCGCUAUCUUUUCAACUAAAUUAACACUUAAACAGAAGUUUAAGCAGAAAUUCAAUAUUUGUUUUCUUUUCCUUUCAUAUUUAAUUCAGAUACGAUUCGAUGGGAAUCACUUUUCAUUUCCUUUCUUUUCCAUUGCUACCCUUCCCUUCCUUCAAUCCAAACGGAGCCUAAAUCAGGAGAUUAAUUAAUUUUAUAAAAAGGAUAAAAAAAAAUGGCGCGCCGGCUCUACCACUACCUACAGGCUACAGUGUAGAAGAAGGAAAGGGAAGAGCGGAGAAAGAGAAAAGAGACGGAGAUCUGAGCUUCUUCUGUUCUUCCGAGGAUGACGAUGAUGAUCAACUCCAUCAACAUUUAUGUCCUUCUUCUUCUCCUCAUCUCUCCGGCAGUCGUAAUCGCUGAGAUUCGAUCCUCCGAGAUUCGCAACGAUGCACGUGGCAUCAUCCCCUUGGACGAGUUCGGCUUCACUCACCGGGGCCGCCUCGACCUCAACGUCUUCUCCAUCUCCCUCUCCUCCGACCCCUCCUCUCUCGACCUCUCCCGCCUCGGUUUCUUCCUCUGCACCCGCGAUGCCUGGUUUCACGUCCUCCGCCAGAUCGACGACUCCCAGAUCACCUGCGCCCUCCAGUCCGACGCCGUCGAUCUCGUCUUCACCUUCGACUCCCUCCCUAACCCCCCCAUUUCCUUCUCCAAACCCCACAACAUCUCCAUCCCUGAUCAGUACUCUCUCGUCUUCGCCAGCUGCCUCCCCAACCUCCGCGUCUCCAUGAAAGUCCACUCCGCCAUGUACAAUUUGCAACCCGGUCCCUACUCCAACCGCCGCGAUUAUCUCUCCGCCGGUAAAACCCCCCUCCCCACGAUUUAUUUCUUGUUUUCGCUCGUCUAUUUCGCCUUGGCCGCCCUCUGGAUCCAUGUUCUGUACAAGAAACGCUUGACCGUCUUCGCCAUCCAUUUCUUCAUGCUCGCCGUGGUUAUCUUGAAGGCCCUCAAUCUCCUGUGCGAGGCCGAGGACAAGUCUUAUAUUAACCGAACCGGGAGCGCCCACGGAUGGGAUGUCUUGUUCUACGUGUUUAGCUUCUUCAAGGGGAUUACCCUCUUCUCUUUGAUUGUGUUGAUUGGGACUGGGUGGUCCUUUUUGAAGCCCUACUUGCAGGACAAGGAAAAGAAGGUUUUGAUGAUCGUCAUUCCUCUUCAGGUCGUUGCUAAUAUAGCUCAGGUUGUGAUUGAUGAGUCCGGGCCGUUUGACCAAGAUUGGGUCACGUGGAAGCAGGUUUUCCUGUUGGUGGAUGUAGUGUGCUGUUGUGCCGUCUUGUUCCCGAUUGUUUGGUCUAUAAAGAACUUGCGCGAGGCUGCCAGGACUGAUGGCAAGGCUGCUGUGAAUUUGAUGAAGUUGACCUUGUUUAGGCAGUAUUAUAUCGUGGUCAUCUGCUACAUUUACUUUACGAGGGUGGUGGUGUAUGCGUUGGAGACCAUCACUUCGUAUAGGUAUCUCUGGACCAGUGUUGUGGCUGGGGAGUUGGCCACUCUUGCCUUUUAUGUUUUCACUGGCUACAACUUUAAGCCUGAAGCGCACAAUCCCUAUUUUGUGGUUGAUGAUGAAGAGGAGGAGGCUGCGGCUGAGCAGUUGAAGCUUGAAGAUGAAUUUGAAUUGUGAGCCAGAUGAUACCUGGUCAAGCAUUGGAUACCUGUCAGGUUGAGUCUAUUAUUUUAUUGCCAUAUUUCUAGGACAUCAGUAGUGUAGUGUUUUGCGUCUUCAUAUGUGAUGUUUGUUUAAGGCUUUUGAUGACUAAGGCCAGUAGUAUAUACCUGUCAUGGACUAUAAUGCGUCUGUGAUUUUUGUCAAACAAAUUUUUGUGGGAAUGGAGUCAUAUUUGUAGGUUCCAAUACUAGAAGUUGAAGGGAAAGUUUUUUGUGUAUUUUUGAAGUGUGUAGGUAAAAAGUUUUGAGAAGUUUUUUGGGGUUCCUGUAGCAAAGGUUGUUAAAAAACUAGUAGGUAAAAAACUUGGUCAAAAAACUCACUUCCAAACAUGCCCCAUGUGAUUUUCCUUGUAAUAUAUCACAGUAUUAUACUCUUACUCUCUUUUCCUAUUUUCUGUUCAAUGAGCCAACUGUUGCAGCUCUUGAUUUUGGGAACUGAUUUGCAUUCAUGUUGUUCAAGAUAUAACCAUUGGAUGAUGUGAGUUCUUCUUACUGCUGUUGCAACGUAGAAGUACAAUUAGCUCCUAUAUUCUGAUGGUUAAUUGGUGUCUCACAGUUCCUAGUAAUGAGACGUCCAUACUUUUUGAAAGAAAAUUAAGAAACUGAGAAGGGAGAGAAUAAUCUAAAGUGAGUGUAUGAGAGAGAGAGAGAGAGAGACUGUUCAAUGAGGAAAUGGCAUUAUUGUUUGCCUGUCUGAAGUGACUAGUCGGUAUUGUCCACAAAACUCAUUCUUGAUUGUCAUGAUGUGUCUUAAUAUUUCUUUUUUAACUAUAUGUUUGAUAAUUUCACCAGUAUGGUUCCAUUGAUUGCAUCUAUUCUUUGUUUUCUGGUUCCGUAGACUGAAUCUACUUCCUGAAGGAAAUGAUGAGAUGCCUAUUGAGGCUCAUAGAGGCAGUCCUGGAAUUUCUUGUCUUUGUUGUGUUUAUGUUGUUUACUAAGUAGUUUACUAAGUAGUUUACUUAGCUACUACCAAGCAUGACUCUGGUACUGCAAUGCUCUAACAUCUGGAAAGUAAUAUAGCGAAAUUAGAAUUGACACAUUGGUAAUACUGAUACGUUAAAAAUAACAAUUUGUAAGUCAUUAAACUUGUCUGAAGUGAUUCAAAAGAAAAAGGUUAGAAAUUUUGAGUAUUUGGAGCUACUACAGGUGCGAGCAACGGUAUCAUGGUUUCAGUUGAUAAUUUAUGCGUAGGAACCUUUCUGAAUACACCAAGGGGCUGAAAUUUUCUGGGCAUAUGUUCCCCUUCAAACAUAAGAGGGCCUAAAAAGCCUUUUUAGAGGUCAUGAAAGAAUGUAUAAUAGGUAUUCUGUAGCUUUUCUUCAUUUUUGUCAGCUAAAACAUUCUUGAAUUUCUGUUCAGCUAUUAACUCCAUAUGCAUUAUCUUUGUGGAAGACUACGACUUAUUGUCCAACUGUUUACAGUAGAAAAUGUGAAUACUAAUAUUUUAGUUGGAGCACAAGGAUGACUGAGUAGUCCAGAGAUUUUUCCCUUGCUGUGAUGUAUAUUUCAGGCAAAUUUUAAGCAUAUUGUGAUCACAAAGCAAUUUAAUACCAGCUUUAUGAAGUUUUGUCUCCCAGGUGAGAUUUGUGAGUAUCUAAUUUAAACUCUUAGUCCGAGAGGCAAUGAGAUCUGUCCCGAAAGUAUCUCUCUUUGAGUAUUUGAGCAAUCAAAUUGAUUAAUUUAGUGAUGAGGUUUGGGUUUGAAGAUUAAUUUGGUGUGAAUUUUUCUCUCCCUGUUAGUGGCAGUUAAGUGAAUGCUUUCGGCCAUAUACAGAUUAAAGCAGCUGGUCACCAAUUGGGUGGCAUUGAUGUCGUAUUUAUCCUGUAAUUAUGUGUUAACGUUUUAUCUUAUAUCCAUCAUGAGACUAAUCUACUAGGCAAAUAUUCUGGUAUGCAGUUAAAAGCAGCCUUAAAUUUGGGUAUCCAAAAUGUAGCACGCGUGGUGCAUUUUAGUUUUGGGGGGGAGGGGUGAGGAAGGGAUGGGUGGUUUGGGGGAGGGAGUGUAAAUGAGAGGUCCAAGUUCGAACCCUCCCACUUAUACUGUGACGUGAAAAGGUGUAGUGUUAUUCACGUUUGACUCUCCAUUGGAUUAAAUCAUCUCUCUCGGGAAAAGAUUGUGUUGUUACUUGAUUUUGCUAUCAUCUCUCUCUGGAAAAGAUUGUGUUGUUACUUGUUUUAGCUAUUAACCUUGGCAAGCCCAAAAUUGAUGGCAUAAAUUGUUCCAAAACAUUUUGUCAAGGGCAGUUUGUCGGAAGAUGGGAAGGACAUGCACUAUCAGAUUUGCUUAUUUGGAUCCUGUUUCAGCUCUGACUCCUUCGGUGUAAACUGUAAACUGCUCGAUGAUGCAUCAGUUUUGUGUCAAUUUUCAAUUCAAGGUUGGAGUUGGAGUUGGAGUUGGAGUUGUAGUGUAGGUUAAUAUGGAUGCUAAAAGGAGGAGCGCCCUGCUAGGCUGCCAGCCAGCUUGGCGGCUUUUGUUUCUUUUGCCUUAACAGGAUUGAACCCACAAAAACGAAGGAAGCUGGACAGCAAUCAUAGCAAAAGUGGAGGAUGUGGGCUUCAGUGAAAUGACAAUAAACUACUCUUCCUUUAACGCACCAAUAAUUUUGAGACGUCCAACGGAAUGUACUACGAGGCUCGAAUCCUCUUAUUUACAGUGAAUCCUGCCUGCAUCUUAUUAAGUGGUCAUCUAAUGAUCACCCCGCCUAAAGAGAGUUGGUUUCCAAAUUUAGGACUUGCUCCAUUUAUUGUCGCGGCUAUGGCACAAUGCCACAAUAUGCAAUGCGGUCCUUUUAAGCUUUGACUACCAGAAAUGGCGUAAACUUUGGAGAGUAGUAAAGUACGAAACUGUGGUUUAAAUCGAUCCCAGGGGCGCAUUACAGCCAUCCCUGUUGACCUGCCCUUCUCUCCCUUUGCAGAACUCUAGAUUCGACUACUAUGAUGCAAAAUGUGGAGCCAUAAGACUGAUCAGAUCCGCCUAUCCUUUGUAGCCGAAAAUUAUCGAUUUCAUCCUUUUUAACAUUUUUGUCCUCCAUAAUUUAAACAAUGCAAAAUCAUUCCUCACAAAAGUUUCAUCUGGUACUGUGAGCCGCAGGCCCUUUCAUGUGCACAUUAUUUCGUGGGCUAUUAGUCAGUCUAUUAAAUGAUGAAAACAAAAAGCACGGCAGACUAAACACUACACUGUUGUUUCAUUGAUUAGUAAGUAAAAAGGUAGUAGAUGAGAACAGAGCGAAGACAAGAAAGAGUUGGAGCACGUUUCAACAAUCCUCGCUGUUCUUUUUUAUUUGAUCUCUAACUUGCCGUCAAAAUUCAAAAGGUUCGUGGACAAAAAAGUUUCCUAGUCUGGUGGACUUGGACCACUAUUUCCUUCGUAGUUCAAAAAAUCGAAUACGUAUUAGUCAGUGAAUCAAAAAUGAGGUUUGGUUUGCUGUCUGUCUGCUCUUGUUUGGUCAUUCGGUUGACUGAUAUGUUUAGGCACAUCGCUUGCUUGUAUGGCUCUUAAUUGACGGAAAUUGGAUUCUGGGACGAAAUUUACGCUAAAAGAGCCAUUUCAGACCUUACCGCAGAAAACCUGUGCUAGUGGCAUACUGUUCUCUUUUUUUUUUUUUUGGGAGAAAGGGGGUGGUGUGGAAAGGUGUCAUUCCAUUCUUGUAUUCAGGGAGAAUAUCACCCCAUUUACGUAGACAAGGUUAGCAUUAUCUUACUCUUGAUAGCACGUAGUACUAAUCAUCCAAGCGCCAGAAUUAGCUUAUGAAGAAAAAGAAGGGAGUACUGUAGAGGAGAACAUGUUAGAAGACCAUCCCAUGUGAAAAGUUGUGUGGAUUGAUCAUGAGAAGUGUUUGUUCCAUGGGGACCCCCAACCAUGUUACUGGUAGCACGAGGCAAUUGGCAUCCUGCUCCUUAGGCCAAGGCUUUUUCCUUUUGAAGGACAGAACAUCAACAAUCUGAGUUGGAUAACAAGAUAGAAUAGAUGGAUGUUGAGAUCUCCUUUUGAGUUCAUGCAUUCGUAAAAUCCAACCGAUCAUUAAAACCAAAAAAAAAAAAAAAUUGCAAUUACGAGGUACUGGUAUCAGUUAAAUCCUUCAUGGGCGUCUUAAAAUUGUUUUAACAGCAGAGGUAUCAUCAUUCAUCAGUCUGGAAAAAUCAUACGAGUAAAAAGAGGAUUCCUAGUACUAUUAUGGUUAAUUUGAAGGUUGUGGAGGUCUACAAGCCAUUCAUUAAUUAUAAAACGGACGACCGGAGGUGACCCUAAUUAGUAGUAAUGUUACUUGUGCAGGCCCAUUUCUUCCUCACGCAAGAGGAUUAGAUUAAUGAAGCUUUGGAGUUCAGUUCCUAUCAUGCAUUCGCAGGAGAAAAUCUCAAACAGAUGCAAAUGUGGUCCUUUACACAAUCUUGAUGAUUUUUGUAGAUGUUCUAGAAUAUCCACGAGGCUUGAAGUGGCCUUGACAUACAUGAAAAGUUUUCUAUAUAACUGGUCUGGCAGAUAACCAGUUGAAUCCUUGUGGUUUUAGACAAUUUGUCCCUCAUCGAAUGAGCUUGUGCAGGAGGAAAUAUAACUGGUGUUGGAAGUACUGCCUAUUCACAAUUUACCAACCCUGACAUGUGUUCCCCUUUUCUUUUUUUGGGAUUUAGAAUCAGCUACUUAUAGCAUUUGUGCGUACAGAAAAUAGGUUUGCAAGAACCAAAAUACAAUUUGUUAAAGUAACACCCCCACCCCCCCCCCCCUCCCCAAAAAAAAAAAAGAAAAAAAAAAAAACCGCAGUAGUAGAAACUAGGACACUACUAGACUUGCUGAAUUAUACGAAUGACUUGCACCAUCGGCUACCUCCGACAUGCAUCCGGAUGUAGCAAUUAAAUACCAAGAGGUGCAUGUGAUGCAUCUUUCCCUUUUACACUCCCACAGUCUCAGAAGCAGCUUGGACAAAUGGACUUUAGAGAUAGAACGGCCCUACUUGCAAUUACAAUAGAGAAAAGGCAAAAGCAAGAGGAAAAAAAAGGUAGACAAACAUAGAAAAGCUUCUUCCAAAGAAAGGCACAUUAUAGAGAAAGCAAAGCAAGACUGCCCAAUGGAAAUGGAAGAGAUGAUGAUGAUGAUGAUGAUCAGCAGCAGAAGCAGCCCAGCAAAUCCCAGAAUUCAGUCCAUUUCUAAUGAUCCCAUUACUAAUUGCCCAACCUGGAAGUUGUACGAGAACCCCUUCUACACAAAUACUCCUCAUAACCAAAAACAUAAACAUCAGCAGCACUCCCGUCAAUUAGAGAACAAGGCCAGUAGUAGUAAUAGUACCUGUAGUACUGAUCAGCUGAAGCAAGUUCAUCGUAUCCAGCUUCCUGUUUCAGCAAGAAAGAUCGCGGCUUCCUUUUGGGAUCUAACCUUCAUCAGGCCUUUGAUGGAGUCUGAGCUUGACAAGGCCCGAGCCAAGAUCACCGAAUUGAAGGCUGGGCUGGAACAGGAGCGCAAGGCUCGUAAGAAAGCAGAAUCUAUGAAUAAAAAGCUGGCCAGAGAACUCUCGGAGGUCAAGAAAAGCAGAGAAGCAUUGGAGCGGCUGUGUGAAGAACUUGCAAAACAAGUAUCAACCGGCGAGGCAGAAAUGAGCAGAAUGCACAAGGACAUGGAGGAGGAGAGAAAGAUGCUGCGGAUGGCAGAGGUGUUGAGAGAAGAACGCGUCCAGAUGAAGCUUGCUGAAGCAAAACUUUUGUUGGAAGAAAAGCUGACGGAGUUGGAGGCCACCAAAACGAAACAGAUGAUUGAUCGGUCCAAGGUUAAUGAUCAAGAAGCGCAACACCGCCACAUUUUUAGCAAGGCUGAUGAGAGUUUUAACAAAACUUGGUCAAGUAAUGGUGGGAUUGAGUCUGCUGACGAUAUUAAUAGUAUCAGUCGUGAUUCCUCCGGAGAAGAGAUAAAAUCGUGUGUUUUGGUUGAGAAACCGGCUCCUACUACGACUGCUAUUAUUGCUGUGGACGGUAGCAGCGGUUCAAAUGCAUCUGCAGUAAUUGUGGCGGCAAGUCAGAGAAGAGCUUCGCCUGAGCCUGAAAAUCCGCAUAUCAAGCGGGGCAUCAAAGGAUUCGUGGAAUUCCCAAAAGUUGUUCGAGCGAUUGGUUCCAAGAGUAGGCAUUUUGGGACCAAGUUGGAGUGUCAGAAGGCUCAGCUGAGGAUACUUCUCAAACAGAAGACUCCCAUCCGAUCAUCCAAUCAUCCAAUACCCUUAUUACCAGCUAGCUAGUUACCUAGGUGUCUUCAGGAUUUUCCACUCGAAAACUAGGCAUGGCAUACCAUCGUUAUUCCUUCCCAUUUACCAUUUCUUCCAGGUCCCUGAUGAGCUUCAUACAUGUCGAUGGUUUUAUAUGUUCAUGAUCUGCUUUCGUAUCCAAAUAAUAUUGGAGCCAACAUGUAAAAGUAUAUACUUGUGUCUUUUAAGAGUUAGUGAUUUUUUUCCCCUCUUUUUUAUCUUGCAAUAUACGCACUGCUGUGCUUUGUUCAAGUCAUCGGUGUUUAUGAUACUACGAUCUGAAGAUUUUUUUUUUCCUUUUUGCCCCGCUUUUUUUGUCAUCUGUCAAUGAUUGCCUUUGUGACAGGUUAAAAAAGAAAAAAAAAAAAAAAAAAAAAAAAAACGUCAACGAGAUUGAGUUAUUGUAUAAUAGAUGAGUUAAUUAUACUUGAAGCUCAAGAGUAAAAAUGGUAUUACGUAUUUUCUUGAAUAAUCUAGGACCAUAAUCAGCUAAAGGGUCAAAGGGAAAGUGAAACACCAUAAGUAUUGACGGCCUACUUUAGCUUUUUAAUUCCUUUCUUCAUGGAUCUUUGUUUGUUUACUUUUCUUUAUGCAUGGGAAAUAGUUUUUGUUACUUAUUAUUAUUGUUGUUGUUAUUAUUUAUAGUUUGUUACCUAAUUAAUUCUUCCAAUAAUGAAGAUACACUAUUCUGUAAGAAAAUUUAAUAUCUAAUAGUAGAAAGUAUCAAAGUUGUUCUAUAUUUCCUCUUGUAUUCUUACGGGUGUUUUAAAUAAUUCACUUUAACAAUAAGUAUGGAAAAUGCAUUCCGCUUUGGAGACGUAAUACAGUCAUUAAAAAAAAAUUUUUUUUUUUCUGAUAAUCAGUUGUUAAAAAUUAAAGUAUCAGACGUUGGGCAAAGCCCAUGAUACAAGUAACGAUCUAUGCGCGCCGUCAACCCUCUCUUGCGUGGAAACAGUGAAAUAGCAGCAUUUUCAGUGGCAACUGGAAGGAACUUGCGCGCCCCAAUUGCUGCUAAACUCUGACCUUCAUCCUGGGCUUCAACCAGUUUCCUUUUCGUUUUGGCAGAGUUCCCCAUUGAGAGGCAAUUUUCCAUCCAUAGGAGGAGCGAGUACGUUUACAUGUAUAUAUACUUAGAGUGUAACCUCUCGUUUCUGCUUCAAAUGCACUACUGGACUUGGGAUCCCGGAAAGAAAAGACUUUUCAAUCAUCAUAUUCCCAAAUAAAAUAAUCCUGCCUGAUGUUGCAUUUACCUGUUUCGAAAACUCCACUGUGUUACUACUGCCAAUAUCGCUCAUUAGUUGUUACUUUGCUUAGUUAAUGCCACUGCUUAGUCUGGUUAAGCUUAAGGUGAGGGGAGAAGCAGAAGAAAGCAGGAAUUAGUAAAUGGAACAAGCAAUAAGUCAUGUUCCUCGAAGGCCACACAAUUGCAGCUCCAGCCUCAAGGCAUAAAGCAAAACAAAACAACCGACUUGGUUGAUCGUCAUUCAAGAAAAGAGAGACGGGAAAAGAAAUCCAGUUUUUCAAUUCUUGAGUAAAUCGGGGUGGUAAACUUUGCCACAGAGAGGGAGAGAGAGGCUUUGAUUCUCUCUGACUGAUCCAACUUUGGUACGUGACGCUCAUUUGGAUUACCCAAUUCAGCAGCAGUCCAGACCAGAGUCAGUAAUUACUACUAAUUAGGGGUACCAUGUGCAGCAGCAGCUAGCUCCAGCUCGAUGCAAUGCAAUUGUUUUGCAUUGCUCCAUCUUUUAUUUUAUGCUGUCUUAUGUUGUGCCAUUGUCUUUGCACCCGUAUUUAGAUACAUUCUCAGAGGCUGCAGCCACGCCAUUCAAUUUGUUCUACAUCCAUUAUCUUACUAUAUCCUGUAGUGUUAUUUCCUGGUAUUAGGUGGUUUUGUUUUGAUCGUUAACUUCGUGCUUCGACAUCUCUAUUCUUCUUCUUUCCCCCCGUGCCAAAGGAUUUGGUAAAUUUCCGGUAAGUUCAACCUUGAUAACGUGAACGCCCAUCAACCGGACCGGGUGGUUGCACUCGCGGUGGAUGGUAUCCUCCUAUAAUUUAAAAAUCUAGUAUAACCCGUUUAUUGUUUGGAUUAAGUGUCACAGUAAGGAUGCGCUUAGUAAAAUUGAAAUUUAAAAACUGAAAUUUGAAAUCUGAAGUUUGAAUUCAUUAAAUUAUUGAAUUAUUAAGUAUUAAAUUUAAUAUAUUUGAGUACAUAUUGCAUUCAGUGAUUAGUGAAUAGGUUAUCACUUAAUUUUGAGAGUAAGUUUUGCCUAAAAAAUUCAGUACCAUUUAAUUAAUUCAAAUGUUCAAUUUUUGGUUAUCAACGGUUUGAAUAUGUUAAGGGUUGAAUUGGAUUAUUAAAUAGGGCCUUAGUUUUUUUUAAUUAAAACUAAGGGUCAACGGUAAAAAAGUCCAAACCAAACUAAUAAAUUGGCAAAUUCAUUUUUUCAUUACUUUUUUUCUUUUUUUUUUUUGGUCUUUUCUUUCUCUCUCUUUUUGGGAACUGAAGAGAUGAUUUUGAAAUUCUACACUUUGGCCAAUAAAAUCUUAAUUUUCUCCAAAUACGUAAAAUAAAUAUAUAAAACAAAAAAAUUAAUUAAUUAAGAAACAAUAAAUACCAAAUCUUUUUUUAAUUAAUUACAAACAUCAUUGUAGACUCUUAAAUCAAAAUUUUAAUGGUAUUUUCUAGUUCUUAUUUAUUUAUUGGACUCCAGGUAUUAAAUUACACUUGGCUAUUUAUGAUGGCUUUCUCUUUUUCUGUUGUUCUUGACGACCUUUGAUUCGCCCCUUAGGUCAUGCAAGUACAUUUCUGCUGUUGCUGAGUUGAUUAUCUGUUUACUGGAAAAACUCCUACAGAUUUUACCGUCCCCAAGGAAAAUGCACGAGCAAAAGAAAAAAAAAAAAAGACACUGAAGAGUUAAAACAGAAGAAGGGUAGAGAGAGAACCUUCAACUCCGUGUUGAGUAGCAAAAAAAAUCUCGAAUUGCAGGCUGCAGCUGAUGAGUUGCUGACGUGACCCUCUACAAGUUGGGGCUAUCUGCAGACCAAACGGUACUAAGGCUCCAAUUCAAAGUCAAACUGCUAAAACUAUCGAAUAAACUAUCGCAUAUCUCUUGCAAUCUCCACUUAUCUUGGUUUUAAUAUUCUUUCUUUCUGAUUUUUUGGCUAUCCUUUUCACACCGACACUCUUUGGAAGUCAGUGAUCCGAUCCUCGUCAAUAAACAAUACGAAGAAGCCCCAUUUACAUCAGAAAGCUCCAAGCUUUUGGAUAAAAGUGGUUGGACAAUCCAAGGAUCAAGAUGAAUAGUCCUACUAGAUACGUAGCGAUGUUGUUUUUGCUGAUGCUGCUAGGUUCUUUAUUGGGCUCGAAUGUUGCUUCCGCUCAUAUUGGGAUUCAGCCUUUAUCCAAAAUAGCAAUUCAAAAAACCACUCUUGCUCUUACUGACUCUGCAGCGAUUAAAGCCUCUCCUAUUGUUCUUGGCUUGAAGGUAAUCAAAUAUCACAAUGCUCCUUUCGAAUAUGUUUGUAGUAUUAGUUGAAUCCCAUGAGCACAUGGUAUUAAAUGCUGAGUUCCCUACUUUAGAAAAGCAGUAUCAUAAAUUACGAAGUUGUUUGCUUUGCUCUGUUUUUUGAUGUUAUGGUGAUCGCCAUAUAUGGACAGUGUCUAGUUGCUUUUACCACUGGCUAUGUGAAAGCGACACUGAAAACAGCAAAUUUCUCAGUAUCCUCACCAAUUUCAUUUCUUACUGUGAAAGCCAUAGGUUUUCUUUGAAGUGAAUUUGUGCAGGUUGUUCCUAUGAGUUUUCAUACCCCUACCCGUAUGGAUAUGGUAGGAACAUAGAAUUGACCAGAUAAUGUAGACUUUUGAAUAAUGUCAGAGUCCCAAUUUGAAGUCUGUGAUGCAUUUUUGGGUAGUGUUAUUGCAGGGUGAGGACUCUGAAUGGGUAACUGUUCGUUUUAAAAACUCUGCACCCUCUCGGUAUGAUUGGAUCGGAGUAUUCUCCCCAGCAAACUUCAAGUAAUUUCCAGCUUUCUACUAAUUUUAACUUCUAAGCUGUUAGUCAUUAUGUGGUAGUCACUGUUUUAAAUGGAAUAUUUGCUUUUUUCAGUGGAUCCAUUUGUUCCUCGGAAAAUCCAAAAGAAGCGACGCCAUAUCUAUGCACGUCCCCCAUAAAGGUGAGACUGCUCGUGAUGCCAUAUGAUAAUCUAAAUUGGAACAAGAGGUAGUUGUCUACUUGAUUUUUCUCUGACCAAUAUCACCUGAUGUGAAUUUCCACUGUUGCAGUACCAAUUUGCAAACUUCUCCAGUUCCUCUUAUAUAAAGACGGGUGAAGCUUCAAUCAAGUUCCAGUUGAUCAAUCAGCGAGCCGAUUUCUCCUUCGCAUUGUUUUCAGGCGGUUUGUCAAACGUCUGUGAAUUUUCUGUCUCCCUUAAGUUUCAUUUGACUUUUAUAUUUAGCUGCAGAGACUCUUGCUUCGUUUCCAACAUUUCCAACAGGCCUUAGGAUCUCAGGGUAAGGGGAAGGGAUGUGGAGAGAUCAGUGUUCAGAAUGAUCUGUACUAAAGGUUCUUAAUAGAUGUAUUACGUUAUUUAUUGACAGGUCUCAUAAUAUCCAUAAAAUCAACUGGUUGAUAACAGAGUUUCCUGCAAUGAUUUAACAUCCAUGGUAUUUAACUGCACAAAAGUUGCUCCAAAUGACUUCAAAAAUAGUGUCAGAAAUCAGCUUAAAUCCAAACCUUCUUAACACAGCGUGAGAGUCCAACUGCGACUUGAAGCCCUUAUGUCUUUGUUUAUUGGUUCUUUGUUGCAUUGUUGUCUUUCAGUUUCUCAAAAUUUUUGUUCUUCAGUAAGCUGACUUCCCACUUUGAAGAUCACAUUAAGUUACUGUUAAUAAUUUUCUGUCAAAUAAUGUAUUGUUCAUUUCAUGCAGCCAAGCUUACUAGCAGUUUCAAACCACAUAACUUUUGCAAAUCCUAAAGCACCUGUCUAUCCCCGCCUUGCUCAAGGAAAGUCUUGGAAUGAAGUAAGUUCAUGGCUACUAGUGGUUUUGGAAAACUGCUUCUUUUUUGUUUAUGUUCUCUGUUUAAAUAUUUCUGGUUGAGCUUAUUUAUCUGUUAAUUAUGCAAUCUUGUAGCGUAGAAUGUGCAACUUAAGUGAAUUUACUUUCUUUCCUUGAGAUAUUGGGGGUUUUUUCUUUUUCUUUUUGGCGUGAUACAUAGAACUAUUUAUGUUGCUUGAUAAGAAACUGCUCAUUUAAAAUACCCAAAUUGGCAUGCAUAAUGAUUUUUGUCACAUUUUGCUUAAUGGGAUUUCAAGAACUGGAGUUUAACCAUUCCUACAGCCACCCCCACCCUUUCUCUACAUGUGCAGAUGACAGUCACCUGGACAAGUGGCUAUAAUAUAGAUGAAGCCAUUCCAUUUGUUGAGUGGGGAUUGAAGGGUCAGAACCAAAGGCGGUCACCAGCAGGGACACUGACAUUCCAACAAAAUAGCAUGUGUGGUAUGAAAUCAGUUUUGAUGUGCUUGCUGGUAUCAGUUCUUUAUGUGGAAAAUUGUGAUCUUUCUUAAACCUUCUUUGAAACUUGAAUCAAGAUUGACAGAUGGUCUAAUGGAAAUUGAUUGGGAACUAUUCUUGGUUUUGUGACCAGAGCAUCAGCACAUUACUUGUAGAAAUUGAAAGUGAGAUGCAUAAGAUGAGACAGUAAUUCAUGAUGAUAUAAGAACUAAUGGAGUUAUCAUAACACCAUAAAGUUAUCAACCUCUGUAAUGCAACUUAUUGUUGGUUUGGAAAAUUCCCAGAUUGAUUUGUUAUGUUGGAGGCCUUUGGCUUCUGAGUUUUCAACCUAGAUGAUUUCAAAGUAGGAGUUAAUAAUACUUAAUAAUCAUGUCAACUAUCUGGGUUUUUCAUUUUGUCUCAACCAUGCGCAUCCAUUUGUCCUAACAUCAAAUGCCAGAUUAACUGAGAGAGUCAAUGCAUAGCUUAUAAAGUACUCUAAAAUGAUGUGUAGGUUCACCUGCUAGGACAGUUGGCUGGCGUGAUCCUGGUUUCAUACACACAAGCUUCUUAAAGGACCUGUGGCCAAACACUCUGUGAGUUUUUUCCCCAAAGUCUGUUUCUUUCGGUCUAAGUUCAGUGACAUGUACAUAUCAACAUUGACAUGUGAUAAAUAUUUUUCAGGUAUUCCUACAAAAUGGGUCACCUAUUACCCAAUGGUUCAUAUGUUUGGAGCAAGGUAUACUCGUUUAGAUCAUCACCUUAUCCAGGACAGAACUCAUUACAGCGCGUAAUAAUAUUUGGAGACAUGGGAAAGGUAAAAGACUUGCUUUAGCUAUAUGAUCUCUUGCUAUAUACUGUCCUCCAGUGCAAAGGCAUGGAACGGGAAGAUAAAUUUAGAGAAUGAAAUUAAUUAAUAAAUUGGAUCUUUUACAAAAUCAAUUAUUAAGGAUAACAUUAGGGCAUCUACUUCAACUUUUAGUAUCAAUGGAGGCCUGAAGAACUUGAUUCAUUAGUAAACAAUUAUUUGUAUGAAGUGUAAAAGGUUUCCAUUGUGCAAUCCUGUUUAUUGUAGGAAGCCUUAUCCCAAACCCUUUUUUCUUUCACAUUGAUUCCUUUUGGUAAGUUAUCCCUGGAUUUCAAUUCGUAAGAAUAUCAUCCACAUAUGGAUGCUUACCUAUUCAGAUAUGUAUGAUCCUGAUCUCCAUGAACUCCUGCAAACUGGAAAAUGCAGAGAUGCUAGCAUCAUCACUUGUAACUUGAAAUGUUUUGUUGCAACUCCUAUUAGAGUUUGCUCUUUUAUGCAUUUGAUAUUGUUUUGGUGCACAUGUUGACUUAGUUAACUGCUUCGAGCUAAAAAAGUUGACAUCUAUUAAAAAAUCCCAAAAAAGUUCAGAGUGAUUGUAUGAGAUACACUUCAUUGAAAAUGAUCACAUUGUGUUUUCUCUAUACAAUCCAUUCAGAUAGUAAGAAGAAAUUCUGUGGCUUUCAGGGAGAGAGAGAUGGCUCCAAUGAGUACAACAAUUAUCAGCCAGGCUCACUUAAUACCACUGACCAACUGAUUAAGGAUCUCAAUAACAUUGAUAUAGUUUUCCAUAUUGGAGAUAUUUCAUAUGCGAAUGGCUAUAUAUCACAGUGGGACCAAUUUACCUCACAGAUUGAACCCAUAGGAUCUAGAGUGCCCUAUAUGAUCGCGAGGUUUGAUCCUUUUACAGUACAAUUCUUGUCAGUUUAUUUCUAUCUAUAAAUUUGUCAGAAACCUGUUAAUACAUAUUUAGUUUCUUGUAACAGUGGCAAUCAUGAGCGUGAUUGGCCAGGUACAGGAUCCUUUUAUAAUGGCAUGGACUCUGGAGGAGAAUGCGGUGUGCUUGCUCAGAACAUGUUCUUUGUCCCUGCCGAAAAUAGAGAAAAGUUUUGGUAAGCUUCAACUGUUUUUCCGUACUAGAUAUCAUAGCAGAAAUUUAAUGCAACCUGUAGCACAAGGAUUUGAAAAAUGGUCGUAUCCAUUGUAUGUUUUGUUUGGAAGAUAUCUGUGGUGUAACAACUUGGAUGAUUGAAAGUUAGUAAAAUUCAUCGCAAAGAGCCAGACCAACUCAUGACAUCUGGUCAAAGUUUCAAUUGAACUAUUAAGUAUUGUUGUAGAUGAACUUUUCCCAAUACUGUAGUUCUUCUAAAGUGGAUUGCAAACAAUCUAAAUGAUAAUCUAACCAUUUGAAGUUUUGGAAUUAUGAUUACGAGUUUUAAUCUAUUUUGGAAAGUAGUCAGACCAUGUUUGAUUUGACAAUAAAGUAUGUUCUAUUUCCCGUGGUUUUGCAGACGUGUACAAUGGCUUUACAAUAGAAGAUUUUAAGCCAAAAAAAGGCAGUCUUUAGUUGAACUUCUUCUACAAAAAAUGAUUGGAUCCUACCAUUAGUAGCUAUGCUUUGCAAUGUUUUGUGGUCUCAGUGAAGUAGGUUUUCUGUUUGGUCAUUUGUUGAAGACUGUGAAGUGACAUUUGCAUGCAUGUACAGGUAUUCAACAGAUUUUGGCAUGUUUCACUUUUGCAUAGCAGAUAGUGAGCAUGACUGGAGGGAGGGAUCUGAACAGUAUAGGUUCAUUGAGAAAUGCCUGGCAUCAGUGGACAGGCAAAAGCAACCUUGGCUAAUAUUUGCUGCUCAUCGGGUCCUUGGUUAUUCUUCAGACAAAUAUUAUGGCAUCGAAGGCUCAUUUGAAGAACCCAUGGGACGGGAAAGCUUGCAGAAGCUCUGGCAGAAGUAUAAGGUGGAUAUUGCCUUCUAUGGCCAUGUUCAUAACUAUGAAAGGACCUGCCCAGUUUACCAGGUAAAGUUUUGCUCCGAACUUGAAAAAAUUAGAAUUGCAACAACAAUUUUCUCUCGGAGGCCCCUAAACGAAAGUGCGGAAAUGAUUUCUAGAUACAUGCUGAGGACUAAUUGUCUUCAUUCAUCAACUUCAAUGGGUUUGUUUGGACUCCUGAUUGUUCUGUUGAAAGAAAAAAGAACAUAGCUAAUCUCCUUAAUGUAUAACAUUAAAAAUAAGUCAUAGUGCGACUACAAGCCUGUACUAUGUUGUAUGGAGCUGUUUAUAGGUUUAAUUCAUGUAAAGCAAUCAGCACGUGAGCUACUGCUUUCAAAAUAAGACCAGAACAUUAGAUGAAUUGCCUGUAAUCACAGUAAGCAUGCGUAAAAUUGGAAACUAUAGGUCUCUUAAUUUGUACAUCUGUACCCAACUUUUUCAGUUUGAGGUGACUUGUCAUAGUUAAUUGAAUCACCAAUCCUUGAUCUCCUGUUACCGUGGAGUUUCCUGAUGAUGCAGAAUCAGUGCGUGAAAUCCGGGAGGUCGCACUACUCUGGAGUUGUGAAUGGCACGAUCCAUGUGGUGGUUGGAGGCGGAGGAGCACAUUUGUCUGAGUUUACCACAGUUAACACCAGUUGGAGCCUCUAUAAGGAUUACGACUGGGGAUUCAUCAAGCUCACCUCAUCUAACCACUCCUCUCUUCUCUUCGAGUACAAGAAGAGCAGAGAUGGAAAGGUUUAUGAUUCCUUUACGAUAUCAAGGGACUACACGGAUGUCUUGGCGUGUGUUCAUGAUGGUUGUGACGCAACCACUUCGGCAUAUUGAAUAAAACAGGUUUACGGAAGGGGUCAUUUUGUAGAUUGAUUUACAAAAUAAGCCUCUUUUAAGGCAUGUUGCUGCCAAAUGUUUUACAGAAUAAUCCAAUUACAUUCUCUUUUUCCUUAUAGCACGCUUGUAUUCUAGCAGAACUCAUGAUAACCAAGAAGCCACAAGGAAUCUAAACAGAAUAUAGCAAACAAGUUAUUAUGGGAGCAGCUUGUGGUACAACCAUCGUUGGAACACACUAGCACCGGUAUUUUAAACAAUCAUCGCGAGGCAAGCAAUGAUCUCCUAGUGACAACUAUUAAUUUCAAAAACAAAUAAGUUCUCCUAGCCACAAACUAUUAAAUUCUCCUAGCGAGGCAUCAUAGGGUUUCUUCUGCAUAUAACGUGUUUAGGCCGCCAUUUCCACAUCAUGGCUGGCAAUAUCACCAUCACCUAAAGGGCCAAUUGAUGCAAAAAGAUGUUCAAUUUUCAAGGGAGAGUGCCGGACAAUGUACUGGAACAUUACCUGCAACAUGAAAACCAAUGUUUGUUAUCAAUGUGCCUUCCACAACCAAAUGCUUAAGUGACAAACACAAGGUAUCUUCUUGCAGAGAGGAACAUCAAAAAUUGAAAAUCAGUCAAAGAGAGGCCAAAGCAAGAUAAAAAAAAAAAAAAAUCUAAAUAUUGUGACCCACCUUGGAGUAACUAUCCGCAAAUGCACGCGCACGAUUGGAUUGGCCAAGGUAUUGCAAAUCUGCCUUCUCUAACUUUCCAUCUACAAAACUUAACCCGCCAUCAUUAACAGCAAAGCGUAAAAGAUUUCCAGCAUGCAGUCCAGUCUGAAGAUCAAAAGAAUUAUCAGCACCUCAACAACAAAAAUACUUUUAAAAAAAAUUUGGAGUAACAAAUUGUAGUAUAUUGCAGUAUAUGGUAAAAGUUCAAGUGGACUUAGGACUGAAUUCUAGAGCUUGCACCAAGAAUAGCAUUAAAUCAGUGCAGAAAUUGCGUUCUUCCCUAACUUUAAGCAGUACAAAACCUAUAUGGCUCGGUAAAGCUCAAUAUGUUGCCAUCUGCAACUUCUAGAUAAGAAUUUCAGAAGGGGAUCCAGAUCAUUAUGGAAGCUUUAUUUUCUUUCAACAAACACAGAAACUUCUUUGAUAUUUAAAACACUCUAAUGAAACUUAAUUCUUCACAUUUUAUACUCUAGAAAUUAAGCUGCACAGAUAUAUCCAAACCUUUUGGAUGAAAUCCUCAUUCAACCAGCCAAAUAUAACAGAAGGAUCAUCAGAUGUGGCAAGCCUCCCAUCAUCCUGUAACUCCAAGACCAACUGGUAGAAAUCACCAAAGAAAAAUUAUGCACCAAAGCAGUUUGUGUCCAAACUGAUAGAAAAGUAGAACUAAAUGAUGAAAAGGUAAACCCAGAAUGACAAGGUUAUGAAGUCCCAACAUUAUCAAUUUUUUGAAACACUAACCAGCCGUUUGGUUCAUGGAUUCUGAGGGUAGUCAAUGGGAAUAACUAUUAAUGAUAUUCACUGAUGGUGGUGUUUGGUACUCUACUAUGGUAAUGAAAGACAAACUCUUCAAUCAUCAUUCCUGAGCAAAUUGGGCACUUUUGAUGCUGAUUAUCCAUUAUCCCAAAAAAAAAGCAACAAAAAGAUGCACUCCCUUUCCCUCUCUUCCUCUCUCUUAUCUUCAUCCCUACUCACUCACCUGUCCCUCUUUCUAUCCCUAUCUCCUGUGUAAUAUUCGUUCGAUUUUCUCUACCCAUGCUUCUCUGCCUCAUCAUUGAUUACCCAAUUCCCAUUGUUUUUACCUCUUAGCCCACCCUCUUUCCUAAUCCUCUCUUCAACGGGAAACAAUGCAAGCCAAGCUAAGGAGAUAUAGUUAAGGCAUGUUUUUCUAAUGGUGAUGGAGGUAAUUGAUUUUAAAACAUUUAAUUGACAGUAGAAAGAGCAAUCUUGCUAUUCAUGGUGGAUCAAAUUAUGGGUAGUAGUUGGUGAUGAUGGUGGUGGUUUUUCCAGCUUAUGAAAAUUUUGACAAAUAGUUUGCUUUCACUGAAAUUGGUAGGGAUGAUUUGAAGAUGGGAAAUAUUCCAAGUUUGGCAAGAAUAGAUUAUUGAUGUUGGUGGCUGUUGUUGUUGUUAGCAAUGGCUGACUGGAGGCUGUGCAGCUGUAGAAUUUCGUUAAGAAGAAAGAACAAAAUUUGGUGAAGAAAAACACAGAAAUUAAUUUUACAUAUUAAAAAAUAAUAAGAAAAUUCAAUAGAUUCCCAUUGCACCACAACUAACAAAAUUUGGUGAAGAAAAACACAGAAAUUAAUUUUACAUAUUAAAAAAUAAUAAGAAAAUUCAAUAGAUUCCCAUUGCACCACAACUACCAAACACGUGAAAAGGGAUGACCAAAGCCCAUUAUAAUUGAGGGCUUCUGGAGCACCAACCAAAUGGGUGGUAGGAAAAUUUAGAUGCAUGGCGAAACAAUGGGUGUGUCAAAACUACUUAGGGCUGCGACAAGAUACUAAUGCAAAACCAAAUGUAAGCAAGCAAUUAAGCAAUUUCAAUCAUACACCUCAUGCGCCAACAACAUAUCCCAUCAAAUUCCAGAACCCAGGUUGCUGAUUAAGCGACACUCUGAUAUAGAAGGUACACAAAUAAUUUUCUAGGUGGUUUAUGAUACAAUGUAUGCCAAUAAGAAGAUUGGCCGGAAAUGAUCAUGACUGAAUGGGCAAAGCAUAAGGAUUCUUGUUUGUCAAAUGACAAGUCAUAUUAUAAAAAGCCUGGUGAAAAGAAGAAUAUCAAGUUUCACCUGUUGCUGGUUCGGAACUUGUCCCUUACUAUCCGUAUCAAUAACGUACUCACUACAAUUUUCAUCCUUCCAGACCAAAGCUAAUGGUGUAUUUCCUGUCUGAUAAUGGGCAUGCCUACAAAGGACCAAACAAGCAACAAACGGAACAAUGCAUCUUGGUGAAAAAUUAACUGAAAAAUGCUUAAGCAAAAGACGAGCUGCAUACUUCCGACAGAAAAGUACAAGAGGGAAGUCCAUAGCAAUCCGAAGAAAAGCACACAAGAUUCCAGAUAAUGAAACACAUUUGUGCUAAUGAAAACUACAGAUGGUUCAAACAGAUAAUUGAAACAUCCCCAGUAAACACCAAUCAGAAUGAGGUUUGAAGCAACAGAAGUUCAUCUGGUUGCUAUCAAUCCAAAAAAAAAAGAAAGUAAUUGGCUUUCCAGAGCAAUAGCCUAGUCUAUCAAGUAUCAGCUUCAUGAUCUGACCAGUAGAGCUAAACAUGAAUCCAACACCUUAAAAAACUAAGAAUCAGAAACAAGAAAUACACAGACACGGAAAAGGAAACAAGAUGUAGAAUAGCUGACUUGUUGUAAAAUAGUAGUCCAUCUUUGACGUAAGGCACUGGUCCAAUGUAAGCAGUUUGCAGACCUUCCUGAUCACAGUUGUAGACGGGAACAGUAGCAAAUCUGUAUUUGUGGAAAGUCGAGGGAGUAUCACAAGCCCCUACCUCAACAAGCUUGCUGUUUAACCAGAAAAAUCUAAAUUCAGCAGUGCACUCAUACAGUGAGAAUCCUGCCCAACAAACCAUGUCAAUAACAUAGUAUGUUUGGUCUGGCUGCAAAAUCACAUGAAAAUAAUUCACCCCAUUACAUCACUGUUAAUACGGAAUAUCAAAUACCCUUAGAGCACACACAAAAUCCCAGACAGUAAAUACAUGCAGGGAAAGAAAAAGGGAAAAAGAAAUCUUGAGGAGUAACGUUCACACGGAGAAUGUACCUCAUGAAAUAUACAGUCAAGUAUACAGUAUGAUUGACCGGACCUAGAGACAUUAUUGAUCCUGGCACCGUUGGGUAGUGCAGACGGAAAGCGAUGCAAAAGGAUGCCAUUGCGUAACCUACUAACUGUUGUCCCAUUAGACGAAACUACAAAACAUCGUUUCCCUGCUGGUCUCGCAAAUACAUACCUUUUAAAAAAGAAAAAAAAAACCAUUUUUGUACGUAAGAAGUAGCUAAUAUUAGCUCAAAUUAAUAUGUGACGCAAUCAACAAAAGCGACUAAUUCAAUUCAUCAUGCAAGAACUGUAAUCAAACUGGGAUUUUGAGAAGCAUCAAAAAGAUUGAUCAUUUCAUUCAGUAAUGGGAUUCUGCGAAUACAUACCUCCAAAGAUUCAAUUAAAUCAAAUAAAUAAAAUUUUAAGGAAAAAAAGGUUAGAAUUUACUAAUAUUAGCUCAAUCAAUAACUAGGAAGGGCAACAAAAGCAUGAUUUAAAAGUUAAGAACAAAUAUAUAGUUUGAACGAAUACACGUACGAUCAAAUUGGAAUUCACAUUUUUAUUCAGUAAUCGGGACGUUAAAAAAGCGUCUUGUUAGUAAGUACCACUAAAAAGAACUAACCAAUCAGUAUUUAGGUUAGGAGGGACAUCAAUCAUCCAUUCAGGGAGCAUGAGCUGCUUGGCGAACCAGCGACGAGCUUCAGUUCCUCUAAGUUUGGAUGCCUGUCGGACAUCAUAGGUUGUAGCGGGGCCCUGGUGUUCUUCUGCGUCGGGCUCGAUUUCGAGUUCGAGCUCGAGUUCGAAAUGGGAUUGCUCUUGGGAAGGGGAUUUGGGCUCGCUCUGAAAGGAAAGGACGGAGGAGGCUAAACAACGGGCUCUACGCUGAGCGUCGAGGCGGUUCUGUUUCUGCCGCAACAGAGAGAGGUCUCGCCGUCUUUGUUGGUCGGAGAUCGCCGGGCGUUUGAAUGGGCGCCGGAGAUCAUGUGGAGCCAUUGCUGCUCUGUUGUUUCGCUUACUGACGAUGGGGGCUUUCAAAUUUGGAUUUGAUUUGAUUAUCGGGGCGGGCCGCGGGCUGGCUUGUGUUCUCCAAUCUGUGUUUUGUUUUUGUGGUUAAAUUGCUUUCAAGUCUUUCCUUUUUAAAAAAAAAAAAAAUUUUUGGGGUGAAUUUCUUGUAAGUAAUUACCGACAGGGUUUCCUAGCCAGAGUGCUUCUCAUAUUUGUGUAUUUGUGGGAGAAAAAUACCCAAUAUCCAAAUAUACUUUUCGGUUUUGUUUGAUUUACUGAUGAAAUAAUUUGUAUUUAAUUGAUUUUAAUAGUAUUUGUAAGAGAAAAAAGGGGAUCAAAAUAGUGUGUGAAAAAUCACAAACCAAACCAAACAAAGCCUUAGAAAUAACUAAUAGUAGGUGAAAAUGUAGAAAUUAAGAUUAAAAUUUUAAGAAUUAAAAUUAUAAGUUCUGAAUUCAAAUUUUUCUCACGGAAGGAGAGUAACUAAAGCCUUUGUUUGCUUCAAAUGUUAUGCCUAUUGCAUCACCCCGUUUAUUUCCAAUGUUACCGGGAUAAAAAUAAAAUAAAAUUCAAAAUUUCCUUUUUCUCUUACUUAAAUUUUAAAUCCAUCUCUCCUCUCUUUGCUUUAAAAAGAAUUAAGAAGGAAAAAAAAAACAAUAGCAUCUUGGGAGGUUAUCUCCAUUCUCCACCUCCUUAUUUGUCUCGACCAAUUUGGAGUAACAAACAAGUAGAGUGCUUUAAAUUUGGUCUAAAACGCAAAGGUUAUUGGCUUAAACGUUCCAUCUAAAGUUUAAAAGGAUUGUUGAUCAUUACAAUUUCUUAUUAGGUGGCACAGGGGCAGACAUACAUGCAUUCAGACAUCAAGGCUUUUAGCUAACUUGUUUCAAUUGUGAUCCUUUUGCGUAAAAAAAAUCGAUAAUAUGAAUUAUUGUAAUAGUUUUAACCUAUAUGCUUUAGAUAUUUUUAGAGAUGAGUCGAGAACUUUCGCUACUCUUUAACUGUCGAGAUAUACGUUAUAUAGUUUUUUGAACCAUUGCUCAAAUGCAAUAAACUUUAUAUUAAUACAAUCACCUAUAGUUCCCGGAAAAAAAAACACAUACUAGCACUCUACCCUUGAUGAACUUUUUACUAAUUUUCACAAAAUAUAUACUAGUGCGAAGAAAGGAAGGUGUCAUGAUCCCCUCCCCGCUCAUUUUCAUUGCUGGAUGUGAAACUUGGCCUCUUCUUCACAAGUAGGAGCACAUAUUUUUGCGGUGACAACACAAAACAAAUAUUAGUUGAUGUGGCGCGAAGAAGACUGUAACAGUCUGUUUGGAUUGUAAGUUAUUUGGAAUUAUUUGAGAUAUUUUUACUGUAGCACUUUUUAUGAUGUGAUGUAUGUGAGAUAAAAAGAUAUCGGAAAGAUAAAAAAGUGUAUUGGAAAUUGUAAAGAUGAUGUAAGCAAAUAAAAUUGGAAAAAUAUGAAGCAAUCCAAACAAUCCCGGCCUUCAAUUAACAAGAACAUAAUAGUAAUUAAUACUACUAUUAACUCAAAAUGGAGACUUUCCUUUUCAUUUAAGAUUCAUCAAUAAUGAUGAAUGAUGGAACUCCCAAAAAAAAUAGUAAAAAAAAAGGGGACUUUGCAUUAAUCUUUGAGCCAGAAAACGAAAUCUCAUUUUUUAUUACGUUUUGAACUUAAAAGUCUCAUUCGGACCUGAAGUUUGAAAUUAAAGAACCAACAACAACUACAACUUUCUUAGCCCUUGCGGGUAGUCCGAUUGAUUUUAUAGCUUAAUAGUUAUUAGCAGAUUUCAUAAUCGAUUUUUGUAUAUUAUUUUAUUGUAUAUUUUUGAAACAAGAUUUCAUACAAUCUUAGAAAAUUAGUCUGCCCGAGAGAUUAUGAUACCCGUCAAUCAAAAAAAAAAAAAAAAAAACUUUCUUCUUGUGGUCCAAGUCAGUACUGGCGUUUACUAGCCGAGUGCCAUUACGCUGCUGCCUUACCCUUUUUCAUUUUUAACCGCUUCGGUUUGAGUUCACUCCCGUCGCUGCCUUUCCCACUCUUUUCUGUCCUUUCUUCUCGUCUUCCUUGAGAAUUCAAAAUUAUAAAAAAAAAAAAAAAAAAAAAUGGGCUGCAUUUCCUCCACCCUCCUGACCCAUGACGACCCUGACUUCUCCCAAAUCGGCGGCUCCUCCUCCGCCUUUGCCCACCACAUUGUCAAGCUCACCUCCACCACUUACGGUCUCUUGACUCUUGACCCCCCGCCACCACCUUCCUCCGACCUCGCCUCUCCCGCCGGCACCAUUGUUCCCCCCACCCCGCCUCCUGGCUUCACUCUCAGUCUCACCUCACUGUCCUCCGAUCUCAGGCCACCCCUCAAACCCGACGACGACAUCAUCAACUCUUGGGAGCUCAUGGCUGGCCUCGACUCCACUCCACCUCCUCACCACCCUAGCUUCCGAUUCUCCCCUACUCCUUCCAUUUCCACCUCCACCACCAAAGAAAACUCGAACCCGAAUCUACCCUCCUGCUUCACUCAAUCCAACCAAAUCCCCACCUCACACGACCCCCGCGACGCCGUUUUAGCUCCCGCAAGGAGUUGCUCCUCCUCAUCCCUUUCCCUGGAUGAAUUUGAAAAGCUCUGCCCUCCUAAUGGGGAAUCUAAAGUGGUGAUAUACACCACCACGCUGAGGGGCAUCCGCAAGACCUUCGAAGCUUGCAAUGCCGUGAGGUCUGCUAUUCAGGGGUAUGGAGUUCUGAUUUGCGAAAGAGACGUUUCCAUGGAUAGAGGGUUUAGGGAUGAGCUCAGAGAACUAAUGCUGAUGAUCAAGCCUAGACCCUGUCACAGUGGUAACUCUAGUUUGAUGAUACCUCCCAGGGUAUUCAUAAAAGGGAGAUACAUUGGCGGGGUGGAGGAGGUCAUGAGAAUAGCUGAAGAUGGGGCUUUGGGGGGUUUGCUUGCGGGGUUGCCCAAAUUGAGACUCGGGCAUAAUAAUGUUUGCGAUGGCUGUGGGGGUGCCAGGUUCUUGCCUUGCUUUCAGUGUAACGGCAGUUGUAAGAUGGUGUCUCCAAUGGAGGAUGAGAUGGAUCAAUCCCACAAUUCCCUGGAGCGGACUGUGGUGGUCAGGUGCUCUCAUUGUAAUGAGAAUGGCUUGGUUCUCUGUCCCAUUUGUACCUAGCUAGUCUCAUUGUACCUCAAAAUUACUGCUACUACUAUAACUAUGCUCCAGUUAACAUGACCAUGGAUUUCUUUUAUCCGGUUGCCUCACCAUGUCGCUCAUUCUUUGAUAUGACAUCUGCUAGUGCCCUGUUUGAAUUUUCUGCGUUCCUUUUAGUACGUACCAUUUUCUCUUUUCUCCCCUCCAACCUUACACACCCCCACCCCCCCCCCCCCCCGGGGGUGCGCGCCUUUCUUUUUUGUCUCGCUUUUAUACCUUGUGAUUGCAUUUGGAAAUUACUCUCUCGAUUGUUUGGAAUUAUAAGUUUGCCUGAUCACUUACAUUCUUUGCUGGAGAAAGAGACUAGGAACUUAAUAACAUUGAGGUCUGUUCUUGGUGCACCGCUUGCAAUGUAAUCCACAUUCAGGAUUGAGGUUAUCCUCAAUUAAGCCGUAGGCGAGGCUUUGGGUAAAUGUUGAUUCUUGGUAUAUCCAUGGGUUCUAUUCUGUCAGAAGAAGAAAAUUAAGCCUGCGAGAUUGGUUAUAUGCUUAUCAUAAUUGCUGCCAGAUGGAUUUUUGAUAAUGAGAUAGGCUAAAGUAUGGUGAAAUAUGUCAAAUUCCCCAGUUAAUCCAAAUAACUUAAUUAGUACCUCAUCAUUGAAUCUCCCUGAUGUAGAUACUUGCUUUUUAAAUGAGUAACACAGGGCUAUCUGCUGCUGUGAAACUCGGUCUUGAAAAUAUUGCUUUGGCGCAACAUCUGUUGAUAAAUGAAUGAAAUAAUUAAGAUAAAUUGGUCCCCAACCAGCUUGCAGAAUAUCACUGGGCAAAAAUCGUCUGAAUAUGAUGGGUUAUUUGCCCAUUCUGAUGCUACUUUCUGAAACAUAAGCACAGUGCUGAAUCAGUUUUGACAAUUUACAAGUCAUGCUGAAGUUUAGUAGGAUUAAACUGGAUAAUUCUGGUAGAUUGUGGCUGGUAUGAUGGACAAAAGGCCUUUACUCUUUUUGGUUUUCCUGGUUGUUCUUAUAGAUCCACCUGAGUUUCAGACAGAGUCUAUAUAACAUCUGAGGGGGAUAACUGGUACAACAAAACCACAGGAGCCGAAAUCCAUUUGGCAUACAGCUCCCAACUUCGUGCUCAUCACUUAAAAAGUUUGAAAUUUUUUGCAACCUAGGAUCAUCCAUGAGGUGAGCUAAAGAAUAUCUCCAUACCAUCAUUUUUUGAGUUUUAUGUUCAUAUUUUAACUUCGGAAGUAGCCCAACAAGCUAGCCAAUAACGUAGAUCAAGAUGUAAACUGUAAGUGGCAUGUUAAUACAUUGGGAAAUUUCACAGUCUUAGUCAACAACGUAUUGUUGCUGAUUUGGCUAUGGUUAUUUGAUCUAGUGUUUUAUUUCCUAUUGUCAGCCUUCUUGUUCUGAGCCAUUAACAAAUUCAUUGUUGUUACAGGACUAGAGGACAUUUCAUAUAAUCUAUUGUCACAAUGGCUGCUAUUGUACUGAUAUUGAAGGUCUCGAUUGCACAGGGCAUAAUCUUGGAAACACUACUGUAAUGUGUAUAAUCCUAAAGGGAAAGUAGCAAGCAUGAUAGGUUUACAUUGUGGUGAAUUUAAAGCUGAAAGAUAUAGCAAUAUGCAGAUAGCAGGUCCAAUUACGGAUUCGGUGCUUAUAAUUCUCGGAAACUAGUAAUCCUUUAUGAUUAAAGUACUUUUUGUACAGAAAAGAAGACAUUACUUGUGGGAAGGGCACGACAGAAACAAACAUUUAGGAAGGAGGAGAUUUUUUUUUUCUAGUAUUAAAUUCUUUAUUUGUUUUAGCAAUUUUGUAGUCAUUAACUUGUAUCCUAUUGUAUUUUGAAGUUCAUGGCAUUAUGCUCGACCAAUGAGAGAGAUAUCUGUAAAUGCUAUCCACCUCUUGUCUUGAGCAUAUCUCGAGUACCAAUUCAUGAUCAUGAAUUCUGCAGUUAGAAGUUUGGUUUGCUGUCCUUCUGCAUUAUCUUCUUUGUGCCACUUAGAGUGAUUUCAGAUGAAAUGCGACUGCUUUUCAAAUCUUGGUAUCUAUUUGUUUGGAGAAAGUAUGCUAGCAAGUGAUAAGAUGUUAUCCAAGGCUCAACAUUUCUCAUUCAAAAUCUCAGGUGAAGAUGACCUUUCGUUGGUUAAUUCUUUUAAAUAAAUUCUUUUACUAAUCUAUUUUCGAGUCAUCCCAUUGAUUGUACUCCAUAAACUUUGAUGGGCUGAGCAGGAAGCUUUCUUUCUAUACUUUCGCAGGAGAGAACCAUAGAUUUAUAAUCUUGCCAGUCUUCUGAUAGAACCAUAGAUUUAUAAUCUUGUCAUGUGAUCCGAGUCAAGGGUCAUGGUCUUGCCUGUCCAAGGUUACUCAAUAACCGCUUGAAUCGGACUUUGACAAAGCAAACUUUGAGCACAAAUAGCACGCAGCUGGAAAUGAUGCAGCUGUCUCCAGCGGUAGUUUACAAGCCCAAUGUUGGUGCUUGUAUUCAGAAACAUAUUUUUAAAAUUUUCAAACACGUUUUUCAGUUACUGUUUUUUGUUUCACAAACAUGAUGACUUUUAUAUUUAAAUAAUGAAGAAACAGCACAUUAUUGCCUUUUUUCAUUCCGAUCUAGCUUUCUGGGGACCCUUGUCGGUAAAUCCAGCUUCAAACAGGCAUAGCUCGUCCCGGAGGUUCAUCUACUAUAUAUAUAUAUACUCUAUGUAACCUAGUAGCAGCAAGAAUCAUAUCAAGGGCUCUUCACUGUUCGCCUGCAAUAAAUAUUCUCCAAUCUUCUAAUGUCAAACUAAUAAGUUUUAGUCUCUUGAUAAUAAUGGCGGGUAGAAUAGAAUUAACGUUAAGACAUAGAGAGUAGGGUUAUAUAGGAUGGUGUAGCUAGGCUCGUAGGAUAAAAUUAAGUACUUACUAUGUUUUUGCACACGUACAUGGCCUAAACAACUGUGCCGGUAGACGACGAGGCAAUUUGCUUGGAGCGAGCGAAAUGAUUGAUUCGAUUAGAACAGAGAAGUGAAGAAUUUGGUUUGGUUGAAGUGACGUCCGUUGGAUUAGAUAAUGUUGAAAAUGCCCCCACUCACCAUGAAAUCAAAUACUCCAAUUAUUAUAAUUACGUGCCCAUAACUUCCAAUUCCCAUUCACUCGAAAAGAAGCAGUGGACAGCAUAGGAAUAUGAUGAAUGAUUCCCCUCAGCUUAAUGCCUGCAAUUUUCAUUCUCAUUUUCAACGGCAGAAUAAUUCUCUCAAGAAACAAGCAGGAUACUGUAAUCCAUCGCCCUGACCAUGAGUAACAAACACACUCACGCUAACCACUCAACACUACAAAAAAAAAAAAAAAAAAAAAAAACCACUCAGCCCUGAAUUGUUGCUGUGAAACAACAAUACUAGAAAAUGGAUCACGUCUUUCUAAUAAUGUAUAGGCCGCGAAUUUCUACUCUCAAAGCUAUUUAAAAAAAGACUUUGCCAAUUCUCUCUAGGUUUGCGUUUUCCACAAAGCUUGAUGAUAAAUAAUAACCCCACCCCACCAAACUGUUUAUAUCAAUUAUAAACAUAUGCAUGUGUCUCUGCCAACCUUUGUUUUUUAACGACAUUAUCUUCCCCACCAUCCGAUCACCUUAUUACUACUACUCUUCAACUUUUACACAUUAUACAAAUGUUCCGCGGGGGUCCGGGCAAAAUAUCAGCAGAUUCAAAAGGGUUAUUAUCACUUUAUUCCCUUAACGUUGGUUGUCACUAUUAAUUUCCUCCUUAACAUUAUUUUUUAGUCACUUUACCCCCAAAACUAACGGUCAAAUUUAACGGAGUUUGUUAAUUAAAAUAAAAAGACAAGUUUAGCCUUUAAAGUUAUUAUCACUUUACCCCGAUAAACUAUAGCCUCAUUAUCAAUUUACCCCAUAUAGUUAUUUUUUAGGCAAUUUCUCCUACCAUUAAACCAAUUUAGUAAGUUAAAAAACUUUAGAAGAAAGUACACUCCUCUUUGUAUAAUAAAAAUAAUAAAAAAUUUAGAGUAGCUCUUCUCCUUUUUAGUAUCAAGAAAAAGAGUCAAAGUAUUAAUAUCUUUCUUCUUGGCAAUCUUAUUAAUAUUAAAAAAAUAGAAAGAUCGGGAGAGGGGAAGAGAGAGAGAGAGAAAGGGAGAGAGAGCGCUCAAUUCUUUUUUUAAAAAAUACAAAUAAGAAAGAAUUAAAUACUUUAAUUAUUUUACUUUACUAUUUACCACCAGAUUUCAAUUCUAAUCCCAACAACCUUAAAUUAAUACAAUAAUAUUAGACUUUUCUUUAUUUUUUUUUUGCAAAAUCUAAUUUUCUGUCUCCUCUUUUCCUAUCUCUUUUUUCUUUUCCUAGUAUUAAUAAGUGUGAAAAAAGAAAUUUGAGAAAAUCUUUUUAUUUUUAUAUUUUUGGAUCUCUUAAAGUGAAAAAAAAAGAAUAAUCAUUCCAACUUUUUUAUUUUUAAUUAGAUAUAUAAGGGUAAAUAUAUUUAAAAUUUUUUACCAUACUAGUUAGAUUAAUUGCCUAGAAAAUAAUGUUAGGAAUUAAAGCGAUUAUAUCGCUAUAAUUUAAAGGAAUAAAGUAAUAAUAACAACGUAGUAAUGUUAUAGAAUAAAAGGGCAUUUUUGUCUAAAAUUUCUUAACGUGUUGAGUUGAAUUACUUAUGGAAGUGAAGUGACUAAAAGAUAACGUUAACUGAUAGUAGUAAUAUAGUUGAAGGGGGUAAAGUGAUAAUAACCCGAUUCAAAACUCCACAAAUUAUUAUUAUUAUUUUUUUACCUUAAUUAGUUUAAGGUUUGGUUACUAAAAGCAUCAAAUCAAGGGAGAAAAGUGUGCUUUAAGGUUUGGUUGCGUGCAUCUCUCAGAUCCGCAUUCAUUAAUAAAACACUUGUUCAAUUUUGUUCGGUAUACAUUUUGCUCAUUAUGUUCCUUUUAUAUAAUGAUAUUGAUCAAAAUUGCAAGUUGAUAUAUAUAUAUAUUAAGGAAAUUAUGCAACACAGAUGCUGUUUUUUUUUUUGGGAGUAUCCUUUAUACAAAUUAACAACUAAGGAAGCUUUUUCUGUAUUUUUCGAAUGAAAGAUACACGAAUUAGUUUUUAAGUAGCUCAGUUGCUUCAAUUAGUUUUGUUUGAGUAUGGAUUUCCAGCAGCCAAUGGGGGUAACGCGCGGUACGAAGUAGCCACGAGCGACAAUGUGUGUGUCAAGUCAAAAAAACUGACGCUAUCGCUGAGCUAAGUUAAUAAUCUCCUCUCGAAGUAAAAGCUACAAUUUCAAUCUCUUAUAAUUACUUCCAACAAGAAAGGCCACCAUUCAAAUCCCCAUUAGUCCUCGCUGGCUUUGAUCAUUCAUCUGCAUAUGCAUGCCUCCACAGACAAUCAGUUGUUUCUCGUCCACCCAUUUAAUUAAAAUGUUUGUAACUCUCACUAUUUCAUUUGUGAUAGUAGUAUCUUAAGACUCUUUGGUUUAAUUGUAAUACGCUCGCUGUAAUUGUAACUCUCGUAAUUAGGUUACUAGUACUAUGAAAGAAGACGUAUCCUAGGUACGUAGGAGCACAGUAGUUCGUUCCCAUCCAAGGAGACAAUGAUUAAAAUAGCUAUGGCUUGGUCGUCUCGGCCACAUGUUUAAUCUAUUCUACGUACGAUGCAUAUACUUUUAUCAUGUCGAAUUGAGGAAGGAAGGUAGCUGACCUUUCCCAUCCUAUCUUUCUUAAAAGGAAGCAAACUUUUUUAUCUCUCGCAAAACAAAAAGUAUUUAUGCCGUUUGCAGAUGUAUGCAUGUCGUAUUAUGCCUUGAAUCCAUGACCCCAUCCAUGAAAGACACGGAUCAGAUCGGUAUCCCCGACAUGGGACCAAGCCAACUAAGUGAUGGAAAAGUUAUCCCAGAUCCCUCUGUAGCGGUGGGCGAUCGAAGAUUUAUUGGGUGAUACGGCGCGUUUUUCAGGUGCAAAAUGUCACGACUGCAUGUGUCAUGCAAGCUUUCCGGGAAAUGGAAGACAUCGUUAUUAGACAAAGAUAUUGUGGUUGACAAUGCAUGCCACCUAUCCGAGAUAUUCCUUCCCUUCCUUUCCAAUUUCCAUCCUUUUUGUGUAUCAAUACAAAAAACUACCAAUAUAUACCAUCAUUGAUGUAUACACCACACCUAUAGCCCACUCCACUCCACUCCACUCCACUCCAUCAUAUAUGUAUCAUCAAACUACAACAGAGUACUGCUUUUAUGGUAUCAUCUAUGUUGUACGUAUCAAACCCUGUUUGACUCACUAGUCUGUGGAUGCAACGUACGUACGUAGAAAGCCAUGCACAUGAAUUAUGGCAGAUCGGACUUAGGAGGAGCGUAGUGUGUUGCUCAUAUAUGGAUGCAUACUGCUGGCUACUAAUCUAAUUGACUAGUAGUAAAGUUACUAAAUUAGUUAUACAGACAGGUGGCACAAAGGGUCAGAAGACGAUGAUGAGGAGGAUCGAGCAAAGCUCCAAAAGUCGACCUCGUUGCCCAUCCCGUAGAGUAGUACUUGAGAGGUUUCUUGAUGAUUUGGUCUACUACUACUACUUCUACUGCUGGUGCCAGAUGAUCGGAGGUUGGACGUUGAAUAUGCGCCCCGAUGCUCCUGCUCCAGAGGAAAGCAGAAGACCUCAUCAUCCCCGGCUGCUUGCCCCCCGUUGAGCUGCGAAGCCACCAGUCGAUCAAGUGCAACCCAGUCACUGAGCCCGCCACCCACUUUCGGAUCUUGAUCGUCGGCAGUGGCAGGGGUGUUUAUGCUGCUGCAGUUGGCAUCCUGACCAUUGAUCAUGGUGCAGCUAACUGAAGGCUCUGUUUCUCUUGAUACUAUGAUAUCAUUCAUAGACAUAGACUGCUCGCAAGCUCCAAAGCUGCAGUCCUCUUGUUGGCUCAAGGAUGAGGAAUUGUUAUUAUUAUUAUUAUUGUCUGCUAGCCCGGGAAGAUGCAUGAACUUUGCACGAAGAAGUCCCUCGCUGAUGAGGGCGCUAGCACUACUACUAGCGUUCGUUGGGUCAUUAGUGAUCAUGGGUAGCAUGCUAUCACUGUCAUCAUUGCUGUCGAACAUAUGACUAGUAGUAGCACUACUUAUUGCUCCAUUUUCCUGCUUACAGGUUCUGCCCAUGUAUACAAGGAUGCGGUCGAGAAUGCCAUCGUUACCUGAAGCUGAACUAUCGUACCCAAAACUUCUCGAAUCCAUGGAGGCGGCUGAAUGUUGGCAACUUUCCACAGCCUUAUGGUAAUUUUUCUUCUUGAAAACACGGCAGACGACCCACCCUUCUUCUGCACUUGUUGGAUCUCCUACUAAACUGGAGGCCUGUGCACAAUUUUUUUUUUUGAGGGGGGAGGGGGUCCAAAAAGAAAAUGAAAUGAGUACUCCAAUAUUGUCCCGAUCAAUAGCAAAUCUGGAAGUUUAUGCAGCAUGAAACUAACUAAAAAGAUCAUUGUUAGCAUGAAAUCAAUCUUAUACGCCGCUUUCACGUCGAGCAUUUCCAUUUGACUUUUAAAUAGAAGCAUGAUGACAGCACAUGAAAAGGAAGGAUACGGCAUGUACAUGGGUAGGAACAACAAUAUCAUGGGCGUUGGUGGCGGCGUUGUCAUCUAGUCGAUAUUCAUGCAUGAUCCAAUCUGAUUUCUGUCCGUGGGGGGCUCGUCCUUUAUAGAAGACAAGAGUCUUCCUCAUUCCGAUUCGUUUGGAGUUGCUGUAAAUGACUUUAUCCCGACCGGUUGCCUUCCAGAAUCCAGCCGCAGUUGCGCGAUUUGUACGAGUCCCCGUGGGGUACUUUUUGUCCUUGUGACUGAAGAAGUACCAGUCAUUUUGCGGGGUGGAUCCUAUUCUGCACCUCUCUGGUCCCAUAUAUAUGAAAUUAAUUAAUUAAUCAAUUAGGGGCAAGCUAAAUAUAACUGAGGGAUUCAUUCCGACCAACGUGCCAUUAGUUUAUUCAACUUCGUCCAUCAAAAAUAGGGAAAAAAAAAGAAGAAGAUAUGUAUCCUGGCACAAGUACGCACCUUGAAUGUCCCAGGGCUCAAGCUUGUUAAGAUCCACGUCGCGGAUAACAUCAAGAUCAAUCUUCUUGGAGGCCACUUUCUUCCUCAAGUAGUAAUGCAGCAGCUCCUCCUCCGUGGGAUGAAAACGGAAUCCUGGAGGCACUUGAGACUGACCAUUCACUGAGAGAUUCAUUUCUUCAGCGGGCAUCACGUACGAUUGGAAAUAUAUAUAUAUAUAUGUGUGUGUAUGUAUAUGAAGAUACACUUCCAAAACUCAGUAUAUAUAUAUAUUUUGUGGAGUUAGUUAAAAGUUUAUAAUCGGAGAGACGAUCGAUGGAAGGUCCAAGGUGCGAGUGGAGUAGUGAAAGAGAUUGAUGAAAAAGGGAAGGGAAGGGAAGGGGGCAAAGAAACAACGAUAGGAAAUAGUAGUAGUAAAGGAGAAGUGAAGUCGGAAGUGAUGUGAGGGAGGAAAUAACAGGCAAAGGAGGAUUAUAAUUUAUAGUUACGAGAGACAGGUGGUGUGGCGGGGGAGGAUGAAAGUCCCCAAAAAAUGCCUGAAAAAGCCGGAGGCAUCAUGGCCGAUAUUUUUUUGGGUGUACUUUUGGGGUGGGGCCUUUAGCUUCGAGAAGAACCAACCACCUAAAAAGAUGGAAGAAGGAGGGAGUUGGUGGAGCCCACAAAUAGGGUAGUACCGGUGGAAUAUAUAGAGGGGUCCCCCGCAAGGUUUCAUAGUCCAAGCAGGGGGCAUGCCUCCAUCUCAAAACGGUGACAGUCGACCUUAAAAUCUCUAGGAAAAGAACCCGCCAAACCACCACUAUUUAUCUCUCCCUCCAUUUCUCGUUUUACUUGUGUGUGUGGGGGUGCAGCCAACAACCCCAACGACAAGAAUGGCUAUGAGAGAGAGAGAGAGAGAGAGUUUAUUUUGGGGUCGGGAGGUAUGGCGCUUUCAUUAGGGGGAAGAGAAAGAAAUAAAUCCCCUUUCUCCCUAUCAUAUCAUAUAUAGUUCCCUCCCCCCGCCCCCCCUCUUCUUCAUGCGUGUUACCUUCCCCUUUCUCAACAGUAUAAAACUAAAACUCAUCCCAUUAUUUAUUUAUAUAUAUAUGUAUGUAUAUACCAUAAUCUGCUGCUGGCAGAUGCUGGACGACGUAGAUACUCCAUGCACGCACCUUUUUUGUUUAGGUUUUUGGUAAAAGGGGUUAUGUACAAGACUGCCGGGUGAUCAAAAAUAAUAAGAGCUAGCUGUAGUUUACGUGUUAUAGUAAGCAUGAUGUCCGGAAAUAAUAAGCAGCUGGCUGUGACAAAAGCUAUCCAAAGGUUGCGGCAGAGUUUGGAGAUUAGUAGAUCAGAGUGACUGCAUAAUUUCCGCUCCAAAGAGGCAUGCAAUGCAUUGCAGCUGAUGUUUUGCCAUUGAAAUAAGUCGGCAAAUUAAAGAGUAGCACUAGUCUUUAUAUAGUAUAUAUAUAUAACCAAUGACGUGGAUAUAUAUAUAUAUAUAUAGAGCACUAGUAUUUGGAUUUCCGCAACGCAACAGAUAAAGAAGAAGAAUGCAGUGCAGCUCACGCACGUACGUGCUCAAUAUUCAUUAUAUAAAAAAAAAAAAAUACAUACUACGUGCUCAUUCUUGUACGUUGAUUUUGCAUGGUCUGCCCAAACAUGCAUGUAACUACUCCAUUAAACAUGAUGGAAUAAGUACGUACGUACUACUGCUCAAAACUGUUGAUUUAUAUGUAUAGUACGUAGUAAAACAUGAGCGGUAUUAUGCAGCCCUGCACGGGGGGCAAUACAAUACAUAACAUAACACUACUGGGAAGAAACAUGGAAUUAUACAAUAGUUAGAUUAGAAUAAUUGAAUCUUUCUCCAGAUAUCCUUAAUUAAAUUCACGUAAUAGCCACGGAGAGAGAAGAUACAGCAGCAGCAGCCUGCCGGGACUGGGAGAGUGUCGACAGAAGACAAUAACAAUCAUAGCAAAGGCUAACACAAAAUUCCGUUAUGAGAGGUGGUUGAGUCUUAAGCCUAAUAAUUGGGGUUUUGUUGGGGGGUGUGUGUGUGUGUGUGUGUGUUACUGAUCAUCUUCCAAAUUUCUAAUGGUAAUCAUCAUGAUUUCAUCCAACUAAUUGACAAAGCAACCACCUUUGAGUUUACUGACCAGCACUGGGCCGAUAUAUAGUCAACUUCGUUAUAGACUCCCACACCACUUUCACUUUCACCCCGAAAUUUGAGUCCAUUCCAGUUGGUUGAGUUCCAUUUUUAUCAACUCACCUAUCAUUCAUCGAUUCAUGCCCUAUACCUUUCACUUAUUUCAUUUUUAUUUCCUUUUAGUGGCUCUUCUUUUUUGUAGUAGGCUCCAUUGUCAAGUGACGUCCUAUGACGACACAACCGCCCGCCUCUGUAUAGAAUAUACAUAUACAUACAUACAUACAUAUCUCAGUCUCAGACUUUGGAGCAGAGUACGUAGGGGACCUUUUUACGGACUACUUUUCUCCUUUUUGCCUUUCCCACGGUGUUGGUGCAGGCGACUAAUCAUGAUUUUAGGAGCGCUGGCAAACCAAAUACUCCAGUCCUCUACUGCUACUCUACUCAGUACUCUGGUGGGAAGGAGCACUAAUUUAAAAAAGGCGCAAACAGAAGAAAAAUCAUCAAAUCUUUAAAGUUCUUCCGCUUCCUGCUGCCUGCCUUACGUACAUUGGCAAAAGGCCCUGCUAAUGUACAUAAUGCUACCAUACCAUCACAUCAAACUAAAACUAGUGCGUUUUUUCCUUCUUGCUCUUCUCUUCUCUCUGGUUGGUAAAAAUUGUGACCUAGCUAGCAUUAUUAUAUAUCCACUUAUUAUUCCUCUCAAUAAAACUUUUGUUUCUGAUUGGCAAAAAUUGUGACCUAGCUAGCAUUAUUAUAUGUCCACUUAUCAUUCCUCUCCUAAUACUGAUCAGUACCGGAUCAAGUUCCUAGUAAUAUACAUGUCUUCAUCUACGACACUGCGAAUUGAAUUGGACGCAUGCAAGUUGUAGAAAAUUAAAACCUAGGGUUCUUACUCUCACUUCCAUAAUAUUGCACGCACCUCAUAUUCUCUCAGCUGGUACUUGAAGAAAAAACAAAAUUAAGAUCGACCGACGGCGCUAAAUUUCUUAAUUUACAGAAUGUUGGUUGAGGCUGAUCAGGGACGUUACUCAUAGACUGCCGUGAGACCAAUAAUUAAUCGCAAAGUAAUCCCGCUUGCUCAUCAAAGCUAAAACUGGGUAAAAAGUUAAAAGAUACAAUAAAUUAGUGCUCAGUCCGUCCAUCAAAAAGACUGCCUGCCGUUCAAAAUCAUACAAUUCUUGGCAUUCACUUAAAAGACAUAAUCGAUCGAUCAAAAAGAUGAUUUUCUACUAGGCAAAUUGAUAAAAGAAAAAGAAGCUGAUCUAUUUCAGAAGUUUAAAUUAAAAUGGAGACUUAUUCUACCAUCUCUAUCCUUGUACAAACGCUAAAAUUCUAUCAUACGCAAAGAUUUUAUAGUUUGCCAAAAAAAAAAAAAAAAAACUAAUGCGUUGAUACGUUAAUUUUAUUUUACAACUCAACUAAUCGUCAUCGUGCAUUACCCCAACAUAACAUGCAUAAAGGAUCCCUGGAGUUCAUGCAUGGUGCGCGUACUUCAAAGUCUGCAAUGGAGCGGUGGUUCUUGAGUUCCCUGGUUUAAGGUUGUGCGGGGUAACCACUGCGCGUUCAGAUAUUCUCUUUUGUUAUGGUUGGCUUGUAGGAAACCUUUGGCAACUAAGGAUAGACUGAUUGCUUGGGCCUGCCGGGAUGGCAGCGGAUCCUCAGACGUGUGUCAAUUGUGUUAUACUGAUAUUCCUGAAUCCCUAUAUAUCACAAUUAUAUUUUCUGUUGCCCCUGUUGUUUGGGAAGGUGUGCACGAAUGUUGUUAAACGAUCGAGUAGCCUCUGCUGCAAUUUUCCAUAAAGAUUUGGUAUUACAGGAAUUCAAGGGUAUUUAGGCAGGGUCUUUCCCCUCCUGAUGUAGUUAAUAGUUGAGCAGAUCAUGAAGGAUUUUCGUGGCAUUGUUGUUGGCUGGAGGAGGUGUAAGACGACUUCCGGGACUCUGAAGCGCCGAAUUGAAUCCUCCUAGUUCUAUGUGCCUCUAGUUCAUGUUUGUAUAUAUAUAUAUAGGCUAGUUAGUUUUGUUGUUUUCUGAUUUUCCCUUAACGAGUCCUUCAUUUGUGGGUAGGGGGAGUGCGACAGAUUCGAUUAUUUUAUUUUAUGGCCCGUUCGAUCUAGUUAUUUAUAGGUACAACGUUAUCUCAGUCAAAAACAGAAUAAUUGGCAUAAGCAUGGUACUUUUGAUAAAUGACACCUGUGUCUUUUGAUGUCACAAGUCUUAAUUAGAAUAUCGUGCGAUGAAUGAUGUAUGUAUUUCAGAUCAUGCCAAUUAAUUAAGUACAGCGCGCAGUUUGUAACUGCUAUAAGAAAAUAGUGAUAAAUAGUAUAGUGAAUCUUGCUACUUGCAUAAGGUUGUAAUCUAGGAAUCUUCAUGAAUUAUAGUAUGGCUUAUGUCUUUGGAUUCCUCAAUCAUGCCUGAAAAUCUUGCAGGUACUAUAUGUAAUUUAGCACAAGCAAAAUUAGAAUAAACAGGAUAUAUAGGAAACUUUUGGUGCAAAUUAAGAACCCAAACUGUUCCUAAUUUUAAGAAGAGUUUAUUUAAGGCGCAAAACUGUUGGUCGAUCUGAGUUGAAAAACGCCAACGUCUCUGUUACCCAUUCGAUACCAUAUAUAUCCCUCUUCCAAUUAAUUUUGCAGCAAACUAAAGCCCUAAUAUUACCUCACGUGUGCAUGGAGAGCUAAAAUAAGCAAUCUUGCUUACAUAAUAUGCAUCACAACACGUAACAUAUAUGACAGCAAAGCUAUCAACAAACUACAUGAUGAUUAAAUACAAGCAGCAAUGUGAAUUAAAACACAAAAUUUUCCUCCGCGCGUCGACAGCAAAAGGGAAAAAUUAUCUAUAUAUACUGUGUGUGUGUAUAUAUAUAUAUAUAUCUAUCACGGUUGUGAGUUGUGUCGGAAAGCAUGAAAAUUAAACGAAUGGAGAUGUACAAUCUUUGACGAUUAGCAGCAAUCAAAAGCACUUUUAUCUCCCAAAAUUCUUGAGAGGUGUACUUGAAAUCGAGACAACUCUAAUAAAGCAGCUUUAUUUAGCCAGAAGGGUUUGGAAAAAAAGUAAGCAAUUAUUAGUGAAUGAUUUGCUGUCAUUGUACUGAAGAUGAAACGAGAAGAUACGCUCAGGCUUGUUGACAAGAAACAGAAGAAAAGAGAAAAACAAUUAAAGAAGAAGAAGAAGACAAAGGACAAACAAUGAAUAUAUAUAUAUAUAUAUAUAUAUAUAUAUAUAUAUCUAGCUGGCGAGAUUUGUACCAAGCAUAGAAGAAGCUUUUUAAUUUCACAUUAGCAAGUAUAGUAGCUGACAAACAUUUAAACACAUUUAAAUUAACUAGAAUCAUGGGAAAAACAUGCACAAACUGAUACGAAUAAAAUUUUAUGCUCAGUGACCCACAAAUAUGACUAAAUGAGAAGAGGAAUCUUUGUUGGUGAAGCAUCAAAGGAGGUUGGUGAGAUGGGAGAGAUGGAAUCCUUAAUUGAUAAUACGACAAGCAUGUCCGUGUGGAAGAGCAGAGUGUUUUUUUCUAACCCAAAAAAAAAAAAUAAUAAGUGGGAGUGGGGGUGGGGGUCGGAGAUUAAGUGGGAGCGGGAAACCAAGCCAUCAAUGAGCACACGAGAAAGAAGAUAUAGUUAUGAUAAGAAAAUUAACCAAGGAUCAUAAGGGCAAAUGGAAACGAGGCGAAGACCCAGCCACAGUCAUCAUAUAUGUUGCAGAAACUCGGGAGGCUGACUAGCUCUACUUAGUUAAAGCAAGCUAGGUGAAAAAUACCAAGGUACCUACUUGAAUCUGCUACUUGAAUUUGGAAGGAGGAAGAACCAAACAAUUGGACUCUCGUUGGUUUGAAUAGAUUAAGAAAAGAAGGGGAGAUGGAGGAGCUACCAUCUUUAUUAGAUGAAUGGAUUUAUGUUUGGCGCAGUACGUUUUACUUGUCUUUCUUAGACUCCUUGUGUUUUGAUGCAUAUACUAGACGAUUUGUUGUCUGUGCUGUAUAUGCAUUUAGUUCAUUAAUUACGUGCAUGAUCUAAUAAAAAUACCCGUGCUGGCUAAUUGGUUUUGCUCGCCCGAAUCGAACUGGUUCUAAGCGACAAGAAUCUAAUUCAAAGGCUCAACCGGCAUUGAGCUGUAGUACAACUGCAACUGAAGGUAGACUUUUUUAACUUUCAAAAAAUAUAUAUUGAGAAUGAAGAAGCUUGGGCUUGGGCGGGGUGUAUGCACAAAUGUGUUGUAUUCUUAUUUGUUUAUAUUUUUUUCUUUUCGCCCAGCUCGUGCAUGCAUGCUUGCUUGCUUUUGAUUUUUGUCCUUUAAACUCGUACCGAAUCGAGUGGUCCGAUCCCACAAACCAAGAACCGGACAUCUGUCCGAUCCGAAUGUUCCUCCAAGCUUUCUUGCAAGGUCACGGUUAAAUCCGGUCAAAAAUUGGCAAGACCUUGGAUUUUUUUCAAAUUGCUUUGUUGAUUUUUUUUUUCUCAGCUAAAUCCGUUUAUUCCUCAUCCCAUUUCUUCCUCUAUGGGUCCGCUUCGUUCAUGUUCAUGGGAUGAUACAUGAUUGGAUUAAUUAUCCUGUGGGUUCGACUCCAUUAAUCAAAACGAACCUUAAAUUCAUUUGUUAAACAAUAUCUAAUCAUAGAUCUAAAGGACAAAGAAAAUAGCGAGAAGGAUAAAGGAGAAGAGAUAAAUUUUUUAAAAAAAAAAAAUUUGAGUUUGAAAAAAAAAACUAACUUGUAUAAAGCUCGAAAAGACAAAAAUUCAAUUAAUAAAAGAAGAGUAGCAGCGGAGAAGCAAUUUCGCUGACCCUAACAACAAGUAGCGGUUCAACAAAAUUAUAUUCCAUACCCUAACCCUAGUCAAUUGGUUACCACCCACUAAUCAGCUAACCCGUAGGAUAUGGUCGGAUAUACAAGGUAACUCGACUCUCAUGUACUUGUAGAAAAAGAGAAAAACAGAAUUAGAUUAACAAAGAAAACAAUACAAUAGUUGUCCAAAUUAAUAAAAAUGUUCAAUCCUACAUCUCUAAAAAAAAUCACUAACAAAAUUGAAAAUCAAAACACAAUAGAUAAUUAAAACAAAAAAUAUUUCAAAUAUUUAUUUUCAUUUUUUUCUAUUUCUUGAAAUCUAUUAAUUCAUUUUUUAUUGAAGAUGAUAGAUUAUUUUACAACAAAAAAUGUAAGCUCUAAAAAUUAAGAACAAAAUCAAUAGAGUGGUGAAGUGGAUAGAAUUCAUGAGAAAAGAAAGAGAAAAAAUAGAAUAGUAGAGUAAAUGAAAUUAGUGGCAACGAAGAUAGGAAAUUGACAAAGUAAUAAGUUGUGAAAAAUAAAAUAUAUAAUGUCAUGGGGUUCAUAACUUAAAUUAUUAGUAAUGGACUAAAGAAUUAUGGGUUGAAGUUUGGAUACUAGUUAUCUUAACCAACUUUGGAUAUAUACGAGUAGGUUCAGCUAAUCGCGAUUUUUGAAAAUUGAAAAUCAUACCUUAACCUAAUUUUUCAAAUAGGUUCGAGUAACCUAACCAUUUUAAAAAUUACAAAUUGGUUACCCUAUUUUUGAAUUUGAACCAAUUCAGUUUUUUGGAUUACCCCUCUUUUCGGUUCCUUUUUAACAUUGCUAGCGGUAAGGGAGUAGACGAAAUGAAUAAGAAACAUGAGAAAUUAGUUUUUAGGGUUCAAAAUUUUUUCAAUUCUACGUUAUGACUCCUAGAGUUUUACAAAACUAUUAAUUCAUCUGGAAAUAUUAUCCCAAGUUUUAGUUUUAUUUGCACAUAAACCCCUGAGUUUAAUUCUAAACUUGUAAAAAGUGUGCAUUUGGUUGUAUGAAUUGCUCAUUGGUUAUUCAUAUUUGUAUUUUAUUGUUAAGAAUUUUUGGAACAUCACACAUUCAUGAAUAAACCUUUCAUGACACUGGACACUGCAGACUUUUGAUGCCUGCCGGGACACACGCAAAAAGUUAAACAAAUAGUAAGCAUGAGAAAUUAUUGAAGGCUCUAACUUACCCCAAAGAAAAAAGAAAAGGAAAGCCUAAAGCUGCAAUUUUUUCAGUUCACAUUCGUCAUGAACGACAAAUCCUGCCGCAGUGCAUGCUCAUCACCUUUUCCAUUUUUUGUGCUCUGUCCCUGUACCUGUUAAACGAACCCAACUGUUCGUUUCGACUCGUUCGUAUUCGUGAAAGGCUCGUUCGAAAUUUUAAACGAAUUGAGUUCGAAUGAAUUUUUUUGUUCGAUUAAUAAUCGAGCGAACACGAGCAUGUUCGCGAGUUUUGACGAACGUUUGCGAACAUGAACAUAAUUAUCAUUUGACAAAUUUUAAGGUUAAUUUUAUAGCUGGACUUUUAUAUUUGGAGGGCAAAUUGCUUUGUUUUAUUUGUUGUUUUUAUGUUAAUAUUAGUUAUACAGUUAAUGAAUAAUAGAAUUUAGUCACUUAGUGCUUUAAUUGUUUUUUAGAAUAAUUAAUGAUUUGCAUGGCAUAUUUAAGGUUUAAAAUAAUUUGGAUUUGAGCAUUUCGAGCAUGUUCGCGAACGGCUCGUUUAUGUUAAACGAGCCGAACUCGAACUCGAACUUGAACACGAAUUUUGCUUAAUGAGCUGAACACGAACACAUGUUUGGAGUUCGAAAAUUAAAGAACGAACGCGAACGUUGUUCGAAUCACUUAACGAACAGAGCUCAAACAUGAGAUACUCGGUUCGAUUCGAUUCGUUUACAGCUCUAUCCCCCAUUUCCAGUGAAUCUGUAGACAGACAGGUUCAACCGGGAGUUGGGCCUACUCCUGGACAGGGAAAAAGUCAAGCCCAACUGCACUUUGGGACUUGAAGAAUUGCUGCAAAUUUAUAGGUCGGUAAAUCUUAGGUGCGACCCCUCCAGAUUGGACUUUUGAAUCUGCCGAAGAUAACAGCCCAUAGUCUGUCACCUUCGUUGGGCCCAAUUGUGAGAGCUAUUUUCGAGUUAACUGGUAAUUUGCUAAUUCUCGGUGGACAAUUGUUUGUCGGAACCCAUCUAAACUUUAGCCGCACAGAAACUGAUAAUUGGUCCGAUCAUGCCAAUUGACCUGUAUAUAAUAUGGAGCUCAGAGUCGUUGCCUUUCCUGCACUGCACAGCAUCAAGAUUCAUUCAAGAUGUCUCUGCGGCGUCCAUUAAUAUGGUGAGUAUUUAUUUCCUCUGGAAAAAUGGGACAAAGAACGGGGGUUGAAGUUGGAGGUCAUGUUUCGGUUAUUGUCAAGGUUCCCUCCCUUUGAGAUUGAUACCACCUGAACUAUUAUACAUCUACAUGUAGUAUAGCUUUUGUUCAUUGCGAAGAAAGUUGUUUAAAGCUGAACUAUAACUGGUAGUGUAUUUCAAAACCAUUGUACUAACAAACCAUUUUGGUCCUUACUUUCUCGUAAUUUGCCUUCUUCUUUACCUAAAAGGCAUCUUGAAAUGGCUGCACUUGAAAGCCUCAAAUCUUUGGCAGACAGUGAGGAUGUGUCAAUUGAAGUCGUUUUUACCUUUACCAAAACUGGGAUUGGAUUCGUCCGGCAUUUGCCUUUGUUUUGACCCUCAGGUCUUGACCAAUUCCAGCUAAUCUCUAUCCAGGUCUAUAAAUGAAUUAAGAACAACAUGUACCGCGAGCUCCAAUUUCACAAAUUUUUUCUUUAGUAAUGUUCAAUUCGCCCAUUAAUUAACGAACAGUUUUAAAUGGCAGACGCGCUAAUCGCACCAGAACAUACACGAUUCAGGACAAUCGACAGGGCUCAGAUGAUAAUACUCGUCUAUUACUCGGAAGAAAGAAAAUACUACGGGACGACUCUUUUAGAAGUGGCCAAGAAACUUAAAAUUAACAGAAUUUUAAAAAUAGGGAAUAUCGGAUUUGAUUUAACCCAAAACAACAGGGUCGUGGAAGAAGAAACUUGCUAACGGACGGAUCAGUUAGUGAGUACGUACGACUUCACAAGUCUAACAGUAAGGCAUCUUUCUUUGAGGAGGAGGCGUUUCUGCUGCUGCCGCUGCUGGAAAGGCUCCACUGAUCCGAAAAACCCAUGGAAGAGGAGCAGAACCCAUUCCUGCAUUUAGCCACAGUUCUGACACUCUCGAUCAACUCUUGGGUUCGAGCCUCUUGUGCCAAAAUCUCCAACAACUGUUGAGGGCUGAUCACCAGCUUAACUUUCCAAAAACCACCAAGCUGAUCAUUACUGCUGCUUCGCGAAAAUACCUCGGUAUGUGACCUCUUCAGAAUUCCUUGGCUAUCAAACGACAUCCUAUAUGGCACUGCAGGCGUGGAUUGGGGAACGCUGUUCGACCUUACAUGCCCUAUCUGAGCAACCUGCCCAAUUCUACUCUUGUUCAUGCUACCUUUCUUCAUCAUCUUCUUCUUGUCGUCCUCGUCGUCCAGCGGUAGCAGGUAGUACUCACCUGCUUCCAAGACUUCGUGGUGAGCCAACGGCUUCCAGAAGAGAUCAUGGCUUCGGAAAAUGCCGUGUCCCGGGAACUCAUCGGUGAUGAAUUCCACCGUGAUAGGAGCACCAAACUCCAUGAUGCCACCAUUCCCGUUUACCACUUUGAUGAGCACUUCAUUCGCCUCUCCUACGCCUAUACCUAUACCUCCUCCAAACAAGCAAUUCCCCAUUUCCUGGCUAGCAAUUCCCAGCUAGCUACUACAGUCAAAGUACUAGUAGAAAGAACUUGUACUCGAUUGACAGGGUCGCUUUGCCUGACCUUUGCAGCUUAAAAGAACACUUGGUCGUCGUCGGUGGAACGAGUUCUUUACUCUUUAUAUUUACAGCUUUGCUUUUCUUGAUUUUUUUUUGUCCGAAACGAUAGAAAUUGUUUUGCUUUUCUUGAUGCUCCAGCCAAAAGUUUAAAAAGACGUAGUAUUCAAUACUAGUAUAAAGAAAUUCGUAUUAGCGUUGCCCGCCACAACUAUUGCGUUUAGUGACAAUCAUCUCCGUUACCAUUUCUUUACAUGGCAAAACUAAAGCCAACAACGAAAAGAAAACAAACCAUACAUAGACCAACACCCCAACUUACCAGUUCUGUGGGAUCCAUUCGACACUUAUAGAUUUCCAAAAAGAAAAUUUGCUGCCUCGUGAUUUCAGAGUCAUAUUGCUCUAGUCAAAUGGAAAAUGCUUAAAGAACAAUGAGAUUAUAGUUUAGCAUAGGGAGAGGCGCCUUUAGCAAUUUUUUCUUUGUUGCUGGCCCAAUUAUCUUGCUAGUUUACAUGAAUCUUUUUUGCCUUGCCAACCCCACCUCCCCCUUUUAGAAUGGAAAGUCCUUUUCUUCUUUGGAUAGAUUACAUUUUACCCCCUAUAAUUUAGUAUUUUAUCACAUAACUCCUUUAUGAUUUAAAAACCUAUAUAUAACCCUCUUACAAUUUGGAUUAAAAUAUCACAGUUAGUUUUUCUAUUAAAACUAACAGUCAAUAGUAAAAAGUCAGAGUCAAACUAGUAAAUUGAUAAAUUUACCCUUUCGUUACUUCUUUUUUUCCUCCAAACAUAAAAAAGAAGAAAUUGAAAUAAAAAAAGAUAAAUAAGAAAUAGACAAUACCAUUAACAAUUUGGUUUAAAAACCUAUAAUGAUAUUUGUAGUAUAAAAAUAUUUGGUAUUUUUUAUUUCUUAUUUAUUUCUUUUUAUAUUUCCCUUCCAUAUUUUUGUUUCUUAUUUAUUUUUUUUAUUUUCCUUCCAUCUCUUUUGUAUUUAGAGAAAAUUAAGAUUUUGUAGACCAAAAUAUAGGUUUUCAAAAUCACUCUUCUUUUCCCCAAAAAAAAAGAGAGACAGAGAAAGAAAAGGAAAAAAGAACAAAAGAAAAAAGUAUGAAAAGGUGAAUUUGUCAAUUUAUUAGUUUGACUUUGAUUUUUUACUACUGACUGUUAGUUUUAAUCGAAAAACUAACAGUGAUACUUUAACUUAAACCAAAAGGGGGUUAUGUGUAAGUUUUUAAACCAUAUGGAGACAUGUGGUAAGGUACCAAAUCACAUGGAGGUAAAAAGAUAAUUUGCCCUUUUUUAUAAUCAAUUGACAGCAUAUAUGUUAUCCUAUUUUACAGGGGAAGGUUCUUUAAGAAUGAAAACUUUUUUUUUUUAAUCAAUCCGCAACAUCUAUACUAUCCUAUUCUAUAGUAAAGGGAGAACCCAAUUGGGUUAUAUAAGUGGUUAGAGGGAAAACAGGCCUAUCUAGACUAAAUAGAUACUUUUAUACACUAAUUGUAUUUUUCUAACGGUAGGGUGCAGCGAUUUGAACCCAAACUUAUAGCCCUAAGAGGGAUUUUAAAUCUCUUUUGGUGCCCAACUUACCUAAGAUAAAUUGAUUUUUAAGAGUGGAAACUCAAAGCAUCAAGGGAAAUCGAUAAUGAGAAUUAUACUAAUGAAAGAUAACUGAUAGAUUACUACCCCGCACACUCGCAUGCCUUAUCCGUGGUGUGGAAUUAGUACGAGGAAAUUUAUGAUUAACCUAUAAUAAAACUAGGCUACUACUAAACCUGGGUGGAAUUAAUCAUUCCGAAAGAGAAAAUGGUCACUUCCAUAAUGACAAGUCUGUUGUGGUAGACACUCGCAUCUCAUCAAUUUAAUUUGUCCUCUGGUUACCACUUUUUUGAAGUCUCACAAGGUUUUUGCAUCGCUUACCUAUCGUACUUUGACGUAUAGUUUGGUUUUCACAGAUCCGUGAACUGCCCUGGAUUUUUUUUGACAAAAUUUUUUUUUUGAUUGAGUUCGAUUUUGAUCCAUCACAGGUCAGAAGAUACCCUUCGAAACCAUAUGUAGGUUCAUUAUAAGAAUUUUUAUACAUCGACUAACAACACAAUUCUCGUAUUAAUGAUAUUAAUGAUGAGAUUGGAACAUUUCAAAUCCCUUUCAACUAGAGUUGGAGUCAAAUGCAGGUCAACCCCUCUCCUAGCUUCACUCCAAGGAAAAUGCUCAUCUCUCAAGGGCUUCUCUGCUCCUCCUCACAUUCAUUAGUGGUGAAAUUCUUAGAGAGUGAAACUCUAAGAGGGGAGUCUUCGAUUCACUCCUACUCCAAACUCUGAAUGAAUUGUUUACGAAGCAUCUGUUCUCAUUCAAGCUCUUUUGCACUCAUGAUCCGUCAUGCAUUCCAAAGUUUAGGAGCCUAGGCAAUGUUGUUAGAUCCAGACCAGAUUGAUUAAACCAUGAACCAGCCUUCUUUCCAAAUUGGUUAGUAGUACAAAAUUAUUUUGGUAAAAAAAUCAGUCAAAAUCAUAAAAAAUCAACCAAACCAAUGACCCGAUUCGACUAUUUGAUUCGAUCCUUAAAUUUUUCUUUUUUAUUUUUCUCAAAUAUAAUUUGAAUUACCUAAAUUGUAAAACUUUUAUUUACUAAUAAGAAUAAAAAAAACACCACUCGGUGUAAACAACAAAAUCACUCACAUCCUAAAUAAUCUCUAAAUUAAAAAGUUUUCAUUCCUAUCAUCUUAUCAAUUUAUCAUGAGUGAUUUUGACUUGCAUUAGAACGCCAUAUUCCCGACAAAAAUAUCUCAAAUUAGAUAUGAUUUGUUUUAAUUUAGUUUUUCAAGUAGUUUUGGAGAACGAACAUGUUGUAGACAUGAAUUCACAUUUUUAUAUAUAAUUUUUAGGUGGAUAUUUGAUUGCAAGCCUAAUAUUUUUGGAAUAUUUUGUAUGGUUGACCAAAAUAUAACCAAGAACUUAAUUUCAAUAUUUCUAAAACUUAUAAAAUUAUGACAUCGUGUUGACAUCAGUGAAUUUUUAGAACGGUCCGAUCAAUCUGAUCAGUUGAUUUUUGAUCUAAUAGUUUAGCCGAAUUGCUAUUCGAUCUGAGUUUAAUAAUAUUGAACCUAGGUAAUAAUAUCCGAUCAAAUAACUGAUGGAUGAGAUGUGCAGAACAAGAAGUCACGGAAAACCUAUCCUCUCACGCCUCUUCUAUGCAUUUCUUAUUUUUAAUGAAAUUGCAGACAUUUAUUAGCUUAAACGUAACAGCUUAAAACUAAGAAAUGUGAAUCGAGUUAUUCCACAACUUACGAAUUCACAACAAGAGGAAGAUUAUCAUACAUCCGUAGUUGUAGUAAAUUAACCGAGUUGAGUUGGGAAUAGGACUGCAAACGAGCCGAGUCGAGUCGAGUUUUGGCCUAAUCGAGCCGAGUCUCGACAUAAUUUCAUUGAACUCGAACUCGAUCUCAAGCUCGACGAGUUGACAAUUUCAAGCUUGAGCUCGAAAAAAUAAAAAUAAUUAUUUUAUUUUUUAAAAAAUAAAUAAAAUAAUAUUUUUUCCUUAAUAAAUAAUAAAAUAUUAAGGAUAUAUAUGUAAUUUUACUAGUAAAAUUAAAAAAAUAUAAAAUAUAUAUAUACUUAAAAUAAAAUAUAUAUAUAUAUAUAUAUAUAUAUAUAUAUAUAUAUAUAUAUAUAUAUAUAUAUAUAUAUAUAUAUAUAUAUAUACUCGAGCUCGCGAGCCGGCUCACGAGUUAACGAGCUUAAUAUUUUGAUAUCGAUUUCGAGCUCGAGUUCGAGUCGAGCCGAGCUCGAUAUUGAUCGACUCGAGCGAGCGGCUCGAUUCGUUUGCAGCCCUAGUUGGGAAUGGCUCCUAUGUUCGCUUUUAUAAUUAAGUAUAUUUGUACGUACAUCCAUGAAUCAAACUGAAUCAUAACUACUGCAAUGGAGCUGAUCAUGUAUAAAAUAAAGAAGUAGUAACACACGAUGCGUUUAGAACCGCCCGCGUACAAUCAGCUGAAGUAAAACUUUAAAUUAACUACUACUAAUUAUGUCAGUUUUGGUUCACUACGCCACCUUUAGUUUUGCCGAAAGUAAUAAGCGAUGAAUUCCUGCUGUAUUUGCUGCAUGCACAACUAUCUGAAUAAAAUGCAAUUGCAUGCAUGUAUCAAAUUUAAUUAUCUACUAAAAAUCUAUUUGCAAAAGAAUAGCUAGAAAAUAUUAGCACGGCAAAGUUUGCUUGGUUCAUCGAUGAUCAUCCUUGAUGUUUCCUGCUGACAAAAUUUAAAACACCAAAAAGAAAAAAAAAAAAGUGUUGUGAAAGAGACCAAAUGUGUCAAGUGCGAAGGUAUGUGCUUAUUCAUCUAAUUGUUACCUUUAGAUCAUAAUAAUCCACAUUUGAUUCAUCCUCAGUAGAUUCUCUUUUCAUUUCUCACAAUGCAUAUUGAUUUUUUUUCUAUUUCUCACAAUGCAUAUUGGAUGCACGACAUGUAUUUUUAUUUAUUAGAAAAAGACAUGAUCAUUUUAAAUUUGACUAUUCCUAACCCUUAUUAAUAAAUGAAGACACGUAUCAUAUAUCUAAAUGUGCAAAUGGAGAGAGUAUCCAAUGAAGAGCAGUCAAGUCCAUCAUAAUCCUUCUUUUUUUUUUUUUUGUUGUUGUUGUUGUUGUUUAAAUUGCGGUCACCGGCUCCAGUUCAGAUUUUAUGAAUAUGAAUCCAGGGCUAAAUAAUCAUCUGGCGCUUAUAUAAUAUAUAUAUAUAUAUAUAUAUAUAUAUAUAUAUAUAUAUAUAUAUAUAUACACACAUAUAUAUAUAUGGAGAUCAAGGGCACAGACGGUUGUCAUUGAUAAUCGUCCUAAAUGGUGUAACAGUUUUUUAAUGAAGCGUAACUCUACUUGAACUACUCUCAAAACUUUACAACAAAUAUGCAAUUAUUAUGCAUGAGACCUACAUGAACAGUAACAAAACAUCACACUUCUAUUAUAACGAUAUAUAAGCAGUUCAUUUAGAAUUAUAAAAUAUUCAAAAAAUGUUACACUAUCUUACAACCAUCCCUGCCUCGCUUCCCCAGAAGUGAUUGCACACACAAAGUGCAAAAAUCUACAAGAGACUAGGCAAUGCCCCUUUCCCCCCCCCCCCUCCCCGGCCCCGGACUCUCCCAAAAAAAAAAACUCUUAUUCCUUAAAAAAAUAGUUAUGUGGGUAGUUAUACUUCAAUUCGAUCAGCUUCUAUUCCUCAUUUUAAAAAGAAAAAAAAAAGAACUAUUGCUAUAAAUUUUUGCAAUUUUAUUUUCAACAAACAUUUUACACAAGAAAUUAGUUUUUUUUUUUUAAAAAAAAAACACUAAAGAGAGUUUCCUAAAAAAAAUCCCGAACUCCAUUGGUUGAAGUUGAAAAUAGCUUACAGUAGAUCAAUUUUAGUGAAAACUUGUUUUAAUAAGUUGACACGACUAAACAAACAUUUGUACCAGGAUUUUGAAUCAUAGAAUUAAGCAUUCUUGCAGGAUUUUGGAUCACAGAAUUUUUGUUUCUCAAAAAGAUCAAGAAUGCAAAAUUCCUUAUUCGUGAUGCUCCAAUCAAUGUGGCCCAACUUUACGACAAUUUGAAGGUCUUUCCAUCAAUUAUUGAUGUGAUAAUACACAUAUUAUUGUUGAGAAGUCCACCUUGAAUUAAUUCUACAAACAUAAAGGGUCUCCAUCAUUAUAAUUGUAUGGUGUAUUGAUUUGUUGGCGUUGCCUUUUUUUUUUUCUUUGGGUUAAUGGAUAAUAUUAAAGAGAAAAGCAAUAUAGCGUGGCGUUGCGAAACUGACAACAAGUGUUAGUAGUAGAGAUGCAAACGAGCCUCAUCCAAUUAUGCUUGUAAUUUUUAUUUUUUUUUGGGGCUGACAUGACAUCCAACUAGAGUUGAAAGUUCAACAACUAGGGUAAAACAAACAACGGAAGCAGCUGGGUUUCUUCACACGUGACUCUGCUUUAUCAGCAUACCAUGGAUGAUAGUUUGGUGGAACGUGGCAAGGUAUGAUCCGGGCUAAAUUUGCCUUGCUUGAAUUGUAAUUUCGCCUCAAAAAAGUUUUUAUGAUUUUCGUAAAUAUAUUUCUCAAUCAUCUUUAUAUUUUAUAUAAAUUAAAUAAAUUAUUCAUUAUAAUAUAUACAUUUAUUUCAUAAAAAAUCUAAAAUAUCAUAUUCUAAUAACUCAUAUACAUCAAAUCGUAACAAUAUAUUUUUCUAUAAAAAUUCUAAAAAAUAGCAAUUCACGUGAGUGGAGCAGAGCGAUAUCUCUAGAACAGAGUUCAAAAUAGUAAUCUCAUGGUUUCGUGUCAAUUUAUGCAAGUUGUUUUUGUAACAUAUUACUUAUUUUAUUUUGGUUUUGUUCAGCCAUUUUAUUUAGUAAUAAAAAAAUAAUAAACACAAAAGAAUAGUGACUUGGGUCAUGCAUAUACAUCCAAUCUAUGAUAGGGCAGAAGGUUUCAUAGAAACAAUUUUAUAUUUCAAUUUAAGGCUCUUCCCCCCUUGUUUUGAGAAAGGGGGAAUGGGGAGAAAUAACUUACAGGAAGAUGCCGGCACACUAACUUGGAAGAGAUGAUGGAGAUAGAGGGUUCAUUUCGGCCAUUGUACUGGGAAAUAGAAUCCUAAAAUGGCACCUCAUAUCUUUGCAAAGCGUGACAAUGUUCAUAUUACAAAUUUUGCUAGCUCAAUCGCUCGUUUUCUAGAAGCUUGUGAUUUGACCUUUGAUGCGGGCAGCCAUUCAAUUAAAAACAAUUUUGUGGCGUAUAUAAGUACGUGCAUCAAGUGUAAUGGAAAUUGUCGACGACUUGACAUUUUGGUCUUGGUCUCAAAGUCCAGUCCCCAGCCACUGGCCAUUUGGUCCAGUGGUCAUCACCCUCUUUGGUGAUGCUGAACCCCUGACCUCCUACAAACUUGUCAUUUUACGUGGCUGGUUUUCUGCCCCCACGGGAUAGCUCGAACGGUCCGCUCCCCCUCCUUAGAGUAUGGCGAUCUUUCUGGCUUGUCCAGAGUUCGAGUCCCGCUGUUAACGUGCUCGGUGUGGAGUGGGGCCUCCUCUCCCGGACCGCAGGAAAUUAAUCGGGCCCCGUAAAGAUUGACCUGGACACCCCUGCGUUGACCAAAAAAAAAAAAAAAGAGUCCAGUUCCCUUUAAUGUAGCGGGUAGACCACGAAAUCAGACCUGACCUCCUUUAAUCAAUCUACUGCUGGACUUCUGGAAUUGUGAAUCACCUGGAUGCUUCUUCAUUUCAAACUAGGUGGCUACUCUAUACUUCAUGUAAAAAAAAAAUAUAUGUAUAUAUAUAGACACACACACACGUUGCUGGCUCCAAGUGUACAGACGCAAAUUGAAAGUUGGAAUUGAAUUAUAUCAUGGAAAUGAUAUUCACGUGUUAAUACUAAUUUUGAUAAAUUCGUCUUUUAUAUAUGUAAUCUUGUCCUCAAAAGAGGAACAAAGACACAAGAAUAGAAGUUGUUGUAGAAGGCUAGAAAAUUUCUUCAGACAGUACUAGCGUUAAGAAAGGUGAAGGGGGAAGCCCUUUGUUACUUUCAAUUAAUCUUUUUCGUUCUGACUCAUGACUAACCCAUCGGCAGCUAGGAACCCUUGGCUUGGAAUGGAAUCGCGAAGGAAGCUGUUAGAUGUCCAGCCAAUCGUAUGUUCUGGAAAUGGAAUAUGCACACGUUGCUUCCUGUCAGUAAUGAUAUUGAUUAGACCACAAUUGAUAUUGAUUGUUGAGUAGAAAUUUAAGAAUAUGGGGGGAAAAAAAAACAACAGAGAGAGAGAGAGAGAGAAAAAAAAAAAGAAGAAGAAAAGACUUGAAAUGAAAGUAUGUGGAAAUGUGAAUGGUGCCAUCCAGGUUUGACCAGUUGACUGGCUCAUAGUAUUACUAAUACCUGGCACAUAUCGCAACGGUCGGUCGGUUCAGUUGAAGUUACCCCCGACAGAAGCUAUAUAUGUGUAUGUAUAGUAUACACACACACACAGAGGCAGACAGACAGACAGACAGACAGCCAGAAGAAACUUUGUCAAGUAGAGAGGGUAAUUAAGAGAAGAUGGAGAACGGAAACGAAUGUGAGGGUGCGGGUAACAAGAUGCACUCACAGGCCACGACGACGGCUGGGAAGGUGAUCAGAUGCAAAGCUGCGGUUGCAUAUGGCCCAGGGCAGCCCAUGGUGGUGGAAGACAUCCUGGUUGAUCCCCCCAAGGCAAUGGAGGUCCGGGUCAAGAUUCUCUACACUUCUAUUUGCCACUCCGAUCUUAGUGCUUGGCGAGGCGAGGUAAAGAAUUACUCCUUAAUGGUAAUAUAUUUGAUUCCUUCUUCACCGGCCGGGCUAUGUAUAUAUAUAUAUAUAUAUAUAGACACACACACGCAUAUUUGUGGUACUAGCAGUUGAUGUUUUGACGCAAUCGUCAUGCUUUGAUUAAUUGCUUUAUCAUUUAUCAUGCAUGAGUUGAUUUUUUUUUUUCCCCUACAUUAGAACGAAGCCCAGCGGGUGUACCCACGUAUUUUUGGACACGAAGCAUCUGGGUAAGAACCAAGUUGUAUAUAUUGAUCACAUCCUUCAUUGUCUUAAUUAUCUUUUGAUUCAAUUCGCUUUUUUCCCCCUAAUUUAUAUAUCUUUUGGAAAAAAAGAUUGAUAGAAAGCGUGGGAGAAGGGGUUACUGAGUUGAAAUCGGGGGACCAUGUGGUGCCCAUAUUCAACGGGGAAUGCGGCAAGUGCGCCUAUUGCAAAUCUGAGAAGACCAACCUUUGCCAGAGAUUCCGGGUGGAUCCAUUCAAGAGUGGGAUGACCGGCGACGGAACCACUCGGUUUUCUACCCAAGACGGCAAACCAGUGUACCAUUUCCUCAACACUUCCACUUUCACCGAAUACACUGUUCUGGAUUCUGCCUGCGUCGUCGCCGUUGACUCUCAAGCUCCCCUUAAGAAAAUGUCCUUGCUCAGCUGUGGCGUUUCCACGGGUCCCGCUUUUUAUAUAUCUCUCUCUUUUUUUUGUUUUUUUGUUCCUUUUUCUUUUAUUCCUUUCUUUCACUUUCACCCGGAAAAAAAAAAAAACAGAGGAAUGCUUUAUGAAUGCAGCCAUGGGCUAGUUAGCCCCAUCCGCCAUCCUCAGCUGGCUGAUGGGACCGGCAGCUGCCGUCACUUGGCUGCUACUAACAACAACGUAUCAUAUCAUGCAUCCCUAUCCGGCCGGCGUCUUCCAAAUUGCAACCUUUACGUUUCUUUGACCACUCCAAAUAAACAACUAAGUACAUGAUCUAAAGUGUUACAACGGCAUUUUCAUUUGAAGGUCUUGGAGCCGUGUGGAAUACUGCUAACGUCCAAGCUGAAUCUACUGUUGCAGUCUUUGGCCUUGGAGCGGUGGGACUCGCUGUAAGUUUCAACCCCCCAUUCCCUUCCCCAACACCACCAUCCCCCACCCACCCCCCCCCUCCCCACGGGGCGGGGGGCGGCCUUUAAACUCCUACAAACAACUUAAGAAUGGGUGGGAUUUUUCGAGCCUAAGACCUUUGCCAUAUCCAGACACAUUUCAAACAUUAAUUAAAUAUGGUCUACUCUACGUUGAUCAACUGAGACUUUUUGCACAACUUAAAUGAGUAUUUAUUAUGCCUAAUUUUGGUUGAAAAAACAUAUUUUUAAGCAAUUCAUUUCAGUUAGCUUUUCUUUCUUUUUUGAAAUAAAAAAUUUACAAAACGUAGUUGGAAAAACACGUUUUUUUUAUAUUGUUUUUGUGCUCAAGUUCAAUUGUAACAAAAUGAAUUAUUUACAGAUUAAUGCAAAAGAAUUUUUUUUAAGUUUUUGAGCAAUGCAGAACUAGGAUAAAUGCCGUGAUUGCGAAGAUAUUUUUGAAAGGGUCACCUGUAGCAAACAAAUGAAUGUUUUUAAGGGCAUAUUAGAGAGUGAACCGAAAAAUCUUUCACUUUACGGUUUGAUCGGUUCAAUCGGUUCAAUGUCGAUUCAAAGGUUUAAUAAUUUUUUAUUUAUUUUAGUAUUAAAAUUUUUGAAUAAAAAUUUAAUAAAAAGCGGUUGAACCUCCCAAUUUUUAUCCUUUUUUAUCGGUUCAGUUAAUUUUUGAUCAAAUUUAACCAGUUCAAUUGAUUCCUUUGAGUUAUUUAUUGAAUUGGAUUUGAAGCAUGAUCGGUUCCCAGUUCAAUUGAUCAAAGUGUUCGAUCCAAUCUAUUUUCAAAACAUUGCUUUCAACUUUGGUCUAUUGUUGAUAUUUCACUAGUCAAAUCUUUUAGCUGUUGUGGGGGAACACCAUCAGAACAUGAAAAUCGAUUGGUACCACACCCGAUCACAAGGAAAUUCCUAGGUGGAUCCUCAAAAAAGUUCAUUUUGCACAAUUUUUCGACAUAGUUCAAGGAAUUAUACAUUAUAGCUCGGUGCAUCAAUUGGAGAAUUGAUAUUUUUGCCUAUAAUACAUAUUCAUGGAUUCCGCAGGCAAUUUCAUUUAGCACAUUUAUUUUUCAUCUAGUAAAAUUAAUUAAUGUGUUUGGAUGGAGAUUAUUUAAAAUAUUAAUUAAAAUAAUUAUUAUAGUAUUUCCUGUGACAUGAUGCAUGUGGGAUAACAAAAAAAAAUGAUUGAAAAUAUAAAAAUGCAUGUUAAAAAUUAUGCUUGUGAUGUAAACAAAUAAUUUUUAAUCAAAUAGUAGCUAUUCAAACACACUAAAUGUUUGCUGCAGGUCGUAGAAGGCGCACGAGCUCGUGGAGCGUCUAAAAUUAUAGGAGUUGAUAUUAACCCCGACAAACGCACUAAAGGUAAAUACUAGUUGUUAAUAUUUGCCCCCCAUACACUUGGCUACUACCAUUACCAUCCAAGCCGCAGCUUUGCGUUUUAGUCUGAGCCCUGCAAAAUAAGUGAAUCUUAUAACCGAAUAAAUAAUAGGACAAAAGGUUUAUUUGUUUUAAUAAUGACAUAAGUAAUUAAGAUUAUAAGAAUGACAUAUUAAAGGAAGAAUUAUACUAUUAUAAAUGAAGACUACAUAUAUAAUAUUUAAUCAAUUGUUGCUCAAUUGUUAUACUAGCAAGUUUUGCCAAAAUUAGGAACACUUACAAAAAGGAAUAAGCAAACUAAAGACAGAAAAUCCAAAAUUGUGCAGCCCGUUCCGCUUGGAAUUUUGUGAUUUUAUGAGUCUGUUUGGGGUUGCAGUAGCUUUUAUUAAGUGUUUAAGCGUUUUUAAAUAUAUUAUUGGGUAUAUAGUUUAAUAAGUAUUUAUUAUAUUGAAUAAUGUGUAGACUGAAUUUUUUUAAAAUGUAUUUAUCUCUUUAUUUAUUUCAUGAUAUGGGACAAAAUGAUCAAGUUUAAUGUUUUAUUUUUUAAAACAUAAAAACUAUCGUGAAAUCUCCAAAUUUGAACUUUUUCUAAAAAUGCUUUUAAUACUAGAAGUUUAACUCCUAAUAUUGUGGGAUAAUGUUUACCAAAUGUUUCAAAAGCAUUACUAGUACUUGAAAUUGUUUAUUUUUAUUAAAAGCACCGUAAUCUAAUCGAACCUAUACAUGCAAGUUGAAGCCGUCAACAUCGCAAACGGAAGCCCAAACUGUUGGAGUCGUACUUUUACUCGCUCCUUUCGCUUUUCAGUUUCCGUGAUUCAUUUUUCCAACUCGGAUUGCUUGGUUGAGCCGGUUGAACUAUUGACCGGCCAGCUUUAAACCAGUUGAACAAUUUACAUUAAAGCAGCUGAAUUGUCCAAUUCAAUCACUGAAUUGUUGAACCGGAGCGAUUUUGUGAGAAUCGAUUGGUUCAAUAUUUAACAUGAAUUAAGCCGACAAUUUUGAAUUGAUCAACUGAUAAAUAAUACUAUUUAAAAACGUUUAACUUAUAAAAGCUAUUUUUGAGUUUCAAACAAAUAAUAUUCGUUAGAAGAAUAGAAUGAGAAUUGAAGUGAUUAUAUUUAACAAUAGUAUGACUUAAGUUUCUAUAUUUAUUUGUUUGUUUUCUAGAUGUUUAAUAUUUAUUAAUAAUAUCUAUGACGAAUUUAUGACAUCAUGGGUUAAUGACAGUUAGCUCAAGUCAGCUCAACAAUUAAACCAAUUACCUUGACCCUUGACCCAUGCAUUUUUCUGGGUCAAUGAAUGGUCUGAUUUUUCAGAACCUUGCUUUAGAACAUCUCUUCAAAUUAUUGUACGACUAAUCUCUUUUUUUUCCCCUCUUUGUACGCGGAUAAGGUCAAGCGAUUGGAAUUACCGACUUCAUAAACCCCAAUGAUCUUGAUAAACCUGUCCACCAGGUCAGUUCCUAUGCAGAUGCAUUCAUUGAUGCAUUUUAGUUUCUUUUAUCCCAUUUUCUUUUCAGGCUCGGAAUGGCACGUUUUACAAUUAUCUCUUUAUUUUUUUUAUCUAAUAUAGAUUACAUCAGAAAAUGUGUUACAAUAAUUAUUUUUAGAUAAUAUAUUCUGCCAUAAAAACACAUUCAUUUCAUUAUAGAGAUCCUCACUAGUCACUAUCACGAGCCCAAAGGGCGAAUGAUAAAUAAAGCAAUAAAAAGAGUGAAUCUUUGGGGUGUGCAGGAAAUAAGGGAGAUGACGGGAGGAGGCGUACAUUAUAGCUUUGAGAGUGCAGGCAACUUGGAAGUUCUCCGGGAGGCCUUUCUCUCCACCCACGACGUAAGAAUCCGCUCUCGAUCUUACCUUCAAAUUUCAAUGCCCUGCUUCUACUACUUUUAGCGUCUUAAUUUCCAUUCCCUCGUCAAAGGUUGUUGACUUUUGUGCAUUAGCAAGGGACAGGGGGUAUUUCGUAUUGGCAGCCAAAUGGGCACACCAUGAUUGGUUUACUCGCUAAAUGGAAAGUGGAAACAAAGAAAUUUUAUCUAAAGCAAUUAUGAAGAGAAAAAGAUAAAAGGAACCAUGUAGCAGUUGAACCGUUAACCGGUAUUUUCUAACUUACUUCACAUAUUUGUUGUCUUCACUCCUUUUUCUUUGUCCUUAAUUUUAUUUUCUUAGCACAUUUCUAUUUCCUUCUACAAAAUUCAUAAUCCAAACAAAGGAUUUACUUUAUUUGUUUUCCUUUUCCAUUUCCCUUGUACUUUCCUUUGUUAACCAAACAGGAGAGAAGAUUAGGGUUUUCCUAGGAAUCUACUUUCCUUUCCUUAGUUGUUUCCUAGAACCAAACAGGGCCUAAAUGACUUGUACACGCCACCCUCUCAAAUUUUGAAGAUUUCCACAUUUACUAGAUGAUGAGUCACUUUCUUGAUAUUAAAAUUUUUCAUAUUUUUAUCUAUCGUUUAGAUAUGAUCUGUCUAUUUUUUUAAGGUGAGCUAGUGUAUAGAUUUCAACUCACACUUACUGUUUACGUUGUGUCAGAAAACUGAUUUAUGUACACAGUUGGAGACUACCGUUUUUAGCCAUCAAUUGUGUGAACUGAUAGGAAGUUAAUAUUGCUAUCAAGAGCUAAGAGGUAAGAUACGAAUAAUGUCAUCCAGUCCAUAAUAACCGAUAGAGAUGUGAAUUGAAUUUGAAUGUGGCAAGGAGGACUUGCGCGUCUGCAAAAGGAACUCUAUACUGGUAUAAUAAAUGUCUUCUCUAGUUCAUUUUUCUGUUAUCGAACAUGAAGUUAUUAAAGACGAAGAAUGAAAAUAUUUCAGACUUUUUAAAAUCAUUUUUAUGUCAUUUUUGAUGGCGAAGAAUGGAAAGAUGAUUUUUUUUUUUUUUUUCCAAACGAUAACAUUGCAUUAAGCAUAAACGGGUACAAAGUCAGAGCAACUGCUCCUGUAAAUCAGCCUGAGCUAACUCAAGCAGCCACGCUGGGAAGCUAAGCUUCCAUUCAGCUACAUCAACCAGUGUUAUAGCAAACUUUGCUAAAUAGUGACUUGCAUAGUUGUUGCUCCUUCUAGUAUAGGAACAACAACAUUUAUCAAAAUCUUUCAUCAGCCUCCAAAUAUCCAACUGAAUUAUGGCUAUGCUGACUUCCUCCUCCCUUGCAUUGAUUUUGUCCACUACUAGCUUACAAUCCUAUUCCAACUCCACUUUUCUCCAUCCAAGAAUGGAAAGAUGAUUGCCUGUGUGGAAAUUCGUAAUGUUGUGCAUGGAUAUGGAAUAAUGGGAAAUCUUUUAUUGCGGAGCGGACCAGAAAUAUGAUGACCAACGUUUACUUUUGCUAACACUACCUAAAAUUCUUAUACUUGUCACAUCGGAGCAGAAUUCUAGUGUUGGCUUCCAAGUAAUCCGGCGAUGAGAAAGAAAACAAGUGACAAGCUUAAGUGAACCGACAUACAUACUAAUCGCAAAUUUGUUAAAUAAAAUGUUUGCAGGGAUGGGGUUUGACCGUUGUUUUGGGGAUCCAUCCGAGUCCAAGGUUGCUUCCUCUGCAUCCCAUGGAGUUGUUUGAUGGCCGAAGAAUCGUGGGAUCAGUUUUCGGUGAUUUCAAAGGAAAGACCCAAUUGCCAGCUUUCGCCAAACAAUGCAUGUCUGGGGUGAGUUCGUUGUAAUUAGUAAUUACCCCCCAAAAUCCAAUUUGACAAACGCGGCAAAAAAUCUUCCCACCUUGUUGUUAUAAAAAUUUGUUUGUUUUUUCUAUUCCUUUUGGUCGUCCUCAUCGAAGACCGUGUAUGCAGGAGGUGAAGUUGGAUGAGUUUAUUACGCACGAGCUGCCCUUCAACAAUAUCAAUGAAGCAUUCCAGCUGCUUAUUGAUGGCAAGUCUUUAAGAUGCCUUCUUCACUUAUGAAUCCUGCAUGCGUGUUGUUGUUCAGUCACUUUGCUGUGGACUCACUUUCCACAGCACUCUUUAUUGGUGGAAAACAUGAGGAAACAACUUAUCUUCCGAAUUUUACUUGUGCAAGAAAUUUUGAUGUGACGUUCUACUCUAUCUCUGGAUCUUGCAUCCACAACAUGUACUUUUAGCAUAAUAACAGAGAGAUUUGGUUAAAAUCCAGAUUUUUUUUUUCUUUUUUUGGUAUUACCGCAUUGACCGCAAAUUCAUUCCGCAUACCUUGUAACAAAUCUUCUCCCCAUUUUUGCGCAUAUCUGCUAGUUACCAAAUUCAGAGCUCGAUCAUGCAAAUCAUCUACUUCUUCUUCUUCUUCUUCUUUUAAUGCUAUUAUCGUUCCCUUGUCACAUUCAUGUGUAGCAAAUCUUCGUGUAAUCUGUAGGGUUAAUUACACUUUAGUGCCUUGAACCUGUCGCAGUCAAAUUGCUUCACACUUCACUCCCUUGAAGAUUCCAUCAAUAUAUACACAAACAUGAAAAGAUAAUACAGGUUUUUUUUUUUUUUUUUUUUUGGGGCAUGUAUGCCCUUAAUCGAUUCAACACACAGUUGAUAUCUUAUUUCAUUUCUAAUGAUUUUACAAACCCUUCGAGUUUUUCUGAAUAUAUGAAUAGUAUGAAAAAUGUCAUGUUUCCUUGUACUAUGGAUCUGUUAUUUCCGUUUUAUGUGAGUGUACAAAAAAGUUGGAAUGUGUAACUCAUCUUUGCUUUCUUUCGUCGUUCCAAUAGGGAAACAAGUUAAACGCAAAAAGCAAACAAUAUCGGCACCUAUACACAGAAAAAAAAAAAAAACUCUAAUUCUUAUUUUCAUGAAUCAUGUUACUUAUAAGUUAGUGAGGAACAACUAACUUUAAAAAAUAAAAUAAUUAUUCUAAAAUAUACAAAUAAAAUAUCAAAUAUGUAACUACAAAAUGCAAAAGUUUAAAUUUUCAACAAGAAGCCAAAUGCUUAUUGUAUUAUCAACAAGUAGUUAAAUUAAAUCGACGUAUUCUUAUACGUUUCAUGGGUCUAUCUAGCGAGUGCCGACUUGAAUAUUUAUUAAAAUAUAAUUUAAGUGUUAAUAUAUUUAAAAUGUAAAGUGAAAUAAAAAAACAUAUAAAUGCAAAGUAAGGUAAUAAAUUAUUAAAUUCCAUCUGAUUUAGGUGUUUUAACAAGUACUAAUUAGGCAGCCAUUAGAAAAAGCCCAUACUUUAUAUAUAGCCAAAAAUUGAGCUAGUGAUCAUUCAUAUUUGUUCAAAUCAUGAAUCUUGUAAUUCUUUCUUGGCCUGAUCAGAUUAACGUUGCUCUAAACAUGGAGCGGACUUGUUGUUAGGAUUUCUUUUUAUUGUGCAAUUAUGUUUUAUUUGAUGACCAAUCUUAAUAGGUGCUCCAUCAGAUUACUGAUUAGCGGACAUAAUCUACUAUUUAACUCAAAUUUAUUGCUCGCCACUUUUCGAUUUAGUUUUAUUUUCAUUUAAAAUAUUCUAUUGGACAAACUCUUUAUUCGAGCCACAUCACGUGCUUUAAGGGUUUUUUUACUCUUUAGUACGCAUAAAUCACACUCUACUUAUCAUGUGAAUACACAUAUUAAUAAUUAUUAUUAUCAUUUUUUAUAUUUACAUAAUUUUCUAAGUAAUUUUACUCGUUUUUUAAAAAAAAUAUUACACUUGAAUUGCAUGUUAAUGAGAGCGUCCAAUGGGCACACAGAUCCGUCUUCUAAAUAGGAAAACUGUAUUUGAGAGAGUAAAAGACAAGUAUAUAUGUCAUUAAGCGGGAUUUUAGCACACCUUAAUGUACCUUAGAAAAUAAUUGGCAAAUAAUCAAUAAUUAAUCGGAAUAGUAGGAAACCUUAGCUGGCUAUGGUAAAUAACACGCAACUUUACACGUAUUCUUGUGUAAAUCUUAUUAAGAAAACGAUGACGAGAAUCAAAUCCUUUAUUGUUCGCUAUAUGUAGGUGGGCUGUGUUCUUUUUCUUAGAUAACAACUACCGUGAAUCAUCUGCAAGAGAGAGAGGAAGGUUGAAGUGGGAACAAGCGAGAAGGAAGAGUUUCCAAAAAGCUGUAUCCAGAAGUGUUCAAGUUCUCAUCAUCCAUCGAUGGAGGAAGGUUCAAUUCUAUCGUGCUUUCCACUAACCCUAUGGAUAAGAAAUUGUUAUCUGCUUUAAGCUCACUUGGAUUUAUUUAGUGUAACAAUUUUCUACUAUAAAAUUUAGUGUUACUGCUAUACUUGUAUCUAAAACACAUACAUUAUACAUACCACGAAAGUAAAUGAAUGUAGAUUAACAGAUUUCUUAUCCAGAAAAGAGAGAGAAGGGGAAAGCGGGGAAAAACAACAGGCCUCCAUCGAUUAAGCUACCCGGAAAAGGUUCUCCAUUUCUCAGUAUUGGUUAGUUUAGUUUAAAUUCCCUUAGUCUGCGAAGAAUCAAUUGAGCCCUUAGGACCAAGGUUCUUGAUCUGAUUUGAACUUUCAAUCGCAGUAUUAUGUCGAUUAAACCCCUCUAACAAACAAUUUGAUUUCUAUUCAUUCCUGUCGUGCUCUUCUUUAGCCCAAGCAAGCGGCCCCCGAUUAGAACAUUAAUUAGUAAUGUUGACUUGGAUACUCCUCUGCAGAAUUACAUGCCAAACACUACCUUCUCUAAUUGUAGUGGCACUAAACGUGUCAAAACGGAUGACUCGAGUGGAUUUGAACGGAACGGAUCAUAAUUGGGUAACGCGUGUAAUUAAGUCAAUCCAUUUAUAUCCAUUUAAAUAAAUGGAUAUAAAUGGAGACACAUAGGAUACGAAUAUAUCCAAUUAUCCAUUUAUGACUCGUUUAAAAUUCUACUUUUUAAAAAAAAAAAAUUUUUUUGCAUGUUGUUUAACAAGAAAUAAUGGCAUUUUUUUUUCACUUAGAUUUGUAAGAAAUUCAAAUUUAUCUGCCCAACCCCCACUAAAAAUCAAGUUUAAAUAUAUGAUUAUUUAUAAAUUUGUAUAAAUGGGUGGGUCGAAUCAACUCGCUAUCCAUCAAUUAAAUGGAUUUAAUUGAAUACCCAUUUAGAACGAUUCAAAGUUAAUGGGCAGUUUAUUAGUGGGCGGGUUAUUAGUGGACGGAUUUGGACAGAUUAACAUAAUUGGAUUGUGAUUAACACCUCUAAAUGGCGCUAAUCCUCAUCUCCUUUUAGGUGACACGCAUUCCGCAGCAAAUACCAUAACUUGCAAAGGUAAGUUUUAUUGCGUGUUUAAUGACUUUUGUUCCCUUUGUAUUUUCCCCCCAUCAGAAUCGCCUCCUCAAUCCGUGGGGAUAUUUAUGUACCUCGAGAUAUUUAUGAGCUAAGCUGGAAGCGAGCAAUACGGGUAGUAAUAGUGAUGUGGUUUUUUUGUUUUGAAGCUGCGGUGGUCUACGGUCCGGGGCAACCUUUGGUGAUACAAGAUGUUUUAGUGGAUCCCCCAAAGAAAAUGGAGGUCCGUAUCCAGAUCCUCUACACUUCAAUUUGCCACACCGAUCUUGGCGCUUGGCUAGGCACGGUAUGAGACAAACCAUCCUAUAACGACAACUUCGCUUCAGUGAAUUGAUUCACAGAUAGAUUUGUGAUUGCUUAAAUGGUAAAUUGAAUUGACUCUUGUGGAUUGGCUGCCAUCUGAUCUGACGCGUGCGUUUCCAUCGUCAAUCCUGGGAAUAAAAAAAGAAUGAAGCUCAAAGGGCGUAUCCUCGAAUUCUGGGACAUGAAGCUUCAGGGUAAGGUCAAAAUUUCCCCUGUUAAAUUACUUUGCUCUUUUUGUCCUUCUUCCUGCUACUACUGUAAAUAUUGCUGGUCGUCCUCCAAGCCAAGGUAAAAAUUAAUAAUACACACAGCUACACGAUUUUUCUCUCGUUGUUCGUACGCGUUCAAAUACUAACUCUCUCUCGAACUGUUAAUUAUAGCAGCGAUCAGUAUUGGAUUUGAUUAGCAAUUAAUUAUUUGUUGAAUUUGGUUUUUGGGUUGGGGUGCUGGAACUAACUAAACUUAACUACUGGCAUGCAACGAAAUGAAUUAAUGCUGCCUGCUGCCAUUCCAAGAGUGGUAGAGAGCGUGGGAGAAGGAGUGACGGAGCUGAAAGCCGGAGAUCACGUGGUUCCGAUAUUCAACGGGGAGUGCGGGAGCUGCGAUUACUGCAAAUCCGACAAAACAAAUCUGUGCGAAAAAUAUCGGGUAAAUCCAUUGAAAAGCGUAAUGGUGAACGAUGGCAAGUGCAGGUUUAGGAGUAAAGAAGACGGGAAACCCAUUUUCCAUUUCCUCAACACAUCCACUUUCAGCGAGUACACCGUCCUUGAUUCUGCCUGCGUCGUCAAGAUUGACCCCAUGGCUCCCCUUCACCAAAUGGCCUUGCUCAGCUGUUGCAUAGCUACCGGUGCGCGCGUAACCAUAUAGUAUCAUGCAUCUUUAAUUUGCAAAACUCGGCUAAUUCAAGCAUGCAUAAUUUUUGUCUUAUGCAUAUAUUUUAUGCAUGCAUUCAUGAAUGAUGGAUACGUUGCAUCUGCAUCAUCAUUUCCAUUUCCUGCUUAUAAUACUGCAUGCCAACUGCGAUUCAAGGUGUGGGAGCUGUAUGUAAUACUGCCAGAGUGCAACCUGGCUCAACUGUGGCGGUUUUUGGUUUGGGUGCAGUUGGAUUGGCGGUAAUUAAUAAUUAAGUAUCGAUAUUUUCAGCUGUGUCCUCACAACACAACCGAUGAUGAUUAUUUAUUAAUUACGUACAUGAAGAUGAAGUGGGAAAUGUACUACUUGCAGGUUGUGGAAGGAGCGCGAUCACGAGGAGCAUCCAAAAUCAUAGGGGUCGAUGUUAACCCCGACAAACUAACGAAAGGUAUCACAAUUAAUUACACUAAACCAAAAAAAAAAUUUUAAAUUGCAAACUUAUAUAUGUCGCACUAAAAAUAGGAAGUAUAUCGAUCUAUUGAAAAGAAAAAAAAAAUACUACUACUACUUGGUUAAAAAAGUUUUUAUUGUUUUUUGGAAAUGCACGGGCUAACUACUUGUGUUGUACUCUUGGUCCCAUGCAUUCCCGCAUGUUUAAUGAAGGUCAAACGAUGGGAGUUACCCAUUUCGUAAAUCCCAAGGAACUGGAAAAGCCCGUGCAUGAGGUAAUGCAUGUAUACACUACUAUACAUAGGGGGGAAAAAAAAGAGCACCCGGCCACUUUCUUUCAUUUUUUAAUUCAUAAUAUACGAUCGACAUGCUUAAUUUUAUGAAUUAACGAAAUAUAUAAAACACUAAAGAUAUAUAUAAUAAAAAACAUAUACUAGCUAGCUAGUAGCGUUUAACAGACUUGGACAUAUAUACACCACGAAAACAAGUGUUUUGAAUGAUUGAAGGUAAUUAGAGAAAUGACGGGAGGAGGGGUGGAGUACAGUUUUGAAUGUGCGGGUAACUUGGAUGUUGUCAGGGAGGCUUUUCUAUCUACCCACGACGUAAGCCGUCCUAAUGCUUGCUUAUUUCUAUUUCUACUUUCCAUUUCAUUCAGGCCUUGAUCAGCUUAAUUUACAAAGAAACUACCUUAAGGAUUGCAGGGUUGGGGUUUGACAGUUGUUCUGGGGGUGCACGCGACGCCCGCAAUGCUGCCUCUCCAUCCCAUGGAGCUGUUUGAUGGGCGAAGGAUCGUAGGCUCAGUUUUUGGUGAUUUCAAAGGCAAGUCUCAAUUGCCCCGUCUUGCUCAAGACUGCAUGCGCGGGGUGAGUGAGCACUGACCCCAUAAUAUUACACAUUGAUUACUUAUUAUUAUUAUACCAAGUUAUACAGCAACCACCAUAAUAUUAAUAGCUGUAUGCAUACAUUCGAUUAUCGAUUGAAUCACAUAUCAUUUGGACUCUAAUUGACAAAAUCAACCAAUCAGGUGGCGAAGUUGGAUGAGUUCAUUACUCAUCAACUACCUUUCGAAAAGAUCAAUGAAGCUUUCCAGCUGCUGGUUCGAGGAAAAUCCUUGCGAUGCCUUCUUCAUCUGUCAUCUCCUCACCUCAACUCAACUAAACCUUGAUCAUCUUCAGAGGAUUACAGCACACACAUAUUGCUGUACUUACUAUGUUAAUUACAUCUUUUUCGGAGUUUGCAACAUACAGGAUUCAUAUUUAUGUUUCAUUUAAGCAAAAAAAUCAGCUUUAGCUUAGUAAAAAAAAAUAUUUUAUUUUUAUUCGAGAUUUACAGAAAAACAAAAUAAUGUCGUGUAAGAUUGGUCUUCAAUUACUCGCAACUCGCAAGCCCACACGUCCGACAUCCAUAGCAAAUCAGCCCAGCCUCUUCAGUCGAAAGAUUAAAGCGACAACCAUGCAUUGAAUUUGAUCCACUUAACUCUCUCAUAUAUUAUACCUCACAGAUACAUCUUCUUCUUCUUCAAUUUGCAUCAAGGAUCAUGUUUUCCAAGAAUAUGUUUAUACACAUUUGAAUCCAAUAAUAUUCUGAUGAUGGUUCGAUGCCCUAGCUGUCUUGGCCCAAAUGCCUAGUACGUCGUAGUAAAUACCUAAAAAAAGGAGAAAAAUCAAUGAGCGGAAUCCUAAAGCAAUAAUCUUCUUGAAAAUUUCUUAUUAUUAUUUAGUAUAAGGGUUUGGGAGAUGGGAUUUGGUAGUGGGUUGAUGUUGCGUCCAGCCUGUAUUGAGAUUGGGCCUCCUCUAGUAGGCGGUCAAAUUGACGUAAGCUCUUUGGAUUUCGAAAGAAAAAAAAAAAUAGUAGGCGGUCAAAUUGUGUUUUUUUUUUUUCGUCUUUGUUAAAAAGAAAAUGGAAAAGGUUGACGGAGUCCAAAUCUAUCUAAUUCUUUUAUACUAAUAAAUAAAGAAUUAAUCUUCUAUAUACACUAACAAUAUAUAUUAUUACGAUUGGUUGAAUAUACGAUAUAUAUAUAUAUAUAUAUAUGUAAAUUUUGAAUUUUGAACUUAAAUUUAAAUUAUAUAUCAUAUAUUUAAUAAUAAAAAUAUAUACAUUAUUAAUAUAUAUAUAAUUUACUCAUAAAUAAAUCAUAAUGAUAAUAAUAAUAAUAACCCGGCCGGCCAGUUUGGGUUGCGAGUCUUGCGACUGGGAUUGGGUUUUUUCUUUUUUUUGGGGGGGUCAGAAAAUGGGGUUGGUCGAUUAUGUAAUUGAACUGCUGCUCCCUUCCCUUCUUUCUUCUUUUUUCUUUCUCUAACUAAUAAUAAUAAUAGAAGGAUUCGCCUCUAUUCAAUUCCCAUUCAACCACAUUUUGAUACCAUUUUUUUCUUUUUUUUGGGAGAGAUGAUGGAUGGAUGGAUGGAUGGUUAAAUUCGGCGGUGUCCUCCGAAACACCUCUAAUCUUCUGCUCUAACAAGAGUUUGGAGCAGCGGCAUCCCAAUUCCCAGGUACAAAAAGUCUUUUUCUUCUUUUUAUACUACUGGGUACCUACUAGUACUGUCAGCAAUUUUUCAUUUUCGUAACAUGAAGCUUUUAUCCAGUGAUUCUUACAAGAAAUCCCGAUGCCACUUGAAGAAGUUUAGGGAAAUUCAAGGAGCUUAGGCUAAUUUCUUUUAUGUAUAUAUACAAAACAAAAGAGAGAUAACAUCUAGUAUUAGAGUAGUUUGGGGAAAUUAAUCGAGGGAUAUCUCUUUUUAUUGUAAUUUUAGGGAUUUUAGAAUCAAUUACUGCUAAGGUUGCAAUGAAGAGCCGAUCACAUAGGCUACCGGUCGAUCCACGACAUGAGUGGGUGGAGGAGGAGGAGUCGUGGACGGUGGACUGCGUCUGCGGCGUCAAUUUUGAUGAUGGGGAAGAGAUGGUUAAUUGCGACGAGUGCGGAGUCUGGGUACACACCCGCUGCUCCCGCUACGUCAAGACUGAAAAAUCAUUUGUCUGUGACAAGUGUAAGAAGAGCAAGAACAAUCACCCCCACCACCAUGCUACUAGUACUGAUAAUGAUUACUACAAUAAUAGUUUUAGGAAUGAUAGCGAGGAGACUGAGGUCGCCCAACUCCUUGUUGAGUUGCCCACUAAGACUUUGAGGAUGGAUAAUCAUUGUCCGCCCCCUCUCCCCUCCUCCUAUAAGCCUUCCCCUUUCCCCCCUCCCCGCAGGCCCUUUAGGCUCUGGACUGACAUUCCUAUGCAAGACAGGGUUCAUGUCCAAGGGAUCCCCGGUGGGGAUCCUACUCUGUUUUCUGGCUUGUCCUCUGUCUUUGGGCCCCAUUUGUGGAAAUGUACUGGUUAUGUUCCCAAGAAGUUCAAUUUUAGGUACAGAGAGUUUCCGUCUUGGGAUGAGGAGGAGGAGGAGGAGGAUGUGGAGAAAGACGUUAACGCUAACAUUGAUGAUGGAGGAGAGCCUCGUAUUAUUGCUGAUAACGGCAUGGCUGAUUUGUUCUCCUUGUCGAGAGAGCACCUUUUGCCUGUUCCAAAGGUUGAGUCAGUUGGUCUAGACGGCCAGGCUGAAGAUGGUGAGGCUGAUAAGCUGGUGAUGUCCCCUAAACAAAUCACUAUGUUGGAGGGUCAUAUAAACUUGGAUGUUUCCACACCAGAGAAUGAGCCUAAGAAGGAUAGAAGCUUGCUACAGGCUCCUGUGAUACACUUUUCCAAGCGCAAGAAGGACGAUGUCACUAAUCCAAAGGAUAAAAGCGGGAAGAAGAAGGCUCGGAUUAUGGAAAAAGAUGGAGACUUUAAGAAGAAAUGUUUACACACUCCUGGAACAGGUAUUGGUAAUAACCACUUUCAAGGUUUUCAGAUGCAUUUAUUACUUCAUUUUUUUUUCUCUCAGCAUAAAUUUUGAUUUUGAGAUUGUUAUUUAAUGAUGCUAUAUUUUUUUUUUGAAUUUGAAUCUCCAUCCUAUAGACACUGUCACAUGCAGUUUUUUUUUUUUUUUUUUUUAAAUGUGGCUUGUGUUUCUUGACCCUUGAGCUUUGUUUAUCUAUACUGAUAGCUUCGACAAACGCAAGUGAUGCAAAACAAUCACAAAUAUCUGAAGAAAGAGGCCCUAAGAACAUUCAAGCGGAUCCUCAAAGUGGUAAUAGUGGAAACUCAAGUCACUCGCCCCCUGGCCUCCAAUUAUCACAUGAAUUCGGGAUAGUAGACUAUGUUGUUGAUGCUCACAAAUCUAAUUUGGGUUCAAGUGAGAGUGGUUCAGCAAAAUUAUCUUUUGAUGCACCUCGACAUAGUUCCUCAAGUAUACCAAUGCCCAAGGAUGCAAAUGGUGGACAGCAACUUACUGUGAAGUUGGAGGGUUCUUCAAAAACUAUGGGUAGUGCAGCCUCACUUUCAGGAAACAACGAUUCUGGGGGAGUCCCUGUAAAACAAGAGGUACUUCUUAAUGUGUUCUAUUACUCUGAUUCCAAUAAUUUUUUUGCCCUUUGCAUGGUAGGAUAAGUAAGCAGCUCUUAGUUCUGCUGCCUAUAAUGCAUGAAUUUGUAACAUGGUCUUCUGACUAAACUGUUGGGGUGCUUGUGAUGUUCGUAGAGGUAGCAAGUUAACCAGUGAUUGAGAGUAUUUAUCUGAGAAUUGCUGUUAUCAACAAUUAGAUGUAACCUAUGGAGUUAGUUUUUCAGUCUAGCUUAGUUAUAAUUGCAAUUUCUAGCCAACACCACUCUGGGCUCGCUUUUAAAUGCCACCGGUUACUGAGUGUUGCAGCAAUGCAUCUAUCAAAGUUUGUGCUUUCAAGCAAUAACAAUCUCCAGAAAGUCUUUAGCACAGUUGUUUCCUUCUUCAUGUUGCACGAUGCGGCACCUUGCGUGCCUUGACUGACCUUUUUUUUUUUUUAAUGGUUACGUUAGGUUUCCAUUCGUACUGCUGUCAGUCCAAAUGAAUUUGGAGGGGAGUUAACAACUAAGGUUGUGAUGGACUUGCAGAUGUCAAGCCCACAUCCUGCAGACUUGGCAACUGCCCAGCCCAAAACUGAGGUUAAUGAAAAUGCUCCGGAUUCAAGCCUUAAUACAGUCUCUAGUUGUUCAGAGGUACAUGCUAAAGUCAAAAGCGAACUAGCUGAUACUCAUAGAAACAUUCAGCCACCACCUCUAUAUGAUGCUAACUUGGGUGCAUCAGGAACCUUAGUCAAAUCUAAAGUGGUAUCUGCUGAUUGUUCAUCUGAAAAUGUUGUAGUUAGUGAUGUUACGAUUACUGAUUCUGAGGUCAGCAAAAGAAAGAUGGAGGAUGUUGUCAAAAGAUCAGAUGAUGUUGAUAUUCGAAAAGAUAGAGUAGAUAGGGUUGAUGGUGAAUCACCGCUUAACUCUUGUCCAUCUAAUCAUGAUUAUGCAGGCUUGGAUAGUUCUUUUGAAUCAAAGAAAAUCUUGGAAGGAUUCAGUUCGAAUUCUGGUGUUGAGCUUUCUAAACCUGGUCUCACAGUUGUAAGUCCUAGAGUUAAUGCUAGCGAGGGUAAAACCAUAGCAUCUGUAGGGAACUUGUCUCCAGCUUCAUCAACAUUUGCAAUGCCAAAAUCCUUUGCUUCUGAGAAUUGCAUCAGUGCAAGUAACCAAAAUCACAAUACGGAUAGUAAGCAGAAGGGGAUUCCUGAGAGCAAUCUUGCUGGCAACCAGGGCAAUGGUGGUGCUACAAUUGAGGUAGUUAAGGAUAAAGGGGGGCAUGAAAGGACAAGGAAAUUAGUGAAAGAGCUACCAAAAUCCGCUCUUGGUUCUGUGUCAAAAUCAUCACAGUUGAAAAAGUUUUCACAUCCCUCAGUUUCAAAAAGGACAUCGCCUGAUAUAAAGGAUUCAAUGCUUCAUUCUUCUGCCCAACCAUCGCCAUUGCAUCAUAUUGCUUCGAACACUGGAUCGGAGCUGACUAAUGUGGUGCACAUUGAGAACGCUUCAGACACAGAAAAGAUGUCUAGUAUGCUACAAACUGAGACUGCUUCAAGCAUGCAAAAGAAAGUUCCAGGUUCUGUUUCUUCGCAGAAGGUUGAAAAGAUUAGCCCUUCUAUGGCCCAAUCUUUAUCAAAAGUGAACACAACUCUAACACAUGCAGCUACAUCUUCAAACUCUCCUGCAACACUAAGUGACGAAGAGGUAGGAGCUGAACAAGCAUUUAUUGUUUCUUUUUCCAAGGGAAGCUUACAUUUUCUUUUCCGUGUUAUUUGCAGCUGGCUCUGUUGUUGCAUCAAGAACUUAACAGUUCUCCUAGAGUUCCUCGGGUACCGCGCAUGCGUCAUGCUGGUAGUUUACCUCAGUUGACAUCGCCAACUGCUACAAGCACACUAAUGAAGCGAACAUCUAGUACCGGAGGAAAAGAUCAUGUUUUGGUAAGCUGACUCUUGUAUUUAUAAGGAUUUUGCAGAAUAUUCUUAAUAGAGCUAGUAGUGGUGGUGAACAAUAAUAUUUGUGUUUGUAGACUUCUAGAAGAAAAACCAAAGAUCUAGCUAAAGAUGGUUCCCAUGGUUCUCGGGAGAUGGAUGACGAAGCUAAGAAGAUGGAGAGAGUCUCUUCUUCACUUGAUCAUGGUAGGCAAGAUUCAGCAUUUGCCUCUGAUCCUGUUGGCAAGAAAGAAGCAGAGAGAGAAUCAGCCAAUGGUGUGUACUCUACAAAGAAGAGUAAUGCACCAUCUGGAGCUACUGCAGCUGGUGAUUUAUCUUCUCCUGCUGAAGGAAAUGAACAUAAUUUGUUGUCCACUCGGCAUUCUUCUAGAACUCCCAUUGAUGAUGAGAAAGGAGUUGUUGGACACCAUACCCACCGCACUUUGCCUGGUACACACCUUUUCUGUGAAGAUUUUUUACUCCUUUUUUUUUUUUUUUUAAAAUAUGUUUUUAUUGAUUUGCAAGUUCUUUCCACACUUCCUCAUCGAGUCGUUAUUUUUCUGUCACAGGUUUGCUUGCUGAGAUUAUGAGCAAAGGUCAACGCAUGACAUAUGAAGAACUUUGCAAUGCAGUUCUACCGGUAGGGGCACUUUAUUUCGAUAAGAUGAUUGUCUUCUCCCUCCAAGCAGAUUCUUGGUAGUACUGAUUUUUGUUUCUUUUUAUUUUACACCUCUACAGCAUUGGCCUAACCUGCGGAAGCACAAUGGAGAGCGAUAUGCAUACUCAAGUCACUCACAAGCUGUUCUUGAUUGCCUUAGAAACCGAAAUGAAUGGGCUCGCUUAGUUGAUCGUGGUCCCAAGGUAUGCUUCUAGACUGACUCGCAAGUGUUAAGUGGCUUGUAUGUGAGGAUUUGGUUCCUUCUAUGUGCAAAUCCAUACAGGCGCUGUAAUUAUACUAAAUUGCCUAGAGAGAUGAUUCUUGUUUAUCCUACAUGUGUGCUAUUGACCAUGUAAUUAAUCUUAUUGUUGGUGUAAUAUACUAAGUUCUGACUGAGGCUGGUUAAUCUUCUUUGAUGAGAAUCUCUUUACUAAUUUGCAUCUCCUUUCAUGUUCUAGUUGAGAAACUAAGAAACAUGUAGUUUUUUCAGUUUAAGAAAAAGAAAAAAGUUGGGGGGGGGGGGUAAGGAGGAAAACUGUAGCUACUUAAUACUUUUUUCAAUGGCAAUAAUGUUGACGCAGUUGGUGGAUGACUAUAUAAAAUGGAAAUAUUGUACAGGAAAUGGAAGUUUCUCAUGUCUGAGAGUAGUACAUCUGACUUCCAUCCUUUCCCCACCAUGCGUUGUGCAGGGCUGAAAAUGUAAAACCACUUGCAAAAUGGUUGGGAAGGGGACUUGAUAUCCAGAGAUGGAAUUGUUCUUGGUCCCUCCUCUCUCUCUCUCUCUCUCUCUCUCAAUAUUUUGACAGCUGAACCGCACAUAUCUGUGGGCAGGGUUGGAGACUUGCACAUCUGUGCAUGCACUCCAUACGCUCACAAAUGCAAGUUAAAUAUAGUUUCUGAUUUGGACUUUGGGGUAAAUGACCUGAAACUGUUAAAACUUUGUCACUUGCUCAUAGUUGUAAUAGCAUUUUCAGAUUUGUUUCUGUUUCUUAAGAUACUUCUAAUUGUGCGGUUGAAUGAUCUUUAACCAGACAAGUGGAGGCAGGAGAAAACGCAAGCUUGGUGCUGAUCAUGCUGAUGUUGAUUCAGAGGAUAACGAUGAUAGCAGGGAGCAGACUGCAAAAGAUACCAGAAGUAAAACUGUUGAGUCGCAUCAUGAGGAAUUCCCAAAGGGCAAGCGGAAAGCACGAAAGCGCAGGCGGUUAGCUCUGCAAGGGAGAGGUAUCAAGGAUGUUAGGCGGCGGAGGAGGACAGAUGAACUCAGUGAUGAUGAAGUUGGUUCACUUUCCGAGUCGAGUGAGGAAACCAUGUGCAGUGAAGAUGAGAUGCAAGGAUGUCGGAUGUCUGCAUCUGGUAAUGAGGUGCCUACUGGCUCGGACGGGACAGGCAACACUUAAACUCAUGUUUCUGUCUUGUGCUAUUGUGCCAUGCGUUUAAGGGAAUGCUUCCAUCUGAUGAUGUUGAGAAACGAGAGGGACGACCCUUGCUGUUAGGCCAAGUGCUGUGAAAUUAUUUUUUUUUUGCCCUCUGUGUAAAUAUGUAAAUCCUUUUUAAGUGGUUGGCUCUUUAGUUGCAUUCAGUGUGUUCUUAAAGAGUAUCAAGCGUAUUCAACAACUUUUAAGUACCUUUUGGGUGAGUGCUGUAGUGUGGUCUCUUGAUGUCCCUUGCCGGCAGAUGGGGGCAUGGCUAUGAUUGUUAGGUUGAUAAGAGUAGUUUGUAAGGUUUAUAAAUUCCAUUGUCUAACAUUUGCCAAGCGGGCGAUCGAUCUUUAUGAAUCUUGACGCGUAGGCAGAAGGUUUGGAAUCUUUACAGCAUUCCAGCAGGGCAAGGGGAGCUAGUGUUGAAUGGCUGGGGAUGUUUUCUUGGAAGCCUUGGCAUCAAAAAAUGGAAUCGUUUGAAGUUGGGAGGACAACUAUUUUUGCCGGAUACGCCGAGUUGAAGGAUCUUUCUUAGCAAAACUAUUAUUAUGUUGAUAUGAUGCUACAAGCUGCAAAAGAAGUAGAGUUUAUUAUGUCGUGUCAGGGUGUGAUUGCCUGAAAAGUUAAAAUGGCCGUACUCUUAUUAUCAUGUGGCUAACCUGAUAUAAGGUUAAAAGAGGGCAUGAAGCCGUCGGCACGGGUGGUAGGCAGCAGAGGGCGGUGGCUGUAACUCAAAAAGUUUGGCUCGCCUCACAAGGUUGAAGUUUUAACCGCAAGCAUUUGGUCUUCUGGGACUAAUUUCCUAUAUGCAUCCUCGUAAGUGACGCUAUAAUGAAAACACUAGUAGAGUACGUGUAUGUAAAUAGAUAGACGCUAGAGUGUAUCUAGAUCUUUCUUUCCUCUUGCGGAAAACUUUUUCUGAUGAUACGUACGGUUGUUGCAUUUGGUCUCUCCCCUUUCUAGUAGUCUCGUCUGUAGUAGCAGUCAUCAUGCUUGAUCAAGUCGUAGUAACAAUUUUGAUCAAUAAUAAAGUUUGACACACACAAUUGGGUUGGGACUGUGGCUGUGUUCAUUAAAGUUGACGAAUCACAAAUAAUUGCUAAUUAUGAGUUGUUCUGCGUUUAGCACUCCCAACGAUUUACUCAUUACAGUCUGAUUUUUUGGUUUGGUGGAAUACUUUUUGGGGAAAAUCACCAAUUUAGUCCUCAAACUAUUUUACUAAAGCUGAUUUGAUCCCUUAACAUUUUAUCGCAUGAAUUAAGUCCCUUAACUAAAAUUCUUGUGCCAAUUGAGGACCUAUACGGUGUUGCCACCCAAAACACGUGUUUCUGUAUAGAAACCAACGGCGAGGUAGGGGCUUUUUUGAAAGUACACAAUAGAAUUUCUACGACAAGCAAGCCAGCACCCAUUUUGCAUCCAAAUUGGGGGGAAACCUUUGAGUAACGAGAAAAUAGAGGAAGAAAUUCAUAUACCAAUAUACUGUACUUAAUAGUGGAGGAUUUGUAUAUUCAGAUUAUUCUGAUCUUAUGAGAUAAUUUUUCAUGCAGGAUACCUAUAUGAGCUUUCCAGGUUCCAUGCCCAAAAACUGAGAGAGCUCUAGAGGCUCUUCCAAUUCUAUCGGGAAUGAUCUUUGCAAUAUGAGUAUCGAGCGAACAGAUAAAAAACAUUCAAGUGCUAAAUGCUACAGCUUUAUCAAUCUUACAACAGAGUGGUUAAUUCUCUUAAGAUACAGAGGAAUUAUGCAUCCUUAAACAAAUCUACUGACCGAAGACUUGAAUCUACUAUAGCCGAGAAAACUUCCAUAACCGAAGCACCUCAGAGCUCGACCUCGUCCAUGUCUUCGAAGUUUUAACUAGGUUAAAUAGUAGUAGAAAUUCAAUACCUGUUCUUGGGAACAAGGUAUACCCCGGCUUUAAUUAGCGACCCACUUCCAAGCUUAAACCCAAGACUCACCGGAAAGCCCACCACCUGAGGCACGCCACCACCCGUUCGUCCACCACCAGGAACCCUCACCACACUGUCCAUAUACUGCGGAUGGAAAUCAGCUCCCUUAGUCGCCUCAAAAUGACUAGACGGUGGGUCCAUCGAAAAUGCCAGCAAAUGUAGCAGCCAAACUGCCUUAGCAAGGCCCAAAAACUCCCCAUAAAAUUGACCCCUGAGGUGGUUUCCGGCCAAAACUAGGCGGUGCUGCUCCAAGUCCCCGAAUAACGACUCCUCCAUUUUGGGAUGAACAAUUGCCAAAUACUUCUUGAAACAGAAGUUCCCGAAGCUGCAAGUUGGAAGUAUCCCUAACAGUUCAAUUGGGUCCAUGGCUUUCAUGUCGCGGUACUGAGUGAAGCAAUCGCGACGGUGCUGAUCGGGAUGGAUCAAUGAGGAGAGGUUGCCGUCCAUGUAAAAGGUCUCGCGGUCGAACCCCUGAAACAUUUUCCGGUUAACAUAGGAUUCUAAAGCGUACUUAGCGUGGUUGGCUCCUACUAUGGAGUCCGGAAAGGUAGUGGGGGUAGGUGUAGUCGGGGAGGCAUUGCUGGAGAAAGAAGCAGCUUCGAUGGAUCUCACAGCGGCUGCGAUGUCCCAAUGAGCUGAACGCAUCCGGGAAAAAACCCCUAAUUUCUUCCUCUAUUUUCUCGCUACUCAAAGGUUUCCCCAAUUUGGAUGCAAAAUGAGUUCUGUCUUGCUUCCCGUAGAAAAUUUACUAUGUACUUCCAAAAAAGUCCCUGCCUCGUCGUUGGUUUCUGUACAGAAACAUAUGUUUUGGGUGGCGACACCGUAUAGGUCCUCAAUUGGCAAAAGAAUUUUAGUUGAGGAACUUAAUUCAUGCGAUAAAAUAUUGAGGGACCAAAUCGGCUUUAGUAAAAUAGUUUGAGAACUAAAUUGGCGAUUUUCCCUACUUUUUGUAGGUGGAAGGAAGGAAGGAAGGAAGGAAGGAGUAAGAAUAGGGGAAAGGGUGGGUGGCUCCAACUUUUUGAGGGCAUGGAUAGAUACGUAGCUUUGAGGUUGGAUUAAAAGGCUACUACUUAAUAUUAUUAUUAUUAGGUGACUGACACUUCAAAACCAAACAGAAAACACCAAUCAACACCCAACACAAAACUCCUCCUCAAAAUCAUUUCUCUCGAAUUUAGUAGAUCAAUAUUUUAAAAAAAAAAAAAAAAACUUCUUUUUUCUUUCUCGGAAAGAAGUUUCCAAAUUUGUUAUAUUACCGCCUGCAACCUGGGAAGAUUUCUCUUUUGAAUUGAAAAAAAAAAAAAAGAAGAAGAAGAAAUCCCACACUGGCAAGAUUUCUAGUACAAUUUCUCCUCUGUACAGACAAAAUAAUUAUUACUAUUACCAUAAUAAAACCAUACGCCAUAAAUAACCGUCCGUAUCCCUAACAUUUUGCCCCCCCUCUACUGCGACUAAACUUGUAUUCUAAUCUAAUCUUCUAUUCCUUGAUCUACGCUUUUUUCAAUUUUCUCCCACACUUUUCCUUUUUCUUUUUUUUUUUUCUUACAAAGAAUUUGCGUUGCUGGAGAACGAUUCCGAUUUUCUGCUUUUGUAUUGGGGAUUAAUUUGAAUUUUGUCGGGUGGGUAAUUGGUAAAAGGCGGGGGGAAGGGGUUCUUCUGAAUUGGAUCAUGACGAUUCCGGAUUCUGGGUAUAUGAUGGAGAACGGAUCCAUUGAAUUGCCGUGCACCCCUGAAGAGGAAAAGAGGAUUGUUCUCGAAUUAUCCCGACGAGCUGAAUCCAAUCUCCGUGAAGGCAAUGUUUAUUACGUUGUCUCCGCUAGGUAUUUAUUUCUUCUUCUUCUUCUUCUUUUUUUUUUUUAAAAAAAAAAACAUCCUUUGUUCAACUCCAUUCAUCUCCUGUUUGUCGUGUUUGCUUCUAAAGUUUCGGUUUUUACCGCAAAGUCUGUCUGAAUGCCUUGCCUUGGUCUGGCUGGUUUAUGAUCCAUCCUAGGAGACCUGACAUCUGUCUAUUUUUCUGGUCGGUUGCUUGUUUUGUAAUUUUGCCAACCAUUUGUCAAAAAAAAAAAAAAAUAGCUUGGAUUUUAGACCUUCAUCCCGAAGUAAAUUGCAAAUUGUGGAAUUCUACCAAGUACUUUAGACCUUAAUCAAAUGAAAAAGAAAAGAAAAACAGCUGUUCCUUGUAUUUAGAUGUUUUCAUAUGAUAUAACCGGAAAAUAAUGGCAGAGGCUUUGAAUUUGGGAUUGUUUCUGCUGGGUUUCUAUGGGGUUAGACUUUAAAAACUCUUAGUAAAGAGGAUGUAGGAAGAACUUUGUAAGUUAUGAAUGUUAACUCUGGCCUCUUUUGUACAGGUGGUACAAGGGCUGGCAAAAGUACACCGGGCAACCUGUUGGAGUUUUUACUUUUGAUGAACCUCCUACUGAAGCUCCAACAUCCAGUGCCGCAGACAGGCCUGGACCAAUAGAUAAUAGUGAUUUAGUGUUCAAUGGCAGUGACGGUGCUGACCCUCAGCUUCUUCGAACAGUGGAAGAAGGACGUCACUAUGUAUUAGUUCCAAAAGAUGUGUGGGAAAGGCUUUAUGCAUGGUAAUUGUCCUGUCUUAUUCUUUGAUACUCUAUCUUGAAUAAUUAUGCAUACGUCUUUGUUUUGCACAAUGUUCAAGAAUAUAUAGGCAAUGUAUUUAAAUGGACUGGUGUUAAGCAUGUGUUCCUCCUGGUAAAUUUGUAUUAGGGGUAGCUUGACCUCUAGAGUUAUAUGAUGCUUGAGUGUUAAGUGGUGUUAGACAUAUGAGCGAGGAUGUGGAAUGAUUUUUGGUGCUUUAUGUGAUUAUCUGAUUUUUUUUUUCAAAAUGCAUUAACUCCAAGGACUUUGUUUUUGCCAACUUUCUUAGUUUAUCACAUUCCUCUUCUCUUAAGGUACAAAGGGGGACCAGUACUAGCCAGGAAGAUGAUUUCCGCUGGAGAUAGUAAGCAGUUCCAUGUGGAGGUUUUUCCUCUCUGUCUUACCUUGGUUGAUGCUAGAGACAAUAGUCAAUCUGUUGUAAGGUUAAGUAAAAAGGUAUUUCCUUGUGUUUCCUUAUAUAUUUGUUCCUUCAACUUGUCUUUCUUAUGGUAUGAUAUUGCAUUUGUUUGCUUGUGGUCUGUUUCAGGGAGGUUUUUGCUCUCUCUCCCCCCCUCUCUCUCUAUGUGUGUGUGUGUGUGUGUCAUGGGAGGGUGUCCGUCCUUAGUAGAACAGCUUCAGUGGCUAUCUUUGGUUAAAGUUUUGCUUUUGUCUGCUAUUAACUGGCUCGUUCUUCCUCUUUUGAUUUGUAUCAGGCUUCUUUGCAUGAACUUUAUAAGACAGUAUGCCGCCUUAAAGGGGUAGAGUCAGAAAAGGUUUGUUGGAUGAUAGUGCAUGCCUUUGCUACUGUUAUUUCCCUUUACCAACUUGUAAAUCGGAAAAGAGUAAAUAAUAUGUCCUUCAUGGCUUUCACCUAAUUUUGAUAGGCACGAAUCUGGGACUACUUUAAUAAACAGAAGCAGACAGUUUUGGUCGUUUCAAACCAAACCUUGGAGGAAUCUAGCUUGCAGAUGGAUCAACAUGUGAGUUUUUUCAUGCAAUGUCUCAACUUGGACUUGAUGCUGUUUAAGAGUAGAAUAUCAUAUCUUCAUCAAUUUUCUUAUAGUGUGAUACAUAGUACAUUCAGCAGUUUCGGAUGCCCUUUAAGUGAUUGUUUGGUUCCACUGGGUUCCUGGCUUUUCAGAUUCUGCUUGAGGUGCAGAUUGAUGGAUUUUGGCCUUCAGGAUUUGGCAUGGAUUCAACAGGAAAUGACUUGGCUCUGGUUCCAGUUGAACCAUUAAGGUCAUCUGUUACAAUUGCAGGAGGUCCAACUUUAUCUAAUGGUUAUUCCAGUAGUUAUAGCUCCAAUAUAUACGGAGUGAUUAAUUUGAGCUCCACAAAUGGGGAUAUGGAGGAUGGAUAUGAGAGUUCAAGACCUAUGACCAGAGUGGAUAGAGGUGGAUUGGCAGGAUUGCAAAAUUUAGGGAAUACAUGCUUUAUGAACAGUGCUAUUCAAUGUUUGGUUCAUACACCACCCAUUUUUGAGUACUUCUUGGAAGACUACAGCAGCGAGAUCAACAGACAAAAUCCUUUAGGAAUGCAUGUACGUACUUCUUCUUUGUCUACUUUGCAAUUUGCAAAGUAGAAGCAGUCGGAUUAAGUUUCUAAUAUUUGUUGUAGUUCUGCAGGGUGAGCUUGCACUUGCUUUUGGUGAACUCUUGAGGAAACUAUGGUCUUCUGGGCGGACACCAGUUGCACCCCGAGCUUUCAAGACAAAACUUGCUCGUUUUGCUCCGCAGUUUAGUGGUUAUAACCAGCAUGAUUCACAGGUAGAUAACUUGUGUAAGAUUUUUGCUGCUAUGUUUCUGAUUUUGAAUUUUUUAUUCUUGUUAGGUUAUUGUUCAUUCAUCUGUUAUGGGUACAAUAUCUUUCAAAUUCUUUAAUAUCUUGUGACUACUGUGCCUUGAAGAUUGUCACAGAAAUGGGGUUUUUUCAAAUUUUUUAUGCUUUAAUGAGUUCAUAUGUUAUACCCCCCUAUGCUUUAUAAUUAAUAAGGUCAGGUUAUUCAAAAAAUGAUGGUUAGCAGUUAAAUUGUUGUGUCAGUUUUAGUUGUUAUGGUGGUUUGUAUGUGUGUAAUUUUUUGUUGUUCCCUUUUCCAGUGGCAAUUUAGUUGGUUGUUUUUGUUCUAUGGUCAUGUAUUUAAAAGCAAUAGAUGUGGAAGAAUGUUGAUGCAUCUUUUUGUCUAGGAACUCCUUGCCUUUCUCCUUGAUGGGCUGCAUGAAGAUUUGAAUCGUGUAAAGCAAAAGCCAUACAUUGAGACGAAGGAUUCUGAUGGUCGUCCAGAUGAGGAGGUAGCCGAUGAAUAUUGGAGAUAUCACAAGGCUAGAAAUGACUCCAUCAUAGUUGAUGUUUGCCAGGUGGCUUCUCAUAUUCAUUACGUUGACUUGUCUCCAUAGUGAUUAGUAUUUAAGUGAAUCUUCUUGUCAAAUGGUUUGUUUAAGUUAGAGAAAUCCAUGAGUCCAGAAAUUAAUUGAGCAUAUGUCUGCUCAAUACAUCAAGCUACACUUUCCCCUGGUAUUGAUGAUUACUUGUUUAAGAUUAUGGUUUUCUGACGGCAGCAAACAGUGAACGGAAGCAUAGUUGUGUAUUCUCGUAUACAGUGGUAAACAGGAGCUUAGCUAUCUGAGCACUAUCUUUUCUUCAAUUUGAAGAAUGUUUUGACUAAUCUUAAGUGUUCUCAAUAUUUUCUAAUGUGCCAUGUGUUUGAUAAUGCUUUUAUUUGGUGUUCAACUGCCAGGGUCAAUAUAAGUCAACAUUGGUUUGCCCGGUUUGCAACAAGAUAUCAAUAACAUUUGACCCCUUCAUGUACUUGUCAUUGCCUCUUCCUUCAACAGCUACAAGAACAAUGACAGUUACAGUUUUUUAUGGCGAUGGGAUUGGCCUUCCAAUACCCUAUACAGUCACUGUGCUAAAACAUGGCUGCUGUAAAGAUCUGAUUCAAGCUUUAGGUGCGGCUUGCUGCUUAAGGACUGAUGAAUAUCUGUUGCUUGCAGAGGUGACAAAUUUUUGUUUGAUUUUGUGCUAAUUUUAUGCCAUAUAUCGUAUCUGUUAGUUGAACCAGAAAACUUUCGAACUCCAGGUCUAUGAGCAUCGAAUAUAUAGAUACUUGGAAAAUCCUUCUGAAGUGCUGGGUACAAUUAAGGACGAUGAACAUAUUGUUGCAUUCAGACUCCCCAAGAAUGGUGCUGAAUUAACAAGACUGGAGAUAGCUCACCGAAUCGGAGAGAAGUAAGUCCUUGUUUUGCAAUACAAAGUGCGUGUAGUUCAAGUUAUUUAGAUCACAUUUGGAGUUGCAGUUGUUUUUUGGAAAAAGUACUUUUGGAGAACAAAAGCAUUUUAAAGGUGUUUGUUUGGUUAUCCUCUCCUUGAAUCUAGGAAGAGCUUUUGGUAGCAAAGCGCUUUUAAUACAAGCUAGAAAUUGGUGCUUUUGCAGGCUUUUCAAGUUUAAAAAAUAUAUAUAUUAAGAUGAAGUUUGACUAGUAUGAUAUGAUAUGUGUUUAGAAAGAUUAAAACCCAAAUGGUUAUGAACACCAAAAGUACUUCGGCAAGUAUCCGACCAGACAAUCUAAGCAAGCACCCUUUUUUUUCUCAGAUAAGCCAUGAAAUUCCAAAUGGGACCCUAUUCUGUUUUUGUUUUCUUUUUUUCCCUCAGUCACUUUAAUGAUAUCUUUUGGCUGGAGCAUUGCAUAACAUAAAUCGAUUGCAGAAAAGAAAUAAAAAUAGAGCUUGUCGAGAGUGAUUAGGAAAUAUGUGUGCAUGUGAAUCUUAUCUGCUUGUAGAGUGAUUAGUUAACAUGUCUAGAUAUGAAAAUAGCAUCUACAGUUUGCAGUAAUACAUUUGUUUAUGUGAUUUCAUUCUUCUGAUUUUUUCCAUGCCUUAUAUCACGACAAUGGACAUCCCUUCAAUGAGUCUGUUUUGUUUAUUAAUUUUUUUUCCUUCAUUGAUAUUUUUGUUGAUUAGUUUGCAUUUUUCCAGCGAUAAUCUGAGGGCUAGUGAGAGGAAGCUUUUCUUGACACCACUUAUUACUUUCUUGGAAGACCCUCAGUCUGGAGCAGAUAUUGAUCUCGCUGUACACCGAAUACUGUCUCCUCUACGAAAGAAAGGAUAUUCAUCAUCUAUUUCAAUUCGUAAUGGCAGGGAAUCAACCAAUGGCUGCAGUAGCCAGUUAGGACCCGGGACACAGUCUGCAGAGAACUGUGAAUCAGAAGAAAUGUCUAUCAAUUCUUUGUCAUUUCAUCUUUGUAUAAUGGAGGACAGUGGUUUAAGUCGCAGACGUAUUUCAAAGGAGACUGUAAUCAAAUUUGGUCGAGUUGUAAAAGUUAUGCUCGAUUGGACAGAGAGAGAAUUUGAUUUGUAUGAUGCCAGCUACCUCAAAGACCUGCCUGAGGUUCACAAGACUGGACUUACUGUGAAAAAGACAAAACAGGAAGCUAUUUCUUUGUUUUCGUGCCUUGAUGCCUUCUUAAAAGAGGAACCUUUGGGGCCUGACGAUAUGUGGUACGGUAGACUGCUCAGUUAUACAACAGAAUCCUGUCAUCAGUGCAGUCUGGUGAAAAAGUUUCUUAUAUUUUUUAUGCUGCAGGUAUUGUCCACGCUGCAAGGAGCAUAGACAAGCCAGUAAGAAGUUGGAUUUGUGGAGGUUGCCCGAUAUAUUGGUUUUUCAUUUAAAAAGGUUUUCAUACAGCAGGUGGCUGAAGAACAAACUUGACACCUUUGUGAAUUUUCCCACCUGCAAUCUUGAUUUGAGCAAUUAUGUAAAAAGCAAUGAAGCAUCUGAAGGAUCUCAUGUCUACGAGCUAUAUGCCAUUAGUAACCAUUACGGUGGCCUAGGCGGGGGGCAUUAUUCUGCAUACUGCAAGGUACUUUCCCUUUGCAUUACAUGGCAAUACAAACAAGGAAAAUCCAAAUGUUUCUCCCGUAUUAAUCUGUUUCAUUGUUUUAAUUGCUUCUAGCAACCUCAUGCCACAUAAUAGUUGCGCAUUGUGGUACUGGAAAGCAAUUCUUAUGUUGCAGUAGCUGAUAUUCUUGGAUGGAGUUGAAAUUUUUGAAACUGUGUGUGUGUGUGUGUCUCUAUAUAUACGUGUGUGUGUGUGUGCGGAUUAAUUUUAUAUACACUGCCAAUGUAUACACUAUCACCAUUAGAUAUAUGACACGUGCAAAAUUAUAUAUAUAUAUAUAUAUAUAUUGUUGGUCUUAUUAAAAGUUUUGGGGAUGUGUUUAUAUGUGCAGUUAAUAGAUGACAACAGAUGGUAUCAUUUUGAUGAUGCUCAUGUUUCACCAGUCAGUGAAGAUGAGAUCAAGACGUCAGCUGCUUAUGUGUUGUUCUACCGAAGAGUAAGAGGUAAACCAAAUGGAGCAGUGGGUGAGCCAUCGCAUGGUUAUAGAGCUUUUUGAAGGCAGUUGUGGUGCUAAAAUUCUUUUGGGUAAUAGAGUAGUAUUCUUUAUGCAUUAUAUGAAUGUGGUUCUAUACUUGUGGUAAACCAUGCUUUGCUUAUGCGGAGUUGGGGGGAACAGAUGCUUUUGCAUGUUGGAUAGAAGGAAAACAUUAUGCAGCCAGAUGGAAUAGUGAAGUCUAAGUUGUAAGCUGUUGUACUUAUAAUAGUGGGGAAAUUUAGGACGGAGAACUGAUAAGUAAAAGUUGGCAGAGACCAGCACAUUUGCUUUAGGUGAAGGACGUGUAUUAUUUUUGAGGAAAAUUUUGGACGGUUGAUCAGGUUAUCAAGUGAGGCCUUUUUCGAUCGGCGGUAACUGGGUAGCUGGUUUUUUCUUUUCUGUUUCUUUUCUUUUUUUUUUUUGUAGAUUUUAUAAAUGUAAACCCCCACUCUGGGACAUUGUCAUCCAUUCUUCAUGUUCUAACAUUUCAGCGUAGUGAGAUCCAUGUUCUAACAAUUUCAAUGUAAUAACUAAUGAAUGUGAGUGUUCAAGCUUUAACGCUGCAAUAUGAUGGCAUGAAUUCCAAAUGAGCUUUUUUUGUUGGCUACAGAACAUUUGCGAGGUUUCGGUUUUUAGGUAUCUUUCCAGUUUCAGUUGCCAAGGAUAUAAUGAUUCUUUUGGUAGCGCGUUCCUGUAAAAGAUCGAUCACGCAGGACGCCCGAAUAUCAUGAAAACGUAGUACUAAGAUGAAAUCCCACUUUUCCGCUAAAUGGUCAUUCUGUUCUGCGUUAUGUUAGCAGCUUUUCCCUUCUGUAAAUACGCUAAUUGCGCAUUGCUACAUGCGCUUUGUCGAUUUGGAUGGAUAGCAAAUUGUAAUUGUUGCUCCUUGUAGUGAAUAGUGGCCAAAUACAAAUAGAUGCCUACGUAACCAAAAAAAAAAAAAAAAAGCAGCAAAGUGCUACGCAUAACUCGGAUCCUCCCCUCCCUCGUAGUAGUAGUUCUUCUGACCGUCUGACAAUAGAAAUAACCAAUAAUAACUGAUGGGGUAAUGGGUAAAAUACCAACAAUAAGUGCAAAUAAAUAAAUGAAAGAAUACAGGAAGGAAGAGUAGACGAUGGUGGGCAACAACCGUGUUCAGGAUUAUGCGCCACUCUGACUCAGCUACCGUCGUCCACAGCAAACUUUGAUGGUCCACAGACAACAUAAGAGGAGGCUACUACUGUGCUUAGUUCUGCUGAUGCCACUCCACUACACUACCAGUAGCACUACUCUUCUGAUACAUAAAAGUCAGCCAAAGCCCUCAAAGACUCGAUCAAAGGAGAAUCUCAAUUCUUUUCCCCAACCCUCAAAGCCUAUAUAAUGAAGACGCUACCCCCCCCCCCCUCUCUCCAGUGGGGGCAAUAAUACUCAAUUGUGAUUCGUCUAAUGUUCUCUUGGAAGUUGGAAGGCCAGCAACAAUACGAGCCAACAAAUCAUCAGUAACAAGUGCGGCACUGCACUGGGCAAAGCAUGUAAUCCCUGAAAGUAGCACAAAGACAAACUUCAAUUAGGUUCAGAAUUCAUUCCCUACUGAUUGAUGAAUGUCGUAUCCAUCGAUGCUGAUUAAAGCAACUCGGUUACUCUGAUACUACUAGCUAGUACCAUGGCCGCUAUUGGCAUCAUCAUCAUCAAAGAUGAAACAAAACCCUCCUUGGAAUCUAAAUUAGUAGUGUAUAUAUAUAUAUAUAUAAUAGAUAUAUGUAUUUCAAACAACAAUUUGAGCAAUGCAAGAAGCAACACAUGUACCAAAAGUGCAAUUUGAGUAAUGAAGAGUUGCGCAAAAACAUUUUGAAGCAGGGAAUUGUAUCUAAUGAGCCAUGACUAUGAAAACCCAUGUACAGUUCAUUCAAGCAAUAGAUAUGACAAAGGUUAGAUGUGUAUGAAGAUUGCACUUGGAAUAAUUAUAAAUGUGGCAAGAUUUUUUUUUUAUUUUUUGUAGUAUGGUAGUACUAAGAAAUAAAACAAAAAAAUCCUGGAUGUUGUUCGAGUUGGGGCAGGCACUUUUCCGCUCGAAUAAUAAUUUACUAAAACUAGGGUUUGUUUGGACAGAGUAUUAUUUAAAAUAUUAUUUAAAAUAAUUAUUAUAACACUUUUUUGUGAUGUGAUAUAGGUAAGAUAAAAAGAUAUUUGAGAAGAUAAAAAGUUGCAUUGAAAAUUGUAACGGUAUAUCUAGCCAAAUAAUCUACUGUCCAAGCAAACCCACUGAUAAUGGGGAAUAAAUCAAAAAUUACUACGUAUUAGUACCACAACACUAGUGAGCAAGUAGCACCCUCCUCCACUGAGGAGGUUAAGGACUUGAGGAGGAGCAACUGCAAAACUCACCGCAUCGGAGGUGAUGGAUAAAUAGCCAGUGGAAGAAGUGGGACCACCGGAGGAGGAGGAGGAGCCAGGAGGAACACUACUAGUACUGGUGCUGCUACUACCAGUACUGCUAGGAGUAGUGGAGGUAUUGGAGGAAGUGGAAAGGAGGCCGGUCCCGUUGAAGCCAAUGUAGUAGGCCGGGGAGCCAUCCGGCUUGAAGAGGCCGUAGUUCCUCUCGGAGGUUGGGCCGGACUUCAUGUUCUCGUUGAAAAGGGCGAAGACGUAGAUGUUCAAGUCGGCGUUGGGCCUCAUGGGCGUCCCCUUCUUCCCGCACACCAGCUUGUUGAUGAGGUUGCCGUUGUACUUCUUGGCAUUCUCCGGGGUGGCUCCGGCCUCGUCGGCGUCUCCCUUGGAGGGCCAGCCGGUCUCGGAGAUCUGGACGCACACCGCAUCGUCCUUGAACCCCAGGGACUCGACGGCGGAAUGGACGGCGUCGAUCUGGGCGAAAAGCAUGUUGUCGUAGUGGAGAUUGGUGGCGGGAUCGAGGAUCCCGGGGUUGGGCUGGAAAAGGACGAACUCGAGAGGGACCUGCUUGGGGUUGGCCUUGUAGGCGAAGUAGGGGUAGGCAUUGAUGAGGAAAGGGGAGCCGGUCUUGAGGUGGAAGUUGAGGAUGGCGGUCAAGCAGGGGGCGAGGUCCGGGCGGAACCUGCCGGCGGAGGGGGGGUAGGAGGUCUGGAGGACGGCGAGGGAGUGGGCGGUGGUGACGGAGACCUUGUCCUGGAGGUUGAGGGAGCAGAGGGCGGAGUAGACGCUCUGCAUAGCGGGGAGGAGGUUGGAGGAGAGGGAGGUGUCGUUGAAGGUGAGGACCUCGUUGCCGACGGCGAUGCAGGUGAUUCUAGUGGCGGGGAGGAAGGGUUGGACGUUGGCCUUGACCCAGGCGAGAGCUUGCUUGGGGUCCCUGGUCUUGGAAAGGUACUGGUUGCCGAGGCUGACGAUGAACUCGACACCGGUGUUGGCGAAGGCCUUGAGGACGGUGGGGUCGGCGUCGUAGAGCUUGAGGCGGGUGGCGCCGAUGGAUUUGACGAGAGGGACGACAUAUUCUGGGGAAGGGAGGUUGUUGGCGAUCUGGCCGUAGUUAAUGGCAAUGGGAGCCGCGCAAGUGAUGAAUUCUGUUUGUUACACGUAUGAUAAUGUUUUCUUUGAAAUGGGCAGUGUGGAAGAAAAAAAAGGACCCCAAGCGUAUUAUUAGAUAGGAGGAGGAGGAGGAGUUUGUCGAUUCAAUUGAGAGCGUACCUGGUGAGACGACGACGACGACAAAGAGAAUCAAGAGUAGUGAAGAAAUGCGGUGGUUGUGGAGGCGAAGAAGGGUGAAGAAGCAGCAGCAGCAGCCUUCUUCUUUUGUUUCCAUCUUUUGUUUCAUGAAGUGCCUGUCUAUCAUCAUCGUAGAUCUUCUUGACUGAUCUACUAUUCUUGAUCUACUCUACGGAGGGAGUGUAGUAAAGAAAACGAAAAGCUUUUCCUUUAUGGGUUUAGAUUCCAAUCCUCCACACUAAAAUGGAGGACAACACAACACGCUAAGGCUAUGGACAGUGGAAAAGAGAGAGAGAGAGUGAGUGGAGAGGGAUGGCCAGUGACCAGAGUGGUUAGUAGAGUAGUAUUUAGCAAAUCAGAGCAGAGAUGCCCCUCCUUCUCUCGAGAGCGAGAGUGAGAGUGAGAGUGAGAGAGCUACUUUUUAUUAUUGGGAGGACUUUAACAGAGCGCGUCUGGUCUGGUUUAGUAGGCUGGGAUGUCUGUUCCGUUCUCGCUUCUCACCAAUCCACUGCUUUGUCAAAUACAGUAAAAAAGUUUUACUACAAGACUACAAGUAAAGGAGUAAUACCAACCAACUGCUAUUCUAUUCUUUCAACGCCAAUCCAUCCCUGAUACAGUAAUAGAUAGAUGGAUAGCAUUAAUUUUUCAUCGGAAUACACACCAGAGUACUGUACAGUAUUAUAUAGUAAUUGGCAUUACAUCUCAUGUUAUAUGAAGGUCGCUGGGGCUGUUGUUAAUGUAAAAGCGGGUUCUCUCUCUGGUCCAUUGGCCUUUUUGUACCCCAACGGGCGGUGGACGCUGAGUGGAUGCAUGAACAGCAAAAUCAUCAGCAGGAGACAAGAAUGAAUCAGCCUAAGCGCUUUAGCCGAAAAGUCUUGUAGUGUUUUGUCUCGUUUUCUAACUACUGGCUGCUUUACCAUUUUUUUUUAUUUUUUUUAUUUUUAUAUUUGGGAUAAUUCCUUCGCUUCUUCCCCUUUUCUGAACGGGUAUCGGUUUCGUGGAAGAUGAGCAAACUCAGAUGAUAUUUUAAGGUCCCAGAGGGGCUGUGAUCCUUUCUUCAAGUGUCGAAACUCAAAAACAUAAAAAAGGGAAGAAGAAGAUUCCCAGGUCAGGCUCCUCUGGACUGGAGCUAAUAACACCUUUAUUUUUUGGAUCGACAGAAGUCACAUGGAGUCGUCAUAGACAUAGACAUGGACGACUAAUCUUUCCCAAUAGCCCACCCCCACGACGCUACCUACGCUAAUCAUUCAUGGUAGCACCAUUCAUUUUAGACGAUUUACUCCGCUCAGCUCGUAUGACUGAGUUCCGGUUCCGGCGGGGAAACAAGACAGACGAGUUCGGUACAGCACCCACAACCCCAAACAAACCUCUCAGCGUCUUAAUAAGAGCUUCCAGAACACAGUCCCGCCCCGGCGCCCAUUAAUAACAUAGAAAUGCGCCUCCCGAGUCAAGCAAGGAGCUUUACGAUGGUAAGAAUUUUCUAUUGAUUUAUUUAUUUUACAUGGUGCUCGAGAACAAGCUCUCCGGUCGUCGAUUGAGCCACACUACAGUUUGUUACGUCUUAUUUAUCUAUUAUACUACAUUCAUCCCCUUUUUCUUCUCCUCCACAUCCACCUCUUUCCAGCAACAGCUCAACAAAAGCAUAAUCUGCAGGCAUAAUCUCUCUCUUUAUCCUAACCACCAGAAAACUGGAUGAAACACAAAAAUACCCCCCAACAACAAUAUGCUGGCGAUUUUUACAAGAGUAUUAGAUAAAGCUUCACCUGACCCGUUACUUCGCUUUUACUAAAAAGGUUAAAAGGUGAGAGGCAAUAGGCUAACUAUAGCUAAGAUGGAUGAUUUGAAUGACGCUCAAGGAGUGGCAACGUUUUCCUUGGCGAGUGGGGCAAUUUCGUCUCCAUCAACACCAGCUUCACUCCCAGCAACACCUAAGCUCAGCAACACUGUUUCCCACUUCUUGGCAGGCCCCUGCAAGCAAUAAACAUUAGUAUUAACUUUUCAGCUCUUUCCUUAUUUAUCUCCUGGAGACGCUAUUUAUCCAAUCUUUACUACCUUCCAGGAGAGCUCCUGUGACAUGCAAUUUCUAAUCAUCUCUUUUAGGGCAAGAGUUCCAUAGCUAGCGAGAGCUCUGGCUACAGUCACUACGAUCUUGAGGAUGUCAGCUGGAUCAACCGCAUCGCACUGUUCACAACCCAAGACCACUUCUCAUUAUCUCACUAUGCAACUAACACAUGGAUGCAUUCUGAGGGAAUUUAAGCGACCAAGGAAUGAAUGUAGGCAGCCCAGUAAAAAGUGAAUACUGUUACUUACUUCAACGCUGAAGGCUCCCAUAUGGAACCCUGUGUAGCCUUCUUUGACUGUGUCAACAAGUCCACCAGUCGAAGCACAUAUAGGCACCUGACUCGAAAGCAAGGAAUCUCAUCAGAAAUGGAUGCUAGAACUUUGACAAAGAUCCAAAGAGGCGAGCGCACACAUCCAUGAAGUGUUAUAAUGCAGCUUACACAGUUCAACAGAAAAAAUUAAAAAUAAAAAUUAGUGAGAGAUUCAUACUGUUCCAUAGCGCAUGGCGUGCAGUUGAAUUAGACCACAAGGUUCAAAUCUACUUGGAAGCAGCAUAAAGUCAGCUCCAGCAAUAAUCAUGUGGGCUAAUGGGACAUUGAAUUUUGCCACUCCUCUUGCUUUGUCAGGGUACAUCACCUCAAGCUGUUCAAUCUGCUCCUCAAAUUUCCUUUUGCCAGUCCCCUGAUGAAAAAGAACAGUAGACUUUAUAAUGCAAUCCCCGUACUGUAACAGCAGACAGUAGCUCAAAAUCCAGUACCACUUACAAGGAUUACUAUCUGAACAUUCAUGUGAAUGAGCUUGGGAAUGGCGGCAGCAAGGAUGUCUGAUCCUUUCUGCUCUUCGAGCCUGCCAAUGAAGCCAAUCAGCGGAAUAUUCCUGUCAACUGGUAAUCCAACAGCAGCUUGGAGAGCUUCUUUUAGUAGGGCCUUUGCAUACAUAACCUAAAACAAAGAUGAAAGUCAGUUAAACAAAGAUGAAAGUCAGUUAAAAAAAAAAAAAAAAAAAACUCUAAUUGCCGCAGGAGGAUCAGGAAAGAACGCUAAAAGCUUCACGAGUGCUAUAGAAAUGAACGCAGGAACAGAAAUCUUACCGUUGUGAUGUCAUAAUUGGCAGAAAUAUAUUUAUCAGUCGCCGGAUUCCACUCGUUGGUAUCCAUUCCAUUCACAAUUCCUGUUACGCAUUUCAUGCGGAGAAUAUUGUCCAAUUCCACACCCUUAUCAAUGCCAGAAACAAGCUCCAGGGCAUAGUACGGGCUCACAGUUAAGACCCUGUUUGACUCCAAAAUUCCAGCCUUCAUCCAGUUAAUUUUCCUUCCUUUCACUGGUUUGUCAUAUCUGCAACAUGGACAUAAUAGCUUUACCCAAGAAGACAUAGUAUAGUGCUGUACAGAGAACUCUAAUCAAAGUUCAGAAGAAUCUUCUAAGUUUCAUUUCAUCUAAAAUUUUAGCAUUCAUACCCAUCAAUGAAGUCAAAGGAACUCUUAUAUUGAUCAGGGAGAUUGAGAAGAGAGAAGUCUGCAAAAGGAAAUCUUCCCUGGUAGGCAAUGUUGUGAAUGCAGAAAGCAACCUGGCACCAAUGAUCAGUCAUAGAUUCAGACUACAACAUUGAUUCCUUAAUUUUGUAGCAGCGAGAUUACCUUCAAUGAGAACCUAGAUGAAUUCUUACUUUAGCAUUCAUGUAGAUUCCUCUAGACUGGUACAUAGUCUUCAGGUAGCAUGGUAGAAGAGCACAAUGCCAAUCAUUGGCAAUGAAGAUAACAUCCUCUCCUGCAACAGGAAGCAAUUAUUUGCAAUUAUGAAGCUGUUUCCACAGUGCAGUGGAAUUCCUCAAUCCCAAAUGCAAGAGUAAGUACCAUAUGUUCCAGAGAAGUAUUUGCUGUUGUUUAAACUCAAAAUUCGUGGUGCCUCCAAAGCUGCCUGGGAACAGUAAAAUGGAAGUGACUCAGAACAGAGUCGGUGACCAAAAGACAUGCUAAGUGCCUAAAAGCAGCUCGUGUACAGAUGCUAAGUGUUGUAAAUCAAUCAUGAAAAACAAAAGACAGCAACUGAGCGGUGUUUACUUGGCACAACAAGCUGAACCGCAGCUGGUUGUCCUGGUAAUCAUCUCCAGCCCUAGGACCAUAGAUCUUUGAUCCAGUUUUGCCCCAAACCUUUAAAAGAGUUCAAAGUCUCAAGCAUUAGACUCACACCUAGCAUGUUCCCACGUCUCCUACAUAACAGCUGUGAUACAGUACCCCAUUCUAGAACAACAAAGAGGGGUUUAUACAGAUAUUGCUAACCUUCUCGAGAAAGAUUGGAUGAUCCACAAAAACACGAUCUACUCCACGCUUGUAGCAGUGGAAAAAACGAACAACCUCAAUUCUAUCUCCGACCUUGAUCUGUGAAGUGGAAUUUGGUCAGUUAAAACACCCAUGCAAAACUCGAACACAAUGAUCGUUGCAAUUUACCUGGACAAGCACACUUGUAUCCCAACCAUCUUUGUACUGAUCAUAACGAGGUGCAACAGUCAUCACUCGGUGACCCAAGCCCUGCACAACAAGCACAUAUUGAGGCCAAAAUAGAGAAGAAAAUUUUUAGAUACCCAAAAAAAAAAAGAAAGGAAUGAAAAUAAAUAAUAAUAAUAACAAACAAGUAUGCAAUUCAUCCCUGUUCACAAGUAAAAUUGAAAAGUCCCCCACCAAAGUGCUGGCUGGCAUUGGGAUAAAGUCAAUAUACCUUCUGACCUGUACUGUAAUCUUCACACAAUAUGAAGCGGGUAUAUAAGUAGUUCUACUAGACUGCUAUUUGAAAUGAGUAGAGGAGUUAGGUUGGUUUGGGAUAAACCACAGAUUGGGAAAUGGAAGAGGAGAGGUAAGAGAGGAAGAAGAUGACAUACAGCCAAAGCAGGUGGCAAUCCUCCCAAAACAUCCCCGAGGCCACCAGUUUUGCUCCAAGGAGCGACUUCAGCGGCCACAAAGAUGAAACAGGCUCCUGUUCCGCAGACGAUGGUUCCGGAAGGCCCGUGAGCGGAUUUGUGGAGUUCGGUUGGUUUGGCAGUGGCUCUGGUAUGGUGGAGGUUGAGUCUGCUCACUGCUCUCAAGCCAUGAUGGGUUACAGUUUGAGGUCGGAGACCCAGAUGCGCCAAAUAGGCGGAGGAGUCUGCAGGAGGCGGCGGAGGGUGGUGGUGCACAUUUGAGGAUCUUGAGACGAAGCGAGAAGUAGUCACGGUGGCCAUAACUGAUAUGCCUGUUGAGCCUGGAACAGAGACAGACAGAGGGGGGAAGAAAAGAGGCAUUAUUAUUAUUAUUAUUUGGUUAAUACCCCAAAUUAAAAUACCAAAAGAGUAAGCAAUCAGAGGAUGCAUUCAGUCACACACACACAUACAGGUGGUGGAAGAAUUUAUGUUGAGAACGAAGAGAGGGAAGGCAGCAGAAGCAGAUUGAUGUUAAAGCAGGGUUAGUGAUGACGGUGGAGAUAUUGGAAUUGGAAUGGGAAGCAGUUACGUACGUUGCUUGGGUAGUAGAUAUUUAUAUUAUUUCCGGAUCAUCCCUGCGGAAAAUCAGGACCUUUUCCUUUUUGUUGAUCACAAAAUCUCUACAUUUCAUGAUACUACUGCUACUCAAUUACCAGUGGUAGUACUAGCAGUGAUGAAUAACAAACAAAUAAAGAAACCAACAAACAAAGAAAGAAGAUGGAGUAACAACAAUCUUGUCUUCUGAUAGUCAUGGAAAGAUAGACAACCCAAAUUCAUAUUGAUGUUUCAUGUUUUUUUUUAAAAAAAAAAAGAGAGACAGAGAGAAAGAGAAAAGCAGGAAGCGGGAAGUUUACCUGAGUUAAGUAGGAGCAGCGAGGGAGGAAAGCAGGAAGUAAGUAGUAACAACUAUGAUAUGAAAUGAGAGAACCCGUAGGGCAGAGUUGCAGAGACUCACUACUACUCCUUUGGUGGGUUGAUUGACAAAGCCUGAAUUCUGCAAAUUGUUUAGUGCUCCUCCUCCUGCUCCCAUUUAUUUGUAGCAACGGCAAUGCCGCUUGCCACGUGGCCCCUCUUCAUUUAAAAAAAUAAAAUAAAAUUAGUACCCGUUUGAAAUUGGUUUUAUGCCUUUUGUUUGUUUGGGGACCUCAAAAUCUGUUUCACGGCAAUUGAAAGUUGAAACAUCGGUCAUCGCCAUUCCAAAAAAAAUUUCUUCAAAAAAAUUUUUCUAAAUAAUGUUCUACCCAAACAGACCUGCAUGGAGUGUCCCUGCAAUUGCUAUAUGUACAAAGUACAAAAAAGUUUAAUAAAAAUAUUUUUAUUAUACACACAUUAAAUCACAUUAUUAUAGUGCAUUUUUUUAUAAAAACUUUAAAAAAAAAUAUCAAAACAAAUAGUCUCUAAGUUUAAUCAUUCAUGAAAAAUUACACAGUAAAAAUGAGUUUUGCCAAGUUGCCUGGGAGAAUAUAUGCCCACAAAAUUUGAGGUCUCCCUCGUUUUAAACAUUUUGGCACCGUUUGGUAAAUAAAAUUUUUAAAUGUUUGUUUAAAAAUUUACUGUAUUUUACUAGGAAAGAUGUAGAAAAAAUUUUAAUGUUUAUAAAUUUUUAAAUAUUUUGAAAUAUAUAAUUUAAAAUUUUAAAAAACUUUUUUGAUUUUACUGUAAUUAAAAUUAUUAAAAAUUUGUUUACCCAAGAGGUCCAUUGAGAUGCGAGUCCGUCAUCCUUUUCAGAUAUUUUGUCGUCGGACUUGACAAUGACAAUUGACAACGACACGAAGCACUAGCUGGUGAUGGGAAUGGGCGUACAGUACAACUCCAGAAAUUCACGGCUGUGGUCUACACUGGGCCCGCCACCGUUCCGGUCCAACGCCAGACGGGUUAACCACACCUCCUCCUUUCUUCUUUUUUGUUUUGUCCGAUUUCUUCUAAUACUACUUUUUUUUUUUCUGACAUUUUCUUACGAAAGUAAGAAUUUUUGGCAAAUAAACCUAACUCCCCACAGUAACUCCAAAAUUGUUCUAACUCCCCACAUUCUUCUAAUACUACUUACGACCAUAAUUGUUCACGGUUCCCGUUUCAUGCCAGUGACCCUACCCACUCUAGAACUGCCACCAUGCAUAUCCUAUGGCUCAGUUUUGAGUCCUUUGACACCUGCCCAUAUUAUUUAUUUAUUUAUAAUAAUAAAAAUAAAAAAAAAAAAGACACCGUCAAUUCAACUGCUCCCCCUCUCUGAUCACACUGGCCACCACCAGAGCAGGAAGAAAGGGGGUUGGGAAGGAAGGGGGCAAGGGAGGAGGAAUGAGGAGGAGAGAGCACGGAGGGGCUACGGUGGAUAGUGAUAAAAGUAAUUAAUAAAUUUUAAAAUUACUUUAAAAUAUAUUACAAAACAAAAAGCACUCAAUGUAUAAUGAAAAGUUUUUGAAAUACACAAAUAAUGUUGUAGUAGUAUAAUUGUUUCAAAAACAUCAUUAAAAUUUUAAAAUACCUAAUCCAUACUACUCUGAAAGUUUUGGUAAACAUGCUAAAGUACUACUCUGGAUUUGUUUGGAUAGAGUAUUAUUAUUUAAAAUAUUAUUUGAAAUAAUUACUGUGACGUUUUUUAUGAUGUGAUAUAUAUAAAAUAAAAAAAAUAAUUAAACAUACAAACGGAUUAAUUAAAAAAUAUGUUUAUAAUAUAAAUGAAAUAUUAUUUAAAAAAAUUUGAUAUCCAAAUAAGCUAGUAAUAAUAAUACUGUGGUAUAUUGGAGCAGUACAAAUUAGCAGCUGCAGCCUGCAGUAGAGGUGAUGGGGAGGGGAAGCACAACCGCGUCUGGUGUCAUUAAUUGUCAGCUCUUUUUGCUCCCGCCACCAACAAGUCAGGUUGGCACACUAAACCAAAACUCAAGUAGGUGCUGAUCAUGAACAUUUGACCAAUUUGAAGAAGAAGAAUUAGAAGGUCAUCAUUCAUCAAACCACGUGAAUUUUCUUUAUGCCACUAGCACGGUUCCUUUAUCACCACAGCGGUGCCAUGGCUUGGCUGGCAUCCCCCAUUCUCAAAUCUCACCAUACAACAGCUACGUGAUGAUGGUAUGAGAAAGAAAGGCCAACAAAAAACAUAAGAGAAACUUGCAGCGAUCGAUUGAGACGUAUUAUUUUAUUUGCCUACUACAUGGCCACUUGCUAGAUUUUGUGGAAACCAAUCUCAAAUGCAUCUUUCACACGAGUAACCGUCAGCGGCCAAUACACGGCCUCCUGAUUGUGGCAAAACAUUGCGCCUUUGAGAUUUGUGGUAUCGUUUACACAACCUGUUGCAUCGUACAAGUUGAUGAAUCAAAAGUUUUUUCCAAAAACUUCCACUGGAAUGGCAGCAUAUCAAUUUGCAACAUUUCUCCGUAACGGUCAAAAGUGAGGGCCUAGUAAAGGCAAUCAAUUCUGGCUCCGCUAGUUGUCCCUAUACAUUAUCGUUAUUGACACACGCAUGAACAAGUGGUCUUCAUUUAGAAACAGAUUUAUUUUACUACUACAUUACUAACAAUAAAAAAGAGAUUUGCUUUUGCAAUCAAAAUGUAUUUGAAUGGCAACCAGUAACCGGUUAUACGGUGCUUGAAUUAAAGAUUCAGUACCAUUAUAGAUUAUGAUAUGCGGUUCGAAUCACAAAAGCUCCAGACUCUGAUCGAUAUCUGCUUGUUUUGGGAACCAACGGUUUCACUGGGAAAACAGGUUUUGAAAAUUUGAUAAGCCAACUGCACCGGAUCUGCCAUAUUUUACUAUUCAAUCCAUAUUUUGCACUUAGCAAUCACAUAAAAAAAAACUGCUAUAUAUAAGCAGAGAUGAGAAAAAAAAAAAAAAAAAAAACCACAAUCCAAAAUUUUACUUGACUUGAGAGAGCAUGAUCGGUACAAGUAGUACCAUCGACCCAUCAAUACCUUCUCUUGUCUUCGUCCAUUUUUCGUUCGUGUUCGUGGUCAUUAAUAUGUUGAAAGUUGAUUCAGCAGUAAAACCAUCAUAUUGAUUGCAGAAAUCAAAGGAAUGGCAAACAGAUAGAGAUACCUCCCACCCCCAAGGGAAAAAAGUAGUAGUAAAUCAGUAAACAGGUUUCCUCCUCUGUGCUAAUGCAAGAGCCAAGAAAAGAAUGACAAAAACCAGCAGUGGCCCUUGGAAGGACAAGCUUUGAGAAACUGACUGGUAGACACAUGAGUGGAUGCUUAGAUAGCAGCCCCUCCUGCCUGCUCAGUGUCUCCAACUCGUACAAAGGAAACAGUUCAUUUGAAUAAUUGAUCCUUAACAAACUGCAUACAAACCAUAUAUAGCUGAUGGCCUCUUCCUACCGAAAACUGAUCCUUUACCAAGGUAAAAAUUAAACACACUCUAUCCAAUCAAUUAGCACUAGUACAAUAAUAAGACUGAGAUAUCCUUUUCAUGUGGCAUACGUGAAAAAUGAAAUGAUUCAAUUUUUAUUAGGUGAGUUGGCCACGAGGUGAAACAUAACAUAACAUGCAGGCUAGGCUAGGGGUUCAAACAUUUGCAUCUAUAGUAAAAUUCAAAGAGUAUGCAAUAAUGCACAUCGUUGAUCUAGAAGUGGAAUCCUCAUUUAAUAUAAGUUGGACCCUUCCUUAAUAUAAGUUAGAAUAGAAAGUUGCGGUUGACCAAAAAAAAGGAAAAAAAACUUCUAGCUUAAAUCACAUAAAAAGAGAAUUAAUGAAUCUUAAAUCCUCUUCUCUUGGAUUACAUCACAUCUCAGACGAAAGAGACAAAACAAAAAAAAAAAAAGUGUCACUCAUCAAUCCGGAAUCACAAUUUAGAAAAAAAAUCAAAAUCAAAGGCAAAUUAUGGGUUUCUCUUUUGUGUAUGAAUUUUAAAACAAUGAAAUCUUAAAGAACUGAUACCACCAUUUCCUUGGCACAAGUGCCUCACCACCAUUUCGGCAGCUUUCACCUGUGGGCCGUGACCAAAGUCUCAAUGAACCUCAACCCAUCGAAUCUUGGAGCAAAAUUCUCCUUUUCUAGACUUGCCUUCCGCCCCCAAUUCUUUCCCCUCUCAUUCCCCGCCGGAGAAGAGGCAGAGGAUUGUGAAAAUUCCUGCUCCAGAAGAUAUCCAUUUCUUAAUUUUGUUUUCGUUAAAUAAUCACAGAGGAUCUCUUAGGGCGCAAAGAUUCAAAGUGAAAAUCAAUUAACCAACAAAUUCAACAAUAAUAACAUAGACAAAUAUAUAUCAAUACCUGAUUGGGACAAGGGGUGGCAAAGGUGAGGUGGCGGUCACCUGAGGAGGAGGAGAGGGCCACCGUGGAAGCGGAGAGAACGCACACAACGAGAGCGCAUGAUGAGCCUUUCAUCUCUCCCAGCCGUCUGAUUCUUAUGGGGACGUUCAAUCCCCAAUGCGAAAUUUAAUUUGACCGGAUUGGAAGAAUCCGACGAACUCCCCCACCGGAUUUCGCACUGGCCUGCCGCUGCUGGAGAAUAUUUUCCGCGGGAUAAAUCUUCUACUACAAAUUUUUGGAUUAAAUUUUUAUAUAUUGUCAGUAUAAAACUUUUUCAAAUUAGCAGUUAUUAAUGUAUGGCAAAAAUUGGUAUUUUUAAGACGCAUGCAACAUUAUUUAAUGUAUCUGUGGGCAACUUUUUUCUUCAAACAUUUAAAAAAAAAAAAAAAAAAAAAAUCGGGUGGCUUUUGACCGCUGGUUGGAUGACUCGCUGGUUGGGUACAAAUCCCACGCUUUCCUAUUUGUAACUUGAGUAAUCACCUAAUAUUGGUUCUGCUCCGCCCCGGCCCAUAUGCAUGAAUCCUAUAUUUAUUAUUAAUUAAUGCCCACAUCCAGUAUUGGGGUAAUUUAGAUUUGAGGAAUAGUUUGUUGUUUAAAGACAGACAGCUCUACCUUGUACCGUUUGAACACCUAAUCUUCCUGCAAAAAAGCCAAACUAGCUAUAUAUAAUCAAACCUGAAAUGAUUUCGUAUGAACUCCGGAUGAUGCAUUCAAUGAACUCCGGUCACGUGUGACACGCUCCUUCUUCUUCAACUCUGGAUUGAGUCUCAGCUUAAGAUCCUUGAACUUGGAAGGCUCUCUCGUGUUUUUUUAUGCAGACGCGCAUGGUGAAUCAGUUUGACAUAUGAUAAUACCACCACUUCCUCAGGUUUUUCAGAAAAAGCCAUAAAAUACCCAAAACCGCCCCUUCCCUCACUGCUGCUAGUGCUAUUGAUUGUUUUUGUCAUCCUCCAUCCAUCCCCAAUUGGGCCCACACGGAUCUCUCGAAUUUAAAUCAUAUCACAGUAAGUACUAUGAGAAUAAUUUGCAAAUGGCUCAUUAUUUCAAUACCAACCAAUUUUCCCAUCAAAAGAGGGGAGAAUGGAGGAAAAGCUCCGACAAAGGAAAAGCUCUAAAACAGAAACGAGGUAAAAGUUAACUUGCAGCAAUUGCUAGCUUUUCUUCGGUGGUGACGAGAAGUGGGAAGAGAGACGAUGAGGAGAAAAAACCUAAAACAAUUGCGGGCCAAUUAGAUUUAUUAUUAUUAUUAUUUCUGCAAUGUUCUUGGGAGACAAAAAAUACAGUGUCUAGUAGUACAUAAAUAAAAGUAGAAACAAAUGGCUGAGGUUAAGCGAAAGGAUCAAUGGAGGAAGGUGAAACUUCCGGUGCAAUCAGCAGAUACUUCAACCAUGCAUGUAUUGACAUUUCAAAGAACAUUAACCAUGCAACCUAUUCUCUGUCUCUCUUCUCCCGACCUGUUCUUCUGGCUCUGUUACAGACAGGGAAUGUUUAACACCUUCCCCACAACCCUCGCAAUCCGAUACCCUCCGUUGAGGAGCAGCAGUAACGCCCUCAGAAAACAAUCUUCCACGUGCACCGGCUCGACAUCACAACUGCUUACCCAUCUUUACAAACCUUCUAGCAACUCCAAAUAUGACUGCUUUUGUCAAAAGCCCACGGUCUAGAGUGCAGGCAAGGGCAAUCGCCCCACCAACAACUAAGUACUUGGGCAGGUUCCUCCCAGAUGGCUUCUCUGGUGAUGCCAGAGUUUCAACCUCAGACAAACUGCUCGUGCUCUCCAACCACCUCAGGUAGUCCACGCUAACUUUUGAAUUGAUCUGAGCCAAGAACGCACAGCGCGAAAGUGGCACUCCAGAUGCUCUUUGCUUCUGAUAUGCACGUAAAGCGGGGUCAAUUUUUUUGACAGCACCCCACAUGCCUUGUCGCACGCCAAGUUUUGCAAUCUCCCAAGGGAUACCCAUGUCCUCAUGAUGAAAAAGCAACACCUCGCACGCAGUCAGCUGGUCACCUCUCCUGGAUUCAACUGUUACAAAUUCAAGUUUCAAAACGUGAAUUAGUUGUUAUGAAUUCAAAAACAAGCCUCUAAGUUCCAAAGGGGUUAAACAAUCUUCCACAUCUAUGGCAAACUCACUUGCUAAAGAUCUUCAAACAAACAAUUCAAUUUUGGAAUUGUAGAUGGAAAAGAAUUUGUGAUUAAUUUUAGCAGACAAAUGUAAAGCUGUUACACUUCUACAAUAUUACAUUACUGGCAUCCUGCCAAUACCAUCGAAUCAGUUUCUAAAACCAACAAGUCAAACUGACUACCUGCACGGAUGCACCAACUGGAAUAGUAUAAAUCAACACGUCUUGGUUUUUGACGGCGUGGAAUAGUGGAGUUUGGCACACCCUGAAAUGUAGAGAGACAUACUCCAAUUAUUCCAGUGACAGAUAUAAGCAUGAACAUGUCCUAAAAUGAUGUAUAGAAGACACAUAUUAACAUAAAAAAAUCAGUGUAUGAAUGCAACAACCCCAACGAUAUAGGUCCAAGGACACCUUCGGAGAAAGCAGUCACAAGGGUCAAUUUAUGGGACUCGAAUUACUGAUAGGAAAAGUCCAGCACUGCAAAGAGUUCACUUUUACCAUUGAAAUAAGAACAACUUGCAGCACACUAUUGUAGCUUGCCUACUAAGAGUAACACUCUGUAUGCAUGUGUGCAGGCAUCGAUACCACUGGUUUCUAAUAAUACAUGUGUUUUUUCCACCAGAUCACAAGAAUAGAAUACACAGAAACAUGAUAAGUGAAGAACCCAAAGGCCAAAUCAAGAAACAAAAUAGAGAUGAAAGAUACCAACAUUUCUAUCUUCAGUCCCCUUCUUUAGCCUCAAACAGUUCCAUAUAGACAGAACGAAAAUCUCUAUCAGCAAUAUACAAGUAGAAAUACAAAAAUAAUACCCCUAUAUACCAAAUGCUGGCUUUCACAUGGCCGAAGGCAACAACAGAGAUGUAACCUAAAUAGUAUGUCUGGUCUAUAACCACACAACAGUAUUCUAUAUUUAUGUUAAGGGGAAAUGAAAUGUGUCCGAUGCUCUUGGGAAAAAAGGAGAAGAGAUGAGAAGACAAAAGGUUUUUAUGAACAAAAUAUAGUCUCAAUGAAUGAUUUUCAUGUCCUACCAUUUACACCAAAUUGUGGACCGUAACAAAGAUUCAAGCUUUAGUGGCUUUGACCUAUCUUUGGCUUUACCCUAUAAUUCUCAGAUUUCUUUCGUCUGAAUCAAUUCAAGUUGAAAGUCCAAAUCCUUUGUGCUCUUCUCUCUUUCCUCCCAAUCACUUCAUUCAAACCGUGUAACGCACUAAAAACUCAACCUUGAGAGUGUCAUUCAGAGAAAGAAGGAUCUAAAGGUGCACGGUAGUAGGGAACAAGGAACCAUAACAAGAACCAAAGAAUACACAAUCAAAAUACUCAGUGAAGCAAGCCAUCUAAAACCAGAGACAGUCAAGACAUUAACCAUGAAAAUUGGAGAUUGAUCCAUGCCUAUUCAUUAGUCUGCUCUUUGUCACCAGCAGAUUUUAGGAGCAAAAGUCAUACAAUGCUUUUGACCCCCAGAAUAGUUUAAAGCAGCUCCAGAGCUCAAUAUCCCUUUUUUCAACCAGAAUCCUAGUCAUCUGAUAGACAAGUCAAUUCAUUAACCUGUUUUAGUCAAUUUUCUAAACCUCUACCUGUUCCUUGACUAUUGCAUGGAAUAAACUUGAAAGCUCUAUUGGUAAUGCUGCUGUAAAAUUCAAAAUCCCCACUUCUAGUAGAAGACAUUCCGCUAGUCUUAUCUCACAAUUGAUAAGAAUAAGGGGGUAAAAGUGGAGCGCAGAAAAGGAGAAGAGAAAGGCCAAAGGAUUAAUAUCUAGUUUUGUGUUGCUUGAAUACAAUUGAUGUUUCCCAUCCCACAAACAGAUUAAUCAAAUUUCUUCCCUAUACAAUAACAACAGACAUCCAAAUAUUCCUGCACAUACGACAAACUAUCAGGCAGUACCACACACGUAGAUUCAGCCAAACUAGAUGCAUGAGAAGUCAUUUAUUCUUUAAUUUCAAAGAUGAACAUUUCUCCCCCUACCUUUGUCACGCAAUAGUAUGUAUUUCCCGAUCUCCAAAUCCGCCGGCCCAUGAUGUACUCUCUGUCACUACAAAAGAAAGGAAACUGCACAAGAAAAGAAGAAUGGGGUUAUAUAAGUGGCCAAAAUACCGCCGCGACCAAAAAACACGAAGGAAGAAGACUAUAAAUAGUUAAAUACACCUCCUUACCUUACGAACCCACUGGACCACCAUGGUUCCAGUGGUAGGACAAUCUUCCAAAGUUUCAGCGUGUGAGAGCAUGUCAUCCCAUUUGAGCCUAAACUCAUCGUCCCAAAAAAAAUCCCUCACCAGUUCGGGAGUAGCAUUCUCAUACACAGUUCUAGUGCGGUACUGCGGUGGUCCAGUCUAGAAAAGACAGAUGCAGUCAAUUGGAUACAUUCAGGAAAGUACAAUCACAAGUCAACUUCCAGAAACAGGAUUGAAUUCUCAAAGCUGAAAACUUUAAAGAAAUAACUACCUCAGGAUCCCUCCGCCAAGCUUCGUAGCUCAUAUUAUCAUUAGACCGAUUCAUCAUCUGAACCCAAGAAGGGCCACCGUCUUUCUCCUUAGUGAGCAGGCAAAUGUGCUUAAGGUCAUCCUCAUUCACAAGACUGGACUUUUCUACAUUUGAUGAACUGAACAAAUGGAAUUGCGACUAUUGUAAUUGGAGACUUUAUGCAAAAUAAAGACUAGAUGAUCACACUUAAUUUGUUUGCUCGCGUUUGACAAGCAGGGCCACAGCAACGUAGAACAAUUUAGAAAUUCAAAGAAAUACACUUGUAUAACAGCAACAAGAUAUUUCGACCAACCAACCAACCUAGGAGGUGAGCUUGAAGAAGAAGGCAAAGCGGGGGGAUUGUGUUUGUCAAACCCAUCAUCAGCAGAGACGCCAGGAAUGCAGCUGUGCAGUUGAAGUAUUUUGAACGAAUUGAAGCUCGGAACGAAACCUGACAAGUGUUGCACGACCAUCCCACGUAUAGAAGAAAAGGAAGUAGAGGAGCUGGAGGACACACUCGCAGAAACAGAAAAGUCGCCGUUGAAAUUAGCCCACGUGGGCUUCCAUGUCCAGCCCACUAAAACCCCAACCAAAACCGCAAUCCAAAGAGGAGCCGCAAACAUCAUCAGCUGCGUUAUGACAUCCAAGAUGGAGAAGGAGGGCCCUUGAAAUAUCUCCAAUAAAGCCGAUACCAAAACCAUUCUAUAAUGGAUUUAAUGAUACUAUAAACAACUCACUCUCUCUCUUGAAUCAGGAACUGAGGAAUUCUUCUAUAAACGUCUAAAUUAAAAGCUUGAAAAAAAAAGGAAAAAAAAAACCCCCUCGAUUCAAUCGCAGAAGGUGCAGCCUUGAAGCACAGCGAUGAGUCGAGGGUUUGUCAAAAAGAGAGAGACCAAAAAAAAAUGAAGAAGAUAAAAGGUACACAGAGAAUGAAAAAUUUACAGACAGAACAGGGGAAGCAAAAAAGGAUGUAGAAAGAGGAGGAGUGAGCUGGGGGAGAGAGCGCGAAGAAAUGAAUGAAGAGAUAUAUGGGAUUUUGAGCAAACAGUAGUAAUAAUCGGGGAUAAAAGGAAAAGACGAAGAAAGGGGGGGAAAAUGAAUACUACCGCAAAAGGAGACAAGGAGCUGGGGGUCGUUCUAUCAUCUAUGGGGGUGUGGCGUCGAAGAAGGUCUAGGGAGGAUAAGGAUGUCAGGGAUUAGACUUUAGAGGUAGGGAGACGCGUAGUCGGGAUUCCCCAUGCCCCACCCGCGGAUUUUUGUUCCUACUUCACAUGUAUUGUGUUGGUGUUCUUUUCUUUCGCUAUUGGUAGAUAAGUAGUAGUAAUAAUAAAAUUAAAAAAAAAAAUACUACUAACUUAACUGCAAGAGUAAAAACUACACUGUGAGCUUGUUGUUUUGCUGAAGCAGCGAAAUAGUUUUGUUUUUGUGUUUGGAUUUGAAAGGGUUGGGGCUGUGGAGGAGGAAAUAUUCCAGGACGCAGGUUAAGGAUAACAAAUAAAUUAAUAAAAUAUAAAGUGUAUAUGUUUGUGGGGGUGGUGCCUGGUGGGAUUAUUAUUAUUAUUAUUAUUAUUAUGGGGAAGCAGUUUGUAAGGAGUGUGGUAGCAGCAGUAGUAUUUGCGGAAUUUUAUUAAAGAUGUGUUGGUGUUGGGGAGGGGAUUGUGUUCUUAGUAGCAGCUUUGUAAAAAAGAGAAAUUGACACAAAUAUAUAGAUAUAUAGAGCAGCUUUGUUGGUGUUUUGAGUGGACGGCGAGGGAAUUGGAGCCGCGGAGUACAUACACUACUGUAGUGUUUGAUGAUGAUUGUUGGAUGGGCGGCAGGUGCUGCGCCCUCAUGUUUCACGUUCAAUUUCUGGAUUUUGAUUAGGCCUUUUUCGGAGUAACGUCACUGGGACCAAACACGCAUACAAAUUCUUUGGUAUUUGGUAAAUGGUACUACUACUAAUUGGUUUGGUUGGGUUUGGGUGGGAGUUCGCUUUCACUUUGGGACCUCUUUGCUUUGCUUGGCUGCUGCCCUGAAUGAUUCAUUCGUCAAGGCCGGUGGUGACAACUGAAAGAAAAAAAAAAUGUAAUUGUGUUUGGAUUGCAUUUUCCAUCAUUUUUCAUGAAAAAAAUAUUGCAGCGAUUUGAUAUAUGUGAGGGAAAAAGGUAAUAGAAAAAUAUGAUCACGAAAAAUGACAAUAUUUUUCGACGAAAACAAGCAAUCCAAGCAUGACCUAAGUAAAAGCCAACAACGUGAUGAAUAUACAUAUAAAUAUAGAUACUAUGAUGUGUUUCACAUCCUUGUGAUGUGACGAGACGGUAGGAGCAGGACGCAUUUCAAGAUAAAAUCAGAUUUUAACAAUUCAAUGCCACUCCUCCGUCGUCAUCGUAUAAUAUCAAGUGUCCAGUUAAUUUAAUUUAAAAUAAAAUAUUACGUGAUAAUUUAAAAAUUAAUUGAACAAUUGAUAAAAUUAUAGGAGUGACACCGAAUUGUCACUAACAUAGUGGUAACAAGGAUUUCAAUUGAUUUCAAGAUAAAGAGAGUUAAAGUUUUCCAAUGCUCUUUAUUAAUGAUGUAUAAACACGAAUAUAAUAGAAUUACUUUCUUACUUUUUAUUUUGACCAUCACGUGAUUGAGGGCAAAAGUAGAACAAAAGAAAAAAUUUCUUGAUAGAAAGUACUAUGCGUAAAAACGCAUCAAAUUUAAAUAAAAUGAACAGAAACGUUCCGAAGCACGUUCAAUUAAUAAAAUAACUGGGUCAGCCCUGGAAUGCUGUGGUCGUCUCGUCGUGGACCACGUGUGCAAUUGCCGUAUGGAGUAAUUCAAUACAGACGUCCGGUCUGGCGCGUACUACUUGAAGAUUAGAAGCUUACCACUACGAGUUAGUUGUAUUAGUUAGAACCGAGUAUUUGGAAUUCUUCACAUCCAAAAGUUUUCCCCUUCAACGCGCCACACUUUCUGUUCUGUCAGUCCUUCUUCUCUUCUUUGAAUUAUUUUCUAUUAUAUAUAUAUAUAUAUAUAUAUAUAUAUAUAUAGCAGGAGGCAGCUUUGAAUACAAACUCCUGUUAUGCUUUUUGUUUCUAAGGCAAAGCAAUCAACCAACCCCAAAGACAGUAGAAAUUUUUGUUUAAAAAAAAAAAAGAGAAGAAAAACUCGCUUAGGUGGGUAAAUUGAAUUACUGCUCAGCCUUUUUAUCUUUCUUUUUCAUCUUGUACUUUUCCUCUAUGUGUUUAAUCAAACAAAGCGACCUUGCUCUAAAAAGUCAAAACAUGAACCCUCCUCUCUUCCAUGACUUCCAUCCCCCAACUUUUUUCGUCUCUGAGUUAGAAUUACCAGCUGUUUGUUUCCCACUCCUGUGGCUGUGACCUUUGGGGAUGGCAAGGAUAGCGGCGCAAAUUUCCACUAAAAACGUUUUCCUCAUUUUUAUACCCCGUCUGAAUAACAUGUAUCGCAAAUGACUUAGCGCGCGCGCGCAUCAUUGAUCAAUUCCGUUCCAUUGCACCCAACCGACCCAAGACUUUCCCAGCCGUCCAAGAACGGUAUCAUAUUUCUCCCUUGUUGGUUUUAUGUAGUGUGAAAAAUAAAUUGAAUGCACAAUUAAUUAUGGCAUCUAUACUAAAUAUAUGUGAUAAAAUUUUAAUAUCACGUAACUCUCUCAUGAUUUAUAUAAAUAUCUACUGUACUGUCUUGUGAUUUUUCUUCUUUUUUUUUUUAUAUUUCUCCAUAUAAUCUCUCUACGCUUUUUUUAUAUAAAAUAAUUAAACCGUCGAUUAAUUCAGAUGCAUUUGAGUAUGGAUACUAUUAGUAUUUAAACUAAUAACGUUGCAUGGCUGUUUCCAUCAAAUUUUCACUUUACAUAAUGCAAGUAUUAAAGCCCAAACAAAUGUAGUAGUACAUGGCAACUCCUCUUCACUUUCCCAAAGUUCCAACCCCUUUCUUCUCUCCCGAAGCUAUUCUAUCACCAAGAAUUUUGGAGAAUCUAUAUAGACGAGUCACCGCCCAACCCUUGCCCUGCACCGGAACUACUUACGACACAAAAAAUCUUCUCACGAUCAAUGAUAUUGAAAAAAAAAAAAAAAAAAAAAAAGGGCCGCCCCAUUCAACUUCAUAAUGCGAAUACCAAUCACCAAGCAUGCAACCGUUUACAUUUCUCAAUGCUUUUUGAACUUUUUUAUUAAUUAAUUUUUUUCACUAUAUCAAAAUUCUCAUAAGAUGUCUGUACGACUACACGCCAGGACGAAAAUUCUGGACGAAAGUCCAUGCCAACGACCUAGCAAAAUUCCAGUUGCCUACUUCUCCAUGUCACUGCAGCCAUCCGCAACAACUUCAUUAUAUCCCAAAUUCAAGAAGCCUGGUUUUUUUUUUUUUUUCCUGACCAUAAUUGAUAAUUCUUUGCAUGACUACGUGCAUAAUGCAUAACAACUAGUAUUACAACCAAUUAAUUUACCUUGCUGACGCAAGCGUCUGUUCAAAAGCUUGCAUGCCAAAUGGCUCCAUCACCCUCUCCGUCCACAGCGUCGGUGAAUCUCUUGUAUCCUUAUCGCUGAUUUGCUUAUACCACUGCAGGCUACGUUUCCAGUCAAAUGAUGCAGCGCUAGCAUUACCUGCUUUGGCCCUUCCAAACAAAUGCAAAGCACUAUUCAUCAACUUACUCCUCUGUUUUAUGGAGAACUUCAAAUUGGGCCUCUAGAUAAUCUAAUCUAGCCAGUGACAUAUAGAAAAACCAACCAAUUUUAGAGAUACGGACCACUUAUGCCAUUAACAAAUAAUUGCAAAGAGUAUUGGCAGCUUUCUUCGCCCACGAGAUAGGCAUCCAUUGCAUCAUGUCGUGCAAUCGACAAUAACGAUACAAGAGAAACUAGGAGGAGACUGAAAACAGAUGUAAUAUAGCGUAAUUAUCAGAAGGUAUCCCACGGUAGAGACUUCGAUCAUCAAUAUGCUGGAUAUUAAUUAGGACCUAUGAAUCGAGAUCUAUGAGAGACAUCUGCAUUGCAAAAUACUUAAUUGUUUUAGUUAAAUUCUUGUAACUAUAUAUAUGCUUGAAUAUUGGAAGGGUGGAUGGUGAGGCUGUUAGCCAGCAAUGUCCCUGUUUGGAUUGUAUUUUUCUGAAUUUUUUGUAGAAAAAUUAUUAUAGCGAUUUGAUAUAUGUAAGGUAUAAAGGUAAUAAAAAAAUGCAUUUACAGAAAAACGUAACAAUUUGUUUGAGAAAAAUCGCAAUUCAAACGGGGCCUCAGUUUGUCUUUGCUUGCCAAAAAACAAAGACAAAAUAUAUGAGUCAAGAAAAAACAGACGCCUGGCUCUCCAGCAUUAGUUAUUAAUUAAUCUUCACGUCAAAAAUGACGUGAUAGAUAGUUAGUAACUACGCAAUAUACCUUCUCCUCUGUUGCCGUUCGUCUCCAGUCCGCCUUUCUCAAUCCAAACCGGGUUUAUAACUUUGGAAAAAAGAUGGGUAAAGUACCAUAAACGAUCGAUGCUGUCACUCGUGCCUUGGCUUUAGCAAACUGACAUGACACUUUCGAGGGUCGAUUCGUUUGAAAGCAUCAUCGUUUGCCAUGACUCUUCAACACACUUUUUUUUUUUUUUUUGGGUAUUUUGCAUGAUUAUGGUUGUAGCUGUGGAGUAUGGAUAGACUAUAAAAGGGAAAAGAAAACGGCAAAUCGUUGGCUUUGCUUGAAUUUGAUUUUUUUUCUGCAAACAAUUUUUGUUUAUGAAGUCUAUAGUAAUAAAUUUAAAAAAUAUCAUAAAAAAUAUACACAAUCUCAAAUAUAGUAGUAAAAAUAAAAAAUAAAUUCUAUCACUUUUUUCUUCUUCUUCCCACCACCGUCACCAUUCAUCCCCUCUCUUCUCUCCUCCCUCUUCCUGUCUCUCCCUCCUACCCUUCCCUCUAGCUCCUCCUCUCUGUAACUCCUUCUCCCUCCUCCGCUCCCCUCACCCAUCACCCUGCUUCCUUCCCUUUCACGCCAACGCUCCUGCUAGACUCGUCUUCCCUUUCCUACUUUUGGCUAUAACCAAAAGGUCACGAUAAAAAAGAAGUGGAGGUGGGAGAAGGGGAAGGAUGAUGGUUGGUGGUGUGCUGUGAUAUAUAUAUAUAUAUAUAUAUUUUUUUUUUUAUCCUUAAAAACUAUCUCAAUAAAAUUUUAAAUUUUAAAAACACCUCAACAAAUAAUUGCAAUGAAAAUUUUUCAUAUACACAUGGAGUCAUAAAUUAGUCAGACCAAAUUAUAAAACCCCACAGGCCACCCAAGUCCAUUUGUCGCUCCUUAAAAAAAGGCCCAAUGUUUGUGACAACUCACUAUUGAAAGCGAAGGUGCAGCACUAGCAACUUAACUGCAGAACAUGUCUUCAUUGAAUUGGAUAGAAUUUAUCGGUUAGUUUAUACACGAAAGUUGAAACUAAAUGAACUAAAUUUGUCAUUUGGUUAAUCGUUCUCAUUUUUAUCGUGAUUUUGACCUAUUUUUUUCACUAAUGACAUAUCUCGUAACAAUUUGAGGAAGAAAGCAUUGAUAUGCCGAUUUGAAUUUUUCAUUAGUAUGUUGAUGAGCUCACUGAACAAAAAUAUUGACGUAAUCUGAUAAAGUUUGAAAUGUCUAAUCAUGCCAAUAUAUGGCAUGCGAUCCUAAGUCUUAGAAGUUAUAGUUUCUAAUUCACAUUUAAAGAUGCUAGCGAAUAGGAGGGUAAAAUUUGAUUCCCAGAAGUACUUGACCCCAUGAUUAAUAUGAUUAGACUGUUGAUGAGAAGUAUUUGACCCAACGAUUAAUACAAUUAGACAAUCGAUGUAUAAUUCAUUAAAAUUAAAUUUCGAUCCCUAAAUAUACGCGACUUGAUGGUUAAUACAAUUAGAAGAUUAAUGAAUAAUCCAUUAGGACUUAGUAGUGGUGAAUGGCUAUCUACGGAUAAAUCGAUAGCAUUUGCUGAUAGAAUUCUAAAAUUCAAUACCUAUUACAUACAUACAUAUAUACGUACACACACACAUACAUACAUAUAUAUUCUAUAGAGCUUGCUUAUUCUCUGUAGUUUUUAUUCAGUUGGCACAUAUAUUUAUUUUGUAUCCUGUUAUUUAUCAUGUUUUAUGUAUAAUUCCUUACUGGAAAAUGUGAAAAAAGUUGUUUGACUCUUUUUUUUUUUUGGAAGAAUGUUAAUUUUAUACUUCACAAAAUAUUGAAUUUCUCUCGUGCAAGUUUUAUGGUUCUACCCAAAUUUAAAAUUUAAUGUGUUGUGUUGAGUUAACAUGAUGUAUGUAUUAAUUUUAGUUUGAUAAAAGUAAAUUAUCUUUUCAUGAACUAUUUACAUAGCGGGUAAAGGAUACCUAAUGGGUAAUUCAAAUCCGAAAUAAGAGGAUUUAGUAACAAGAAUUAAAAAUGUUACCUGAUAGCUAAUAGUAUGGGAAAAAAAAUUUAAGUAUAGGGGGGUCAAUAAUUGGUAGGAGGGAUUUUUCAGCGUACGCGAUCUACUGCCAUCUCGAUCCCCUUUCUCGUUCCUUGUUUUUUCAAAUCUCAACUCUCCCACUGAAAAAAUAAAAUAAAAAAUAGAUGGUAGGGAAAGGUAAUACAGACGAACGCAACCGGUACGCAACAAGUAAACUACUCCAGAUUAGUUGUUUUACUUCCUAUGGAAUUAGGGCAUUCCCUUGAGUGUAAUCGUCAUCGGCUAUGAUCAACAAAAAUCUCUUUUUUUUUUUUUUUGGGCUCUGACAAAAAAUUCUUAUUUGUCUUCCACUAGUCACAUUAAACUGAAAAGCCAUAAUAGAUGCACCAAGUAAGUAUACAUAUGCAUUAUUUUUUAAAACCUUUUUCUGAGAAUUUUUACAGAUCGUAUCAGUAAUAGAAAUUUGAACACCAAAUUUUUGUUAAAAAAAAUAACUCGUUUAUACUAAUUGAACCGGCCAAAAUUAUAGGAACUAAAGUUUAACUACCCCAUAAAAUAGUUCCCGCGGCCCGGAGGGUGAAGGGAAGAAAUCUUUUCGCCGGAGCUUAGCUGUCAAGAGCAUUUUGAAAUGGGUGGUGCAGGCAGUAACGGAGCACGUAUUUGCAUAGAAAAAGGAAAAGGGGCAUCACUAACAAUUAAUUACAGAUCUCAAACCACCUCAUCAUCCCAUCUGCGGACGAUGCCUAAGAAAUAGAGAGAUUUAAAAUUGCCAAGAAGAAUAUAAAGGAAAUAAAGACAAGUCAACUGGUGAUUAAGGGAGCAUUGUCCUGGAGCGGGGAUGGAGGUGGAUCUCCGGCGGGGGCGGGGGCGGCAAGUGCGCAUCUGGUGAGAUUGGUCUUGGGCGGCAGCAAUAGAGAUCUACAGAGCGGGCAAGUAACCUGACCGGAAUCGACCCAUGUAUCCAGGCAAUCUCUGUGGAAGACAUGGGUGCACCUGGAAAGCUGCCUCACCUGGUGCUUCAAAUCUACGGGGUCUAGGCAGAUGGUGCACAUCUUCUGCGGAACAAAAUCUUCUGAGGUUGACGAUUCCGCUUCUUCCUCUGCUUCUGGCUCUCGCACUUCUUGUAAAAGCAGAAAAUCUUGAAAUUGGAGUACAGGGACUUUAGUCUUGAUGGCAGCGGCGACGACAUGAACGGGAAUGGGGACGAGGGAUGGGCAGGUGCCCUCAUCGAAAAUGAAGAUGUAAUUGUUGGAAUCGUCGGCGGAAUGGUGUUGGUGGUCAGGGGGUGGUUUGUAGAUUCCCAGAUGGGCGAGUGCUCCCAUGGCCAGCAACUUGAGAUGGCUCCAAAGGUUUAGAAUGAAUGCUCCAGUCAGGGCUGUCGGUAAUCUGAUGACGUGGAAGAGGAAACCCAUGGCUAACGAGUAACGACAGGGGGGGGGGGGGAAGGGAAUUAUACCACUCGUAAUCCAGUGGAGUUACGUUUGAGGUGGGAAGCUGGAAAAAAUGGGGUUUCCUUUUAUCAUUUCUGGGUUAGGGCCUUGGGGGCGAACUGAGAAGAGCGUCGAGAGCAAAACAAUUGCCACCGUGAGUGUGUGUGAGUUAUUAUUAUUCCAAGCUCCACUAAAUGCAGCAAGCAAGUAAUAGCAGUAGCGAUAAGGAGAUGGGCGGGGAAGACAAUUAAUUAGUUAUUUGUGUGUGUGUGUGUGUGUGUGUUAGUACAAUUUUUUCACCUUUAUUUGUUCAUCAUUUUAUUUUUAUUUUUUUUAAUAAUGUCACGGGUAUUUCCACUAGUAUAUAUUCCAUCCCUUUUUUUAUAACUGAAGUUUUAGGUUUUGCACACCAAUUAAGAAAAGUUUUUCAUUGCUUAAAUUUGUACACUACUUUCCUUUUGUACCCUCAUUAAUUGUCCAAUUCACCCAUAUUUUCUCUCACUAGAGUACUAAAUGGUGCUGUUUUACUAGGCUAAAAGCAAUGCAAUAAUUACUAGGAGUAGUAAUUAAGAACCCUGUAUUGGAAAAGAGAGAUAAAAGGGUAAAAUUGUGAAAAAAUAAUUAAUACUGUAUGGAAAUAAUAAAACGACAGAUAAAAGUACAUUAGAGCAAAUUUCUUAGAUGGCAGUUAUAAAAAAAGGGGGAGUAUAUAUGUAGAUUAUUUGGUUGAAGUGAGUGCUGUGGGCCAUCUAUCCCGGUGUACUGAGGUCGUUUUGCCUAAUGGAAAUGAACUCAUUUUGUAGAUUCAUCUUCGUCCCUUUCCAAAACAAACAAAUUGAUUCACGUCACUAAUUAAUAAUAAUGGUUUUUUCGCCAAAUUAGGGAGUGAUUAAUACUACUAGCAAUAUAUAUUUCAAUAAGACAAACAGUCCGUCCAAAUUUUAUCACACCAACCAUCUUUUAAGAAUUAACUGUGUGAUGUGAUAAAAUUUAUACCACAUAAUUACCUUAUAUGAUCAGAUCUACCCAUGCGUUGAGCUUGCUUGCCAUAUCGAGAGCCGCAAGCUGAAAGGGACACCCAAUCCAAGAAUCCUGGGGGAUUCCUCUCCCGUCUUCUAGAACUAGAGUCCCACCACCCAUCAUCUAUGAUCUAUUCUAUAGCUUACGAGUUACGGCGUCCCACGCUUCCCACUUGAUACAAUCAAAAAAAACAAGGCAAGCCUGAGCCCCACCUCCACGCCCUUUGAAUGGAGUAUUUUUUUUGUAAUUCCCAUGUUUGUAGUGGUAUGAAACACUUCCAUGCCUCUGCACAUUUUCGUUUGUCUUUUACGGCUGCUGAACUCAUCAGUCAUCACUUCACCGCACCCCCGGCGGGAGGCCGGACUUGCAAACCUCUUGUCAUUCGCGCUACGCUACCUUAUCCUUUCUCUCAUCCCAAUGAAAGGACCUUUUCAAUAUAUUUCAGCACACAAUCCUUCCCAAUUACUCCUACUACUAUAUACUAUCUGUUUCAAAAGACAGAUUGUUGCGAGCACUCUAAUAAAAUGCCUCGAGGGAGGGAAUCCUUUGUCGCGCGGGGAUAUGGAAUCAAAUUCGUUGACGGAUGGAAGUCCUUAGCCGCCGUCUUGGUGGUCGUCUCAACCAAACUCUUUUUUCUUUUUUUUUUGAGCUUUAGUCUCAACCAAAGUCAAGGCGAUUUUUUAUGACUACCCUUUGCACUUCGCAUACAUACGGAUACGGUAUGACAUACCCCCUCAUUGUCUCCAACUUACUGGUCUUGGGGCCUAAGAGCAAAAUUCAGAGCAAAAGGAGAAACAAAAGGACCCUGCGCUUGUUUCUCAAGCUCCAUUAAAAUCAUGGAACAGUAGAGGUUUCCAUUUCAGAUAUUUAAUCUUUGAGAUGCACUCAAAUUUAAUUAGUAAAACAUUAACAAUAGAAUUGAAAAGAAACUCAAGUCGUAUGACCUUUCUUUUAUUUUAGGAAAAUUUUGUGGAUUUGGUAUAAAUUACUCCAUAUGAAUUAUUUACUCAUGUAGACAUUUAUAUUAUUCAAAUUGGAUUCAAAAUAGAUUGGAACUCAUGGAUCCAUAUCUGGCCUAUUUUUAAGAUACCUUAAUGGAUCUUUAGGUAAACAUGUUUAUGUAGCUCCAAACUUGGAAAGGAAAAUGCUACUGUACGCAACAUAUUUGUGUUUAUCUUUUAAGCAUCUCUUGAUUUUCAAAUUUUUUUUUUUAAGGUGAAGUCAUACGCAAAAUCCAAUUUGCUAACAAUCCUAAAUAUGGAAAUCGUUUAAUGGCAAUGAUAAGGAUUUAUUCCCUAUCGUUCUCAACCUAUGAUUUGUGUUUCAAAGUGAUUAUUUCAUCGGUUUAAUGGAACACAUUUUAAUUCCAAACCAAACACGUAAAAGGGAAUGAUGAAUACAUAUAUUCAUGGCGAAGUUGCUUAUGGCUGAUACCCAAACAAUGACCAAACACCUCCUAAGAUCUUACUAGUUAGGGUAAAAUAUAAAAUACUCCCUCCUAAUUACCUUCAUAUUCUUUAAAUAUUCCUAAAGGACCUUCUUUUUUUCUUUUCCCCUUCUUCUUUUUAUUUUCGUUUUUACCCUUAUAAAUCACUUUUUACCCUUAUAUUUUUCAUCAAUUUAAAUGAAUUUCAUCUGCAUCCAUUUUACUCUCCAUCAAUUUAAAUGAAUUACGUUUGCAUCCCACAUUAAUCCAAAGCACAAGGAGAUUGUUUUGGAUAUUUUUAAACAAAACUCACACUUAAAUAAACCUGAUUUGCAAAGAUUUAAUAAUUUAAAUUGUGUCACAUCAUUUUUUCGAAUGGUAUGACACAAUCCGGAUAAUUGGAUCUUUAGGCUUAGUUUGGGAGUUUAGGAUAGAAAAGAAUGGAAAGCUUGUUAUGAGAGAAGAGAAGAGAAGAGAAGAGAUUAUUAUGUUGUUUGGGAGUUUGAGAAUUAGUGGAAUGAUUUUGGAUAUGGAAGUCAUUAAAUAGUUGUUCAAUGCAUUUUUAAGGACAAAAUUCGCAUUUUAGAAAAAUUAACAAGCUUUCUCCAAACUUUCUCUCCAUUUCCUUCCAAUUUGGGAGGAAACAUUUUGGUCACUAUUCAUCCUCCCAUUUCCUUUCUUUUCUUUCCUAUUUAAAACUACCAAACAAAAGAGAAUCAAGCUUUCUCUUCUUUCCCUUUCUCUUCCGUUCAAAUCCUCAACUCCCAAAGCGCCCUUAAAUCGGGUCUACCCAAAGUUUGCUUUUGACCAACAGUAUCAUGACCUUAGUCAAACCACCAAGGGCUGUAAACGACGUCGGCCGAUGGCGGAGCAUCAGCCUAUGUAACGAAUGUUAUCCACAACUCUCUGUCUCCGUCUCUCUCUCAGUUGCAGUUCGAGGGAGUUUGCCCAAUCAAAUCAGCCAUCAUAGCUUUCUCCUUCCAGGCAUCCCUCUUCCUCUCCUGUUGCCGUUGAAGUUGUAACGAGAUCUUUUCCUGUCUCCUGCUUGCUUCUACUUCUGUUUGGAAAUAAUACGACCAGGAAAUCCGAGAAAAUGGCCUCUUCUGCUAUUGUGUCACGCGCUAGUACAACUUAUUCUAGUCCUCUGAGUAGUCUUGCUUCACAGAAUAAGCCAAGAAACCUCUCAUCGUUCCCAUCUUCUCUCAGUUUGUCCUCAAACCAUAACAUCUCUAAUUUCCCUCUCCAAUUUCAUGCCAAGGGACAACCCUUUACCAAGCGAUCUUCUUCAACUGCUACUAGGCCUCUCAGAGUAAUUUCCAUGGCUCCGCCUAAGCCAGGCGGUAAACCCAAGAAAGGUAUUCCCUUUUGAUUCUAUUACUCCACUAUUUGCUUAAUUUUCCUCUCUUUUCAUUUUACUUCUCCAAAUUUCUCAACUUUUUUGGGUUUGUUUUUUGUUUUUAUAAUGGCUACAAUCACAUUGGGGUGCUUGCUGCAGUGACUGGGGUUAUUAAGCUGGCUCUGGAGGCAGGGAAGGCCACCCCAUCUCCUCCAGUGGGGCCUGCUCUUGGUUCUAAGGGUGUCAACAUCAUGGCCUUCUGCAAGGAUUACAAUGCCAGGACUGCCGAUAAAGCUGGUUUUGUUAUCCCAGUUGAGAUAACCGUCUAUGAUGUCAGUCCCCUCCUUCUAUCUAAAUCCAACUGCUUUCUGUUUCAUUUUCGAAGUAGUACCAUAAGGUCCUCUUUGCUUAAUUUUAUGAUCCUUUGCAGGAUAAAAGCUUCACUUUCAUCUUGAAGACUCCUCCUGCUUCAGUUUUGCUAUUGAAGGCUGCUGGUAUUUCACUUUUUCCUGCUUUCAUGUCCACUCGCACAUUCGCUAGGAUAAUUACCGUCCCUGGGUCCCUUUUUUUCUUAAUGAAUAAUUUUUUCUUUUCCUUGAAUGUAUAUUGCUACUAUUUUUGUGAAGAGACCACACACUUCUGAAAGACAAAUUGCUGCGCCUCUGGCAUUUUCCUGUCUCGCUGGCUGAAAUUUGGCUUCAAGCUUUGCAUAAGGAACCUUACAGAUUUAGCUAUUAUUGGCUUCUAUUUUAUGUAUUUUAGCUGUUACUGGCUUCUAAUUUGUGUAAUUAUCUCCUUUUGAGAUGAUAAACGCAUUACAAUGCUUUCCUUUUUGGGAGACAGAUUCAACUUUACUCAUCUCUACUUUAGAGCUUAGGAACUAACCAAUGAUGACUUUUAUUCCUUCUUAGCUGUCUGCAUGGUUUACUGGAAGCAUUUGUGGUAAGGGAUAAUUUAGUCUUGAAUGAGAACUCAUGUUCUCAGCAAGGAUCUUUAGCCUUUCUUGUUUUCUCCCCUUCUGAAGAUGUUUUAUAUGCGAGUCUCAGCCUAAGGAAUUAAGGGCAUGGGAAACAGAAAAAGGCAAAAGGAGGAUAUAUUUAAGCUGAGGAAAAGAAACAUAAGAAUGAUAUGUUGUAAAAUUAUCUGGCAUUUUAGGAUACGAAUGUCAAUGGAUGGACCAUAUCUGCCUCAUUAUUCUGAACUUUCCUGACUGCUACUAGUAGGCUGUUCUAAGGUGGAGAAAGUAUAGAUUAUGAUUAUUCCCAUCAAUUUUACUAUGCCUUUGGUAACUUUCAGUUCUCUCUCUGAGAGAAUAAUCCUUAAAAUGUGCUUGUAUUGUGGUUCACUUCCUGAGCUCAAUAAGAGUUAGUAGAUUGAGAAACUGUCAAGACAAGUAUGAUGUUGAUUUAGUUCAAUUUUCUAGGUUGCUGAGUGUAAUAAAUGGAGCUGACAGGCUUUGUAAGGAUGAUUUCUGUGCGCUUACAAAAAAGGCUUGUAGAUGUUUGUCAGCUGAGCCUUAUUGAAUGAUCACAUGACCAUCCUCAUGCAGUGAAAUAAAUGGUAUUGAACCUAAAAAUAAAAUAAAAUAAAAUGGAAGCAGUCUGAAAUAGGUUUGUCGUACAUGACAAAAAAAUACCAAGAGUUUUUGUCUGUGCGUUAUUUGUUAGUCUCAAGCUUACAUCGGCAUUGUUCCUACAGCUAAAGAAUCAUAAACGGCACAAGGGUAUGACAGAAUCAUGCAUCAUAUAAAAAGAGUACUCUUUAAGUUUUCAUGCAUUAUUGACAGAAUCAUGCAUCAUUGACAGAUUUUACAAGGGUAUAAUGGAUUGGAUGAACGUAAAUUGGGAUGUACAAUAACGGCAGUGACUCAUUAAAAUCUUUCAAUUUAAUAUCUAUAUACUUGGUGAAACUUUCUAGAUGAGUUUGAGACGUUCAUUAAAUUGUUUUCUCCAUUCCUUCUUGGCUUGGGUGCUGUUUCUCAGAUUGGAUGUUAUGCUGUGCGUCUGACAACAAGAAAAAGAAGGAAAAGGGGGGGGGGGAAGCUGGUAAAUGGUGAUUUUUUAACUGGAUCUGACACUUUUAGUUAACGCUGUGACUAUAUGUUUUGGUUGUAUAGUAUGCUUUUGACCUUUUCAAUCUGUUUUCUGACAUACAAGAGGUAUGAGCUACCAAAGUUUGAUUAUUAUUAUUAUUGUAAACUGAUUAUGUAGGAGCGGAUAAAGGUUCCAAAGACCCAAAGCGAGAGAAAGUGGGGAAGGUUACUAUUGAUCAAUUGAGGAGCAUUGCUCAAGAGAAAUUGCCAGACCUGAAUUGUUCAACUAUUGAAUCAGCAAUGAGAAUUAUAGCAGGCACUGCUGCUAAUAUGGGAAUUGAUGUUGACCCUCCAGUUCUUGAGCCAAAAAAGAAAGAAUUAGUGUAGUGUUGGUUACUUGGUGCAUUUCCUUAUAGUUUCCUUUGUUUCAUAUUUGUGCCAGGUCGGUAUACUGUUUGCUUUGUCGAUCAUUUCAAAAUUUCAACCUGUUAGACCUCUAUAUUAAGUUUGAACAUUUUUAGAGGCGUUUGGAAGAAAGACAAAUUACUUUAUGGGGAAUUGUCUUUGUCUGCAGUUUUGGCCCUUGGACUCUGUAUUUGGAGUUACAGGAGAUGUUUAUUGGAUGGUUAUCAAGUAGACUGAAUGCUGGAAGAUGGAAAAAGCCUCCAAUUUGCAGUGCUGCAGCAAAGUUAUAGCCAUGCAGGACGACUGAAGCAUAUUUAGAUCCAUUUGAUCUUAUCAAGCACGAAACCUUUCCCAUCUCCCCUUCUUGGUAGGUGAUCCUGUACCACCACUUUCUGGUGCACCUGAACUUUUUGAGGAUGUUUUUGCGAGUGUUAGCUAAUUGUAGUAACUCUAUAUCUUGCAGCGUCUCAGAACUUAAGGACAUGUUAGAAGUGAGGGAAAAUCCUGAUUUCCUAUGAAAAUGUUCAUUUGAUUUGUUAAAUCUUUUAGACAAAUAGCAUCUGUACUCUUCUUUUGAAUGGCAAACAUUUAUGUGUGCAAUUUAUCUGGAUCGCAUCGCGCAUGGUUGCUAGCUUCAUUAGAAGUUCCCCAGAGGCAGACAUGUAAAUGGAGCCAGUUGAAGAUUGUUUGAGAAGACAUGUUUGUUUGGACAAAGAUAAUUUGGUUUGCAAAAUUUGUUUUCACAAAUUCCAAUCACUUUUUUAUCUUCCCAAUCACCUUUUUAUCUCACAUACAUCACAUCACAAAAAGUGCUACAGUAAAUAUCUCAAAUAAAUCAUCCAAAUAAACUUUUAUCCAAACAAAAUAAUGAUAUCGGAACCAAUUGGUUCUGCAACAGUCUUGGGUUGGGGAUGGAUCCAAGCUGCAAUGUACCGUAGUCCAGAGUCCAGACCCAUUCACUAUCGGAACCAAUUUUCUUUUCUUUUUUUUCCCCGUCUCAAAAACGAAAGAGGAGGAAUAGGUCCUAUUGAGAAAAUAUUUCUAAAGACGUGUCUUGCAUUUUGAGUAUACAAAUAAUGAUAAUAAUAAUCCCAGCCCUCCCUCUUACGUGAGAGGCAUGCGAGGAGGGAGGAGUCGAGAAUCUUGCAAUGGGAAUUAACGGAAGGAAAAGUGGCGGAGGGCCAACAACAAUAACAACUAUGGGCGUUUGACCUGGUCUUGGUAUGGUUGUGAGCUACUUGUGCUCGGGUUCAACCACGUGGUUCUUGUUUCUGCUUCUGUAUUUUGUACUGGGGAUAUGAUCCCUCCCGUCCCCUCCAUAUAUAUAUAUAUAUAUAUACUGCUCUAAUUUUUGCACCCCAGUCCUCGAAUCACUGUCCCCAAUUCCCUUUUCUCUGCAUCCGCAGGCCGGCUUUUUUCUGUUCAUUUCUUUCUUGAAGCGACGUCCCGACAACCCCAUCAUCAGCUUUUCUCAAAACCAACCCAGUCUGAGGUAUUUUACUCCAUACGCCUGCUGCCCUUCUAUCUUCUUCAUUUUCCACAAUGAUUUGGUUUACGGCACUUCCUGUUAUUCGGUAAUGAAAUUUGCAUGCGUACGUUCAAUGUCUUGGGCGGAGCCUCUAAUUAUACAAUUUGUUGUUUGUUGGGCAUAUGAUCUUUAUUGACUUGUAAUUGCAGCAGCCUAAAUGAUUACUAUAUUAUAUUUUUGCUAUUCCUCCGUUUCAUAGACCGACUUGGUAAAGGCAAAAAAAAAAAACAUGAAAAACAAAAGAUCUGGCCUUUUUCUGCUCCGAUCAUUGUUGGUUGUCUUGUCUCUUCUCUCCGACUUCCCCCGCCUGCCCCCUGGGUUUAGGCCUGUAAAAUUAAUACUAACAUGGAGAAAGCUGGCUCUGGUAAUUUUAACUCUUCCCCAAACAGCGUCCCCGCCUCACGGGGUGGUUUUGUACCGGUAAUUAUUCCAUUGCUAUUGCUUUUUAACGUUUGACCAUGGUGGGUGGGAUUGGACUUGGAUAUUUACUCCUUUGAAAGUACUGUCGCAACAUUUAGUAAUUUAGAUCUGCGCUAAUGUUCUUAACAAUCCAAGUAGCAUUUGCCGAUCCUUUGUAACAUUUCUGCUUCGUGCUUGUUGCAUUGACUGGUACCCUUGCCCACAAGCAGAGACUUUUGCAAGAAAAUGUUGUACAGAAUCUUUAAAUCCCCAGUCCUACACGAUUUUGGUUUCUGAGGGAUUCUAUUCUAUUUCCCGGACGCUAAAAUACUAUCCACAUUUCCAAUCUUCUAUUCUUUAAGCCAUGACUCAUUCAAUUUCCCUCUUACUCUGAUUAGGAAAAAUGAGCAGUGACGGAAAUGAAAAUGGAGCUGAAACAUCUCCACAAAGGCGAGCUCCACGUCUGAAUGAGCGAAUACUCUCAUCUUUGUCAAGGAGAUCGGUGGCUGCUCAUCCUUGGCAUGAUCUUGAGAUCGGUAAAUUUGAAAUAUGAUUCUGUAAUUAUUAUUUCCUGAUUUCACUGCAUGUUAUCCGAUUCCUUUAUGAAGUCACAAUCACCUGAUACUUUUACUGCUUUUCUGUUAAACCAGGGCCCGGGGCUCCUCAAAUUUUCAACGUUGUAUGUAUCACUCUCCUUACUCCUAGAAGCAUAUUUCUUCAAGGAUCCCUUUGCUGUUCCAAAUAUGUUCUACUAAAUGAUAUCUUAAACUUACGCUUUAGUAAUUGCAACACUCUUAUCUGGGGACUGACAUUCUAAUAAAUGUAAACACAAUGCUACAACUUUUUGAUGAUCUUGAUUUAUACCACUACUUCCUCCAGAUCAUUAAGACCCCGUCACCUCCUGAAAAUCACAAAUCCACCUAGGAGGAUAAUGUCCAAAAGAUUUCCUUUGAAUGUGUUUCUAGAAAGAAGUCAUUCAUCUGACUCCAUGAAUGAAUUUGCUCAUCUUUACAUGUUGCUACUGCUAUAUUUCGUUUCUAAUUGAAUCAAAAUGCAGUUUGCCACAUAGUUUCUGCAGCCACAGUUUUAGUUGCUGUAUGGCCCCUAACACCCAUCUUAUUUGUCUAGCACAUAUAGAAUUUGGGAAAAAAAAAAUCUUAUUGUAGAAGCUUUUUUGCUUGAACCUUGAAAUGUAGUGUACUUGUCUACUGACUCUGUGGCUUCAUCAUCUUCUUUUAUUUUACUGCUACAGGUUAUUGAGAUAACAAAGGGAAGCAAAGUCAAGUACGAACUUGACAAGAAAACUGGUCUGAUCAAGGUAUGAUGAAGUUCCUUUAGCAUGUGCAGAGUUUGAGAUUAUUUUCAAUAUGAAGCUACUUUCUUUCACAUACAUACUAUAAGGUUCUGCAGAUCAGGAUGCAACUUAAUCAAGAAGCACAAAAGUAUUAGUUCCAAAAUUACAUUUGGCCUUUGGAUUUGUUUGGUGAUUUGUUUAGAUGCACUUUGCUCACUCUGUCUUACAAUGGCACCUUAGGUGGAUCGUAUCUUGUAUUCAUCAGUGGUCUAUCCUCACAACUAUGGCUUCAUUCCGAGAACGCUGUGUGAAGAUAAUGAUCCAAUGGAUGUGUUAGUUCUAAUGCAGGCAAGGAGAGUUGCAAUAUGAACUACUAAUUAGAUUUUCUUUACAUGAAUUUAUGUUUUGUAAAACAAUGCUCUUAAUGCAUCCUUACUAGUUUUUUGAAAGAUGGUUGAUGAAACACAAAUUGACGUCUGUAACAGGAACCUGUUCUCCCUGGUUGCUUUCUUCGAGCAAGGGCCGUGGGCCUGAUGCCCAUGAUUGAUCAGGUACAAUACAAACUCCUUCCCUCCUAGUGAACAUAAUUUCAGUGCUGUCAUCAGUGGAUUUUCAUAAGAUGACUUCUUCUUAAACCAGGGAGAGAAGGAUGAUAAGAUUAUUGCAGUAUGUGCUGAUGAUCCAGAGUAUCGGCACUACACAGAUAUCAAUCAGCUUCCCCCCCAUCGUCUUGCUGAAAUCCGUCGAUUUUUUGAGGACUGUAUGCUCGCUACCAACAUAUUAUUUUGCAUAAAAUUGUUUUAGGAUCUGUCAGCUAUACUGCAUGGCUUUUUAUGGUAAACAUGAUGUUUUUGUUGGUAUGUUGUUUAGACAAGAAGAAUGAGAACAAGGAGGUUGCAGUGAAUGAGUUUCUGCCUGCUGCUACAGCUGUUGAUGCCAUGCAAUACUCCAUGUAAGUGCCCAUUUGACGCCUGGAUUUAGCAGUAGGAUGGAAAUGCAUAUUUUGAACAUGAUAAAUGGGCCUUAAUGACGAUGCAUUUCUCAAGAGGGACUUUAUGAGCUGCUUUUGGUGCAGGGACCUCUAUGCUGAGUACAUACUGCAAACAUUGAGGAAGUAGAUGAAAUAGCAUGGCGUUCUUCACUACUUCUCCGUACUGCUAAUGCCUGAAGCAAAAGGCAUGGUAUCCUCAAUUUGAGAGGAUAUAGGAUAUUUGAUUUUCAACUAUGUAGACAUUUGAUUUGUUUCAAUGUUAGACGAACUGAACAUAAUAUUCGGGUUGGUUUAUUUUGUUUGAACUCUGAAUGUUAUUUUGAAGUUUAAAGUUUGCGAUUGUUAAACGAGGAGCUGAGUUUUACACCGUUUACAGGCCGACUUUGGUACUCGAAUUGAGUUUCAUAUUCAAGUGAGAGAGUAGUGCUUUAUUUUGAAAUUGAUACGAGGCAAGGAGCUUUGGACGAAAUGUCCAACAUAGCGGUAUGAAAUAGUUCUCUACUAUGCUUAAGUAGCCCUUUUGCAGUGUUCUUGAUGGAGGACACUAAAACGUCCCGAAUGGGAUUGCCUCUCCGUGAAAACUAUGUACUAACUGUUACUUCCACAUGAUGUUUAUAUAAAACGUCGAACAGCAGGAUGAUAAAAACAUAAUUUUGGCACUGAGACCCCAAUCUGUCGACAGCGAGCGUUGCCAUAUAACGAUCGACAUGUCCACUUAGCUAUUAAGUGCAAUUUACCAACAAGAAGCAAAAAAGUUUGACGUAUUCUGGAAUGAACCAGGUGGGAUUACAGACCCCAUCAGAAUAUCAAAUUUCUAUGUUAUCAAUGAUAAUCAGAAAUAGAAAACGGCAACCUCCUAACAAUUAAGUGCAAUUUAACGAUCGACAUGUGCAAUUUAUCAAUUUAACGAGCGUUGCCAUAUAACGAUCGACACGUCCACUUAGCUAUUAAGUGCAAUUUACCAACAAGAAGCAAAAAAGUUUGACGUAUUCUGGAAUGAACCAGGUGGGAUUACAGACCCCAUCAGAAUAUCAAAUUUCUAUGUUAUCAAUGAUAAUCAGAAAUAGAAAACGACAACCUCCUAACUGCCCACCAACAACUUCCAGAAGAAAGUUUUAAAAAUUGUCAGAUCACAAACUUCAGCUUGAUGUUCGAAAAAGAGCUCUGCUGAUGAUACCGGUGGCUUCAAUGUAGCGAUCCACACACCUUGAGACACAACUACUCUCACUACCACUCAGGCUGCUCCCAGGUUUGGUGAUACACUUCUCAAAGCACUUUCCCCUCAAAGUCUAGAUCAUGGUUGCAAAAACAAAGCAAAGCUUUCACAAUGAUGAAUCGACAAAACCAUUUACAUGAUCAAUAGGUUAAUGUUUAGCAGAAAUGGAAUGCUCAACCUCAAUUUCAUACAUUGAAAAACCAGCUUAAUAAAAGGAAAAUUGAAAGCCGCCAAAAAAAAAGGGCAGCCGAGUUUGCAUGUAGUCAAUUAUUCAUCCAGGCAACAAAAUAUAUUCUGUAGUCAAGUGAAUAUUUACCGGAACAAAUAUAGACUAGGUGAUGAUGUAACAUGCACGGAUUAAAAGUUUCCUAAGAUUAUCACAUUAAAGAAAGUCAAACCGAUCACACAUGCCCAAGGCAUCCAAUUUCUUGUAGUUAAAAAAGUACAAGGACUCUAGAAUAGUAUUCUUCUUCAAAAUCUCUAGAAGACACAAUGUCAAGAAAAAGGAGAAAAGAAUCUGAAAUUGGGUUACAAAUAACAUAGACAGGCUACAUCGUCAACCAGCAAACUACGUACUUCAUUCUACGCAAGAAUCUUUUAGGAUAAUAUCAAUGCAAUGGAAACGUAGGAAACAAAUAGUGAAUUUCUUAGCAAUAAGAUUAAACUUGAUGGGAAAGAUAUUCUGGACUGUCAAAUCCUUUUGUUCCCAUCUAGUAUUUACCAUAUUUCAUGGUUGCCAUCUAGCUAAAAAGAACAUAAAUGAAACGCAUGAACCUAGUAUUGAUAGCCCGCUUGUGCUGAGUGUUCAAGUGUUGAAAUUGAUAAAAAUAAAUAAAUAAAUAAAUCAAAUGAGAGCCCAAAAACAUAUAUUUCCCCUGUGCAACAGCAGAAAAUUUGUCACUAAUAAUUACCCUAGAGCUCUGUAGGGUUUCAACAGCAGAAUAGAUUUGGCAAUACAGUCCUAAUUAGAGUUGCAAUCGUUGUCAGUAAGCGACCGACAGUAGAACAGUAAAACCAAUAAGCAUAUUUUAAGACCAAAAAGUAAAUACUAAACUAAUUCUAUACAUGUACUGAUGAUGUACCUCCAUAGGUGGUGGGGGUGCUUUUAAGUGUUUUGGGGGGGAAGGAGUUGGGGAUAAUCCACUUGAUCGUUAUGAUUUUCAAAAUAAAAUAGAUACAUGAGGAAAUGAAGGAGGAGAAAUCAAUGCCAAGUUCAACUCCCAUGCGGUUGGUUGAAAUGAAUCUACAGUAUUUGGGGCAAUACUUUUCAUCCGCACACAGGCAUCACAGAAACCAUAAAUAGAGGGGUGGGGGUAUCCAAAAAUAAGGACAGAGCAAAAUCAACACCCAACGAGAAGUACAUUGAACAAUAGAGCACAUGAUAGUAGUAGCACUGGCAAAGAAAUCAGAUAGCACAAUGUUUUAAGUUUAAAAUAAAAUUUGAAUAACAGAAACCCUAACCGAGAAGACAAUCACUAAUAAUAUUAGAAGCGGAUAGAUAGUGCAGAAAAUUCCCCUUAGUGGUGGCAAAAAAUAAAAUCAGAAGACGGAAGAGCAUAUACAUAAUAUACCUCGAGGAACUCUUCGGCAUAGGCCUGGGCAAGCUGGAGUUUGACCUGGUCCAUGAUGUCCUCCGUCGAAACCUGCGGCGACGCCCCACUUGACGACGACGACGACGACGACGAAGAGUAUGGAUCCAUUAUACGGAGAAGAGAAGAUCCGAGGGUUUUUUCUCUUUUUUUUUUUUUUCUUUGGCUUUUGUUGAUAUUCGAUUCUUUCUUCGCCUCCAAACUCCCUUAAACCCUUCCCGACACCAAAAUUUACGGACUACUCUGCAAGUCAAACAACAAAUUAAUACCCUCUUUGGUCCUUCAAACAAACAUACCCUCUUUGGGCAAUUGGAGGUGCUGGUCCGGGCUUUACUCCAGAGUAUAGUUCGCAAAGUGAGAUUGGGCUAGGCUUGGACUAUAACUUAAGCAACUACUAUUUUGUCCAAGCUCUCUUUUUUGUUGGCCAAUUUUUGAUUUCCCUCCUAUUUGAUAUAUUGCAGAGUGUUGCUUGGAUCCAAUUUUGAGGAUCCUUUAGCUGCUCAAUGUUGCCAAAGCAACUACUUUAUUUAUUUUUCAUUCGUUUUCUUUUCUCCUACACUGGAUCUGGAUGAAAAGCAGCCGAAAAAUUAGCUUAUGGGCCUAUACAGUGGGCUUGUGCAACAGAGGUCUAUGUUCGACUGUAACCGGUAAGCUGUGUCGUCGAAUUGAAUGUGAAUUGAGGGAGAAAAUUUCAUUUCUCAAAUAUAUAUAUAUAUAUUUUAAAAUAUAAAAUCUCCUGCAAACAUGACAGCCAGAUUCGAGCCUAAUCUGCCAGGAAGCCCCCAGCCGACACUUCCAACAACGGUUGUUGGUUAUCAUUUAGCAACAAAACUUAUGUCUUAUUAAAUCUAUUAACAUGAAGACACAUCACAAAUGUUUUCAUGGAUCGAUUGUUUUUACUUGGAUAUCCCGGAUGUUUGGCUAGAGGAAAAAUGGAGGUUGAAGGUGCUGCAGAACUUGUUGACACCAGGCUAGUGUUUAAUAUUUGGAUAAUAGAUUAUUUGAAAUAAUUUUUUUAAAAACAAUACUACGGUAACACUUUUAUGAUAUGAUGAAAAAGUGAUUUGAUAAAAUGUAGGCAAAUAAAUUUGUACAAUGCGCUAUCCAAAACAAACUUGACAGCUGAAUUCAACUCAAGUGCGCAAGUCCCGAUUGAAGCUUUAAUCAAGUCGGUGGACCACAAUAACCUACAGAUUUAUUAGGGUUUUUUGUGUCCCUGGAAUUGGAUCCACAUAUUCUGACUCCACCCCCUAUUGUCUUUUCUACACAAAUAAUACUUAUGCAGCAAAAGUAGGGCUGGCAUUGGCAAGCAUAUGCUUUGGGUAUUACUCCUAUAUCGUUGCAUGCACGUUGUAGUUAGUUAAACAGCUCGUCCAAUUCCGACGGGACUGGAAGAAAGUCAAAAGAGCUAGCGGGAUAAGGUUAGAGAGGUGAGGAGGAAGAGGAGCUGGAACUGGAACCCAUGGCGAAGUUUGGUUUUGUUUUUAAGGGCUGUCAUGUGUGAACUUCGGCUAAGUGGUCCUCCGCCUACUAUAAUAUGCCUAUACCCCGCCCUACAAAAACCAACUUGCAAACCAACUGUACCUAUAAUAAUACUUACUCCUCAGAAGAAGUAGCCUAUGCAGUAGAGCUUUUUUUCUUAUGGUACGUAUAUGUUCCGGAGAGAAGAGAAGAGAGCGUCAGAUCUCUCUCUCUCUCUCUCUAUAUGUGUGUAUAUAUCAUGUGUAUAUAUAUAUAUCUCUCUCCCUCUCUCUCUCUCUCUCUUGUAGGCUGUUGUACCGCUGUAGCCUAGCCUGGGAUAUUGUAGAAUCAUUUGCUACGUACCACAUUAAUUACUCCUAUCUGAUCAUCAUCAUAAUUAAACAAAGCACCACCCCCUUCUCCUAAUUCUACUUUAAUCCCACUCCCACCCAUGUGUGCGGUUUACCAUACAGCCUCGUCAAACUUAAACCUCGUCUAUGAUGGCCACCCAAAAAAAAUAAAUAAAAUACAUAACCUGUAUGUCUGUAUGUACAUACACACAGAGACGCGCUAGCACACUCGAUCCCCCGAUUGCGACCAACCGAGCAGCUGCUACUCUAUCGCACACUUCUAAUGAUCAAAAACAUUUUAUUUUUCCCAUUAUUUUUCCAUUUCUACACGUGUAGCAGAGAACUUACGGCUGUCGGCCGGUCAGUCAGCUACUAUCAUAUAUGUGUGUGUAUAUAUGUAAGAUAUGCCGGGCAGAGGUGGUGGGCUGGGCAGUGAUGGGAGGGUUUAGUUUUUCAUGAAUGAGAUGUUUUUCCAAUUUUUGGUAGCACAAAAUGGUAGUCCAUAAUUAGAAUAUGUAGUUGUAGCAGUAGUAGUAGUUCAACAGAGGCAAGCUAAGUGAGGCCGCGCAUGGAUAGGAGGCGGCAAAAGAAGGAAGGGGAAGGGGAAGGGUACAACUCAUAUCUGUUGGUUUUUUUCCAUUUUUUCCCCUCGUAUGCAGCUCCAAAUUAAAUUGGAUAUAUAGCUGUUUUAAAACAGAAUUAAUGGUCAUAAUUAAUAUCAGUCUCGCGUAUCAACUGUACGUCGUAAUUAAUAGAAGAACAAGUGGGAUGGCUAUGGGUAUAAGCUGCAGCUUAGGGAUGCGAAGAAGAGCUUCCUUCAACUCGAUUCAAAUUACGCAAUAAUUAAUAGUAUAAUGCAAUCGGCCUUGUGUGUCAUGUCAAAUUAAGAGUCAGAGAUUAGUGGAUCGAGUAGUAUUUUGAUAAAAUUCCUUUUGCUAAUUGAAGGUUGUUGAUUAGUUCAAAUCAGGCAAACGUCGUCACUCUGAUCAGGAUUAAUGACGCAAACCACCACCUUCCCCCCACGUCUACUUACCUCGCACUAGUAGUACUACUACUGCUGUAGUGUAGUGACUCUAUUAAUUACUACCAACAAAUUGCAAUUAUUAUUUUUGUACUCAAGUAACUAUUUAAUGUUAAUGUCGGCUGUGGAGUAGCUAACCAGGAUUUCCUUUCGUCACAGUAGUUAUCCGAUCAUCAUCCUCCUCCUCCUCCUCCUCCUCCUCCUCAUUGGACAUAUUGGGUAAUAAUAAUAUACAGCAAAUGGACAGCAGCAGCUCUAUGGGGAAAUAUUGGCGACAAUGCAAAUGCUAAUUGCUUUUUGUGAGGAAUUUGAGAGCAAAGCUAUGCAUGUGAAGGCAGAACAUGGGCUGCCUAGCUUAGCUUAGCUUAGCUAUCCAAUUAAUUUGAAUUUCAGCCUCAGGGAAUAACGUCGACGUCAUUUCUCCCCUCUUCUCAGCCCUUAGCUUGUACGAGUUCCGUACUCUUUGAUGAUUGAUUUACAAUUCUCACAAAUUAACCCAGUAAGUAUACACUUCACUUCACUUGAGCAGGUAAUUAAGAUUGAGCGGAUGGAUGUCAUCCCUCACAAUCCUCAAAAACUACGUACCUAGGACUAGGAGACUUCUUCACCCCAUAAUCAUCCAUCCAUCCUUUGUGUGCCUACUCUAGAUACUGGCAUUCAUUCUGGCAAAAGCCAUCCUCGGUAACAUGAUUCGCAAAUCCCAUACAGCAGAUACAGGUGCAGAUUAUUACUUUUAUUUCAUAUAUAGCUCUGUAAACCAGAAGAAAAUAUUCUAAUGCCGUGAACUCGGAAAAAUAAACAGAUUAAAUCUUGGCCAGAUUCAGAUAGCUGCUGCCUUUUCCCUAACUCGCAUCUGCGUCUCGCCUCCUAGUUAGAUGUGAUUCAUUCUACUACCCAGGACAAGUACACAAAUGUUUGCAAUGACGAUAAAUUUCUCAAUCAAUUAUUCUAAAGGCACGUUUCCAAAUAUUGCAUUUAUUAGCCACAUACUAUUGUACGUACCGCGCGGUAAUUAAUGAGACAUGCACAUAAAUAAACAAAAAAAUGUUUAAUACUAAUAGAUGUCCACUACUAAGUGUGUGUAUAUAUAUAUAUACGUGUGUGUAUGUAUAUAUAUAUAUAUAUAUAUAUAUAUAUAUAUAUAUAUAUAUAUAUAUAUAUAUAUAUAUAUAUAUAUAUAUAUAGCUUGGUUGAGUGAGAAUUGGAAAACACAUUAGUGACUUGCAGCCUCAAUUAAUUAAUUUGGCCAAGAAACGGGACAUCAAAGUUGCUUGAGGAGGUUUAAUACAUAGUAUGAUGGUUGACAUAACUUAAAUUAUUCCAUAAGUGACGAAUCUGACUCAGUUCGAUUUUCUAAGAGCUUGUUUACGUUUGGUUUUUUCAAGUAAUCAAGUCAGACUGCAUCAAUACAAUUUCACAUUCAUUAAACUUUCAAAUUUGUAAUUCAAUUGACAUUAAAUUUAAAGUUUAGAUAUAAUACAUUCAAACUACUUGAACUCAACAUCAUAAAAGCUUAUUUUAGUUUUUUUUUAAUAAUUAAACAAUUUCAAAUUCAGUAAAAAAUAGACAAAAUUACAACUUGAUUAGGCUGAUUUAAACUCCUACUAUGCUAUACAGUAACGGGCAAGAGUUUAAUUAAUGACCCUGAUAUAAAUUUGUGGUGGACGUUUGCUUUGGGGGGUGGGCUGACCUAAAGUUGCAUAUGAUAUUAAAGUCAAAAGCCAAAAGUGGGAUAUUCCCACAUGUGGAUCUUGUAAAAGGUGUCCCUAUCUACACAACCUGGGGCGGGGUAGGUAAGCUUCAUCAAGGGAUUGGGUGGAUAUAUAUCCCGAAGGCUGCGUUCUCCACUAGCAGCUAUCCUACGAAUGAUGUGCUCCAAAGCUGUCCAAUUCCUCCAUCAUGUUUCCAUUCCGGCCUGAGAAAAUGAUUGGACACUUGGGCUCGAAAUUCAUAAAUGAUAAAUCACAUUUCUAUAAAUAAUGGCUUUUUUUUUUAAAUUUAUUUAUUUACAAUUUUACAUAUGUGUGCAGAAGCAGAAGCAGAGGCAUGAGGGUACCUCCUUAAAAUUAAUGCAGCCGAAACAUUAAUCUGACUUUGGAUGUUAUAAACUUAUUACCGAUUGAGAUUUUUAAAAGAUGCCCGAAAGUAUCUAAAAUAUAAGGAUAAAAUGGAUAAGUGUUAUUUGUAAUUUUCACAAUUACGGCAUCUCAUCUCAUUUGUAAUAUUUCUAUCUUCUUUUUGUAUUCAUAUCGAGAAUUUUACCGCAUCCAGCCUAUGUGGAAUUUUACCUGUCAAUUUCUCUUCUCUGGGAAUGAAUAGAUAAACUCUUUCUAUAUGUAAACUGGUUAAUGGUUACGUGGACAAGUGUGUGUACGAUUACGGACAUUGAUAGUUUCCUAAGCUUAACUUUUUUUUUUUUUUUUUGAAAUUGAAUAAUAUCACUUAACCUAUUUUGACUGAAAUUAAAAACUUUCCAUACUAAAAUAAAAAGCUGGUCUUUGUAACGUAUUAUUACAUCUUGCAAGAAGUGCAGUUAAUUUGGUAGCCCUGCUCAAUUAAUGAUAGUUAGUUUCCGGAAAGUAAUAAUGUCUGACGGAGAUAGAAUUUGAGUUUCUGUAGAACCCAAAUAGAUAAACUCAUUCUUUUUCUUGAUUUAUCAAAUCAAAAAAAAAAAUUUUAAACCAAAUCAAUACAUUAUUUUUCCUCAUCACUCCCAAUUUCUCCAAAAAGGUAUGCAAAUCAUAACUUUUACUGGCAUAUUUUUCUUCAUCAAUCAUCCCAAAUAACAUAUGCAAAUCAAAAUUUUCAUCCAUAUAUAUCACAAAUUUCAUAUAUUUCUCUAUCAUCAAUAAAUACAUCUUUUUCUAAAUCAACCUCUCAUGUCAAUCUAAAUUUUGACUCAUGAUUAGAUUUAUAUCCAAACUUUGUCAAAAUAUAGAAGAGAUAUGAUCAAAAUUAUUAAGGUGAUUGAGAAUCUUUUAUACGAUUCUCCAACAAUGGAACUCUGCAUGCUCUUAAAAAACAAUAAUAUCAAAGAAAACACACAUACUUCUAAGUAACACUAACUACUAAAAACCUACCUUCAAUAAAGUUAGUAAAUGAACAAAUAAAAACUUUGAGGUUUGGUUUAUUUUGCCAGUAGUUUCACUGCUGAUUAAAGGAGCGCGCAAUUUACUGAGGAAAGGUCAAUAGACGUACCCCCUCGUGCAUCACUUUUCAUGUACUAGUAAGAAAUCAUAAGAGUUGCUAGUAGCGCCCAAAAAAAAAAAAAAAAAGAGUACAAUUAAGAACACGCCAAUCGCAGCACAGUAGAGAUCCAUAUAAAUACCAUGACCUACGGAAUCUGGUCAAGAUCUUCCUGGGAGAAUAAUAUCACGCUUGCUGCCUAUGAACUAUCCGAGAAAAAUUUUUGCAUGUUGGUUUAAAUCUCCAGUCUCUAACCACGGAACCUUUGAUAAAAAUUUUCAUGGCAUCAACAUAAGAAAGUUUAUAAACACAUGGCGAGUUGUGUGCGGUAUGUCAUGGAAAUGGAGAGCAAGUCAAUUGGUUUUAAAGAACUCAAGGCAAUUAUAAUGAUGAAAAAACUCAGGAGGCGACCAGCGUAUUUUUAUUACUGCAGUUUCUAAGUUGGGGACUCAACUAAGAAGGAAAGGUAAAAAGGGGUGGCAAAGAAGAGUGUUGGAGUUUACUACCUUAACAUCCAUAUUUUUACAGCCAGCCAUUGUUAAAUGCCAUGUGAUCGGGCUGGUGUGAGCUUCAGGGUCUAAAUUCAGCUGAUCACCUUCUCCCACAAUAUGCUUAAUUAUUUUCAAGAUUGAUAAUGAUUAGGUCAGAAGUUAGUUAGCCGAAUCUACAGAGCAGGCUCACUUAUCAAAGAUGAAUGAAUUUAGUGACACGUGUCCUCUGAAUGGAAUGCUACUAAAUUGAAUGUUUAGCAGUGGCCUCGCUUUUUUUUUUUUUUUCUUUUUCUUUUUGGGCCCCUCCCCUCUCCAAAAAGAAAAAAAGGAAAAAAUUUUUUUUUUGUUAUCUUCAUUUUUAACCUCAUACGUACAAAAUUUUAUUUUGUUUUUUACGCGGCAGACCACUCGUCUUGUGGAUAUAGCGAUUCAUGUCACAUUCUGCAUCUCUCUUGCCCUACAAACAAUCCAACACUGGAGGACACGGUUUAUGGCUGCCCAUGGGAGAACUCAUUAUUUCAUUGCCCCAUGUAUUUUCUUCUUCCAAAUCACCCGCCAAUUCGAGGAUUGGUCGAACAGUUUUUCUUGGAAGAACCGAUGUGAUGACGAAAAAUCUACUAUAUAAUUGCUUCUCAAACUAAAAGAUCGCUCGUAGGCCGACCCUUUACAGAUUAUUAGAUAAUUGUUAAAUGUAGCACAUAAUGGAAAAUUACGUAGACUUGCCUAUGAAUGCCGUGGUCGAAAUACUUGUAAAUAGCACUUAUUUAACUCCUGGAUUUAAUUUCAACUGAACUUCAAAAGAAGUUUGGUUAGCCUAUAACUAUUGCUGUUCAUCGAGUCGUGUCGAACUCGAACACCUGAUAAUUGAACUCGACUGGAACAUUUAUUGAGCUAACUUGACCUCGCUCGAUUAGUAGUUUGAGAUUCAAAAGCCGUUUGAUAUCAACUCGUCAAACUCGAUUUCGAACUCGAACUUGAAUUUGAAAAUCGAGCCAAGCUUAAUGAACUCGAGUGAUGGCGGUAGGGUGAUGGAUGGAUUGGUGAUUUGGUAUGAAGGAAGGUGCGGUCGUGGGCUGUGGAAAAGGGAAGAGGAAAGAAAAAUUAGGGCAGUCACAGGAAUCCUCGUUUGGGAAUUGGAAUUUAAGAUAUAAUUAUCAGACAUGUAAUGAAAUGACACUAAUGCCCUUAUAUUUCGAGCCUGUCUAAUAGUUUGGGAGCCAAGCUCGGUUUGGCUCAAUUCAUAAACGAGUACAUAUAUAACUUGAAUUCAACUUGUUUACUAAGAAAAACAAACCGAGUCGAGCCCUUAAUGAGCCGACUCGAGCUUGACUUACUAGCGAUCCGGUUCGAUUAACAGUUCUACCUAUGGCCUACUUCGCUUACGCAUCGGUCAAAUUAACAUGCAACCUAUGACACGUUCGAUUAAAGUGAAAUACUAGAAAGUUGGGUGUGGGCUGGUAAUUGAAUGCAAAGAUAACUUUGGAGGCUUCUCUCACGCAAUUAUGGGCACGACUUGAUGUACGCAAAUGGCUGGAAUUAUACAUGGGAUUAAAUGCAUUAAACCCUAGGCAAUAAACAAUAAUAUAUAGUGUGUUCAGUGAUACAGUAGCAUUAUUUUUGUGUCAUUCUGGUUCCUGGACUAACAUUCGAAACUAUCCGUUCACAAUAAUUACGAUGUUGUUGGUCAGUCUGAUGUAUUUUGCAGUUUAGUUUCUUCCAUUAGUGUUUUUUGGGAUAUAGUCCCUAAUGUUAUUUUGUAUAACCUUAGUCCCUAAACUAAUGACUAAUGGUGGUAGUUUUUUUUCCUUUCAACAUUCUGUCCCCCCCCCCCUCUCCCCUAAUCCCUCCCUACCCCGAAACCCAAUAGUCAAGUUUGAACCCUGGUUUGCUAGGCAGGCAUCAAGUCCCUGGCCAUGAGCACUAGUGGCUGUUGGUUCUAAUAGUAAUGAUAUAUAUAUAUAUAUAUACGUGUGUACAUGCGUGCGUCUAUACAUUUCAUAUAAAAAAAAGUGUCACAAUAUUUGGAUAGCAAAUUAUUUCAAAUAAUAUUUCGUUUGCAUUAUAAACACAUUUUCCAACUCACCUUUUUAUAUUUCCAACAAUAUUUUUAUUUCACAUAUAUCAAAUCACAAAAAGUGCUACGGUAAUUAUUCCAAAUAAUACUCUAUCCAAACAAACCCGUUGUUCUAGAAAUUUUUUCAAAUGAUUUUGUGUAUCCAAACAAACUAUUAUCCUUAAUUAGACAAAAAUAAACAAGGAAUGGAUGUAUGAAUUUUGUCAAAAAAGAAGAGAAAAUGGUGGAAAAAUGUGUGCACUCUCUCACAUGACCCGAAACAAAAGUAAAAAAUAAAAAUAAAAAACUACAUACAAUUGGAUUUUGGUUCAAUAAAAAUGAUUAAUUCAGGUCAUAGCCACUCUCUCACAUGAUUAAUUUUUUUUUACGUAACUACACAUCUAUCCUAAUCUACUCUAAGGGGUGGUCCAACUGAGUCGAGAAAUCCUAAUAAGGAUUGAACUACCAUUAACCAAACGGGUGCACUAUGCACCCGUAUGGAUUUAGAACAAGUCUCAUAUAGAGGCAUAUUGAUGGGAGGUAAGGUUUGAACCCUUGAUCUUCGAUCCCACAAUUAAUGUGGUGGCCAAAUCCUCUAGAGGGAGUUGGUUACAUCUAGCUUCAGUUGAUUUGUGUAUUUUUUUAUUCAUUGAAAAAACAAAGAGCAAAAAUCGCAAUAAUUGCUGAAAUUAGGAGGAGAGAGAUGAGAUCUGGAGCAUUUGAUGAGAAAUAGAAUUGAAAACGGGAUGAUGCACAAUAAUUGCUUGAGUGGAAAAAGAUAUUUCAGUCGGAAAGAAAUUCCAACAGGGCAAGAUUGGGUUUUGAAAAUGCUUAGUUGACCUGCACGAGGAAUUAAAGUGGCAAGAUUGGGUUUUGGAAAUUAUACUAAAAAAACACAAAAACUGGAAGGGGUUUUAGUGCCUAUAAUUAACCCGUUUAAAGCCGAGUAAAUGAGGUGGGAAAGAGAUUGACUGCAAAAGGCGUUCGGAGCAUAAUUUCCAACAGCAUCCAAAGAGGUGUCAAACACGAACUUUGCCACCUCUAAUGCAUAGUGCAUGAAGCCAUUUUCAAUCCCAAAUGGUCCAUCCCUCACCGGCAUGGCUCCUUUGGCUCUAAGCAGCCUAGGUGGUCCUGAAUCACUACCAUUUCAUAGACCAUCCACCUCAAUUCAACCACUCUAGCUAGAAGUGGGCAGUACUGAAAAAUAUCCACCAGAAUAUAUAAUAAUUUUCUCUUUACUUUUUCACAAUUAUUUCAAAAAAUGUCCAGGAGAUGGCCACUCCUUGGCGAGUACGAAAACGAGAUUUCUUUUCUUUCCUCCUAACCGAAAUAUGUAUGUAUCCAUUUCGGAUAGUGAUGAAUCUGAAUAUAGCUGUUACGUUCAAGUUAAUGCGUAAUUAUGAAAUGAGCUAAGUCUCCAUAUUUUGAGUAAGUAAUUUUUACGAGUUCUAUAAAUAUAUAUAUAUAGCUUCUUAUGAUAUGGCCACUAGUUUGAGGAGUAUUAUAUUGUGCAUCCUUUUCGUAUUCUUCAAAGUCAAUUAAUGAUUUUAAUCAUCAACUUAAAAAAAAAAAAAUCUCUCGCUCUCUCUCUGGUUAAAACUUAAAAGCAGACCGGUGGAAUGGAGCCAAUAGAUUAAUAGUCUUCUUGAGUUAAAAAUAUUUAAAAAAAAAAAAAAAAAUUGCGCCGGGGUCGGAGCACAAGUAGCAUGUGCAGAUGGGAAAAUCAUGGAAAGAAGACCAUUUAAUAUGUUCAUGUUCGGGUACUCUAAUUAAUACUACUAUUACAUAAUCUAAUCUAAUCUAAUUAAUACCUCCCUGUAAAUUAAACUUAAGAGAGUGAGUGUACGACUGACUAACUGCGACAGCAAAGUCAAUUUAUAUGAGUAACCGACCGCGUGUAGUUUUAUUGAAUCCAACAUCUUCCUUGUGCAGUGGCUACUGGCUACUGGCUACUGGCUACUGGCUUAGGUAUAUUAUUGGCAUGUGGGAUGGCGUAUUAAGUAGUAUUCAAAUUAAUCACUUCUACAAAAGCUGAAACUAGUGCAUACUAGCUAUGGGAACAAAGGUCUUGGUGACAGCAAAAAUUCCUUAGCUUUGAGGUCCUAUUUUGGUACUUUCAGAUAAUUAAAUUACAAGAUAAUAAAUAAUUCGGAAUAUUUGAAUAACCUAUUAUUAUUUGAAGAAAUGUGCUGACGGCCAUUCUUUUUCUUUUCUUUUUUUUGUUUUUACCCCUUAUCUACCAUACAUUAUAAUACUCCAAGAGCUAUUACAUUUUUUAAAAAAAUAGAUAUUGAGAUUCAACGGAAACUGUUCUGACAAAUAGAGUUGGCUGUACAAAAAAAAAAAAAAAUCUUUUCAAUAAAAAAUAAAAAAAAACUUAUAUAAAAUAAUCUUCCUCCACAAUUAUAAAGUAAACUAUAAUUACACCAUUCCCAAUUUAAAAAAAAUACAUAUGAAACUACGCUGCCCUCUCUCGAAUCAAAGGGGGAGGUUUUUACCUAAGUCAUAUAGCUCCACGCUAGCUAGAAUCACAUUAGUGAUACUCCUUGGUUUUAGCCACCCCCGCCCGAUGCGUUCUGAUCAUUUUUUUUUUCUUUUUGGACCACCUAAUAAUAGUAAUAAAAUUAUUAUUAUUAUAACACUUAUAACUCUGAAUUCCGUUAAUUACAAUACUAAUAAUACUAGCAAAAAAUGAGAACCCCUACGUCUAGACUCUAGACUUGAGAAAUAGAAGAAGAGUCCUUACUGAAAAAUAAAAGUCGAAUAUUGAUUGAGACACCAGCCAGGCGGGCAGGCCGAUGACAAGGACGAGCUCACAUGAGCCGAAGCCAACCAGAUAGAUAGUCGAUUGUUAUUAUUUGAUCUGUGGGGGGCCCAUUGCCCAGCAUCACCCCUACCCAUCCCAUUCUAUCCCCGCGUAUAAAGUCUUUCUUCUCUGCUCUGCCAUCUUUCUCUCUCUCUCUCUUUCUCUCUAGCUUUCUCUGUGAAACUCUUAAUGAAUGAGAGAAUAAAUUACAAAGGGAAAAUCGCCUAACUUAAGAAGCUUCCAGGGUGGGACUGGGGAUUCAUUUGCUCUCUCUCUCACACGCACAAACACGCACAGUAAAAGGGCACUCUCUUCGCGACCAAGGGAAAAGGAUAGGAACAUAUCCCAUUUGCGGCAGCGAACGGGAUGGGAUGCAUUACUAGCGACGACAGGAGUGAUAUUUUGAUCCAUUUCGUGGAUUGCUCUUCUCGUAGUUCAUGGUGUGGCUGCUCUUCCUCUCCAAACUAGGUGCUCUAAUGAUGCAGUAGUAGUCGACAAGAAGAAGAACUGAAGAAGAAGAAGCUGAAGAAGUAAGUCGAUCGUGCCGAAGAAGAAGAAGCUCUUCAUUUUUUUUGCACUCCACCGCCACUAGGAGGUGUACUAAAGAGUAACAGUACUAUCAUUUGGUUUUAAUUUGGUGGGAGGAGUCUUAAUUUGGUGUCCAUUGGUCAAAUAAGAAUGCAACCGACCCUCGUUUUAGUGAAACUGAAAGCUGCUUUGGCUUUGUGUCAAGAGACGACUUAUUGGUCCUCCUACUGAGGAAUUUCUCAGCUAAUUUAUCCCUUCCUCUCAACACUAGAAUUGAUAGACUGAGUGAUUGUAAACCAACACCCCCCCACCCCCCCCUCCAAAACAAAAAAAAAAGAGAGAGAGAGAGACCAAAGCACGCCAACUAAAUUAGUACGAAACAAAAGCCAAAUACACUGGUUUAAUUUGUAUUUGUAUACCCCAGCACCCAAAAAAGAAAAAGAAAAGUUUCCAGAUUUCGAAGUUCUAGUCCAGUCUUGCAGCUUUUGAGGCCUUGCGGUGUUCAUUUUUAACCCAAACCAAAUAUCAUCCCCCCCCCCCUCUUUUUUUUCUCCCCAAAAAAAAAAGAAGAUACUUUGGUGGUUUACGUUUUUGCUAGUAACAUAUCCUCCUUGUUUCUCAUCUUGCUUUUUAAUUGGUACCUUUUCUCUGUGGGAUCGUAUGAAGAAUAGAUUGAUCCAUCCCGGAUAUAAUUAGAGAAGCCAGCAGGAUUUGGGGGGCUGCAAUAUCUGCAGGCGCCAUAUAUAAUUACUGAAUAUCAUGAAUUUCAUGGCCCCUAGACAACCAGGAGGAGGAGGAGGAUAUUACGAGGAAGAUUCAUCAAGAGCAACCCGCCCUUUUUCUCAGCCGUCUUCUGCUGCUGCUGCUACUCCUCAACAUCAUCAUCAUCAGUACCUGCAGCAGAGAGACCUCCUUGUCCCUCCAUCCUACAACCACCACCAACCACGGGGACCGUGGGAUGAUAGGAGAGUCUCUUUCCGAGGCUACAGCUGUGGUGGAGCUUCCCAGCUUGAUCUCAUGGCGAUGGAUUCUUCUUCAUCGCCUACUACAAACGGCAGCAGCUGCAGCAACAUCGUUGAGGAUGCCGAUGAGCCUCGCGUGGGAGGAGGGAACACUACCAGUGCGUCGUUGAUAAUAGAGAGAGAGCACAUGUUUGAUAAAGUGGUGACACCGAGCGACGUCGGCAAGCUCAACAGAUUAGUCAUCCCCAAGCAGCACGCGGAGAAGUAUUUCCCUCUCGACUCCUCCACCAACGAGAAGGGACUCCUCUUGAAUUUCGAAGACAGAAAUGGGAAGCCGUGGCGAUUCAGGUACUCCUACUGGAACAGCAGCCAGAGUUACGUGAUGACCAAAGGCUGGAGCCGCUUCGUCAAGGAAAAGAAGCUCGAUGCCGGGGACAUCGUCUCCUUUCAGCGCGGAGUGGGUGAGCUGGGCAAGGAUCGAUUGUUCAUUGAUUGGAGGCGCCGACCCGACGCUCCCGAUCACCCUCAGUUGCCUCCUUCCAUGUCCACUGCUAGUUUUUCGCAGCUGCUUCCACAUCAUCAAUAUUCUUUCCGCCAUCCUUGGAACCAUCCUUUCUACUUGCAGCAUCAUCAGCAGCAGCAAAACCCCAGGGACCAUUACCAGUUGCUACAACUAAAUAAUGCUGCUACUGGUGUCGGUAUUAACAACAAUCCAAAUCCAUCUCAUCCUCAUCAUCUAAGCAACAACUACGCCUACGGCAAUGUAAUGACGGGAAACCCUUGUUCCGGCCCAUUCAUUUAUCUCAGAUCCGCUGCGGCUGCAAGGCCACAUCCCGUCAAUUUGGGAAUCGGAACUGUGCAAAUGGUGCAGAAAGGAGGAGGAGGCAGCGUUGGGCUGAACCCGGAGGAGGUGAUGGUAGAGGAGGGUGGGGAGGGGGAGGAGCCAAUGGUGUUUGAGUCGGUGCCACUGGUCCAAGGGAAGGCCGCAGCAAAGCGGCUGCGGCUGUUUGGAGUUAACAUGGAUUGCCCCAUCUCGGAGUCGUCGUCGGAGGAUCAGGAGGAUGAUAAUUGUGACAUACUUGUAUUACCUUCCACCGCAGUCGCUCAUCCUACAAUGCCAUCACAAUUUCCCCACUUGUGUUCAUCUCCACCUCCACCUCCGCCUGCUUCUUCUUCUUCCUCUUCUUCUUCUUCUUCUUCUUCAACUUGUCCUCUGCAGUUGAGGCCAUACAAUUAUGCCAGCCGUCCACCGCUCCACACAAUGCCCUCCAACAACAAAAGCAGUAGCAGCGACAGCAAGGGCAAGGCAUCUAUGUCCUUGGAUUUGGAUAUAUAGUUAGAUGGAGUGGCACCGGGGACUCGGGAGUGACUAAAAAUCUUCUAAGCUGGGACAUAUACGACUUGCGUGAAUGCGGCCUUGCGUCCAAAGCCACAAAUGCUAGUGCUAUAUAUGAUCAAGAAAGGAGGGAAGGAAGGAUGAGCUCUUUCAUUUGCUCCAAAUUCAUGCUGGCUGUGCGGAGACGUCCUCAAAGAAGAAAAGAAAAAGGAAUUAUGGCUGAUGUGAUCAUCAUGAGAAGCCCUCUGAAAGGUGGAAAACAAAAGAAAAAAAUUCAAUACUAGUAUUGUUAAAACAGUAGUAGUUUUUUCAAUUUAUUGUUAUCUGCAAUACUUACAUACGGACUACUGCUGCUAGUACUCCCGUUAAUUUCAACUUAAAUUAGAUUUCAUUCAACACGGAUAGGUUGCAUUACAGAUCCUUCAUGCCUUUUGUCUACUAACCAUAAUUUUUAUUUCUUAUCUUUGCCUUGAAUGCGCUGCCACCUCCUUUUGUAGGGCUUUGAUUGCCCAACGUGUAUCGUCGCUAUAUAUAGGCUUUUUUCCCGUGGAGUACUGCUUCCAGAAAAUCUUUCAUGUCACUUCUUCAGCCUGUUUCUUUCCCUCGGGACAACUUACUAUUAUGUUAAUCUUUUACUACAUUAUUACCUUUCUCUUUAGUGCUGUUCUUGUCAAGCUAACAUCCUUGCUCCAGGCGUUCUCCGGGUACAAUGUGAUGGAAUUGAAGCUUCUUUUUGCAAUUUUUGUUUUGUUUUGUUUUGUUUCAUUUGAAUAAUUAGCUCUGGUAGGUUUGUUAUUCUUGUCGCUGCUUCGUUGGGCACGCCUUCUGCGCAGAUCAUUUGCCAGAGCUUUGAAAAGGUACGCCAUCUAUCUAUCUCAAUUUUUACACGUCCAUCAUCAUUCAGUCCUGCUAGGCUGGCUAGCUACUCCAUUUCUAGAAUUGUAGCUUUGCUUCAAAUUCAGGUUUUUCCCCAAAAUUUUAGGUCGAUUGUUUCCUUCUGUCUCCUGCCUCAUCCUCAUCUUUUCUAACUCUCAUGGCACUGAUCAAUGCUGCAAAUCGAUCCUUUUCAUCCAUCCGCAACGUGUCUUUAAUUAUUUUCGGUUCAGAUAACGUUUUGAGAAAUUCCAACCGUAGAAAAAAAGGUUUUCACGUCAACCCCGGGGAGGUCGUUGCUCGUUUUGAUAACUGUGUUCGGGGUGUCACCUCAGAAAUCAGAACAAUGUCUAUUAAAUUUCACCAUUCAUGGCUUUUAAAAUAUCUUUACCAACUUCCAACAUUUUAUUCCUCUUUUUCUUUUUCUACUAAGCCUAGUUCUGUCGUGUACCCUAAUUUCUCGUGUACCCUACUCUAUAUAUAUAUAUAUAUAUAUAUUGGCUCUGCAAUAUGCUGGAUUUUUGCCUUUACCCGUUGGACACCUCUUUCGUGAUUGUUAAAUAUUUCUUCUAACUAAAACGAGCCAUCUCAUUACUAUAUAUAAUGGUCCAGAUAUCAUAAUGCCUUGCUGUGAGACUGUAUGUUACAUAACCAUGGUGUCAAAAAUCUAAAGUCUUAUGUUCCUUCACCUCUAUUCUCAUUGAAGUCAUUCAUGUCGUCCAGACACCCUUUUAGCUCCUGAACUUUUCUUCUGUAACUCUUGUGCUUUCAUUCUUUUGGUUUUGCAAGAAGCAAUGGAGGUCAAUAAAUUAACUUAAUUUGCUGAAGAAACAGGACCUUGUUACUUAUGAGAGUUUAACGUCAUACAAAGUUAACCAUAGGAUACGAGCUGCUGGGCUAAAAGCUCACACAUCUUUGAGUCUUUAUUUCCACUUCAAAGUUGCCGCUUUAGUCCAUUUAGUAAAAUUCAGAAGAAUAUGUAGUCAGACAGUAAGUGCAUAUAUAUUUCAUGUUGUUUUGAGUUUCCCAAUCUUCUAAACUUACAUUUGUGCGAUGUCACUAAGCAUUGUAGUAUAUGAGCUUUCAGUUUUCUUAGUCGCCCACACCCCCCUUGCCAGGAAAAUGAAUUCUUCUUAACAGAAUCAACCUGCACAAGCAUUCACAGCAAAGAUCUCUCUGACUGUAGUUUAGUAAUAAUGAAGUUUUACUUUCCUCCUUGUCCUUGUUGAAUUGGUUCGGUAUAUGAUCCUAGCUACAUGGCCGUAGAUGGAUUCAUGUCCACAUAUUUAUUUGAUUAGAGAUGAGGAGCAAAAGAAUCAAGAGUUUAUCUUUCUUUAAGCAAUGAUAAUUUGUUUGAAGCCUUUUUUUUUUUUUUUUUUUGGCUUCUCAUGGUCAAUUAUGUGUUCAGUGUUCUAUUUACUACUGAAUGAUACAAGACUACUCUAAUAAGAUAACUUGAGCAUUUCCCAUACAUUAACAACUAUUUUGUAAAGACAGUUAGAGAAAAACAAGCUGUGAAACCAUGCUCGGAUCAUCAUAAUUGUUCUGAAAAAAUAUGUUAGUGCAACAUAGAAAGCACUGUUGUUAUAAAAGCAACCCUAGCUAGCUAAAAGGUUUUUUUUUUAUUUAUUUAAAAAUAUUCAAUUAGUUUCUUAAAAAUGCAAUAGUUAGCUGAGCGUCGUGCUUUUCAUCAAAUCAGCUCCAUCAUCUUUAGCUUCUACUUAUAGGUAAAAUGGAAGAGUUUUUGCUGCUUUGGUUGAUUCUUUUUCCAGAUUCUAUUAGGUUGGAUGCGCAAGUCUUCAAUCCUAUAAUUGAAAUGCUAUCUUCUGUUUUCGAAGUUUUAAGGAAAUAGUUUCCAUUUCUUGGGAGUUGGGUGGAAUCAGGGAGAACAAUGCUCAAGCUACAGUCAUGUCUAAGAUAUAUUCUUCAUAACAAUUGUUGCGAAGAAACAUGAACGAACACUUAAUUUGGAAAUUUUUUUUUUUUUAAAGUUGUUUAAUUUUGGAAAACUGAUUUUGCACAUUCACCCUUGACAUCAUUUUUUAGCUAAUUAUUAUAUUAGUUUGGCAACCAAAUAUUCCGCCAUUAGUCUAUUGUCAAACUGAUGCAAAAUAAUAUGUUUAAAGCUUAAAGAGUCAUUCAAAUUGCAAAGGGAAAAAAAAGAAAAGAAAGAUAAAUAAUGGAUGCAUGCCUUUUUGUUUAUUGCUGUGGUCUAAACUGAGGCAGUUAAUACUCUUGUUUAUAUAGAUGACAGGCAGUGUUGUUGUGUUAGUAAAGGUAUAUAUUAGGGGUUUAAUUUUGUCUGUAAAGAUGAAUAUUACACGUUUGCGUGAAAGCUUAUCAAAUUUAGUCCUUGCUAUUAUAUAACUUGAACUUUAUUUCGAAAUAAAUAUUGUUGUUGCUGUUGGAAGGUUUAAGCAUCAGCUUAUUUGUGUUACUUUUGGGAAGAUCGAUGAUGUGAAUCACUGGUUCCUUGCUGAGCACUAAAUCGAAUGGCUUGGAGAUAUUAUUCUUUCUCUAAUUCUAAUUAGGUAGGCAGCCAAGGAGGGUAUCUCCAGAUAUAUCGUCAUUUUGUUUAACAAGCCAAAUUAAUUAACUUGAUUGAUAACUGCAGGCUGUGUGGAUGCAGGACCUUUAAUUUGAUCGCAAACGUAGCCCUUUGGCGUUGAUCACUGAUCGAUGUCAUUUACAUGCUGAAACAGAACCCCGAUAUCAGUGCUGCUAGCUGAUGUUCUUCACAGACUGAUGCCAUGCGGGGCCGGGGAUACAUACAUACAUAUAUAUAUGAUCCCAAAAAAGAAGAAGAAGAAGAAGAAGAAGAAAGGCGCGCAGUGUUGUAGGUAGUGUUGUACGUAUCAUAAACGCUGAACGAAGACACUCCAUGAAAUGACAACCGAUUGUAAUCAUCAUCUGUUGAUUCCAUUCCACACCUAUUAUUAGAUUUUGAAUAGGAGGGACGUUUGCUCGGAUUAACUUGCACCACCACCAGGGUGGUCAGUGAGAUCGAUCGACAGUCACUGCAGCCUUAUUAGUUCAUAUAUACGACCGUAUUCUUGUUAAGUUAUUACUAGUACUCUACUAUUACCCGCCCAGAUCGAGAGGAUAUAUAAGUACUAUGGUAUAGUUAACUUGUUCGAUUUCUUUCAUUUUAUCCAAAUAAAAGAUGACUACACAUAUGCAAGUACAUGUGUAUUUCUUGCUCUGCGAAUUAGCUAGGUGACAUAUCAUUGCAGUUAUCGUUGACGGAAGAUGCUGCUGGGGUCGAAAAGAGGUUGUAUAUAUUCUGUACUAGUUACUACUACCACACCACAAUUGAAUUAAUAGGAGCAAAAAUAGUACGUACGGAAAAGGCUUAAUUAAAAGCUGGGUGCGGAAGGCCUGGAGGGGUUUCCUCGUGCCUAUAAUUGCAUGCCAUGCUUAGUUGCUCAACUGGCCGCUGAGUGAAAGUGCAAACCAUAUCCCAUCAUCAUUUCCACUUUCUAGCUAAUUUCGAUGUACCACUGCUCAUCUUACUCGCCAGUCACCACUCUCUGCAUGUGUAUCAUCCUAUAGUCCGGUGGUAGACCUUAGAUUAGACGAGGGCUUUUUUUUCUUCUUUCCUUUUUUGAAGGAGUUUAAUUGGGGGCAGUACCGGUACGUAGUAGGGGACCCUAGCCUAUAUACAUGAGGAGGAGGCGUGAUAUAUGUAUGUAUGAAAUGCUUGUACAUUUAAUUCAGUACUGAAUCUUGAAAGACGUGGAAAGUUAUUUAGGCCAGUAGCUAGCUAAAGGCUAAAGCUUGUGUAUACGUAGUAGGUCAUCUUUUGGCAAAGCAAACUAGCAAAGCAGUCAGCAGCAAACCAGACCCAGACCCAGGUCUCUGCAAAAAAGUCAGCCACUGCCCGCUCUGAUUCCCGCUGCGUUGUACUUGUACACUCUCCUCUUCUUCUAUAGUACCAUAUAGUAUAGUAAGUUGUCUGCAUUUGUCGCUGGGGACAAAGCUAACGGAACCAGAGCUUUUCCACGUACUCUUAGCGCUCUAACCUGGUUCCGCAUUUCAGUAGUGUUUCGCUACUUACUCUGAUCUGAUGCCGCCCGAAGUACUACCACAUCCCUUCAUUUUUAUUCGUCAGUAUUGUGCCUACACUUUGCACCUCAAAACAAAGACAUCUUCUUGUUCUUGAGCCAGCAGUGUAGGCAUCAACCUUAGCUGACGAUUUGUGGUCGCAAACUGUUGUCAAUAUACCGUAUAAAACCUUGACAUCGUUAUCAAUGGGUAGAACACUUUUUUUUUUUUUUUUUUUCUAAAUAAAGGCUUUAUAUUUAACAAUUUUUCUACGAGACGCUUUAAGUCUAUUUUUCCUUAACUUUUUUUCCCCUAAAACCUAAAUAUUAUGUGAAUUCUGGACGAGGGAAUGAUUAUUUUACCAAAUUGUGAUGCAAUUUUAAUUUUUUUUAAAAAACAUAUGCACAUAUUGUGUAUACACUAUUUUUUCCUCUACCUUUUCAAAGAUUUGUUUUUAAAGCAUACUUUUUCCUUAAUAUGUUGUAGUUAAAUAACUAAAAUAGCAUGCCACCAUUUUUUUAAAAAAAAAAAUUCUACAAUAUAAGAAAAUAUUUAGAUACAUACCAAUUAGUGGUAACUUAUGUACAUAGGUUUGGUAAAUAGCACACAUCAAUGUAGUACAUUUCAUAUAAAACAAUACGUUCAAUGUUGUCAAAUUUUUUUAAGCAAAAAUAUCCAACAAAAACCCAUCCAAAAUACUACCUUCAUUUCAAUCUCAUGACUAUAUAUACAAAAAUUCAUCAACGGACGAAAACAAAGAACUAGGAGAGGAAGCAUGGGGUUGUGCAUAAUUUCGGGAAAAUGAGGAGGAGGAUAAGAAGGAACAGUGUAGAGCAAUUGAGAGAGAUAGCAUAUUCAGUAAAAUAUUUCAUUUAAUUUUCCUCUGUCCUUUCUUCCUUCUUUUCAUCCUUAAGUUAUAUUGUUAAUUACUUGCGUAAAAUAUUUAGUCAUCAUAUUAUAAUAUAAGAAAUUAAAAAGUAUAUAUUUACUGGAAAGAAUUAAUUAAGUUUCUAUUUUGUUAAUAAUCCCUGAUUAUUAUCAUUUUUUUUUCCUAUUUUGGAUUACCAAUCAAUGCAUUACCAAGAAAAUUGUAAUUGCAUUUUAAAGAAGAUAAAAAAAAACUUAUGAUCAUUAGUUGCUAAUUGCUCUACGGAUGGAAUGAGGCGUUCAGCUAAAAUAAUUUGUGAUAUUGAUCUCACAUGCAUAAUUCAAACACUUUGAUGCAUAUAAUUUUGAUCUGAGUAAUAAAUUUGUUUGUUUUUAAAAUAAGUAAAUUUUAUGUGUAUUAUCAGUGUAUACACUAUCAUGAUUAAAUUAAUGAUUCAUAAGCUAAAUUUGGAUUUUAAAUACAAGUUUGGAUUGGUUGUCAUGUAUUCAAUGCUGAUAGUAUAUAUAUAUGAAUAUAAAAGUAAUUCUUUUAAAAUUCAUUCAUUAAUCUCACUGGUAUAAGAAAGCAAAUGUAUAAUCUAAGCUAUGCCCUUGAAUAUUUUGUUUGGCUUAGUUGUAAUUUUUAAAAAUUAAUUUGGAAAAUUUGUCUCGAGGGUUUAUGUCAUAUUAUAAUGAAAAGAAUACAUGCCGAUCAUUUAAUUUUGUUGACUAACAGAAUUUUUUCUAUCUUUUCAAAUUCUUGAACAUUAUCAGAAGCGGGACAAUAUAACGACUACGUAUGAUUGACAAUGUAAUUGCUAGCUUGGCUUAUAUUUUUCCUUUUUGUUUUGCUAGCCCUAGUUUAAUAUCAAAGACUUAACUGCUGAACCUGCGCAAUUACCGGAUUGGAGCAUAUAUUUGAUAGGUUAGUCAGCUUUAUGCAAUCUAUGAUAGAAUAUAGGGUAAAUUACCUUUAACCAUUGUGUGGUUUGAUACUUUACCAUAUGAUUCUCUAUAGUUUAAAAAUCUAUACAUAAUCUUUUCAUAGUUUCAACUAAAGUUUCAUCGCUAGAUCUUUUUGUUAAAAUUGACUGUCAGUAUUAAAAGUCAAAGUCAAAUUAGUAGAUUGACAAAUUCACCCUUUCAUUAUUUUUUUCUCCAAAUACAAAAAAUAAAAAAAAAUAACAAGUGGACAAGUGAGAAAUAGAAAAUACCAAAUCUUUAAUGAUUGAAAUAUCUUUUUUAUUUAUUCUUUUCUAAUGGGGGGAAGAGUAGGAUUUAAGAAGUGGGGAGGGAGUAGGGGGAUUUGAACACAAGACCUCUAAAUCCUGAAAUUUUAAUUUUAGUCACUAGAUCAAUACCUCUUCUCUAAUGAUUGCAAAUAUUAUUAUAGGUUUUAAUUUAUACCAAAUCUUUAGUGACUGCAAAUCUUUAACAGUAUCUUGUAUAUCUUAUUUAUCUAUUCUUUGUUGUAUUUAUGGAUAGUUAAUAUUUGUUACAAUUUACUAGGCCAAAGUAUAGUUUUCUAAAAUCAUCUCUAAUCUCUUUCCAAAGGGAACAAAAAAAAAGGAAAAAAGAAAAACAAAUCAGUGAAAGGAUAAAUUUGUCAAUUUACUAGUUUGACUUUGGCUUUUUGAUAUUAACAGUUAGUUGUAAUGGCAAAACUAAUGGUGACAAUUUAACCCAUACCAUGAAAGCUGUGUUUUUAAACUCGGAUCGGACUGGCCGGUCGAACCGAGAACCGGCCAAGUGUUCGGUCCGAGUUGUUCUUCAAAACCGGAAGACUAAAAACCCGGUCAAAAACCGGAAAAACUGGGAAAAAACAUGAAAAAUCUCACAUAUUUCAUACUUUAUAAAUGUUGUCCUAAAAUUUGAUGUUAUUUUUCAAUCAAAUCCAUAAUUUUAAUUCUAAAGUUGUUAAUGUUCAUUAAAUAAUUUAAAUUGCUACUUGAUUAUUCUAGUUUCUUUGUAUUUUCUUGUUAAAUAUAUUUGAAACAUCAAAUAUAUAUGAAUAUACCUUUAUUAAUAUUAACAUACUUUUAGAUAUUUUAUAUACAAUAUUUUAAUUUUUGAAUAAUUUUUAUUUAUGACAUCAUCCGGUUCAACCCGGAUCAAAUCCAUUGACCCCUGACCCCUGAGUUUGGCCGAGUCGAUACCCGGUCCGAGUCUGAAAACAUAGCAUGAAAGGGUUAUGUAUAGGUAAUUAAAUGAUAGGAGGGUAAAAGAUAAUUUACCCAAAACUUGUUGUGCAUAUGAUAUGGUUCAUGAGUGCAAAAAAUUGAAUGAAAGUUUCUUCCUCUGGUUUGUCUUUCCUUGCAUUGCUUAUUUGCUAUUUCUUUUGUCCAUGGAUUUUGUUUUGCAGUUACUUCGGCCAUUUGCCUCUAAUUUAAAUAACGUUUUAUUUACUUUUGAAUACAAAUUUUGGGCAGCUGACAUUUCACCGUUAAGUUGUGUCUUACAUGAUCCUUUUAAACAUCAUUUUAAUUAAUUUCAAUUCCAACAACUAGACUCUAUUCAUUCUUUUUGCAAUUUAUUCGGUCCAGUUUAUUGCAUUCCUACUGCCAAACUUAGCAGAUGUUGGUAAUUUUGUUUUAACAUGGUUGUUAUUUUUAAUUGUUAAAUGAUAUCUGUAUAACAGAUCAUGAGAAGGAUUUGAAUGCAAAUUUGGAUAUGCAAUGUAACCGUUUCUUAAUUUGUUACCUACCAUGAUCAGAAUGCACCAAAAAAAAAAGUCGAACAAGCAAUAUGUACAAAGACUGAGGAUGCUACCUGCAUUGUUCAUUAUAUGGAUGGAUCAGUCUCACAAUUGAUUAUUAUUAUUAUUAUGAUGUAAAAACUCUCUUGUGAGUCUUCAUUGAUUAUAUGGAUGGAUCACUCUGUUUUUUGUUUUGUUUUGGGUUUGUUUGUGGGGGUACGUGGCUAUCUUGAAAUCUUGGUCCAUUAUCAACCACUCUUCGUCCUUUUGGUGUGCCUGGCUCCCCUGCACAAAAAAUAAAAAUAGAAACCAGAGACGAUAAGUGGAGUAUGCCACAAUACUGAUGCUAAUAUUGGAAUUGGAAACCAGAGAGGAAGUAGUCCCCUCCCUAGACGUGUAAAGAAAUCACCUCCCUAGUCCCUCCCCGUAUAUGUAGGCUAUAAAUGUAGGCUUUAUACUAAAAAUAAUUGUAGUUUAGCCUGUUGGUCUAGCUGUAGAAUAGAGGGCAUGAGCUAGGACGUAGGAGACGUAGGCUUCAUCAAUUAAUGACCACAGUAAAGAAAGAAAAGCUAUUUAAAAAAAAAACGAGUAAGAAAAGAAGGGCAAUACGUGGAGCGCGCUUUUAAAAUUAAAAGUACAAGUUGGUCGUGGCGAUCACCCCAGAUGGAACACAGAAGCGUGCAUUCUACUCGAGAGAAGACGGCAACACUGGCAAGUGCAAAUUAUUGCAGAAAGAGCAAGUGCAAAUUACAGUGAAGUGAGAUGGUGAAUUUUUGAGUAUGGACGGACCACGUUGGUAUUUCAAUGCAACAGUAACAGAUGAUGACCCGUGAAUUGAUGAUUCUUUUUCUCCUUUCCGUCCAUCUUCUCUUUGGCCAUCUCUGAUCUCCCCCCUUUCUUUCCUGAAUCAGCACAUUGCUACCCACUUUUCAAAGUAUACUUGCUUCUCCAAUUCGUCCCUCCUCAGCUAACUCCUCUGUUCCCUCCUUUACUCCGACUACGUCGUACUGAUCAUGAUUUCUUCUUCUUCUUUUUUUUAAAAAAAAAAAAAAAAAUCUUCUUCUUCCCUUGAAAAACACGCAGCACACAGACAUAUGCAUAAAUAAAGAGAGAGAGAGAGAGAGAAAAGGAGGACUAGAUACAUAAACGUACGUCUUUGGAAACCGGUAAGGAAGGGAAAAAGGAGAUGCAGGCUUGGCGAAACAAAAAGUGAUGCUAAAAAAGUAAACACUGGCCAAUAUCCUCGGUUUCGUGCAAUCUUAGCAGCAAGUAGUGUAAUAAUUGAAAUUUGUGUUAUAAAAAAAAAAAAAAGACAACAAAUGAGUGUUUAUGGCAGGGGAUCAGGAGCAAAAGGGGAGAGCCGCCGGACAAACCCCCCAUUCUUCCCCCAAGAAAUCCAACCCAACCUGAAUGCCCAGAAAUCACGAAUUGAUCAGAAGGGAACCGGGGAGGUGUGGCUAGCUAGCGUCUGUGCAGGCAUUGACAGAGAAAGAGCAAGUUUAUUUUUUUUUUUUUUUUUGGGGGGGGGGGGCGUGGGGCUUGGGGCCCGAGGGGGGGGGGUGUGGGAAAGAGGAUGGCAGCAGAUCCCAGAAAACAACUUCGCAAUUAUAACGACAUGUAUGUAUAGAUUCUAGGCCGCGGUAAACUGCGACAGCAACUGAUCAUGCUGAGCAGCACAAGCUUCCAUAACCAGCCGUAAAGUUUGCAUGAUGCACUUUCCUCACCACCCCCCCAGCACAACACAAAACACAGCAACCCAAAAAACCCCAAAAGGGGGGAAAAAAAAAAAAGAAAGCCUGGAAAGGAAAAAAAAAAGAAAAUUUAAGCGAAAAAAAGAAAAAGUGUCCAGGAGGAAGAUUCAUGAAUUGUACAGACCUGCAGAACUUUUUCUUUCAGGCCCAUCUCAUCCCGUCCAGAACGAAAACGAUCCAGGUACCCCCACCUGGAUGGAUGGGUCUGGCAAAGCAAACAUGGCAACAUGCACGCCCGCUCCAUGCCUUUCCCCACUGUCCGAAAGGAUACAGCUUUCUCUCCCUCAUUCAUUGCCGAGUACCCCCUGAUGAUUGAUUGUGCUAAGGUAUCCCAAACUGAACCCUCCAUGCACUUUCUCCUGUUGCCAGCCACCCGCUGAUCUGAUCAUUACUCAUCCAUCCUUAACCGUCACCACUCCUCUCACCCGUUCCUUUUUCGUCUCCUUCUUAGCCCUACUUUUGUCUUCACCUACCCCUACCAUCAUCAUCAUCCUCUCUGCUUCAGCUUCCUCCAAUCUCUUUCUCAUUAUUAAUUAUUUCUUCCAAUCUCUCUCUUUUGUGUAUCUGCUCUUUCUUUUUUUUUUUGUUGACCUUUUGGCUUCAAUAUCAUUAUUAUCAUAUUCAUAAUUUGUAAUGAAGAAUGAUUUUUUUUUUCCCUUUUUUUAACACGUACGUGCAUCUGAAUCAAGUAUAUAGCUAGGAUGAAGUUUUGGUUAAGCUAGCUAUAGCAGUGUAGCCUUUUCAACGAUGAGUGAUUAAAUAGUUCAGCACAUUUUCCUCCUUGGCUUUUGAGUUUUGAGUAGACACGGGCCGCAGAAUUAUUCAGCUACGAAACAAAUGGAUACACAAAAGUUCGUUCAUUCAUUCGAGUAAUCUCAAGUUAACUCAUUCAUUCGAGUAAUCUUCAUGGAUUUAAGACUACGUCGUACGUACACCUUGCAAAUGUACUACUCAUCAAUUAGUUAGUUCAAAAUAAGGGAGGUAAGUGGAAAUUGGAAACUUGAGGUGAGGUGUGAAGAACGUGCGUAUAAAUAUAUAAAUUCGUUUUCUUCUCUUAUAUUUUAUUUUCUUUAAUCUUAGGUUGAUGAUAUAAGUAAAUAAAAAUUGAUCAAAUGGAGAUGAUUGACGACGUAAUUAACGUAAUAAAAUAGUGCAAAUUUCAUUCCUUAUGUAUGAUGAUUGACGACCAAUGGGACCGUGAAUUAAUAAUAAUUAGCUGCGUCAUUUAUUUAUAUGAAUGAAUAAUACUAAUGAAUGGGUAUGGGGGGACCGGUUUAAUUCAUUGCCGUAAUAAAAAGUCAUUUCGGGAAGGGUCCCCACGGCUUAAGACUUGCCCAGAUAAUUUGUGUCUGUAGUAGUAAUUGAAUGCCUGAAUCUAUCAUGGGCUGCCAACUGUACGGGUAUUUGCAUCUUUUUAAGCCAUCACCAUAACAUAUAGUAAUUGAUCUCAUGUAGAUGUAGGUAGGGUGAUAUAUAAUUUCCAAUUUGUGUCCUUUGGAUUGGAUGAAGCAUACAUAAAUUAAUAAAUCUGACUGCACCUCAACUUGAUUUUGAGCAUUCUGCGAUUCAAAACUUUUGAGGGAGACCAGGCAACAAUGAAUAUGUGCUGCUACUCUCUUCGAUUCUCGAUUUGAUUUGAAAGAAAACAAAUACGUCGCCAAUUGUUGUUUAGCUAUGGAUCGAGACAACCCUCCUAGCUUACUGUGAGGCCGGCCUGGUCGCCUAAAGGUAGUGGCCCGGCCCAUUUAUCUUGACUGUGUUUGUUACCUGGGGGCAUCUAAAUACAACGUUGCAAGGCAACAGACGGCCUCAUAAAAGGCAGUACUACUAUUCUCUGGACGAGAGACGCACAAUCCCGCACUAAACUUAUCUUAUAACGAGAAUUGAAUGGGCCUUCACUAGCACUAGCUUCAGAUGGGAUGGGGAAAAAAAACGCACAUUCCCUGAUUUUUUAUUUCUUAUUUUUGGCGGCAACAUAAGAGAUUACAUGAGACAGCAGGCAUUUACAUUAUCGUCGUUAAACAUGUUGCUGACCUUGUCGUCUCCCCGUUGAGUGACCGGAAGACUGCCGUGCCUGUCGGCAGCAUUGUAGCCGUGCCUCCAGUAGUUGUAGCUCUCUUUGAAAUCGCUGGUGGUGUCCUUGAAGUAGUUGGUGGUGGAAGUGAAGUAGAGCGGGGGAUUUGGAUAGGGCCAAAACUCUGCCCUCUUUCCCGCCCUUCUCACCGCCGUCAGCACCUUGUUUCGAUCCACGUACCCAAUUACUGUCACCUUAUCCAUCUCCAGCUCUACGUCGACUGAAUCCACCCCUGUACAUACACAUACGUACACAACCUCAAAAAAAAAAAAAAGCCGAUUACCUAGCUACUACUGCUAUUUCUUCUGUUGUUGAACUUGAGGGAGGGAUCAUGCACGUAGUAGUGUCUGACCAGAGAUUGAUUACUCACUUAAUUAGUCAACUGUGUGCGUCUAUACUAAGAAUUAGUAGUAUAUGUGGAAAUUAAAUUCGAUGCUUGUAUAUUGUAGCUAGUAUAAUACUCCUGUGGUUAAAAUAAAAUUAAAUCAGUGACUCAUGAACUACCUCUGAGUUUGUUAAAAUUAAUGAAACUAAUUAUACCUCUGAGUUUGUGGAUGGCGUCCUUGACAACUCUCUCGCAGCCACUGCAGCACAUCCUCACUUUCAGCUCCACUGUCUGCAAACUCAUCCAACCAACACUAGUACGGGUUCUUUAAUAUUCCCCAGAUUAAAUGAUACGCGCUUCGCAGAUUCCCCUUUCCACAAAAGCAUUAACUAUAUAUGCAGGGCUCUUUCUUUUGAUCACAAAAGUAUAUACACCUUAAUUUGUUCCUUUUGAUCGCGGUUACUUACUAAAGCGUUUUCGUCAAUUAAACCUGUGUCUCUGUCUACUUGGUUUAGGGCCUUUAGGUUUCAGUUGUUUAACUCAAGUUUUAUUUUCCUUCCAAAAUAUGUGGAACUGGGAUCCCAUCUGCUUUUGUAGGACGACUGACUACCUUUCUUCUUCUUCUUUCUUCCCUUUUUUUUUUUCUCUUUCCUUCGUUCUUUUUUGCAAGCUAGCUUUGUUCAUUAACUGAAGCAGCCAAUAAUAAUUAAGGAGAUUUCACCAAGGAUGAUUUCACCAAGUUUGUAUGUCAGAUUUUGAGCGACACGGGCUGGUAUUUCCUAGGUUUUGUUACCCUUUUUUCGUCUUUUUGAAGAGGGCAUGCAUGGGAGGUAUCUGCUCGCCACAACAACAGAGUCGUUUUCUCUUCUUCCAUAAAUAAAUAAACGACAACAAAAGAUGUAAAAUUUCAAUCUCUGAAAAAGUCAGAUUUGGGGCCAUGACAUACUUAUUUCAGUUUAGCUGUAUUAGUUACAAAUCUAAUGUAGUCCUUAAUAUACAAGCGACCACCAGUAGCAAACAAAGAUGAACUAGGUAUACGGAGUCAGGGAUACUGACCCUCAUCCUCUUCUAUUGAGUUUUUAUUUUAUUUUUAUCUCUUCUGUUGAGUUGGUUGAAAUUGUCCCAAAUAAUAAUAACAAUAACUAAAUAUAUAAUAGAAGUUUGAUACAAAGUUUAUUUCCGAACAACAACCGGUUCUAAAGGAUAAACCUGAGUACGUAUGUAUGUAUGCAUGUGGAUAAGAUGGAGUAUAUGUAAAACAUGAAGGAUGGAUGGAUGGAUGGAAGUGAAACCUGCAAAGAAAGCGGUCGAGCCUUGGUCUUGGGCAUUUUGUAGCUGAUAUUGUCGUUGUUGGAGCUUUUGGGGCGAUAGUGGUUGGAGUCUUGAUGACGAUGAUAUUGAAAGAAACAGUAGGCAAGAGCUGAGACGACAAAGCCAAAUAGCCUUUCCGGUAGGUUAACCAUUGCCAACAGGUUCCUUCUCUAGAUAUAUAUACUACACCUACUAUGUAAGUAACGUUAUGUAGAGUUACAUUAAUUAGGAAAGAAGAAAGGAGAGACGCAUGGGAAAGGGAAGAACCCAUAAGUAGUAGAAGGCAUCAUUGAUGAGGCUGGCAAAUGCUCUAUUAAAAAUAUUCCUCCAAUCCUAAGGCGCCUCUUCCUUCAGUCCUAAUAUUCUCUUACGGAGUAGUUUUUUUUUUUUUUUCUUCUUCCUCUUGGUAACAUAUUCCCUUCUCCAAUUCAACAAAGCUAAGUAAUCAAGCUGAUCAUGAUAUGACAGUACCACUUUCCCUUUUGUUACCAGUUUCUUGCCUCCACGGGAAUGGUGAGUGUUUAAUUAACAGAUUAUUAGUCGCCAGACCUACGAAGCAUAUUUGAGAAUGAAUAGGCACGUGAGCGUUGUGUACAUACUCAGUGCAUGCAGAAUACUUCCAAUCGAAUCGACAGGUUUAUUCUUUUGUUCUAAAUACCGAAGCCAGUUCUAAAAAGCAGGGGGAGUGGAAUCCAAAACCUGGAAUUUUUUAUUUUAUUUUUUUAAUGCCUGGAAUUGUGUGGGGUUAGCUAAAGCUAAUAUGGCUGCUGACAUUGGAAAAAGAAUAUCAAGCCUGGUGGGAGAUGGAUGGGCUUAAGGAAGUAACAGACGGGCUUUGAUGCGAAGGAAUCAAAUAUUUCUUCAAAAUCUCCUCUUCUUUUCUUUGUAUUUUUUCUGUUUUGCUUCAAUAUCUUGCACAAGUAAACCGAGCCAUGCCUCGGAUGUAUGUAUAUAUAUACAUAUAGUUGAUCCCUUUACGAAAUAACAGAGAAUUCGAAUAAAUUCCUUAACAGUACUCGCUUCAUCGCCCGUGUACUGGUCUUUCCCCGGCCGAUUUAUGAUCGCUUUCUUUCCUUCUCUCUGUCUUUUUUGUUAUGUAAUGUAUGACAUUAACUACGUACUAGGAGGGUUGAGUGUGUAAACAUCUGGACAUACAUGGGAUUCUUCUUCUUAUGUAUAAAGUAUAUUAGGUUUGACAGAUAAUUGCGAUCGAUGUGGUACGUUGUACGAGCUAAGAGGAUCUGAUGCUUUUGGUUCAUGCCUACCAUUAUUAUUGUUCUAUAUACUCGCUCCAAAUCUGACUCUGAGUAUCAUCACAUGACACGAACGAGUUAUAUUAAAUACAAACAAUUGUUCGGGUCUGUGGGCAACGAACGAUAAAAGAACAUCCGGUCUGCCGAAGAACUGUGGAUAACAAGACUUGUUCCUAGUCUUAAUAAAGUUAUAUUAUUGAAGCAAAGAGAAUUAGGUUCUGGUUCGUCAUUUGGUGACGCAAAAGUACUUGCUGCUUUGUAGACUGUUCCUAUCUUUGAUUAUCCGGGAUUGUCACAACAUCACUUUGUUAUCCCCUCUUCCAUUACACCAUCUCUGCCAUACAUUACACUCUGUAGAGUAUAAUAGCGUGGAUCCACAAUCAAAUUAUAUAUUUAUUUUAAUAAUUCACACAAUACAUGUCCCGUAAAAUUUAAAGCUUCUAAAAUUAUCAAAUCAUGACCGUUACACUUUCAGUAUGGGAGCUAUUGCACCCCAUUGUGGAUGGGGAUGAGGUAUCAUUUCACGUCUUCAUUUUGUCUUUGUUUCCUAUUUCGGCUCUAAUAUCUACAUUCCGCAUGUAGAUUAAUCACCAAAAGUUCAAUUCCGUGUUUUCUGAUUUCUUAUUUCACUUUGUUUGAAUAUGAAUCAAAUCUUUUUCCUUUUCCAAUAGCCAUACGCUCUUUCUUCAAUUCAGUUCUCUAUCGACCAACACAAUAAAACGACAAACCAAAAAAAAAAAAAAAAAAAGGAACCCAGAAAACUUAUGGACCUUUUCACCAAUUUAAUAUUUUGGAAAUGCUCUUUUUUUUUUUUAAUCCAAACUUCAAAAUGAGAGAUAGGAAGUAGAAAUGCUAUCGAGUCAAGCCAAACUCGAGUAGUACCAUACUUGAGUUGGAGCUCGAAGGUUAUGGGAACUACUCGAGCUCGAAUAAACCCCUGACUCCAAACUCGAACUCGACUCGAUGUAGUUGAAAAAACCUCGAGCUCAAAUUCGAGCUCGUACUCGUAUAAGAUCUGAGCUCGAUUACUCGAUUUAAUCUCAAAAAAUGAGCUUGAAAACCUUUGUUAAAUUAGAUCUUUUCCUUCUUAAUGUUUUCAAAUUAAGUUCUCUAAAAAACAAGAAAUAAGAAGUAUGAUUUUAUGAAAUCCCUGCUUUGUCCAAACAAAUAAAUAAAGGUGUUAGAAUGGUUCAUUGUAAAUUUAAUAAGUUGCUUAUCUGUAUUAGUAAUUUUCUAUAUAUUAUAUAUAAUUUUUUUUAUUUUAUUAUGAGAUACUCGAUAGAGCUAUAUUAUAUAUAUAUUUUUUUUUAUUUUUUUAUGAGAUACUCGAUAAAGUUCGUCGAGUUCUUGAGUAUCUCAUAACUAGACUUGAGCUUGACUCGCUAUUUCUAUUGCUCCUCGAGCUCGAUCAGAGCAAGCUCGAGCCAAACUGCUAAUCGAGUAGCUCCCGAUCUCGAGUCUAGCUACUUGGAUCAGAUCCACCCCGAAUAGGGAGGAUAUGAGAGUUGAACUAAUGAUCUCAACUUAAACCAUAUCCAAACUUAAAAAGGUGUUUUGGAGAUACUAUACUAUAAUAUUAUAUAUGAAAAACUUUUAUUAUAGUUAUUUGUUGAGGUGUUUUUGAAAUGUAAAAUCUUAUUGAAGUAUUUUUAAAAAAAUUAAAAAAAAUUCACCACCCAUCACCCCUUCUCUCCUCCCUCCUCCACCUCCACUGUCACCCUCCUCUUUCCUCCUCCCUCUUCUUCUUUCUCUCCUCCCCUUGUUCCUCCUCCUCCACCCUCCUCUCCCUUCCCCACCACCCGCUCCCCUAUGUUUGCAUUUUUUUAGUAUUUUUUGUAAGUUAUACUUGAGAUGUGUGUUUUUGAAUUAUAUUUAAAAUUUAUUAUUGUAGAUUCUACACAUAAAAAUAGUUUGUAAAAACAAAUGAUAAUCCAAAUAGAGCCAUUGGUUUUUGUUAACAAUCGAAAAACAAUUCAGGACAUGACCAUCUAUCCGGCAUCCAGCGUCUUUGCAGUUUCACCGGCAACAGCAAAGUGCGAUAGAAGGCCCAGAUUGGGCGAGCUUGGCUCGGGCCAACUUGGACCAUUAAUCUCAAAAUUUUGUAAAGUUAUGCUCAAAUAUAUUAAAUUUAAUAUUUUAACAAUUAAAUUACUUAACAAAUUUAAAUUUUAAAUUUUAAAUUUUCAAAUUUCAAUUUUAUCAAAGUAUUUAGUGAUAAGUUGAAUCCAGUCCGACCCUAUUUUUGAUCUAUGGUUUGACCGGACUUAGACCUCUGGAUCGAAAGUUACGCGGGCCUCCUGCAACGGAAUCCGUGGAGCUACAAACCGGGACAACCACGUGCGACUAAGGUUGACAAACCAGGACAAUUACGUGCUACUUGCUUAAUACAGAGAGCAGGGGAUGCUAGGGAUUGGUUUGUACGACAUUCCAGAAAUUUUUUAUCAACUCUUUGAUCCAGCAUUAUUCGCCGCCAGGGAUCUGUUUUUGUUUUUAGUUUUUUUUUUCUCCUGAAGAAGCAAAUGAAGAAGAAGAAUAUUUACUAUGGUGUAUCAUUUUGGCAGAAUUUAACACUUAAUAACAUGCAUUUUUUUUUUAUUCAGGGGGAACAUGCAUUCUUACAUGUACAAAAAGGAAAAAAAAAACCACAAUUUCAUAUACAGAUCUCUGUAAUAGUAGUACUAGUAAUCAAAUUCUAGGAGGCUAGCAGCUAGAUAUAUGUAAUAUACAUAAAAGAGAAAAGGAAAACGAAAAAGAAAGAAAAAUAUUUGAAAAUUGCUAAAACAGAAUAAGAGGGAGGCCGGGGGCUAACAUUGGGCUUGCAGGAUCUUAUUAGUUGACGGAUGGAUUCUAGUACGAAAAGUGUGCAUGGAUCAGGACUGAGGAAGAGGGCAUGUGAUGUCGCGAGAAGCACGAGGAGGAGGGGGAGGCGGAGGCGGAGGAAGAGAAGGAGAAGAAGAAGCAAAGGGAAGAUUACGGAGAAUGAGAAAACGAACCCGCGGAUGGAAGGGGAGGGGAGCCUGGUUGAACAUAUGCUCCAGCACCCUAGCCACCAACACCGUGUACUCCUCCAACAGCUCCGCCACUAUGGCCACCAGUAUCAUACUAGUAUCAGCAGUUGUUUUGUGUACCGAAUUGCGAAACAACUAGAGUAGAAUAUUAUAUAAUUAGCCAAAGAUCCGAGGACAGGAGUCGUGUGGAUUAUGAGGUGGAGUUGGAUGUAGAAGUAGGAAGUAGAAGCAGCUUAAUUCCAAUUGAGAAUUGCGACCGUUCUGGGAAAUUCCGUCUGCGGCUCCACCGAACUACUACUACUAGUACUAUAUUGGGGUGUGGAUUGGGGGACUGCUAAUACUAAUAAAUAUAAAAGAAAAUUACAAUGUAUAAAUCUCAGUCAACUUCCAAAGCCUGCCUGGGAUUUUAUAUCAGUAGGAGUAUAUAUUCAGGAAACGUGCCAUGGUGUAGCAGUAGCAGCUACGGCUAAAUCCAUGGGCUGGGCAGGGCAGCCGGAGAUGGAAGUGGUGGUGGUGGUGGUAUUCAAAUCCAUGUCCUGCUUCUUUUUUUCAAUUGGGGAUGGUGGGCUUCUAACUAUCUGUCCGCUGGAGCAACUAGUAAGCAGCAGCAGUCACUCUGGAAUUUUCUAGGUCGGGGGGUGGGGGCAGCGAAAAAUGUAUAAUUUAUUUAUUUAUUAUUGGUAGAAUAUGAAUGGAUCAUAAUUAGAUUACUACGUAAUUAGUAGUGCAUCCGUGACUGCUGACUAUAUUGUAUUAGUAAUUAUCAUCAU
rnacentral:lncRNA from 1 species